rnacentral:lncRNA from 1 species
UUCAUUUUUCAUCACUCUGAUAUUUAUUACAGCGCAUAUGAUCGCUUAUUAUCACCUGCUUCUUGGCAUGUAGCCUAUCAUUCAAAUUGAGCUAACAAGCAUGCUAUCUGGCCCAGCCAAGUUUGCAUUGACUACCCUGCAGUUCAAUCUGAUCUCUCCUUCAGUUCCUGUCAGAGGGCUGAGAUUUCCCAUUCUUAUCAUGGACUCCACAAAGCUUUCAAAGAAAGCUGUUUGAUUAGCACUGAAAGCGUUAACAAGUGCAAUGACAUCAUCUGCCCCCGGAGUUGAAAACAGUUCUUGAUCAGUCUGAAGCAGGCCUCGGUUACCUUGCAGAUUGGAGUAGUAGUUACUGUCAAAGGCAUCAGGUGUUGUGAGAUCAAGAUCUGUUAUCACACUCCCAUUUCCACCUUGGGGACAUAAUUCCUGAAGAGCUGCUAGAAGAGUUGUGUCCAUUGAUGGGUCAGGAGCACCGGUUCUGUUGAAAUCAAACAAUCGGAAGUCGAAUGUAGAACAUUUUGCCCUUCCAAAUGUGUGAGCACCUGAGAAGAUAAAAAGGAAAUUACAUCAAAGGAGAAUCAAUUAUAACAGAGUUUUACAGUUUAGAGUUGAGCCUGCAAAUAAUACUUACCAGAUAGAGCUACCAAAUCACUAUUAUUAUUAAGGCUGACAUUAGUGAAGCUCUCUCUGAGUUGAUCAAGGGUGAGAGAAGGGGCCGGAAGGAAAGCAUUUGCUGCAUCUCGGCUUGCUGUUGUACUAUCUCUUCUUCCUAAUGGAACUGUCCAAUUUGGACCUCCUGCCUGCAACCAUGCAUAGUUAGGGGAUUACUACUUUUCAACUCUAAACUUAUUUCUAUCUCAACUACUUCUGUCCAAACCGUCAUAAAGUCAUGUAAAAAAUUAAGUAAAUCUCAGCUUCUUUCUUUCAUUCAAUUAUGAUAAACUAUGAUAUUUGUGUUCUACGUUCUUUGACUAGAAUUAGACAACAAGAGAUCUAUUUUAUAUUUUGGGGGGGUUGAGGGAUCAUUUUAAGAUACCAAGACAACAGAUUCUUCAGCUGCAAUAGUGAGUAUAUCAGCACAGGAAACAGUAGCAGGACAGGCACUCUCCAACAAAGCCUUCAUUCUAUCAACAACUUCAAAACCUCUUGCAGAGUUGUUGUUCCCUCCGGCUUCCUUUUCGCUCACUAUAGUAUCAGUAUUGUCCAACAAAAGCGAACCAUCACAGCCCUGAAAAUAAAAUAAAAAACUUGAGAAUCACAACUUAGAUAGACGGUUUAAUAUAAUUAAGCAAUAUAAGAUGUUUCAAAGCAAUUACAUUAACAAAGCAGUCAUGGAAGUGGAGCCUGAUGAGGCUGGCUCCAAUCCGAGGAUCGGAUACCAAUGUCUCCGUAAUGACAUUACGGAUAAUGCUGCUCACAUUUGGACAUGUCUGGUCAUAAAAUGUUGGAGUAAGCUGGCCAUGAGCCAAUGUUCCUCCAAGCAAAACUACAAAGAAAAAAGUUGCAACUAUAGCCUUAGAAAGAUGCAUUUUUCUCCAAUUUCUCCUAUGAAAAUGUUUUUGUCAAUGUUAAAACUUGCAUGGGAACCCAACGUUAACGAUGUUACAGUUUAUAUAGUGAUAAAGAGGUUUGGAAGCUAAGACGCGGUUCUUUGAAUAGUAGGCAUACUUGCUUCUGAAGAUUCUUGUGCAAAGUUAUUGCACGUUGAAAGACUGUUCAGUUAUCUCUUAACCAAAAUAUCCCUCAUCUCCUCUCUUCCUUGAGCUCGCUUACCCAUCUCCCCUUGUUUCCAUCAACAAUUCAUGAUUUCCGCAGACAUCUUCACUCCUUCAAACUUAAGACAUUGCAAGCCGGUUAUAUUAUGUCCUGGUAAUUUGAUUUUGAGUGAAAUUUUGCUUAACAUGCCAACAAUUUUUAUUAUUGAAUCACCAAAAUUACAUGGUUAGUAAGGAUGGAAUAUUUUUUUUCUCAUUUAUUGUAUUCUUAAAGAGGUUUGUAAGAUGAUGCAAUGGAUUGUGGUCCUUGUGGAUUUGAUAAUUCCGCAUCUCUGCAUAUAUUAGUUUAACAAGAAGGAAGUCUGAAAUUGAAAAACUAAAAAUUCAAACUAAAAUAAUGUGGACAGAGACUAUGUGUUAGUUUUCAAAAUAUUCAUAUUGAAACACAUUUCUAUUAGUUUUGUAAUUCCGUUUUUGUCUUUUCUUUUCUUUUUUACAUCUUACGUGUACCUCGACUAAUCUCACAGACCUUUAAGUUAAUGAUCAUAAAAGCUGCUAGUAACCCUGAGGUUUAUGAAACUCAAACUAGAAAUCUUUAAAAAAUAAAUUUAAAACCUGACUAGUUGAACUCCCAUCAAAAUUAAUUUUUUUUUUUAUAUUGCUAGGUUGCUGUCAUAGGAGAGGUAAUCCUUGGUCAACCCUUUAUAUUUUAGUAGCUGUGCCUCGUACAUUGGGACUCUUGUAGUAUUAACGUUCCCUAUUUUAUGUGAUGCCAGGAAUCGGGGCUAUGAAUUGGGACUUAUUAUUUUUAUUUUCUUCAACUUCACCAAAAGAGUUAAUUAAAACUUCUUCUAAUAGCCAAUUCAUUGAAGUACAAUGCGAGCGGCAAAUACGAUAUUGACAGAAGCAUGCAUGGAGAUUUUCAUGCUGUGGGUGGUCACAUAUAAUUUUCUCACAUUUUUUAAGCAACAGUAGCACUAGAAUGCCACGAGAAAAUAUUGGUGUUCACAAAAUCAGAGGUUUUUCUGUCACAAUCGUACUUUUAACUAGGUUGUAGAUUGCCUAGCCAUUUGAUGACAUGACUUUACACAUGGUAUUGACAAAACGUUUCUUGUUCAUCACUACUCUUGUAAAGUAGGAGCAGCCAGCUGACCUGGGAGUAAAACUAGACCCAAGAAUUCUGUUACUCCGAUAAGAAGAGAAAAAAAGGAAAAGGGAAAAAGUAAAAAGUAAAAAAGGCCAAAGCACAAAUGAGGGAUUCGAUAAAAAGAGAAAAAAAGUAAAAAAGGAAAAGGUGAAAAGGAAAAAGCUCAAACGAGGGAUUCGAAUCCCUCGUUUGAGCUUUUUCCUUUACCUUUUCCUUUUUUACUUUUUUUCUCUUCUUAUCGGAGUAAUAGAAUUCUUGCGUCUGGUUUUACUUCCAGGUUACCUGGGGGAGCUAGAUUUGGGUUUAGUUUUUUUAAUCUUUCAUCACAUUAAAAUAAUUUUAAAAAAUUAAUUUAAAAUUAAAAAAAUUAAAAAUUUUCAAUAUUUUUUAAAAGCAUUUUUAAAACGUAAAUGCUUUAAUGAAAAUUCAACUCAAUCUUAAAUGAAAAAAAAUAUCAUCACCCAAUUUUUAUACAAUAUAAAAAAAGUCAUAUUAUUUUAUUUUUUCUUUACAGUAUGAAAAAAAAAUUCAAUAAGAGAAGAAAAAAAAUUAAAAAUAUCUUAAAAGGAAAAAAAAUAAAAUGAAAAAAAUUAGUUGCUGGUGUAUUGGACGCUUCCCUGCUAUGUGUUAUUCAUGGUGCUACUAUAAAAAAUAUUUUAUUUGAAUAUGGUGAUGAUACAAAUACAUUCCAUGCUUUUAACCCAACUCAAGCAUUUUUACAUUUUAAAAAAAUAUUAUUAUUGACCCGCUGCGGAGUACGGGACAAUAUGUUACCUAUCAUAUUAUUACAUAAUGGUUAUUUAAAAAAAUAUAUUGAGAUAAUAUUUUUUUAUUUUUUAAAAUUAAUUUUUUAUAUCAUCACAUCAAAAAAAUAUAAAACAUCAAAAAAUAUUAAUUUGAAUUAUAGAAAAAAAAUUUAAUUUUUUAAAGCUUUUUUAAACGUAAAAACAAAUAUGCUUUAAUAAAGAAAUUCAACUCAACCUCAAAUGAAAAAAAAAAUAUCAUCACCCAACUUUUGUACAAUAUAAAAAAAAUCUCAUCAAUUUAUUUUAUAAAAUAUCAAAAAAUAUUAAUUUGAAUUAAAGAAAAAAAAUUUAAUUUUUUAAAGCUUUUUUAAACGUAAAAACAAAUAUGCUUUAAUAAGGAAAUUCAACUCAACCUCAAGUGAAAAAAAAAAUAUCAUCACCCAACUUUUGUACAAUAUAAAAAAAUCUCAUCAAUUUAUUUUCUUUUUACCGUAUGAAAAAAAAUUAAAUAAGAGAAAAAAAAAAUCUAAAAAGACAAAAAAAUAAAAUUAGAAAUAUCUGACGGCCUAGCCAAACCCAAUAGCGUUGGGUCAGGGUGCCCAGCUAAACCCAAUAGCGUUGGUUCCAGCUGUCUUAUUAAACCCAAGAUCGAUAGGUCUGGUUGGAAGCUGGAUCCAACAACAUUAGAUUUGAUAACCAAGUUAGAUCCAACAAUAUUUUUUAAUUAAAAAACAAAAAAGAUAAUGCUUCCAUACGUGUCAUCCAUAAUAUAAACACUUUAUCUAUACAAUAUAAUUUACAGUAUAACAAAUCUAUAUUCACCGUACACGCACAAUAUUUUUUCCAUUACUUAUAAAAUAUAGUAUACUUAAUGGGAAAGAAAUCACUCAUGGUGAUAAUAAGGUAACCUGGAUCGAAUCUUGUUCGUACCAAAACAAGAUGAGAAAGAUUCUGAGGAAUAAAGUUAUCUUUCACCGUUUGAACGACAAGAAUAAAUGAAUAUUUUCACUUAUCGUACAUCUCUUUUUUUUUUAAAAAAAAAAAAAAAACUAAGUCCUGGCUUACAGGCUUGUGCUUCAAGGCUUCUCAACAUUUCGGGUUUUUCAUUGCAGAGUUAGGCCUCUUAAGUCUAGGUCUAUUAGGGUUUUUUCAGGGUUAAGUAUGAAUUUAAAAUAAAAAAUUUAUUGAAUCUAAUUGUGUUGAUAUUUUAAAUCACAAGUUUAACAAGUUAAGCCAUAAUAUUUACACUAUUUUUUUUUUAAUUUGAUAUUUUUAACUAAUAUAUUUUUUAAUAUAUUCUAAAUUUAUAUUUCAAUUAAUAUCAUUCAUCUUUGAUUUUAUUUUUGUUUAUUUAACAUUUUUUAGAUUUAUGGUAUUUUGCGUAAUUAAUUUUUGAAAAGAUUAUUUUGAAUCAUUUAUAAUUUUUUAAUCUUUUGUAUACAAGAAAUUUAUUUUUGAAAAUAAAAAAAAAACUUUCAGAUAAUAUUUCUAAUAUGCAAAACGUUGCAUGAUAUUUUUUCACUUUUAUUUUAUUUAAUCAAUUUAAUAUAUGUUUCUAUUUUUAAUAUCAAAUCAAUUUAAAUAAAUUUAGUUAACACAACCAAAUAAAUGUCUUGUCAUGCAAGAUUAAAUAUCUUGAUCUAUACUUGUCUUUUUAUUUGUAUUUUUAGUUAUCAGUUAAUAAUUUUUUUAUUUAUUAACAUAUAUAAUUUUCAAUUUAUUUCAUUAUAUAUAUGCAUGAGUUUUUCAAUUUAUACUUAUAUUUUUUAUAUACAAAAAUACAUUGAAAAAUGUUUUUUAUAUAAAUAUAUAUAUUUAAAAUAUCUAACAAGCAACAAAUCACGAGUAAAAUAACCGGCUAUAAAAACAAAUGCAGCUUUUAGGGAGAAAAAAACUAUAACAUGUAAUAAUUUUAUUUAGUAUAUUUAAUGCUAUGUAAUUCAAAAAAAUUAAUUGCAACAGGCAUAGUUUUGAAACCCAACCCGGUGGUCGACCCGGUCUAAUGAUCAGGUCACGGGUCAGUUUGGUUGACCCGGGUCAACCAAAAAAAAAAACCAAUACAACACCUAUAGAAAACACCUAACUAGUUACAAUGCAACACUUAUAUAAACCAAAUUUAAAUUUUAAACCAACAACAUAAAUUUAAUUCAAUAUCCAAAACACAAACCAAAUAUAAAUUCUAAAAUAUUUAAAACAAAACAUCUAAAAACAUAAAUUCUAAAUCAACAACACAUUCACUUUUAUUGAAUGAACACAUUAAGUUUUUCUGUGUUCAUGGGAGCAAAAUUUGAAUUAAAUGUCGAUGGAAUUGAGCCAAUCUCGUCAACACCUAAUAAAUCAUCAGCAUGCUCUUUUGAAACUUCAUCGUCACAAUCAUCUUCAAUCUCAUUAAUAUUUAUGACAUCUACAUUUCAAACACAAUUAACAAAUAAAUAUUAUGUGUUAAACAAUACUUUAUUUUCAAUAAUAUUUAUCACUAAAUAAUCAAUCAUUAAUUACCAUCAUCUAAAGUAUCUUGUAUGGUCAUUGUUGAUAGAGCAUGGUGAAAACUCUCUGUUUCUUCAGUUGUCAAAAUUGACGGGUCAUCUUCUAUUACCCAAUUUUCAAUGUCACAAAUUGUCUCAAAAUUAAUUGGAUCAUAAUUUCAUCCUUUCCAAUAAUUCCUAUAUAUUAAAAGUGAAGGUAAACACAAUAUAAGUAUUAAUAAUGCUACUAAAUAAGAUAAAAUAAUAUUUAAGGAAUUAGAGAAAAGAAAAAUAGUUUUGUUUCAAUCUUAGAUUGCAGCGGACGUAAACAAGGUCAUUAAGCCUUUAAUGCUCCAAUCUAUUUCUCUUCUUAGAGUAAAUAUGUUCUAACAUACUCCAAUUUCUCUCGCAUCCCAAAGAACUACAAGUUUGACUUAACACUCGUAUAACCAAAAGUUAUAGAUUUGAAGCACUGGUUCCAUAUGUCAUCCACCAUUCAUCUAUACAAAAAAAAUAACAAGUAAGACUGUCAAAUAAUAUUUUUAAAUAUAAAAAUUAUAUACCUGGAGGCAUAAAGGUGCGAUUAUUUAUUGCGGACGCUCGACCAAAGUCAUGUUUAGCAUUCCUAAACAACUUCAUCUCACUUGUAAUCUUACUUUGCAAUGGUAGAUUUCCAUGUGCAUAUUUCUCAAGAACAUCAAGAAGUCCAGAAAUGAUGCUCAUAUGUUUAUCCAUUAUAUUUGCAUCAUAUUGAAAUUGAGGAUUCAACCAAAAUGCCACAGCAUAAAGAUUUCUAUAUAGUUGUCCAUCCCACCGAUUAUUGAUAAUGUCUAUGAAAGGUUUCACUUUAGCCUUUCUCUUUUGAAAUCUCCUUAACAUUUCUUCUUUUGCAUGAUGAAUAUCAUCAUACAAAUAUCCCAUCGAAGGUCUAUCAUCACCAUCAACCAUUCGUAGAACUCGAACUAAAGGUUCACUCAUUCGCAUAAUUAUUGCACAUUCUUCCAAAAACAGAGAGUCUAACACACUUUCAACAAACUUUUUUCCUUUGCUAUAUUUAGCAUAAGCAGAUGAGACCCAUUCCCUAGAUGUCACCAUAGCUCUCAACUCAUUUUUAUGAGCUAAAAUGCUUUACAAUGCAAUGAAAUUGGUAGCAAAACGAGUAGGAGUUGGAUGAAGUAUUUCUUUUCCUCCAGUGAACUUCCUUGUCAAAUAUAAUGGAUAACAAUGAUUAUAAAUGUACUUUAUGAUACCAGAAGCAUGCUCAACAACAGAACAAACUGACUGCAAUUUACCAAUGUCCUGAAGUAUGAGGUUGAUACAAUGAGCAGCACAAGGAGACCAAAAUAUUAAAGGAAAUUCUUCCAUCAAUAACUUGCUAGCAACAACAUAAUUUGCAGCAUUAUCAGUCAUCAUAUGCACAAUGUUUUCUACCCCAACAUACAAAACAACCUCUCUAAACAACUGAUGCAACAAUCUAGCAGUCUUUAAGACAUCUGAUACAUCCACAGUUUUUAAAAAAUUGUUCCUUUAAGACAAUAUACUAAGAAGUUAAUUAAAGUCCUCCUCUUCUGAUCUGUCCAUCCAUCAGUCAUUAAUGUGUAACCAGUCUUCUUCCAAAUCUCUCGAUAACUCUUAACAUAAAUCUUCACUUCAUCAACCGCUUUUGCCAAAUAAUAACCACGAAUAACAUGCAAGUUUGGUCCUUUAUAACCAGGACCCAUGGUUGUUACAACAUCUAUGGCAUGCUAAUAAUAGACAGAGUUAACAGCAUUAAAUGGCACACAUGCAUCAAUCAUCCACUUCGAUAAAGCAAGAUCACACCAUUUAACCGCUUCCUUCCUUUGCCAAUAAUUUUGAAGAGACUUUUGAGCACCAGGAGUUGUUCUCGGCAUGAAAUAUGUCCCUAAUGUUGUAGAUUUCUUCUGCUUUCCAUAACUUGUAGUUGAUUGUUUUACAGUGCUGGUGCUUUGAAUUUUUUUCUUUUUUGCAACCUUCGGCGGGAACAUAUGUUUUUUAGUAUUGACAUCCUCACCAUCCUCACCAUCAUCAUCAUCUUCUAAUUGCCUAAUCAUCAUCUCUUCAUGCUCUCUUUGUUGUGCAUUAAAUGGAUUAAAAUCUGCUUGCAUUUCUCUAACUCUUUUUUUUUUCAACAUUUCCUUUAAAAUUCAAAAGCAUUUGAUGUUGAACAUCAGGAGGACAUUUGCGACAUUGAUCAACUUCUCCUUUAGCUCCAGUUAAAUGUUGCUUAAAUCGAUUAAUGCCACCACCCGCAAAUACUUUAGCACAAUAUAAACAUACUAAUUUAGUUUUUUUACAUCCAACACUAAGUUCAGGAGCUUCUCUACAAUGACCCCAUGCCAAAUCUGUUCUUCCUCUACUACCACUUGAUAUGGAAAUUGAAGGUUGAGAUGAUUGAGCCGUUGAUGGAUCACUACUUGGAGUACUACCAUCAUGUGAAGAUAUUUUAAGGACUUGAUAUAAUUUCUAAACACAGAACCAUAACGAACCUGACAAAAUAGAAAGUCGCAUCUGACUAUAAUAAAUAGAUAUACUAUGAUAGAAGAAACAUAUCCAGCAGUUAGAACUACAAGAUAAUUUAUUCUAAAGAUUUGGGAAAACAUGCUUCUCACUCUCCCUGUUUCUACCAGAAAAUCAAAGAAUUUAGUCUUAUCAUACAAGAAAAAGACAUUAUGUGACAUUUUGUGCCAGAUAUAUUUCCAUAGGCAUUGAAUUUGGAAGCCAAGCUUAGGCAACUUGGCAAAAAUCAAUAAUUGAAGGUGCUUAAAGUUCAGGUCACUAGACAAUUAAGGACACAACAAGGAAGAACUAUAAACAUAUUUUAAAAAAAUACAGAAACAGAGAAAUAUCAUAAAACAAAUUUAAACAAUUCUUAUCGUUACAAAGUGCAUAAGUUGCCAGUAACAAGUAACCUAAUUUCAUAAACCAAUUUUACAGUUAUGCAUCUUGCUUGUGAAGACUGUCUAUCUAACCACUCCAUCUGGGAUAUCCAUUUCUCAUUCUAACCAUAGAAAAGGAAGGCAAAAGGGUGCAUCAGGCUUCACACAUUCAUUCAAUGUUUCAUAUGGUUGAGAUCAAGAUAAAUAUGGUUCCAAAACAAAAUAAGACAAAUAUAGUUCAAGGACAUCAUACCAUGCACAAUGUCUUACAUAAUCCAUUACUUCUUCAUGGUAUUCAUUACGAGCUUCUUUCAGGCGUCUUAAUUUCUCACAACAAGCACGUUCUCUUAUUUGUUUGUCAGUUUCUUCACUACUUCAUAAUCCAUUUUCUACACGUCUUCAUUGCUUCAAUAAACUAUGAAGUAGUACUGAGGAGUUUCUAAUAUGCAGCUUACGAAAAAAUAACUGAAAUAAAUCAAGAAAAAUAAGGCAGAGGCUUUAUUAAAUGGCAGAAAAGAAAAGAACAGAGAAACAUACUUGUGGGUGUGAACUGCGAAUCGAUGCCAGAUCAAGAACUGCAAGUUCAAAAAAAGGCAAAGAAUAAAGAAAAGAGAGAGUGAAAGAAGGAGAUUCAUGAAGAGAAACAAGAGUCUAACCUUAUUCGCAGAUUUGAAACAGUGAUCAAGAGUCUUCUGCUCCUCUGCUCUUCGCGAUUGAAAUUGCUUUUUCUUUAAUUAUGUUUUCUCUCUGUCUACAAUUCUGCAUCGUUCAUCUUCAUCGGUUUAGUCUUUUAAAAGGCCAAAACGAGGUCGUUUCAUGUCUAUAUAUAUAUAUAGAGGCCGGGUCUUAGUUGAGUUUACCCAGGUCGCUGACUCGAAGCCCAACUCGAGCCAUAUUUUACUUUAAAAUACUAUGUUUUUUAAACUUAAACGACAUAGUUUUUUUUUUCCUAAAAAAACCAUAGCUUUAAUUGACUUGUUAAUCUACAUGUCAACCCGUGACCCAGGUUUUUGGCUGGGUUGACCCCUGAAUUCGGUUUACUUAUGGUUUCUAUUAGAUUAGAGACUGAAAUGUUUUUCUAUCUACAUACUUAAUUUAAGAUUUAACGAUAAUUUGAGAGGAAAUAUGUUAUUUGGGAAAAAAAAGCCAAAUUAAUAAUCAAGAAUCCACCCACUCGUUCCAAUUUUUAUCCACCGACGAUGUUAAAAGGCAUUAACAGAAAAGCUAAAUCAUGUGGUAAAAAUCAUGUUCAUCAAGACUCAUGAGACUGUGGAUUGGAACAGUCCCUUAGGACAUAGACUCAUUUAUUUUAUUAUUAUUCUUUUAUAGAUUAGUACCCAUAUUACUAUUUACCUAGACACAAUUCAUUGUGGAUUGGAGCAAUGUAAUAAUAGAGUUGUCCUUACCAUAAAGAGUUGCAAAGACUGCAGGGGGAUUGGGGUUGUCUUUUCACUGGGAUGCAUUUGGCAUUGAAUGGAUGGUUGGAGAGAAAAUGGUCAAUUUCGAUUUUGGUGGGGCUUGGUAAGGCUACAAACCCCAGGCUGCAGACACCUAGCGGCAGGCUUGUGCUUAGGGCUCGGAAGCCCUGGGCACUUGACUAGAGUCGUGCGCCAUGUUGGGUUGUAGACCUAUUCGUUUGGGUCUGCAUUCUUAGGUGUUAGGGCCGAUCGCGCACAUGGCUGCAGAACCAGGUGAGCGCGUCUGCAGACCCGCGUGCCUUUGUUUGCAGGUCACACAUCUCGAUGGCAGACCCGAGCGUCUGGGUCUAGUGACUGCGUGCAUGACCCAAGAGAAUUGAGUCCUAACAAGGACCCAUUAGCUUUGGGGCUUGACAUAGGACCCGUUAGCCUUAGGUCCUGACGCGUGAUUCAUUAGCCGUGAGUCAUAACCCCAGACCUAGGAGCAUUGGGUUCUAACGUCGGAACCAAAAGAAUUAUAAUAAAAAUUGUCAUAACUCAAUUUUGGACAAUAUGAAUGAAAAAAUGAAAUGAAUGAAAAAUUGAGGUUUUGACUCAAGACAACACAAAUUUAGCUUUGAGGGGUUAAUCAUGUUGGAUUUAUGACUUUGGAAGUUAAUGUUGAAAGAAAUGGAAAGAAUUUACUGGUAUGGGGUUCCAAUUAAACUUUGAUUGGGUUUAAUUAAUGAUAUCGGGAAUUUGAUUGAAGAAUGAAUAAGUUUAAGGAUUUAAUUAAGCUUAGAAUUAGUUUAAUUAAUGAAAUCAGGGGCAUAAUCGAAUCAAUAUUAAACUUCUGAGUUAAUUAAGGACAAAAUUACAAGUGAUUAUGGUCCAGGGACCAUUUUGUAAAAGGCGCUGAAAUUCUGUCUAGGGGCCCGAUUAAAAUGUUGAAACUUGCAGGACCAAAUUGAGAAUGGUCAUUUUCAAUCCAAAACGCACCAUUUCAAGCAUGCGUUGUUUCUCUUCUUCUUCCUCGGACGCUGAAAGCCCGCCUGCAAAGAAGGAAUGGAAAUGUUAAAACACCGGCAUCCCAGUCCAACCAGAACUCAAUUUGCAAAGCUUAUCUUUGAGGCCUUAUCACGAUCCUGGGAAGAUAAGUAGCAUGACAGCCUAUAAAAGGCAGGGGAUCGCAAGAACAAGGGAUAGAGACCGAAAAAAAAAGGACCAGAAAACAGAGGAACAAAAAACCCAAAAGAAAAUGAGAACCCAGAACAAAUAAAAAACACAAGAGCAAGGGAAAUAAGAACAUUCUCCGGACAAGACCAUCACUUUCAUCUUCGUCUCCGCCUUCGCCAUCGUCAUUGCCGGGUAAGGCCUUCCUUUUCCCUUUGUUUAUGUGUCUCUAGUUGCAAAAGAAGAAAACAAGGCGAAGGUAAUUUAAUUACCUUCGCCCUGUGCAGCACACGCGUGGUUUGAACCACGCGUGCCUGUUGCCCAGCCGGAUCACUGGCUUAGGCCAGUGACCGCGCUAGGCCGGCUGAGUCUAACCCAUCCCAUGUGGGCUGGGCUAGACUCAACCCCCCUCCAUAAAAAAAGAAGGAGGAGUGGGCCGGGUCUAGACUUUACGCCCAGCCGGGCCAAAGUGUGUUUGCUAAAGUUGUGUUUUUGCCUUGGCCAUAAUUUUUAUGCUCAUUCUAGUUUGAUGUGUGGCCAAACGAGUCCCUUUUCGGCAUCAAAAAAUUCUAAAAAUAUUUGGGGGUCUUCGUUGAUUUAUUUGUGGCCCCUCGCACUUUAUUUUAUUUUUUUUCUUUGUGCUUGUAUUUUUUUGUUUUAGCUAUGUGCUCAACCUGUGGACUAUUAUUGUUGAAUGCAAAUAUGUCGCGCAAGGAUUUUUUUUUUCCAUCUGAAAAGGGUCAAUAAAAAUAAAGGAUAAACAAGAAAAAUGGCAUAAAAAAUUUCUUCUUCAAAUUUUUUUUUUUUACGAAAAUAUUCACUGACGCUAGAGUCAGGAGUAUCGCAUUUUUUUGGAUUUGCGCGAUAUUUACCAACGCCAGAGUUGGAAAUAUUCGUAGGAAUUGUUCACUGGCGCUAGAGUCAGGAACAUGAAAGGAAGGAUAAAAAAGAAAAAAGAGAACAAAUUCUUAGCAAUUUUAAACAAAACUAGCAAUGCAGUCUGCCUUAGGUAUGACGCUCAAGGGAUGAUAGCAUCUUCCCUUUUGCGUAACCAAUCCCGUAUCAUAGAAUCUCUAUUGACCAGUUUAGGGUUCCUAGUGACCAUAAUACUAGGUGGCGACUUCUUGAACAAGACAUUUUCCCCUAAAAGAACAAGAUGUCAGAUAUCUGUUCUUUUCCAAUCGAGUGUUAAUUUGUAAUCGAUCGCCGUGAUGUCCGAGUGUGACAAAAAUAAUAAUAUUUAUACCACAAAUAAUAAUAUUUUUGAUAUUAAUACUUUGAAUUAUAAUAAAAAUAAUAAUUUUAUACCAUAAAUAAUACUAUUUUUUAUAUUGAUACGUUCAAUUAUAAUAAAAAUAAUAAUAUUUAUAUCACAAACAAUACUAUUUUUAGUAUUAAUACUUUCAAUUAUAAUAAAAAUAAUAAUAUUUAUAACACAACUUACAAUAUAUAUAUAUAUAUAUAUAUAUAACACAAAUAAUACUAUUUUUAAUAUUUAUACGUUGAAUUAUAAGUUGUCCUUGCCACAUAGAGUUGCAAGAACACCAGAAGGGAGGGUGGGGUUAUCUUUUUCCUAGUAUGCACAUAGAAUUGAAGGGAUGGUUAGAGAGAAAAUAAUCAAUUCAAGUUUUGGUGGGGCUGUAGGCCCCGACAGUGUACACCUGGCAUUGGGGCAUGCAAGCCCUGGGCAUUUGGCCAGAGUUGUGCUCCACGUGGGGCUGCAGACACCUGGCACUAGGCUGCAGCGCUGGGCGCUAAGGCCAACUGGGCGCAUGGUUGCAGCUCCGGCAAGCGGGUUUGCUGACCCGCGUGCCCGGGGACUGCAAACUUGGUCUGCAAGCCGCGUGCUUGGGUGUGUAGACCUGCGACAUGACCUAACAUAAUUGAGUCCUGACAAUGAUCCAUUAGCCUAGGGGCCUGACGCAGGAUCCAUUAGUUGUGUGCCGUGACCCCAAACCUAGAAGCAUUGGGUCCUGACACCGGAUCCAAUAGUAUUGGGUCCUGACACAGGACCCAUAGCUACUGGGUCUUGACGCAGGACCCAACAGAAAAGCUAAAUCAUGUGGCAAAAGUCAUGUUCAUCAAGACUCAUGGGACUGUGGAUUGGAACAGACCCUUGGGACAGAGACACAUUUUUUUAUUAUUAUUAUUAUUAUUAUUAUUAUAGACUCAAUGACCUGUUGCUGUUUACCUAGACAUAAUUCACUGUGGAUUGAAGCAGUGUAAUAGCAGAGUUUCCCUUACCACAGAGAGUUGUAAAGAUUGCAGGGGGAGGGUGGGGUUGUCAUUUAUUGGGAUGCAUUUGGAAUUGAAUGGAUGGUUGGGGAGAAAAUGAUCAAUUUUGAUUUUGUUAGGGCAUGGUAAGGAUGCAGGCUGCAGACACCUGGCAUGAGGACGCGCCUGGGUCAAUAACCCGUGCCUGGGGCGCAGAAGCCCUGGGCGCUUGGCCAGAGUCAUGCGCCACGUGGGCUGCAGGCCACCUGACGCUAGAGCCAACCACGCAUAUGGCUACAGAACCAGGCGAGCGAGUCCGCAGACCCGAGCACCUGGAUCUGGAGACCGCGCGCACGACUCAAGAGAAUUUGGGUCCUGAUAAGGACCCAUUAGCUUUGGGGCCUAACGCAAGACCCAUUAACCAUGGGUCGUGCCCAUAGUUUUUAAACCUUACCCGGUGGUUGACCCAAUAUAAUGAGCUAGUCACGAGUUAGAUGGGUUGACCCGGGUUAACCCUAAAAAGAAGAAGCAUAUAGUUUAGUUAAAAUAUUGGUUAGCAACAGCCCUUAAGGAAUGCUAACAUGGCAAGAUUACAAAGCAAUGUCUUUUACUCAGUGUGUAAGUGAUGCAUAUUAUAAUUGUCCUUAAUUAAUCCCCUACUAUCCAUGGCACCCACGAGUACCACCAGGAGACCUUGAACAAUCUCAGGAUUGCUAUGCAAAACAUCAACAUCCUCUCUGCUGUCAUACUCGAUACCAAGGUCUCUGCUCUUUUUUCCAUCCCUCACUCUCCCAAUUAAUUACUCCUACUAGUAACCUAAAUUUUUAUUUAUUUUUUUAUUACUACUAAUCUUAAUCAUCGUAGUUCUUCUUUCUUUCUAUCCAUCCACCCUUCCAUCUACCACUCUCUACCUGCCUUUCUAAUAUGUAUUAUACGCAGUUGAUGAUGUAUUUUUCCUUGUCAAUUAAUUAGGCAUCUACAAUCACAUCAGUUUUAUUACUUGGUUUUCAUUGAUUAAAACCAUUUGGAUCUAAUCAUCUACUGAUUAUAAUCAUAGAUGAUUAGAUUCUCUCAAUCUGUUGUUAACAGGAACAAAAAAAAGGCAAGAAACAGAGCCAGAUUCAAGCAAAACUUAGGCAAGGAACACAAAAUGAUUGACAUAUAAACAGGGCAGAAAUAGGGCAAGGAACAGAAAUCUAUCUUACAUAAAUGAAAAGCCAGUGAAUUAAACAACCUAUCUUACAUCCAUGAAGAGAAACGAAACCAGUGAAGAACAGAAAUCUAAGAGAGAAGAAAAUCGAAGCGAAACAAAAAAUUAUCUCAUAUCAAAUCAGUGCUUUCAUAAACAAAAAACUAAAGAGAAACAAGUAACAACAGCUUCAUUUGACCUUGAUUUACAGAUCUUAACUAAAGACAACCAAAUCAAUAAAAGAAACAAACACCCUGCAAAAACAAAUUUAAAGUUUGUUGAGGGCCUCUUCUUGUUAUUCUAACCAAAAAAGAGACGGGGACUUACCUGGUAUGGCUUGCGUGUGCCUUAAAUUUCUCUAUAACUGAUAUGGCUAUGAACUUUGAAGAUUGAAGAGAUUAGGUUUUCUAAUUCUAUGAAUUGUGAUUAUGUCUUCACGUUGCAAUACAAAUGAUUUGGUUAAUUAAUAGUAAAAAGCUAAAGCCAAAAACGACCAGUUCUCAACUAGGUUAACCCGGGUCGACCAGGUUUUACCGGGCCAAAUCCCUUGCUGGUUUUUUCAUCAACUUGGCCCGGUUCCAGCCCCGAGUCCCGGGUCAACCUGCCGGAUCGGGUUUUAAAACUAUGGUCGUGCGUCAGGACCUAAGGGUAAGGGAUCCUACGUCAGGACCCAAUUCUCUUGGGUCCUGCUUUAGGACUCAAGGUUAAUGGGUCCUGCAUUUGGACCCAAGGGUAAGGGAUCAUGUGUCAGGACCCAAUUUUCUUGGGUCCUGUGUUAAGACCUAAAGGCAAUGGGUCUGGCAGGACCUAAUUCUCUUGGGCUUAGGUUUCUAAAUAUAAUUAUUUGUAUUAUAAAUAUUAUUAUUUUUAUUUUAAUUGAAAGUAUUAAUAUGAAAAAUAGUAUUAUUUAUGGUAUAAAUAUUAUUAUUUUUAUUAUAAUUAAUAGUAUUAAUAUUCAAAAUAUUAUCAUUUGUGUUAUAAAUAUUGUUAUUUUUAUUAUAAUUAAUAUUAUUAAUAAAAAAAUAAUAUAUUUGAAAAAAAAUUAUAUUAAUAUUGAAAAACAACCAUAGAUUUGAUUUGAAGAAUUAUUAUUAUUAUCAUCAUCAUCAUUAAUAAAUUUUAAGAAAACUAUUAUUACUAUCAAAGAAAAACCAUAAUUUUUUUAAAAAGAUUAAAAAUAUAAAAAUUUAGACAGACAACUUAAAUAUAAUAUUAUAAAUAUUAUUGUUGGAUUUGAUGUUGCAACCAGACUCAACGCUCUUGAGUCUGCCGUUGCAGCCAAACCCAAUGCUUUUUGGUCUUAAAUUUUUAUGAUAUUUUUUAUGAAAAUAAAAGGUGAGCCCGCGACAUAGUGCGGGCAUCUAAAUAAUGUAAAAUGUAUUAUAAAACCCAACCUGAAUGCUUAAUUGAAAUCUAACCCAAGAUAUAUAUUUGUAUAUACACACACUUCAAAUAUAUUUUUUCACUUUAUUUUAUUUGAAUAAUAAAUAAAAGUUGGAUAAUAAUAUUUUAUUUGAAUAUAUUUUAUUUUAUUUUUUCAAGAUAAUAAAUAUUUAAAAAAAAUACUGGAAUGAAAACAUGAUUGGUUGCAAAAUAACAUCCGGACUGAUUCUUUAAGAGAUUUUUACUGGAACUAAUUAAUCUUGUCUUGCACAGAACAGAUACAUCAAAAAAAGACUAAAAUGAGCAGGACAGCACUAUCGGAACUCUUAUCAGAGGCACUCGGAUUUCAUAGCGACUGAAUUGGUGGUCUGCCAUUAUUACCAGGCUUGUCCUGGACGGCUGAACCUGACUUGACGCUGGGUGCCGUCAACCACACACACAUUGAAAUAGACAUGCAUGUGAUAAUUUUAUUUACUAUAUUUAAUGCUACGUGAUUCAACAAAAUUAAUUGCAACAGGACAAUGGAAGAAAAAGGACAAACAAAAUUAAUUUAAUGCGAAUACUCUUCUAUGGUCAGAAAUAGAAGGGUCCCGUGGUGAAAGUGAUUACUGAGAUAAUUGACAAACGGACAGACAAAUGGAAAAGUCCACAACCUUGGAAAGCAGUCUUUCACCGGCUACCAUAUUUCUGGGUAAUGGCAAUAAUUGUCCCCCAAUUAUCACAUGAUUUUCAGCUUGGUCCCCAAACAAAAACAAUUCCCAUUUGGAUUUGUUAUCUAUCAAACAAUACCCAAUUAAGGUUAACUUGGUAGUUUUCAAAAUAGUUAUAAAACUUUUUUAGCUAAGUCAAUCUAGUGACUCGCUGAUUCGGAGUCCGACUGAAAUACUAUGUUUUUUAAACUUAAACGACAAUCUUUUUUUCUUCCUUAAAGAACCAUAGCUUUAAUUGACUUGUUAAUUUAUGUGUCUUCCUGUGACUCGGUCUUUGGCUGGGUUAACCCCUAAAUUGGGUAUAAUUAUGGUUUCCAAUAGAUUAGGGACUUGAUAUGACAUGUUUUUAUUUACAGAUUUAAUUUAAGAUUUAAUGAUAAUUUGGGGGGAAAUAUGUUAUUUGGGGGAAAAAACGGAAUUAAUAAUAAAAAAUCCAGCUAUUCAUUCUAAUUUUUAUCCACCGAUAGUACGUUAAAAGGCAUAUAAUAUAAUUUAGCUCAUCUUUUCUUAAAAAAUAAUCAGAAGUAAAAAUAGCAAUAUCAUAGUCAAUUACAUCAGAAAAGACCACAGGAAAAAUUUAAAAUAAUUCAUUUUAGCACAGCUUUUAACAUGGAAAGAAAAACAAAUUAUUUUUUUAUUAAAACAAUAUUGUUUUAUAAAGUUAAUCUAACCAAGUUUAGAAUAGAUUCUACAAGACUCUCGGAUUAUAUUUUUUCUGAAUUAAUUUAAAACUCAAUCACAAUGAGGUAAGGAUCAUAAAUUUAUCGAAUCAAUAAGACUUAACAUAUAUGCAUUUUUUAGUGUGUGAAAAAAUGUCAACAAGACUCCAUUUGGUAUUCAUUUUUCAUCACUCUAAUAUUUAUUACAGUGCAUAUGAUCGCUUAUUAUCACCUGCUUCUUGGCAUAUAGCCUUUCAUUCAAAUUGAGCUAACAAGCAUGCUAUCUGGCCCAGCCAAGUUUGCAUUGACUACCCUGCAGUUCAAUCUGAUCUCUCCUUCAGUUCCUGUCAGAGGGCUGAGAUUUCCCAUUCUUAUCAUGGACUCCACAAAGCUUUCAAAGAAAGCUGUUUGAUUAGCACUGAAAGCGUUAACAAGUGCAAUGAGAUCAUCUGCCCCAGGAGUUGAAAACAGUUCUUGAUCAGUCUGAAGCAGGCCUCGGUUACCUUGCAGAUUGGAGUAGUAGUUACUGUCAAAGACAUCAGGUGUUGUGGGAUCAAGAUCUGUUAUCACACUCUCAUUUCCACCUUGGGGACAUAAUUCCUGAAGAGCUGCUAGAAGAGUUGUGUCCAAUGAUGGGUCAGGAGCACCGGUGCUGCUGAAAUUAUACAAUCGAAAGUCGAACGUAGAACAUCGUGCCCUCCCAAAUGUGUGAGCACCUGAGAAGAUAAAAAGGAAAUUGCAUCAAAGGAGAAUCAAUUAUAACAGAGUUUUACAGUUUAGAGUCGAGCCUGACAAACAAUACUUACCAGAUAGAGCUACCAAAUCACUAUUAUUAUUAAGGCCGACAUUAGUGAAGCUCUCUCUGAGUUGAUCAAGGGGUAAAAAAGGGGCUGGAAGGGAAGCAUUUGCUGCAGCUCGGCUUGCUGUUGUGCUAUCUCUUCUUCCUAAUGGAACUGUCCAACAUGGACCUCCUGCCUGCAACCAUGCAUAGUUAGGGAAUUAGUACUUUUCAACUCUUAACGUUUUUCUAUCUUAACUCCUUUUGUCCAAACCGUCAUAAAGUCAUGUAAAAAAUUAAGUAAAUCUCAGCUUCUUUCUUUCAUUCAAUUAUGAUAAACUAUGAUAUUUGUGUUCUACGUUCUUUGACUAGAAUUAGACAACAAGAUAUUUAUUUUAUAAUUUGAGGGGUUGAGGGAUCAUUUUAAGAUACCAAGACAACAGAUUCUUCAGCUGCAAUAGUGAGUAUAUCAGCACAGGAAACAGUAGCAGGACAGGUACUCUCCAACAAAGCCUUCAUUCUAUCAACAACUUCAAAACCUCUUGCAGAAUUGUUGUUCCCUGCGGCUUCCUUUUCGCUCUCUAUAGUAUCAGUAUUGUCCAACAAAAGCGAACCAUCACAGCCCUGAAAAUAAAAUAAAAAACUUGAGAAUCACAACUUAGAUAGACGGUUUAAUAUAAUUAAGCAAUAUAAGAUGUUUCAAAGCAAUUACAUUAACAAAGCAGUCAUGGAAGUGGAGCCUGAUGAGGCUGGCUGCAAUCCGAGGAUCGGAUACCAAUGUCUCCGUAAUGACAUUACGGAUAAUGCUGCUCACAUUUGGACAUGUCUGGUCAUAAAAUGUUGGAGUAAGCUGGCCAUAAGCCAAUGUUCCUCCAAGCAAAACUACAAAGAAAAAAGCUGCAACUAUAGCCUUAGAAAGAUGCAUUUUUCUCCAAUUUCUCCUACGAAAAUGUUUUUGUCAAUGUUAAAACUUGUAUGGGAACUCAACGAUGUUAUAGUUUAUAUAGUGAUAAAGAGGUUUGGAAGCUAAGACGCGGUUCUUUGAAUUUUUUAACAAGAAUAGUAGCUACACGGAGGUGGGGUGGGGGUGUUUGAGAUAGUGAUGUAUAGUAUUUAAUUUUUAAAAUGUUUUUUAUUUUAAAAUGUAUUAAAAUAAUAUUUUUUUUAUUUUUACAAAUUUAUUCAUUAUAUCAGCAAAUUAAAAUGAUUUAAAAAUAUAAAGAAUUUAAUUUCAAUAAAAAGAAUAUUUCAAAAAUUUUGAAAAUUUGAAUUGAAUAGUUGUCGAUAAUGACAUGUUUCUCAAGUGAUAUUAGGUGGUGAUCACAAAAACAGGUUGGCGGGCUACAAUGUUGAAUAGUAAAUUUAUUAAAUUCAACUUUAAUAUGCCUGACUUUUAUUUGUGGAUGUUGGCAAGCUUAGCUAAAAAGUACAAUAGAAGGAUCUAAUUAAAUUCUACCAUCCUAAUUAAUAUAUCUAGAGCUUCAACUUAAUGAUUACCAUUAUUAUGAUCGAUUUAAACAAUCUUAAAUUUCGUAAAAUAUGCAGUGUCUUUACCGUCUAAUACAUGUUUUAGAAAGUUUCGAGAAAAUAGCAUUGUUAUAAAAAGAUUUUGAAAAUAUUACAGGUAAAAUCUGAGAGGAAAAAAAAAAAACAAAACAAAACCUUAGUUCUCGUCACCUAUAGUUUUUUAAAAAACUCUUCAGUUUUUUUAUUGGUUGUCCUGUUUCUGGAAUAUUUUUUUUUGUGUGAGUUUACUAAUUUAUCUUUAGACUAUGCUAAUUUUUUAAAAAACAAUAAAAGAAUUGAAAUAUACCAUUUGGAUUCUUAUUACAAGUUUUUGUUAAGACAAGUAAAGUUUUUUUUCAUUAAAAAAAAAUAUAACUUAACUGGUCAGAUUUUUUAUUUGUUCUAAAAAAAUUACCAAUUUAAAUACCAUAAAUCUCAAAGUUAUUAAAAACUUAUAUAAUUAUUUACUUCAUAGUCUCAAGAGAUAAAUCAAGAUAUAUGUAUAAACUGAUAUAAACCCCCAAGAUUAAAAUAAAAAUGAGUAUGAUAUAACUCCUUGAUUGUAAAAGUGUUAUUGAAGAUUAAAUUUCUUCUAUCAAUACCUUAAUAAAGAAAACACAAGCAAGAAAUUUCCUCGAUCAAUAGAUAUUUAUCAAAUAGCCCAAGAAUUUAUUUUUAUUUUUAUUUUAUGACUAUGCCUUUUGUACUAGCUACUCUUCUAUAUAUGCAUAUGGGGCCUAUACAUGUAUAGUUAGCUAGUUUCUACCAAUGGGACCACCUGCGACAUGAAAUAGUAAUUUUAAACAUUUUUCUUGUGAAAACAAUAUUAUUGCAUUACCAUAUAUCUUUGAUCAUGGGUUGAUUUAAUAGCAAAUUCCUAGUUAAUUUAAGCCGACAUGUAUGUACACCUGAAAGAAAUAGUCAUGUUCCUUGCAUUGGAAGCUAGCUAUAAAGUGAAAGAAAUAUUAGUCAUGUUCCUUUUCUUCGCGUCUUAUCUAGAUUUCUGUUUCUCGUGAUUAAACAGGAAAACUAGCACCGGUUUAUCUCAUGACUCGCUAGUUUGGGGCUGUCCUGAGCCAAGUUAAUGGAAAAUGCUGUUUUUUUUAAUUUAUAAAAAUUAUAUCUCUUUUUAUAAGUUUAGAUUUUGACUUGACUCGAGUCUAUCCUCACCCACAACUCAAAUUGUUACAGCAAUAAAAUCUUAUAACUUUGAUUAAAUAACAUUAAAUUACAUUCCUGAUCCAUGAUGAAGAUUUUCUUAGUGAUGUUUUAAUUUUAAGUUUAGCUAAUGAAAGGUAUAACAUACUAAGGACUGUUUAUUUUAUGAAAAUUAGUUUUCUAGAAAUUACUUUACAAAAUUUCUGUUUACUAACACCCAUAAUUCUUGAUUCAUUUAAUUAUAUAUAUGCAUAAUUUUUUUAAUUUAUACUUAAUUUUUUUUAUGUGUAAAAAUACGUUGAAAAAGUCCAUAUAUAUAAUUUAUUAUAUAUAAAAAAAUCUAACCUACAACAGAACACGAGUAAAAUAGCUAACAAUAACUAGAAAUGGAGCAUUUUUGUUACACCGAAAAAGGAGAGAAAAACACUGUAACAUGUAAUAAUUUUCUUUAGUGUAUUUAAUUAAAUGUUUUUAAUUCAUAUUGAAGGUUGUUUAGAGUGUGUGUGGUAUUGAAGUUGCUAUUGUGAUUGUGGUUUUAAAAAAGGUGUUUUAUAAAAAGUAUUUUUAGUUGAGGUUGGUUUGGAAAAAUAUAUGUUUGGUUAAAACUGUGGUUGAAAUUGAGGUUGAACAAAAAAUAAUUUAAUGUGUUUGGUUAAAAAAAUACUUUUCAAAUUGAGGUUAUAAAAUAAUUAAAUAUAUAUAUAUAUAUAUAUAUGAUUUUUAAUUUAAAUAUUGUAGAUUUAACUACUGUUAUUACAUCAUGAAAUAAAUAAUAUUGAUAUCAAAUAUUUUUUAUUAUUCCAUUAAACUAUGUGCAAUGUCAUCACAUACAAAAUCUAUCCAACAAGAACUGUAUUUUCCAUGGUUUCUUAAGCGCGCAACAACAAAAACUGAAGUUUUUGUUACGUCAUCAAGCGAUCUUCUUCUAAUUUUUUGAAUAAAACACAAUUAAAAUAAAAAUAAAAACUGAUUUUUUUUAACUGGGUCGGACCCGGCAAGAACAUAAUUGAAAUUGCGAUCAAAUUCCACAAAUACUACGUUAUCAUGCGAUAUCCUUCUAAUUUAUAUAGUGUUAUUAAAUAAUAUUAAAUACUAGUUUUUCGAAUAAAACUCAAUUUUUUUAAAAAAACUUUACAAUUUCAUUAAAUACAAAAUUCAUUCGACAAGAACUACAGUUUUCAUGAUUUUUUGAGCGUGCAAUAAAAUUAGGUAAAAUAUUAUCAGGAAUAAAAUUAAGAUUACAGUAUGAGUAAAUUUAAUUUAUCUUAAACUAAUUUUUUUAAAAAUAAAUUCAAAAAUAUUGUUCACGUUCACGUAAAUAGUGCAAGUGAAAUCACUUAACUGCACUAUUUUUUCAUUAAAAAAAAUCAGUGAAACUUUUUAUAUGCGAGUGAAUUAAUUCACUUAUAAUAGUUUUUUAUAAUUUUAAAAAAAAAUUAUUUAUUUUAGUGAAUAGUACUACAGUAAAGCAUAGCUAUACUGUUGAUGUUUUUCCGCAUAGCUAUACUGUUGAUGUUUUUCCAAGACGAGCAGGCUGCUUCUCCGAAACCUACGGUGUCAUGGAUUCUACCCACUGAAAUCACUUUUAAUUUGGUUACCAAACGGCAUCUUAAUGACGCUCCUUUCCACUUUUGUCAUCCUGCAAAGUGCAAGAUAAUGAAAAUCAUCUUCCGUAGCAUAAAAAAAGAAUUGUUCUUUUAAGGUCCCGGGCUUAUCCAGUUGUGAAAAAUAUUGCAAUAUUAUUUUUUUAUAUAAAAAAAAUCACUAAUAUUUAAGGAAAAUCAUUUUUUUAGUAUUUUUUACUCAUUUUAGUUUAAAAGUAAAUAAGGAUUCGGUUUAGGAUGUUAGAAAAUCAACAAGACUCCAUUUGAUAUUUAAUUUACAUCAAGUUUUCAUCACUCUAAUAUUUAUUAUAAAAAAUUAGUUUUUACUCUGAUAUUUAAUUUUUUAUACAUAUAAAAAUACAUUAAAAAAAUUAGUAUUUAUAAUUUUUUUAUAAAAAAAUAUCUAACAUGCAGAAGAGUGAAAAUAGCUUGAUAUAAUAGAAAUUGAGCAUUUCUGUUACAACAAAAAAGGGGAGAAAAACACUGUAACAUGUAAUAAUUUUCUUUAGUAUAGUUAAUGCUACAUAAUUCAACAAAAUUAAUUGUAACAGGACAAGGAAAGAAAAAGGACAGACAAAAUUAAUUUAAUGCGAACACUCUUCUAUGGUCAGAAAUAAUUGUCCACAACCUUGAAAAGCAUUAUUUCAUCAGCUAACAGAUUUCUGGGUAAUGGCAAUAAUUGUCCCCCAAUUAUCACAUGAUUUCCAGGUUGGUCCCCAAACAAAAACAUUUCCCAAUUGGAUUUUUUUAUCCAUCAAACAAUACCCAAUUAGGGUUAACUGUGUAGUUUUCCAAAUAGUUAUAAAACUUGGCUUAAUAGGUUAAUUUAGUGACUUGUUGACUUAUAGCCUCACUUUAGCCAUGUUUUACUUUGAAAUACUAUGUGUUUUAAACUUAAAUGAAAUAGUUUUUUUUCCUUAAAAAACUGUUGUUGUUUUAAUAAACUUGUUAAUUUAUAUGCCAACUGUGACCUUCGUUUUUGGCCAGGUUGACCCUCGAAUGGGGUAAACUAUGGUUUCAAUAAAUUAGAGACUUAAUAUGAAAUGUUUUUAUUUAUGAAUUUAAUUUAAGACUUAAUGAUAAUUUGGGGGGGGGAUAUGUUAUUUGAGAAAAAAACCGAAUUAAUAAUAUCAAGAAUUGAUGCGGAACAAUAAAUAAUAAAAUUAAAGCAAGAACAGAAAGAAGCUUUAGAAAAAAAAAAAGCUGAAGAAGAGAAGAAAAGGAAUUGGAGAUAUGCAAAGUCUGCAAUAUUUUCAUUAAUCAUCCAAAACUGUACUCUCAAAAUGACAGAAGAACAUAUAAAUAGUAAACCCUAAAACAUCCUACUAUUGGGCUCGGCCCAUCAAAUCAAACUGUUUAACAUAAAUAAUAAAAUAACAAUGAGCAGGUCUAAAUGGGCUAAAUAAAUAAAAUAACAAUGAAAUAGACCCAAAUGGGCUUAGUCUCCCAACCAGAGCGUGACAGGCUGGGUCAUUUUACAUCGUCUCCGUUUAUAUACUCGUGUAGUUUGUGGUGUGGGUCUGGUAUCUCCACCAAGAAUUCAGCCACUCGUUCCAAUUUUUAUCCAUCACAAUGAUAAAAGACAUGUAAUAUAAUUUAGCUCGUCUCUUCUUCAAAAAUAAGCAAUAGCAUAUCAUCGUCAAUUACAGUAGAAAAGAUCACGGGAAAAAAAUAAUUCAUUUUAGCUUAGCUGUUAACAUGGAAAAAAACAAAUUAUUUUUUUAUUAAAACAAUACUCUUUUAUAAAGUUAAUCAAACCAAGUUUAGAAUAGAUUCUACAAGAAUAACUCGGAUUAAUAUUUUAUCUGGGUUUAAUUUAAGACUCAAUCACAAUUACGUAAGGAUCAUAAAUUUAUCGAAUCAAUAAGACUUAACAUAUAUGCAUUUUUUAGUGUGUGAGAAAAAUGUCAACAAGACUCCAUUUGGUAUUCAUUUUUCAUCACUCUGAUAUUUAUUACAGCGCAUAUGAUCGCUUAUUAUCACCUGCUUCUUGGCAUGUAGCCUUUCAUUCAAAUUGAGCUAACGAGCAUGCUAUCUGGCCCAGCCAAGUUUGCAUUGACUACGCUGCAGUUCAAUCUGAUCUCCCCUUCAGUUCCUGUCAGAGGGCUGAGAUUUCCCAUUCUUAUCAUGGACUCCACAAAGCUUUCAAAGAAAGCUGUUUGAUUAGCACUGAAAGCGUUAACAAGUGCAAUGACAUCAUCUGCCCCCGGAGUUGAAAACAGUUCUUGAUCAGUCUGAAGCAGGCCUCGGUUACCUUGCAGAUUGGAGUAGUAGUCACUGUCAAAGGCAUCAGGUGUUGAGAGAUCAAGAUCUGUUAUCACACUCCCAUUUCCACCUUCGGGACAUAAUUCCUGAAGAGCUGCUAGAAGAGUUGUGUCCAACGAUGGGUCAGGAGCACCGGUGCUGUUGAAAUCAUACAAUCGGAAGUCGAAUGUAGAACAUUUUGCCCUGCCAAAUGUGUGAGCACCUGAGAAGAUAAAAAGGAAAUUACAUCAAAGGAGAAUCAAUGAUAACAGAUUUUACAGUUUAGAGUUGAGCCUGACAAAUAAUACUUACCAGAUAGAGCUACCAAAUCACUAUUAUUAUUAAGGCUGACAUUAGUGAAGCUCUCUCUGAGUUGAUCAAGGGUGAAAAAAGGGGCUGGAAGGAAAGCAUUUGCUGCAUCUCGGCUUGCUGUUGUGCUAUCUCUUCUUCCUAAUGGAACUGUCCAAUUUGGACCUCCUGCCUGCAACCAUGCAUAGUCAGGGAUUACUACUUUUCAACUCUUAACGUAUUUCUAUCUUAACUCCUUUUGUCCAAACCUUCAUAAAGUCAUGUAAAAAAUUAAGUAAAUCUCAGCUUCUUUCUUUCAUUCAAUUAUGAUAAACUAUGAUAUUUGUGUUCUUCGUACUUUGACUAGAAAAAGACAACAAGAGAUUUAUUUUAUGAUUUGGGGGGUUGAGGGAUCAUCUUAAGAUACCAAAACAACAGAUUCUUCAGCUGCAAUAGUGAGUAUAUCAGCACAGGAAACAGUAGCAGGACAGGCACUCUCCAACAAAGCCUUCAUUGUAUCAACAACUUCAAAACCUCUUGCAGAGUUGUUGUUCCCUCCGGCUUCCUUUUCGCUCACUAUAGUAUCAGUAUUGUCCAACAAAAGCGAACCAUCACAGCCCUGAAAAUAAAAUAAAAAACUUGAGAAUCACAACUUAGAUAGAUGGUUUAAUAAAAUUAAGCAAUAAGCAAUAUAAGAUGUUUCAAAGUAAUUACAUUAACAAAGCAGUCAUGGAAGUGGAGCCUGAUGAGGCUGGCUCCAAUCCGAGGAUCGGAUACCAAUGUCUCCGUAAUGACAUCACGGAUAAUGCUGCUCACAUUUGGACAUGUCUGGUCAUAAAAUGUUGGAGUAAGCUGGCCACAAGCCAAUGUUCCUCUAAGCAAAACUACAAAGAAAAAAGCUUCAACUAUAGCCUUAGAAAUAUGCAUUUUUCAAAAUGUUUUUGUCAAUGUUAAAACUUGCAUGGAACUCAAUGAUGUUGUAGUUUAUAUAGUGAUAAAGAGGUUUGGAAGCUAAGACGCAGUUCUUUGAAUUUACUACAAUUUAUAUAGUAAAUUUAUUAAAUUCAACUUUAAUAUGCCUGACUUUUAUUUGCGUGGAUGUUGGCCAGCUUAGCUAAAGUUCAAUAGAAGGAUCUAAAUUCUACUAUCCUGAUUAAUAUAUAGAGCUUCAACUUAAUGAUUACCAUUAUUAUGAUUUAAACAAUCUUAAAUUUCAUAAAAUAUGGGUGUCUUUCCCAUUUAAUACAUGUUUUAAAAAUUAUCAAGAAAAUAACAUUGUUUUUAAAAAGAUUUUAAGAAAUAGUACAACCCAUAAAAAACCAUAAUUAACACCAAUGGUAUUUAAGAUGGGUUUAUAUAUGGUAAAAUAUUAAAGGUAUAUAAAAGCAGCAAGUUUUAUUUUUUAAAAAAAAAACCUUAGUUCUCAUCACCUAUAGUUUUUUAACAACUCGCAGAUGGGAACUGCGGUUUUUUUUCUUGACUGUUCUGUACUUCUGUUUCUUGAAUUUUUUUUUUCCCUGUUUGUGCGAGUUUAUCAAUUUAUCUUUAAAUUAUGCUAAUUUUUUAAAAACAAUAAAAGAAAUGAAAAUAUGCCAUUUGGAUUCCUAUUACAAGUUUUUGUUCAGACAGGUAGAGUUUCCCCUUCAUUAAAGCAUGAUAUAACUCCUAGCUUGUAAAAGUGUUAUUGGAGACUAAAUUUCUCGAUCAAUACCUUAAUAAAGAAAACACAAGCAAGAAGUUUCCUCAAUCAGUAGAUAUUUAUCAAAUAGCCCAAGAAUAUUUAUUUAUUUAUUUUACGACUAGGCCUUUUGUGCCACUACUCUUCUAUGCAUUUGGGGCCUAUACAUAUAUAGUUAAUUUCAACCAAUGGGACCACCUGCGACAUGAAAUAGUUAUUUUAAACAUUUUUCUUGUAAAAACACUGUGCAUUACCAUAUACUUUCAUGGCUUGAUUAAUUAAUAGCAAACUCCUAGUUAAUUUAAGCCGACAUGCAUGCACACCUUGCAAGCUUUUAUUGUUCCUUGCAUCCGGAAUCUAGCUAUAAAGUGAAAGAAUUAGUCAUGUUACUUUUCCUGAAGUCUUAUCUAGAUUUCUGUUUCGAAAAACUACCACUAGUUUAACUCGAUAACUCGCUAAUUUAUUUAUUAAGACCUGCACCUACAAGUCGAGUCUUGAUAUUACUCAAAUAGAAUCUUAUAGCUAUGAUUAAAUAAGAUUAAAUUACAAUCUUGAUCGAUGAUGAAGAUUUUCUUAGUGAUGUUUUAACUUUAGGUUUAGCUAAUGAAGGGUAAAACAUAUUAAAAGUGGAAUUCUAGAAGUAUAGUAGUUUAUCUUAGAUACAUAGACACCUUGUUUGAAGGUUUAUAUUAAAUUAAUGUCUACAAAAAGGAGAAAAAGAUUGUCAACAGAUCAAAUUAUGAAGGAAGAAAUUUAAAGCAGUGCUGCCACUACGAGUUAAUUUUCUUGCACUGGGAAGAUUAUCAAUACCCGUGAAAAAAAGUUGAAAAUUACAGGGAUUCGAAUUCAUGCAUGCACCUUCAAAAAAGAAGGGAUAUAUAUGAACACGCCUUUACUUGGAAUCUGGACUAAGACUUUUAAAAGUAAUGUUCUUUUAUAAAAAUAUGCCGUAGAAAUUAGAAAGUUCUUCAUAUGGUAAUUAAAUACUUGAAAAUCAUGAGCAAUUCAUAUUAAUUUUUGCAGGGGCCGGGGCCUGCCAGCCGCCCCCUGCCUCUGCCCUGCAUAGAAGAAUACAAAAACUGAAAAUCUGGAUAAAAGUUAUAACUAUGUAUUCAUUUUUUUUUAAUUUUUUUUAUUGAUAUUGAAUUGGGCUUAUCCAGUUGUGAAAGUUGUUGCAGUGGUAUUUUUUUUUCAAAAAAAAAAAACAUUAUUUUAAUGUUUUUUUCUCAUUUUAGGUUGAAAGUAAAAGAAUAAUUCGGUCUAGUAUGGGGGGGUGUUGAGAGUUUAAUUGUAGUUAUUUUUUCAAAGUAUUUUUUAUUUUAAAAAGUAUUAAAGUAAUGUUUUUUUAUUUUUUAAAGAUUAUUUUUAAUUUUAGUGCAUUAAAAAGAUUUGAAAAUACUAAAAAAAUAUUUAUUUGAAGUAAAAAAAAAAAUCAAUUUUUUAAAAAAAUAUUUUUAAAAUACAAAAAAAAAUAUAGUCCACAAGACUCCAUUUGAUAUUCAAUUUACAUCAAGUUUUCAUCACUCUAAUAUUUAUUACAGUGCAUAUGAUCGCUCAUUAUCAUGUCCUUCAUCGCAUGUAGCCUUUCAUUCAAAUUGAACUGACAAGCAAACUAUCUAGCCCAGCUGCCAAGUUUGCAUUGACUACACUGCAGUUCAAUCUGAUCUCUCCUUCAGUGCCUGUCAAAGGGCUGAGAUUUCCCGUUCUUAUCAUGGACUCCAAAAAGCUUUCAAAGAAAGAUGUUUGAUUAGCACUGAAAGCGUUAACAAGUGCGCAAUGACAUCAUCUGCCCCAGGAGUUGAAAACAGUUCUUGAUCACUCUGAAGCUGGCCUCUCGUUCAACUUGCAGAUUGGAGAAAGUAGUUACUGUCACAGGUAUCAGGUGUUGUGGGAUCAAGAUCUGUUUUCGAAGCAGGCCUCUCGUUUUGCACUGAAAGCAAAAGGAUUUUUUCUUUACCGCAUAUUAUUUGUAACAUAUCAAUAUCCAUUCACGUGGAAACUUGUGUAUAAUUUUAUUAAUUUAAUUAGAAAAAAGAAGUGUUGAGAAUUGAAUUCCAAACCAUUUCAUUAUUAAAAAUUUUAUUUAAUAUUAAAAAGUUAAUUUAACUUAAAAAUUUAAGUUGUUAAAUAAUAUCAUGAUAAUAUAUCUAUAAAUUACUUUUUUAACAGUAUUGAAUGGUUGAGGCUGGGUACUGUUUUCUUUUUCAGAAAAAAAAAAAGUAACGAGGUAGAGAGACCAAAUCAGUAUUGUUACUGAGGCUGACAUUAGUGAACCUCUCUCUCAGGAUGUCAAAAGGGGAUGGAAUGAAAGCAUUUGCUGCAGCUCGAUCGGCUUGCUGUGCUAUCUCUUUUUCCUGAUGGAACUCUCCAUUUUAGACCUCCUGACUGCAACUACGCAUAUUCAAGGGACUUGUAGUACUUUUCAACUCUGGAACACAUUUCAAGUUUUCUUUCUUUCAGUUAUUAUAAGCUAUGAAUUAUUAAACAAGGGAUUUAAUUUUUUAUAUAUAUAUAUUUUAUUUUGGGGGGGUUGGGGGGAUCAUGUUAACAUGCCAGAAAAACAGAUCUUUCAGAUGCAAUAGUGACUAUAUCAGCACAGGAAACAGUAGCAGGACAAGAAGCCUCCAACAAGGCCUUCAUUCUAUCAACAGCAUCGAAACCUCUUGCAGAGUCGUUGUUUGCAUUAGCUUCCUUUUCGCUCUGUAUAGUAUCAGUGUCGUCCAACAAAACUGAUCCAUCACAGCCCUGAAAAUAAAAAUCAACAAAUCUUUAGAAUCACAAGUUGCAUAGAUGGUUUAAUUCUGCAAAAAUCGAACAACUACUUCCAUUAAAAAAUCAUGCUGGAAAUUUGUUUUAAAUAAACAAAUCAUUAUUGGUGGAGGAAAAAAAAAAUUCAAAUAAUUAUUGAUUCUCUCAUCUAAAAUAUUCUUGUAUUUUCUAGAUUUAAUUAUUGAUUUAUUGUUUUUAAUCAAUUCUUGAUAAUAAGAAUUAAUUCUUUAAUUUUUUAUCUUUUAAAAUUCAUUAUAAUUAAGAGUUUUUAACUUGAUUUUUUUAGAUUUUACACUCUUCUCCACUUUAUUUGUUUAUGUUUUAAUUUUCCUUUCAAAUCUAGAGUUUAUGUUCAUGUUUUUUUAGAGAUAUUGAGUUACAUAAUAUUUAAUUUAAAAAUCAGAAUUACAUCUAAAUUAAGGUGAUAUUAUUGGAAUCUUGUGAGACAUAUUGGAAACAAAUAACCUUAAUGUAUAAAUGAUUAGAGACAAUAAAAUUUUAAGAACAAAUAAUUCAUCAUUAACAACAACAAAAAAUUAUUACAUUAAAGUGCUUUAAUAAAAAAAAUUAUUUUUAUUUUAAUUCAAGUAUAAUUAUUUUUAUUAUUAACAUAGAUACUAGAUUUUUUAAAAAAAUUUAUAUUAAUUAUAAAUUUAAAUAUAUAUAUUUAAAUUAAUGGAAGUGAAGCCUAACGAAGGGGGCGGCAAUCCGAGGAUCGGACACCAAUGUCAUCUUAGUGACACCUUGUCUAAUUAUAAAAUGUUGGACUUAGCUGACCGACCAUAAGCCAAUGGUAGAGUACCUCGAAGAAAAAAUGCAAAGAAAAGGGCUGCAAGUGCUAUAGCUUCUGAAAGAUUCAUAUUUUUCUCCAACAUUUUUCACUGUUCUAAGCAUGGGAAUUAGUCUUUGAAGCAAUAAUUUAUGCAGUGACGGAGAGGCUUGGAAGCCAAGACACGGUUCCUUGAAUUUUCUUGGUACGACCGUAGCCAUAACGACAUGUAAGUGAAGUGGCAUUGAUUUUCUUAGGUGGUGAUAAAAAAUUAAAAAAAAAACUGUCGGUGGAUAUAUUUAUUGUUGGUAAGCCAAUAAGUUUCCUUGGACUUUUCUUACAUCUUAUAGUAUUUUCUUCUAAAAAUUCAGAAAAUAUUAUUUGUAUCUUCGUGGGGGUCUGAUGUAUUUAAUUAAAUUUUACUUUAAUAUAUAUGAUUUUUUAUUUGUGUAGUAAUUAGCUAGUUUAAUUAAAAUACUUGAUUAGCUGAUCAAGAUUCAACUGUGAUUAACCACUAUUAUGUAUGAUCUAAACAAGUUGAGAUCUCAAUUGCAGAAAAUAUCCCAUUUGGAUUCCUUUUACAAUCUGCUCGCACAGGUAGACUUUUCCUACGAUAUGGACUCCUUGCUUGUAGAUCUGUUGUUGGAGAUUAGGUUUCCACAGUCAAUACCUUAUCUAAAAUAAUAUAAAAUUAAAAACAUGAAGUUUCCUCAAUCAAUAAAUAUGUUAUCGUUAAGCCCAAUAUUCUUCUUUUCCCGUGAAUUGACCUUCUGUGCUACUACUCUUCUAUGCACAUGGGGCCUAUAAUUAAUUAAUGCGACAUGGAAAUAAUUAACGAUGGUGGGGGAAUAAUAGUCUUAUGCAUUUUUCUUAAGAAACAAUACUUGAUUUGCAUUACCAUAUCUUUUUCAUGGCUUGAUUUGGCAACAAAUUCAACCCACCAUGCAUGUACAUUGGACCGCCUGAAAACUUUUGUGUUUUUUGCUUGCAUUUGAAGCUAGCUAUAAAGUAAAAUAAUUAGUAAUGUUCCUCUUCUUCCUUUCAUAUCUAGAAUUCUCUUUUAAUGUCCUCUUAAUAAUAAAAAAAAAAAUAGCAUUAAUUUGACUAGUAAGAUUUUUUAAAAAUGUAUAUGCCGUGCUUAAUUAAUUAAUAAUAUAUACUCGUUAAAUGAUAUAGAAAUUACAUUUUUUUUUUUUAGUUUAACGUGGGUGUCUGGGCCAGCCUGCGCGCACCUCGACUAAUCCCACGGGCCCUGAAGUUAACGACCAUGUAAGCCUCCAGUGGCCAUCAUAUGAGCAACCACAAGGCUCGAACCUGAGACCACAGAGAAAACAAACAUCUUAAUCCCAAACUCUUACUACUGGACCACCACCUAGAUGGUUUACAAAAAUUACACUCUUGAUGCUGGCGGCGAUGAUACCCAUGUGUUUUUAAGUCUUGCUUUAUUAUUAAGUUUAGCAACCUGUAUAUAAAAUAUAUUAAAACUUAUAUAUAUAUUAGUGAUACGUCUUAUAUCAAUUUAUACUUUAAUCAAUUUUGAAUAAGCUCACUUUUUUAUAAUAUUUUAGUCAAUGCGAUGAGGAUGGAAAACAUCCGUAUAGAUUUAAGAAUUUUUUUUAUAAUAAAAUUAAACUUAAAAAAUUUAGUGGGUGCAAUGACACCGACAAUAAAAAUAUUUUGAUUGUUAAAUCAUAUAUGUGACAAGAAAAGUUAAUCUUGUAUUAAACUUAAUUAAUUUUUAAAUCUUGUACUAGACUUGUAUUGCAUAAAAAAAUCAAGUCUCUUUUUUUUAUGUUUUUAGACAAAUAUGUUUAUAUAUUUUUUAAAAAAUAUCUAAAUUUUAAUAUAUUUUAUAUAAAUAUCUAAAAUAUAAAAUAUUUAAUAAAUAACCCGUGUUAAAAAAGUGAAGUUCUAGAACUAGAGUUAUCUUAUAUAGACUUCUCAAGGUUUGAUGUGAAAAAGACAAAAAAAAAAAUAAUAAAAAUGUCAAUAAAGCUAAUUACGAGAGAAGAAAUCUAAAGCAGGCUGCUCUUACGCGUUAAUUUUCCUGGCAACGGAAUCUGAUUUUGAAAAUUUCGAUGCACAGGGAAAAGAUGAUAGUUACAGGGAUUCUUGCACGCAACGAACACGCGCACCUUCAAAAUUCAAAAGAAGGGAUUUAUAUAUGAACACGUAACCUUUAUCUAGAUAGCGUGGUAUAUAAUAUGUAUGAUAUUUUUUAAAAUAAUUUUAUUUAAAAAUAUAUUUAAAUAUCUUUGGGGUACUGAAAAGAGUGUAAAGAUAUUAUUCCUUCCCACUCACACAUGCCUAGCAUUUUUUAUUAACAAAAACAGCACAAGAUUUGACGUGGAAAAAUGUAUAUGCAAAGAGUCAACCACAUCUUUUUUUUUUUUCGUUCUUGUCAAUUUUUUAGAUUUUUUUUUUUCAUUUGUAUCCUUUUAUUUUUUAUAGUGUCUUUUUGUUUUUUAUUUAAUAUUUGUACUUUAGUUUCAUAAAAUUAAUGCUCCGUAAAUCAUUAAAUAAUAUUUGAAGAAUGAACUACUUCAAACUUUUUUUUUUAUUUACAUCAUUAUUAUUUUUUUUUAUUGAGUAUUUUUUUCAUUUGCAUCAUUCUUUUUUUUAUUUUCAUUGAGCUCUUAUUUUUUCCAUAUAACAAUUAUAGUUUGAUUUUUGCAAAAUUGAUUCUCGAUAAAUUAUGAAUAUGCAAGACAAUGCAAAAUAAAAAAAAAUAUUAAAACAACGAUGGAAAUACAACAUAGAAUAAAGACAAUCUAAUGUAUGUUCCAAUAGUUACCCACAAUGUUUUCUUCUCUUUUUUUUCUAAUUUUUUUAGUCAUUUUAUUUUUUUUAUUCUCAAUUUAAUCAUUUCAUAUUAAAAUGACUUGUGAUUGAAUUUGAUGUUUUGUUUCGGUUGAUUUUAUAUGGGGCUCUCGUGAUGGUAAAAAUAAGUUUGGUUAUUGAGUUAAUACUCGUUUUGACAAGAUAAAAUUCAAUUUUAUUGAUUCAAAACAAUUAAAAUCUUAAGGACCCAAUUUUAAGCUGAAACAAUAUAUUCAACCUUUUUUUUUCUAAGAAAUAGAAUAUUUAUCUUAGCUUCUCAUUUCAAUUUUUGGUUUGGAUAAACAUAUUUGUCAUCACUUAUUAACAUAUGUAAUUAUUAAUUUAUUUUACUGAACACAUGUCUUCAACUUUUUAGUUUGUGGUUAAAUGUUUUCUUGAAAGUUAAAAGUCUUUAAUAAUAUUUAUACUUUUUUUGUAUUAACUGUCAUAAUUUAAUUUUUAAAUUUUUUUAAAAAUAAAUAACAAAAUGAAUGAAUAAAAAAACAAUUUGAUAAUUAGGUUAAAACAACAUAAAUUAAAAGUUUGAGGACUUAAUUAAACAUUGAUUUAAUUAAUUAAUGUAAUCAAGGGCUUAAUUGAAAAAAUAUCAAAGUUUGGGGUUGAUUUGGGUUAAAAUUGCAAGAAAUUAAAGUCCAAGAACCAAAGUGAAUAGGUGGUGAUACUAUAGGGGUUAAUUGAUUUUUACAGGGGUAAUUUUGAAAGAAUUAAAAGUUGAAGAGUCGAUUAAGGACUGAAUUGAUUAAAUUGGAAACUAAUGACUGGUUUGUAAAUGGCACUGAAAUUCAGGGGUUCAAUUUCAAUUUGAUCCAGGGGAAAAAUUAAAAAAAAAGAAGAAGAAGGAAAUUGUCCUUGAACAGGGGCCCAAUUAUUAAAUGUCAGACGUUCAUGGGGCAAAUUGAAAAUAGCCAUUUCCAGGAUACAAACAGCGCCGUUUCAAAAACUAUUCAUCGCCUUCUUCCUCAGGAACCGUUUCAGCGGUUAAGGCACCAAAACCGUUUCAAUCAUGGACCACGUCUCCCAGCUGCUAUCCCUCACCCCCAGUAUGCACGAACGCUUGGCAUUCUCUGGCAAUAAAAGCCAGAGAAAAGGCCACGCAGGGGGGAGGACAAACAACACAGGGGACCAUAGACACUGGAAGAUAGGCAUAAACAGAGAGCACCAGAAGAACAAAGCGAGAGAGGAAACAAGAAAAGAAAAGAAAAGAAAACAAGGAGAUAAGAGACAGAACAGGAGGAUGAAAACAGAAAGAAAAACAGAGGAACCAACCAAACGAAAGCACACCGUUGUCUUCAGCUUCGUUUCCAAGCACCAAGGAAGCAGACAAACACAGAGGAGGAACAAGAAUAGAGAAUAUACAGAAAGCAAAGAAAAAAAAAAGGAGAACGAAGAACAGAGAAGGAACAGAAGAGAGGAAUAGCAUCGGUCCGCCAGCACACUUCGUCUCCCAUCAGCAACCAGGUAAGUCUCUUCUUCUCUUCCUUUGCAAUCUAAUUCAUUUGGUACUGUAGCUGUUAAUUAUAAUUACAUCGUCUCUGUAGCCAAAAAAAAAAAGAAAAAAGAAAAAGAGAGAGAACAGUGGUGGAUGGGCCUGGGUCUCAGACCCAGCCAGCCCAAUUUAUUUUGGGCUAAGGAUGCGUUUUGAAAUACACCGUUAUGCCUUGUCCUUAUGUUCCACUCAUUUUUAUUUUGAUAUCUAGAAAAAAUUAUUAAUAUGUAAAUUUUUACCGUGAAAUGUAAGUUUGGUAUACAAUACAUUUUUUUUAUUUAAAAAAAUAUGUAUGAAUUGAUAUAAAUUGAUUUUUUUUGGGUUUAUUUACUGACGUCAGAGCUAAAAAUAUUAUAUGUUUUUUUGACUAUGUAAUAUUUACUAACGCCAGAAUUGGAAGUAUAUAUAGUUGAAUAUUCAUCAACACCAGAGUCAGAAAUAUUACAAGCAGACCGUCGGUAGCAUAAUACAACAAACCCUUAGCAAUUUAAGACAAAACCAGCAAUGCAGUCUACCUUAGAUACGACGUUUAAGGGGUAAUAAUAUUUUUUUUUUUGUGUAAUCAGUCCUGUACCAUAGAAUUUUUAUUAACUAGUUAGGAUUUUUAAUAAUCAUAAUACUAAAAUAAUGACUCUUUAAACAAGACUUUUCUCUCAAAAUAUAUAAAAAAAAAGAUGCAAGAAAUUUAUUCUUUUUAUAAAUUUUUAAUUUUUAAAGGUUGCCCGCGGGGAAUCAAAUAGUUUAUUGUUAUCAUGAUGGAAUCAAAAAAUUAAUUUAAAUACUCUUAUAAAUAGAGGUGUUAUUAAAAUUUCAACAGCGCUGGAUCACAUAGACAUAAGGCAUGGUGCACCUAAGAACUGAUAUUCUUUUUUUGUUUUUGGCUUAGGAUUUAAAUUUAUUCUUUUAACGAGUUGAAUCCGCAUGUUUUUGUUCAAAGAAAAGUGUUGCUAUAACUUGAGCUAGAUCCACAUUGUAACUCGCAAGGGGUCAAUGGACAGCCUAUAUCCAACAUCAAUAUUUACAUGUACAAACAAAAACACUAGUUAGUUGUACAUGGCAGCAGUUAAACUUACUUCAGUUUGGUUUAGAAAACACGAUACUUAAAAUUUAACUUAGAUUUAAUAUUUAAUUAAAUUUUAUAUAUAUAUAUAUAUAUAUAUAUAUAUAUAUAUAUAUAUAUAUAUAUAUAUAUAUAUAUAUUAAAAGUCUGGUUCUGCCGAUUCAUAUUGAGUUGGGCAUGUUUUGUUAGGCCCUAUUUCAAAUUGGUCGGUCUUUUAUUGUAAAUGGUGUGAUGAAUGGUCCCAACUCAAAUCCCUUUUUGGGCCCUCACCUAUGUUGAGUAUGAUGGCCUAAGAAAUAAUUCUUGAUUAUUUAGCUAAUUUCUGUGUAUAAUAAGAAAAUUUUAGGCGUGGUGAUUGCAAAGAUUCUUACACUAGUGAUGUCUAUAAUAAGAAAUUAAUAUUAAAAUUGACUGUCCUUGUUCUGAAUUAUGUGAUGUGUUGGGGCAAUGCCUCUGUUUCGAGUGCCUCGUCCUUUCUUCGACUCUUGUAUGCUUUGUGGUAAGAAAACAAAUAAUUACAACAACGUUAAACUAGAAAGAAGCCAUUUCAACAAGGAAAAAGGGAUUGAUUGCACGAAGUUUCAAGUGCUGCCAUAGUUUGCAAGAAGUUUUCUUGUCUCCUUCAUUAGGAGAAAUUCCUGCAAAUUUAACAUAAGGGAAAUGAAAUUGACUUUUCCCUUGCUCUGGUUCAAAGAGUUAAUUAUCUUCUCCCAUUGCUAAUAAUGACUCAAAAUUAUCCCAUUGCUUAAACUACUGAUCAAAUCAAAUCUUCCCUUACCAAUUGAAAAUGGUUUUCCAAAAAAAAAAAACCUAAUUUUCUAUAUGGAAAGUAAAGGGACAUUCCUGCUACCAUAAACACCCAAAUUGGACCGCCUUUCUUUGGAGGGUUGAUAAUUGAUAAUAUGGAAACCGUUAGGGCUUUUGGUUAUUGUUAGGGGAAGGCUAGAGGCUUGGUUUUAGCAUCGAUCUCUCUCCCCAUCGAGGGCUCACUAUUAUCCUUCCAGUUAAUGGUUAAAUAUCCAAAUUCAGUUCGGCCCAUCUCUCUCUAAAUUCAAAAACCAUUUUGAAGUAGGCCUCCUCUAUAGCUUUGAGAUGCUUUUGAGAUAAAACUGAAACCAAAUAGACAGUAACUAGAAAGUUUUUGCUAACAGUUUAAUUUGUCUGUACAAAAACUCACUUGUAAGGGAAAUAGUCUCAAAUCCAAGCCUUAUUCAAAGCUUAAUAAACUAUCUUAUAAAAAAUCAACUCAUAAAAAAACAAUUCUACUCUGAAUUAGAAAAACUUUACUAUAAAAAAAACCCAUAAAAACCUAGAAAUUUUCCCAAUUCAAACCUAAACUCAAACUUCACUUAAAAAUUAUUACUUGUUAGUUACAAUUGUGACAAUAAAAAUAUAUAAAAUAUAUUUAUUAUCCUAUUAUUAUUAUCAUCAUUAUUAUUACCACUAUUAUUAUUAUUAUAAUUACCAUUACAAUCACGAUAAUUAUUAUUAUCACCAUUACCACUACUAUCAUUAUCAUCACCAUUAUUAUUAUUAUUACUACUUGAUUAUUGGCGCGCGUGUGUGUGUAUAUAUAUAUAUAUAUAUAUAUAUAUAUAUAUAUAUAUAUAUAUAUAUAUAUAUAUAUAUAUAUAUUCAUUCCAAGAAAAUGCUAGUAAAGGUGGAGGUGAUCACGGAAAUGGAAUAACAGUCCCAUAAAUUGGUAGAUUUUUUUGUCAUUGUCUCCGCAACAAUCUGCAACAGGAUGAUUAUCGAAAGCCACACAAGUUCCUGUACGAAAUCCACGCGGUGGGCAAUUUGAUUUGCACUUCUCCUGUAAAUAGAGUAACCAUGUGGUUUGCUUUUUAGAAAUUUCCCCUCGCCCAUGAAUCACGUUCAGAACUAUAUUUAUAAUUAAAAAAAUAAAUAGAAACAUAUCUGGAUAUGAGAACUGCAGUAGCAAAUAAUUUCCUGGAAGCCAUUAUCGAAAAUCACUUUGAAAGAAUACACAUAUAGAGAAGAGAAUGUUCACAUAUAUAUGCUGUUUUUAUAGUUGAUUUAUCCAGAUUAAAAUCAAUUUGUUACCAAAUAAAGAGUUUGAAUAAAUUAUAAGAUAGUCUCGAUGAGAUUCUAAUUGAAAAAAUUAAUUAGAAUCUCAAUUCAAAAAUUAAUGGAAGUCAUGCCAUAAAUUAACGGUUUGGAUAUUCAUCAGUUCAACAAGAUUACUUUUUUUAGAAGUCAAUUCAAAAAAUUUAGCGGACACUUCUAAAUUUUAUUACAAUAUGAUUUUUGAUCUAACAUAGCCAUCAUUAGUCAUUAGAAAAAUUAAAAUUAGAUUAGUCAUUGUUGAAAAAAAUAAUUGCUAUUUUCCAGUUAAUUUGAAUUAUUUAUUAGUUAAUGCCUAAUCCUUGACUCAACUUGAGUUUUGCUUCUCUUUCAAUAUAUUUUUUUUAAUUACAAAGGGGAGGUUCAAAUUGGAUAUUUUUUGAAAGAGAAAAAAACACUUAGAGCUACAACUCUCUUUUUUAGGUUUAUAAACUUUUUUUUAAGUACCAUUAAUAAUGCAAAAUGUAAUUAUUAGACUUGAUCCAACCUCAUGGUUAGCUUAAAAGCCAGGCCCAAGUGGGGUUUUCUUUUUUUCAAAUUAUAUUAAACAUUAACUUAGUAAUACACAAGGAACUCGAUGAGUCAACCCUCAAUUUAACCAGGCUUGAAUGAGACUUGAUUGGGUCAAUUUUAAAGAUGUUUAUAAUAAUAUUAUUUCAGUUUUUUUAAUAAUUAAAACGGUGUUUUUUUAAGGAUAAACUUAUAGGUUGACCUAUUAAAAUCCUUAAUUCAAGUUUAAAAUUGUGCUAGAUCCUUAUCCUGGUCGGAUAUGACAACUAUGAUACAAACCCAAAUUGUUUUAUGUUAGUUAAUUUACAUCUAAGUGAUCUGCAGCAACUCUUUUUUGUACUGCAGAGCUAAUAAUUUUUUUGAACUAUAUUCAUUCCUACUAACAAUAUGUAAUAAUUAAAAAUUUCUUCCAUUCAAAUUAUGUGUUUAACACAAAUUUGGUACACUCCUAAUACAUCAACGCAGAGGAGGAUUCAAAGUUCAGUCCUGAGGUUCUGCUCAGAACCAGAAAAAAUCCCACCCUUCUUAUUAGUUCUAGCACACGUUGAAUUUGAGGAAAAAAGCUGAAAAGGAGGAAAGAAAUGCAUAGUUUUUCCAUCUCAUAGCAUAGAAUUUCCGAAGACCCUAAUUGACCCUCUUACAGUCGGCUCUGAUUUCUCCAUUGCUUCCUGUCAAAGGACUUAAAUUUCCCAACUUUAUCAUAGACUGAGCAAAGCUAUCAAAGAAGGCGGUCUGGCUGUUAGCAAACCGGUUGACUACGGCAACAGUAUCAGCCCCGCUAGUAGAAAAGAGUAUUUGGUCAGUUUGGAGAAGGCCACGAUUGUUCUGAAGAUUUGUGAAGUAGUUGUUGUCAAAAUCAUCAGGAGUUGUAGGAUCAAGAUUGUUCAAUCUACUUGGAUUUCCGCCUUGUGGGCAUGCUUGGCGAAGUGUCUGCAAGUAUGUUGUGUCUAAGGUUGGAUCAGGGUUUGUAUCAUUGAGUCUCUGGCUGAAGAAUUGGCACUGAGACCUCCCAAAUGUGUGUGCACCUGAAAUAACAUUUUAUCUUUUGUAAGCAUAAAACAAUAGUACUGUAUGCUAAACACAAGUAAUAAGAGCUGUUCGUGCUGUAUUUUGGUGUGGAAGAUUUGGAAAGAUUUCUAAUUAAUUACCAGAUAAAGCAACUAGAUCAGUGGAAUCAAGUUCCUUGUUUGAGAACUUGAGAGAAAGAUUUUCAAAGGUUUCGAAAGGACUAGGAAUGUCAGAAGUUCUUGCUGCGUUUGCAGUCGUACUAUCCCUUCUUCCCAGUGGCACUUGCCAUGUUGGACCUCCUGCCUGCAACAUAUCAUUUACUUGUUAAGGCCACAAAAUUCGUAAUCAACUCAAGUAAACUCAUCUAAGACUUGCUAGCACAAGUCAUCUUCAGUUUUUCAACCCUUUUUUUGUUUUUUCUACUUAUGAGCUCAUUACUUGACCAACUAGCCUAUGACAUCAUGAGAUGCUGGCAAUACAUUAAGAAAGGUCAUUAUGAAAGGUUGAUAAUACUAUACCAAGGUAACCAAUAUUUCAGAUGCAAGGGCUAAUAUAUCUGCGCAGGAGACGAUGCCAGGACAAACAUUCUCCACUGCUGUUUUAAUGUCAUCAACGACACCAUAACCUUCUACGGAUUGAUUAGGGAGUUCAUCUUGCUCACUAUUUAUGCCAUUCGCAUCGACCAGCAGAAUAGAGCCAUCGCAGCCCUGCAAAAAAAAUACGAAAAGAAGAGUAGUGCAUUAGUACUUCAUACAUAAAGAAAAUCUUUCUGCUAGGUGAAUCAUUAAGAAACUAUAUAUGGAAGAUAAUUACAUCGACAAAGCAAUCAUGGAAGUGCAUGCGAAUGAGCUUGGCUCCAAGCCGGACAUCAUUUCGCGCAGCUUGCUCCACUACACCUCGCACAAUGCUCGACACAUUCGGGCAAGUGCUAGCAUAAAACGUGGGGCUUAAUUGAGCAUCAGAAAUGCCCCAAAACAACAUUACUACACAUAUUACUGUAGCUAGAACAGAAGACAUUUUUCUUACAGAAAGGAAAUGCUAGAUGUUUUGAAUUGAGGUCGAGCUUGUUGUGAUAUUGCACCCUAUAAAUAGAGGGAAAAAAAAGAGUAGGUAAGAGCUUGAAAGGUACACCCCUGCCUAACAAAAAAAGAGGAAGAAGGGUUCAGAGUUGAGGUUGAGACUUGCAUAGUAAGAAAUUGGGACCAAAAGGGAACUGUUAGAAAACUAUUUUUCUUACUUUUCCUCAAGCAGAAAAUAUCAAAGAUUGUGGACCUGGCUCGCCCACAAUUAAUAUUUCAAACCGUAUGUAGGGUACUUCUACUGUUGAAAGAUGUUUGAAAUAUUUAAUCUUGCAAGGCUAAUCAUUGUCAAAUACAUAUGGUGCCGUUGCCAUAAGGCCAAAUGAGUGAGCUUUCUCUCUGGACACGGUUUGUCACAGUUCGGAGUCCAAGAAUCCAUACAGAGCCAAGCUAAUCAUUUUGGCUUAAUUAUUAACUACAUUAUAACCUCAAUAAAUUAAUAACCUCGAUUAAAUAGUUUUUGUUCGGUUUCGCCUUAAAUUUGAAGUUUAAAUAAUAUCUCAAUUAAUUAAUAAAUUUUCAUGGUCCGAGAUUGCUGUCUAAUUUUACUUUGCUGCUUGGGAUUUUUCACUUGACUGUUGCUCAUGCGUGCGGAAGCAAGCAUUUCUUGAGAAUGACACAGUAUUCAACUUUCAGAACACGUACGUGGAUUCUGGGCUGCUGAGAAGAAAACAAAAAUCAUUCCAGAUUUUCUUCAGUUAGAUUUAGACUGAUCAGGUGUCCGUAUCCGGCUAACACUGAGAGUUCAAGAUUUGUAAACCUCUAGAAUAGUUUGAAUAUUACCAGAGCAUGCAACGCCUUUUUUUGAACACACACUUUGAUCUCCACCGAUAAAUAUGAGUGCAAUUUGCAACCAAAAUUCUCCAAGUUAAAAUUGUAUCCUCCCUCAUGUUACUAUGCCCCUUUGAAGAUGAAAUUCCCUUGUGAUGGCAGGACUAUUUCGCAAAAAAGUAAUUAAGCAGGAUAGUUAGCUAAUAAAGCAUGGAUUGCCUAAGUAGAAGAAGAAACAAAAACUUUCCUAUCCCAUCUAAAAAUAAAAUUCUUGCGAGCCUAUGUUCAUAUUUUCGGUCUCAAACUUAACCUGUUCCUGCAAUCUGAGCUCGAUACAAGCAGGGUUUCCCUACUGUACUAAACAUCGAAGAUCAAUGGGAUAUUCUAGGUAAAAAGCAAAGAAAAAGUGUUACGUAGAAUGUUACUUCUAUACUAAUGUUUAUUUUUAUGUUUCAAAAGAACUUUUAAAAAAAUUAUUCUUUGAGAAAACAGCAGAAAAUCACGUUAUGGAGCUUUUUUUUCAUUCAGCCCCCUUUUUUUUCCAUCUCCCAAUUUUUUUUUUUAAUUUCAGUUUCUUUUUUUUUCCCCUCAAACGUUCAUCAUUGCAUGUUUUUUAAUAGUUAGUUAUCUUAAUUACUUUUGGACUAAAUCAAUUAAAUUAUAUCAAAAUAACUUCUAUACAAUUUAAUUUUAAAUUUAACCUGAUAAAUUUUUGUUAUGUUAAUAAAAAAAACCCGUAAGCUUGUAUGAUCCAAAAGAAAAAGGAAUAUGUCAAAGUUACGUGGGACAUCUUGUAUAGUACUCGUGAAAGAUACUCGGUCCAAAUUAACAUGCCUUGAGUAGAUGCAACCUUUUGGACUUGUGAUAACCGACAAAGUCACGAAGGAGUGAAGCCAACCUGGAGGAUAACAUUUUCCAUAAUCAUGAGCUUGAUUUGCUCUACUAAUAUCAAACUUGGAGGCUCAACUGGAGGACUUGUAUUACAGAUGAGACAGCUUGAUUUGCAGGAACUCAGAAUCUGCUUUGAGCUUUCCUCCCAGCCAUUCAAAGAGUAAUGAUUUUAAUUAGUCCUUGUAUUAAUGAAACACUAAUUUUACUCUAUUUUUGGAAAUCAUAACUGAAUCAUUCGCCAGCUUUGACUAUUAAUUCUUAAUUACUAUAAUUAUAAAAUCUGGUCUGGCAUGACAGGUCAAUCCUAUAACCUACUAAUGUUUCAUUUCAAACAGAUUUUUUUAUCUCAAAAAAUAAAAUGAUAAUAUUGCGGUAAAAAAAAUUAGAUCGACCCGACCACUUCGUGGUCCUACUGUAACCAAGUCUUAUAUAUAUGUUUUUAACCGUUUUAUUUCCUUUCAUUGUUAGUACCUAAAGUGACAACUCAACAUCUCAAUAACGAUAUUAUGAAUAUGAAAAAAUAGGGAUUAAAUAUGAAAUUCUUUGAAUAAGGAACUAACUUAUUAGUUUCUUGAGAAUACAAGGACUAUAUAAAUUAUAAUUUAUUCCGUACUGAAAGUAAUACUUGCAAGCAUGGAUAAUUCAGACUCCUAGACUACAAAUCACAAUGUACGUAAUGGAGGAGGAAAAGGUUUUGAACACGUUAUUGUGAAUAAAUUUAACAUAAAAUCCAUAUCAUGGGCGGUUUUUCAGGGUGGACUUUGCAUGAAGAUUUUUCAAGGAGACAAAAACAAAACAAGAAAUUGCUGCUUGACAGGAGGCUGUUACAGAUUCCAUGUUUUCCUUUUCAAUUAUUUUGAUUUUUUAUUUUUUAGAAAAUGGAAAAUGAAGGUAUUUUAUCACAAAUGUAUAUAAGUUUGAUCAAGAAAAAAGGUUUUUUUGGAGGAAAAAAACUUGUAAAUUAAGGAUGGUCAAAGCUAUAUAUUCAAGGGAUUGUUUAAUUAUUUAUUAUACUUUAUGGUCUGUGAUGGACAGCUUGAUUAUAAGAUCAGAUUAAAAAUAUAUCCAUCUCAAGGUGUAAGGCCAGGCUAGCUAAACUAAAAUGGUCACACCCUAUCAUUAUCCAUGCAAUUACUAUAAUUAUUAGCAAUGUCUUACUUUUCUUCAAUUGUCGUCGGUCAAUCCAGGAAACUGUGUCUCUUACGAACAAUUCCAAGGAUUUAGUUAGCAGUAGUUUUCUGCUAUUAUUAAUGUAAAUGGAAUCAAUCAAGGAAAACAGUAGUUUGAUGUUAGCAGCAUUUAUGUAUCUAGUUGAUUCUUUCUUAAUUUGUUAUUAUACUUGUAAACGCUUCGUUUACACACACACACACACACACACACACACACACACACACACACACACACAUCUCUAUUUGUUAUAUUGGUAAGCUCAACUUCUAGCCAUGGAUACGAGUAUCUGUUCCUGACAAGGUCUUACGGCACUUAGAUAGAAACCCUUUUCUCUAAGUUAUCAUAAGUCGGAUUUGGUUGUAUUUAUUUGCGUGUCAAAAUCAAUCCUAAAUAAUAUCCUAUCUCCUUUUAAAUCGCAAAGGGUUAUAUUUAUUUUCUACUCUACAAAAGAUAUAGGUUUAGGAUUCGAAUCCUUGAAGAGAAUGUACGGUAAGUUACUGUUUCAGAAGCAUGUAGUUACUGUUUUGAAAUAAAAAAAGAUGAAAAUAAUAGAGAUAAAAGGGAUGGAUUUCCUGCGCUCUCUAUUUUGAAAAUAUAAGAGAACAAUUCAAAAUUGUUCUAGAUACAAAUUUAUUUUAUGCAACUAAAUAUGUUUUUGUAUCUUUUGUAUUUAUUCCUUAUAUAUUGGGACAUAAUGAUCAAACAUAACCUAAAAAAAUUAUUUUUUUUAUGAAUGCACCAAUGGUUAAGACUUAAUCGACGAGGAGCUUAAUAUCGAUGUGUGAAAGGUGGUUAGAGAUCAUACCCUUUCCGUUAAGACCCAAAAUAUAUAUACACAUGCACGGUUGAAAACUUCGAGCAACUAGACUAAGGUGCAACUAUCUAGCAAUGAAAAUUAUUCUGCCAGUCAGUUUUUGAAAAAAAAUAAUGUAGUAAAAUCAGAAUGCUGAAUUAUGGAGGAAUGAUCAUAUCAGGUCGUCUAUGCUUGAUUAAGUUCCUGAUUUUCUGAAGUCAGCAGCUACAGGCUUAAGAACUAAUGAUUGUAUCCGAAACCCGCAAGAAAUUGCUUAAGCAUGCUUAAAAAUUCCAUUCAAGUCAGACUUAAUGUUGUUAAUCAAGUUUCAAACUUUCCUAACCACAAAAGGAUCAUUAUCAGUCUAGGAAACCAUCGAUUGGUAUGCAAGUCAAGUGGGUAGAAUUUCAGCUCACUGUGACAUUUUACUUCGGGGUAACAGCAACUUCUCAGCUUAUCAUUAUCUAAUCAUUGCUCAGUUGAUUUUUAAUUUUCCUGCUCUUUUUUUCCUCUUUUGUUGCUAACGAAUUAACAAUCUUCGCAAAUAGAGGUCUCGAUCAAGAAUUUGUGGCCUUGAAUUUGAUUUGAUUCGGUAAACUAAGUAGGUUUCUUGGAAAGUAUCCUGCUUUACUAGUAGCCCUGCCAGAAAAACCAAGUCUGCAGAAAAUGAUGAUAAUUCUAAUUCUAAUAUGUGAACAUUGAAUAUAAUAUUGAUUCGUUAUCAUUGACGAUAGAUUAAGACCUUAAGGAUUGUCAUUGCAGCAUCCAGUGAUUUGAAAAUGCCAGAAUUUCACAAUCACCAUAGUAUUUUCAGUUUACUACGUUGGAAAAAUCAGAAGUCUUGCCUGUUAAUCAUAUCCAAAGACAAUUACUAAUCUCCGUCGAGCAGCUGCUAAAAGAUGAAAGGACAACAUUACCAACGAAUUCAGCCAGAUUUGGCAGCUGAUUUAAUAUUUUGAAAGUUGAAAACCACAAUUAAUAGCAUAUGAUGAUGGUGCCGAUUCUUGUUGCUGCUCAAAAGUCAUAAGCUAUUGUCUUAACAGAAUUUGUUCUAUUUGGUCUGAGAUUAUACACUGCCAUCUAUGCAGUAGUGCAGAUUUAGAGAAUGACAUACGGGCUAUUCACCAGAAAAAUAUAAGUAUUCAAGAGUUCUAUUCUACCAUGACAGAUCUUUGGGAUCAAUUGGCUCUUACAGAAUUGACAGAAUUAAAGGCAUGUGGUGCUUUAAUUGAUUGUAGAAAACAGCAACGAUUGGUAUAGUUUUUAACAUCACUUCACAGUGAUUUCGAAGGACUUAGAGGUUCAAUACUGCAUCACUCUCCACUGCCUUCUGUUGACUCGGUUGUUAGUGAGUUAUUGGCUGAAGAAAUACGUCUUCAGUCGUAUUCUGAAAAGGGUAUUCUUUCUGCUUUGAAUCCUUCUGUACUAGCAAUACCCUCUAAGCAAUUCUUCAAUCACCACCAUAAGCCUUACGAGGGUUGGCUUCGACGAGUGUAGUUUCUGUAAGCAGAAAGGUCAUUGGAAGAAUCAGUGUUCUAAGUUGAGAUAGCAUAAUCAAGCUUGGAAGCCUGGCAGCCAGACACAAUCUAAUGCUCAUAGACCACUUCAGGGUUAUAAACCACCGCACCACAAUACUGCAACAGUAGCUUCCUUAGGCUCUAUUACCGAUCCUAGUACUUUGGCUGAGCAAUUUCAGAAGUUUCUCUCAUUGCAUCCACAAGCAAUGUCCGCUUCUUCUUCCAUAGGUCAGUUGCCUCAUAGUUCCUCAGGUAUGUCACAUUCUGAAUGGGUUUUGGAUUCUGGUGCUUCACAUCAUAUGUCUCCAGAUUCUUCAUCUUUUACCUAUGUUUCCCCUUCACCCUCCAUUCCUGUUAUGACUACUGAUGGCACUCACAUGCCCUUAAUAGGUGUUGGUUCUGUUGUCACACCUCACUUGUCUCUUCCUAAUGUUUAUCUUAUUCCGAAUCUCAAAUUGAAUCUUGCUUCUGUUGGUCAAUUAUGUGAUUCUGGUGAUUAUUUAGUCAUUUUUUCCUCUUCUUUUUGUUGUGUACAGGAUCUGCAGUCUAAGAAGUUGAUUGGGACAGGUCAUAGAGAGAAUGGACUAUACAUUUUGGAUGAGUUAAAAGUGUCAGUUCCCGUUGCUACUACUACUACUGUUGAUUUGUCUUUUUUUCGUUUGAGUUCUUCGUCUUCUAGUUUUUAUUUAUGGCAUUCUUGUCUAGUACAUGUUUCGUCUUCUCGUUUGAUAUUUUUGGCAUCCGCAGGAGCUUUAGGAAAUUGAAAACUUGUGACAUUUUUUAUUGUAGUGGAUGUAAACUGGCAAAAUUUUCCGCUUUACCUUUUAAUCGAAGUAUUUCUGUUUCUUCUUCACCAUUUGACUUGAUUCAUUCUAAUGUAUGAGGACCUUCUCCUGUUGCCACAAAAGGAGGGUCUCGAUAUUAUGUCUCUUUUAUUGAUGAUCAUACUCGUUAUUGUUGGGUUUAUUUAAUGAAACAUCAUUCUGAAUUCUUUGAGAUAUAUGCAGUUUUUCGAGCUCUUGUCAAAACUCAACAUUUUGUUAUGAUCAAAUGCUUUAGGUGUGAUUUGGGUGGGGAAUACACCUCUAAUAAAUUUUGUCAAUUGCUUGCCUUAGAUGGAACCAUUAACCAAACUUCAUGUACAUAUACUCCUGAGCAAAAUGGUGUUGUUGAAAGAAAACAUAGGCACAUUGUCGAAACUGCUCGUUCUCUCUUAUUGUCUGCUUUUAGUCCUAGUGAGUUUUGGGAAAAAGUUGUUCUUACUGUUGUAAGUUUGAUUAAUACAAUUUCAUCUUCUCAUAGUUCAGGUCCAUCUCCUUUUGAAAAGUUACAUGUGUAUGUCCCUGAUUAUUCCUCAUUUAGAGUUUUUGGUUGUACUUGUUUCGUUCUUCAUCCUCAUGUGGAACGCAGUAAGCUAUCCUCCCGAAGUGUUAUUUGUGUCUUUCUGGGUAAUGGUGAAGGUAAAAAGGAGUAUUAUUGUUUUGAUCAAAUAACUCAGAAACUUUAUGUGUCUCGUCAUGUUGUCUUUCUCGUGCACAUAUUUUUUUUUUCUAUUCCAUCCACUACUCAUAGUCUGACUAAACCUGAACUUAUCCGUAUAGAUCCCUUUUCUGAAGAUUCUGAUAGUCAGACCUCUCCCCAUGUUCUACCAAUUUGUACUCAUAACUCUGUAGGUACUGAUACUUUACUUUCUGGCAUAUUUGAAGCUCCAUUCUCAUCUACAGCCCCUAAAGCUUCAUCUGAGAUUAUGGAUCCACCUUUACGUCAGUCCAUUCGCAUUCGUAAGUCCAUAAAACUACAAGAUUUUGCUUAUUCUUGUUAUUCUUCAUCAUUUACUUUCGUUUUAGCUUCUAUUGAUUGUCUCUUUGAGCCCUUUUCUUAUAAAGAAGCAAUUCUUGAUUUGCUUUGGCAGCAAGCUAUUGAUGAGGAACUUUCUGCUUUGCAUAAGAUAUAUACUUGGGAUCUGGUUCCUCUACCUCCUUGUAAGAGUGUUGUUGGUUGUCGUUGGGUGUAUAAGAUCAAAACUAAUUUUGAUGGGUCUAUUGAGAGAUAUAAAGGUAGCUAACUGGUGCAAAAGGAUACUCUCAACAGUAUGGUAUGGACUUUGAGGAGACAUGUGCCUUUGUUAUAAAAAUGACUACUAUUCAUACUCUUAUUGUCGUAGCUUCGAUUCGUUAGUGGCAUAUCUCUCAGAUUGGUGUUAAAAAUACCUUCUUGAAUGGGAUCUUCAAAAAGAAGUUUAUAUGGCACCCCUCCUGGUAUUUCACAUGAUUCUGGAUAUGUCUGUAAGCUUAAGAAAGCAUUAUAUGGUCUCAAACAAGCACCCCGUGCUUGGUUUGAGAAAUUCUCUAUUAUGAUCUCGUCUCUUGGCUUUGUUUCUAGUAGUCAUGAUUCUGUUCUUUUUAUUAAGUGCACUGAUGCAGGUCGUAUCAUUCUGUCUUUAUAUGUUGAUGACAUGAUUAUUACUGGUAAUGACAUUGAUGAUAUUUCAGUUUUGAAGACAGAGUUGACUAGACGAUUUGAAAGAAGGAUUUGGGUUCUCUUCGAUAUUUCCUGGGUGUUGAGAUAGCAUACUCACCUAGAGGUUACCUUUUUUCUUAGUCGAAAUAUGUUGCAGAUAUUUUUGAGCGGGCUAGACUUACUAAUAACAAGAUUGUAGAUACUCCUAUUGAGGUUAACACAAGGUACUCUUCUUCUGAUGGUUUAUCUUUGAUAGAUCCUACUUUAUACCGUACUAUUAUUGAGAGCUUGAUAUAUCUCACCAUUACUCGUCUAGAUAUUGCAUAUGUUGUUCAUGUUGUUAGUCAGUUUGUUGCUUCUCCUACUAUUGUUCACUGGGCAGCUGUUCUUCGUAUUUUAUGAUAUCUUCGGGGUACAAUUUUUCAGAGUCUUUUACUUUCAUCCACCUUUUCCUUGGAGUUGUGUGUAUACUCUGAUGUUGAUCAUGGUAGUGAUCCCACAGAUCGCAAGUCUGUUACCGGGUUCUGAAUCUUUUAGGUGAUUCUCUUAUUUCUUGGAAGAGCAAAAAAUAAUAUAUUGUUUCUCAAUCAUCCACCGAAGCAGAAUAUCAUGCCAUGACAUCUACUACCAAAGAAAUUGUUUGGUUACGUUGGUUACUUGCUGAUAUGGGAGUUUCAUUUUCUCAUUCUACUCCUAUGUAUUGUGACAACCAGAGUUCUAUUCAGAUUGCUCACAACUCAGUUUUUCAUGAGCGAACUAAGCACAUUGAGAUCGAUUGUUAUCUUACUCGUCAUCAUCUCAAGCAUGACACCAUUACUUUGCCUUUUAUUUCUUCUUCCUUGCAGAUUGCAGAUUUCUGUACCAAGAUGCCUUUUAUUUCUCGUUUUUGUUUUCUAGUUAGCAAACUCUUGAUGCUUGUAGCCAGGGGCGGAGCUAGGAUUAUUUGUUAGGGGUGGCCAAAAAUAAUAUAAUAAGAUAUAAUAUUUUUUUUAAUUUAUUGUAAAUGAGUUGUAAAAAAAAACCUGCAUGAUUUAGUUUUAUUCAAAUAACUUAUUACAAACAUAUAAUGACCUUUGUAAAAGGUAAAAAGGUUUGGAGCAAUACCAAAUUGAGUCAAAGCAAUGAAGUUAAUUUCAUCUUCAUGAUGUAUCCAUCACUUUAAUGUUGUUGGUCUUUAUACCUAUCAAAUAUAAACAUACAAAGUAUAUAAGAAAUAUUAGCUAAAGCGAAACAUUAUUUAUAUUUGAUAAACUUUGAAAUAAAGUAAAAAAUAAUAAAGAAUGAUUCUUACAUCUUUAUUUUAAUUGUGCUCGUCGUUCUUUCAUAGAAUAGAAAUCAUCUAUUAUCAUAUCAAUUGUGAAUCUUUCAGCAAUUUUUUUUUUAUGUAGACAAUCAAAUAAUUUGCAAGAAAAUCAUCCUCCAUCCGAUUACGAAGUCUUGUUUUAACAAUCUUCAUCGCUGAGAAAGCUCGUUCAGUAGUUGCUGUCGAAACAGGAAGAGUCAAAAGAAGCCAAAUCAACCUGUCAACUAGUGGAUAAAUUGUUGAUUUUUCUAUUUCAACCAAUCCUUGACAUAAAUCAGCAAUCAAUGACAUGCUCUUUAACUUUGGAUGAUUGGGUACAUCAAGCUCAUAAUGCUGCAACUGAAGUCUAAAAUGAAUUUUUUCUUGGUCAGAAAAAUCUUGAGGAUAGAACUUGUCAACAAGUAAGCAUAUAUCUUUAACAUUGAAUAAUUUAUAGCUAUUUCUAGGAUCUAAAGUUGUGCUCAACUUAAGAAGCUCGAUCGCCUCAUUGAAUUUAUUAUUUAGCUCUUGCAAUUGUUGAUCAAUGAUAGCUGUAAAUAUAUCAACUCGGUAGUGAUGUUCAACUAUUACUGAUUUUUGUUUACGGCGAGAUCUUCCCACACUAGAAAAACAAGCAUCCAUAUCAAGAACUUCAAUGUCUUGAUGCUUAUAAAAUGAUGUCACUUCUUCUAAAAGAGUUUUCCAACCAUCAUCUAUUAACUUCUUAAUUAAAGUCUUUGUGGUAGUCACCAAAUGCAUAACAUUUAAAAUGUCUUGAGAUUUUUGUUGCAGGGCUUGGCAAAACAUAUCAGUAAUUCCCAUAACAUCCUUCAUUAUAUGUAAGAUGAAUGCAAAAUCAAAUGACAUUAGCAACUUAAAUGAAAAAGCCACAUCACCACGUUGAGAAUAAGUAGAUCCAUCUAAAGCAAUGUUUUCAAGAACCAAGCAAGUUGCCCCAUACAUUUUUAUCAAACUGCAAAUUGAUUUGAAGUGCGAACUCCAUCUGCUAUCUCCAGGUCGUUGCAAACCACCUACUUGAUUAACUCCUUUACCCGUUUCAAUCUCACCAAUAUCAACUAAAUGUUCAAUUGUAGCUGUUUGGAAAGCCCGUAAUUCAUCAUUACGCUUACAAGAAGCACUAACAAUGUUAAUAAUAAAAAUCAAAUUCUGAAAGAAAGUGUGAACAUCAGAUAUUUCUCUAGCUGCAGCAAUAAGAGCCAAUUGUAAUUGAUGAGCUAAGCAAUGUACAUAAUAUGCAUAAGGGGAAUCAUUAAUGAAUAAAGCUUGCAAACGAUUCCACUCUCCACGCAUAUUACUGGCACCAUUGUACCCUUGACCCCUAAUAUUUUAAACAUCAAGAUUGUGAUGAGAUAAAACAAAGGAAAUCUUUUCCUUAAGAGUUGCAGCAGUUGUAUCUUUGACAUGAACUAUAUCCAAAAAUCGUUCUCGUAUAAAUCCACUUCUAUCAACAAACCUAAUAACAAGGGUCAUUUGCUCUCUUCUAGAUUCAUCUCUAGAUUCAUCUCGAGCUUCAUCAACAAUUAAACAAAAUCUUGCAUCACCAAUCUCAUGACGAAUUGAAGACUUAACAUUUAUAGCAAAGACAUGCAAAAUUUCUUUUUGAAUUUGAUGUGAGGUGUAUUUAGCAUUUUGUGGAGCAUUACCCAAAACAAGAGCACCUACUUGUUCAUUGUAUGAUGCUAAAAGUUCCAUCAUUUCAAGAAAAUUACCUCGGUUUUUUUAUUCUGGACGUUCAUCAUGCCCUCUUAAAGCACAUGCUUGAAAUGUGAGCCAACGAACAAUAUCUAUUGAAGCUUUAAUACGCAAUCGAUUAUUCUGAAUUUCUUGAGUAGUUUGCCUCUUAACUACCUUCUCAAUAUGACAUGACUGGUUUUUUAAAUUUUCCAAGCACCUGGUAGCAAAUCUAUGAGCUAAAUUUGGACCUUUUUCCCAUAUGAGUCAAAAAAGCACACCGUUCCCCAUCAUUAACUUUCUUCCAAUUAACAGUAAAUGUGUCUGAUCCUGGCUUCCCAGAUGGUUUACUUGGAAAUAAAUAGCAAGGGAAACAAAAUGCAAAAUGCAGUAUUUUUCUCUGAAUAUUCAAGCCACGGAUAACUUUUGAACCAAUGAGACUAAAUGUUUUUUACCAGUCAGCGGAUAUUCAGACAUCAAAGGUUGAUAUGGCCCCAAAUUAAUGUAUGCCCUUUGAAUUUCAUCUUUUUGAUUAACCGGGUAUUUCUAAAUUUGAGGACGAUUGCUUGGAUCUCUAAUUAAAUGAGCAAUGUCGAUUCUAGUAAGCGGCUGCUCAUUAAUCAGUGCAGGUUCUUUAUAAACUGAAGCACAUUGAGGCUGCUCAACCAUAACUUCAACAUUACUUGGAGUUGGUUCACUAGGCUGUGAGUUAUCAAAUUUUUUUUUUCAAAAAAAAAAUCAAUUCUUCUUAUUUUGCUCAUGGUUCAACCUAAAUCAAAAUAUAUAUCGUGAGAAAAAAUUGAUAAUUUUGGUGGCUCUGCUAAAAACAAAACAUAAAAAAAAUCCAUACAUAAUCAAAACAAACCAAUAAAAUAUAUCUAAUUAAUUAGAAAAAAAAUCACUAUAACAAAAAUUCAAAAAACAAUUGUUAGAACUAGCAAAUUUGAAAAAAAUAAGCAAAAAUUAUAAAAUUAUAAAAAAAUCUCAUCAAAGUCUUAAUAAACAUCUCAAAAAAAAAAUAUUUUAAAUUUGAGUUAUUGAUAUCCAAUUACCUUGUUUUGUUUACGGGAAGAUAAAUUAAACAACUUUGCUUCAAUCUUUCCGCACAAAAAUUAUGUUUGUGAUCUGCAUCUUUAUUCUUGUUUUUGUUUUGACCGGCUGCGUUGCAACUUACAAGUAUUGAUAUUAGGGUUGUACUUUAUAGCCUAUAGGGAGAGAAAAGACAAAGAAAGACAUUGAUCACUUUAUAUUUUUUUUCUUUCCACGUAGGUACUUUGUAGCCUAUUACUUGUAAUUCUUUGGAAAAGCCGGAUUCUCUCUGUCUUCGAGUUUUCAUUCCUCAAUCCACGAAGGCAUUUUUUUAUCACUUUGUAGCCUAUUACAGCACCUUACAUUUAAUUACAAAAAAAAAAAUCUUGCAGGGUCCCGGGCCCCUGUUUGCCCCCCCUUCACUCCGCCCUUGCUUGUAGUUGCUGCAUCGUGAGUUUGAGGAGAGAUAUUAAAUAAUAUUUAUUUAGUCUUAUUUAUUAAGGGUAUAAUAGUAUUUUAAGUUUAACCUAUAUAUAAUUUUUUUGUAUUUAGGUUAACCCUAAGCAUUCAUAAUAAACAGAUCAUUGAGAAUUCUAGCUUUUUUUUUUUUGUGUGUGAUCUUUUAUAUAAAUAAUAUCUUGAUUAAUUAAUAAAUUUUCAUGGUCCGAGAUUGUUGUCUAAUUUUACUUUGCUGCUUGGGAUUUUUCAGUUGACUGUUGCAAAUGCGGAAGCAAGCAUUUCUUGAGAAUGACGCUGUAUUCAACUUUCAGAACAUGUGGAUUCUGGGCUGCUGAGAAGAAAACAAAAAUCAUUCCAGAUUUUCUUCAGUUAGAUUUAGACUGAUCAGGUGUCCGUAUCCGGCUAACACUGUGAGUUCAAGAUUUGUAAACCACAUAUAUACACAUGCAUGGUUGAAAAUAUAUAUACACGUGCAUGGUUGAAAACUUCGAGCAACUAGACUAAGGUGCAAUUAUAUCUAGCUAUGAAAAUUAUUCUGCCAGUCAGUUUUUGAAAAAAAAUAAUGUAGUAAAAUCAGGAUGCUGAAUUAUGGAGGAAUCACAUCAGUUCGUCUAUGCUUGAUUAAGUUCAUGAUUUUCUGCAGUCAGCAGCUACAGGCUUAAAAACUAAUCAUUGUAUCGGAAACCCGCAAGAAAUUGCUUAAGCAUGCUUAAAAAUUCCAUUCAAGUCAGACUUAAUGAUGUUAAUCAAGUUUCAAACUUUCCUAACCACAAAAGGAUUAUUAUGAGUCUAAGAAACCAUCGAUUGGUAUACAAGUCAAGAGGGCAGAAUUUCAGCUCAUUGUGACAUUUUACUUUGGGGUAACAGCAACUUCUCAGCUGAUCAUUAUCAUUGAAUGAUAAUUCUAAUUCUAAUAUAAGAACAUUGAAUAUAAUAUUGAUUCGUUAUCAUUGACGAUAGAUAUAGGCCUUAAGGAUUGUCAUUGCAGCAUCCAGUGAUUUGAAAAUGCCAGAAUUUCACAAUCACCAUAGUAUUUUCAGUUUACUACGUUGGAAAAAUCAAAAGUCUUGCCUGUUAAUCGAUCAUAUCCGAAGACAAUUUCUCAUCUCCUUCGAACAGCUGCUAAAAGAUGAAAGGACAACAUUUCCAACGAAUUCAGCCAGAUUUGGCAGCUGAUUUAAUAUUUUGAAAGUUGAAAACCACUGUUAAUAGCAUAUGAUGAUGGUGCCGAUUCUUGUUGCUGCUCAAAAGUCAUAAGCUAUUGUCUUAACAGAAUUUGUUCUAUUUGGUCUGAGAUUAUACACUGCCAUCUCUGCAGUAGUGCAGAUUUAGUGCUUGGCAGUGAUGUCUAUGUUUGUAUCUUUAGUGCCAUUUUUAAUAAGAUCUUUUUGUUCUAUCAGGAACAAAACGGGAAAACAGUUCUCCUCUUAGAAUAUAGAAAUCCUACUAACUGUGAAUUCAUUCAUGCACUAAAUUGCAAUAUACUAUAUGGUAAAACAAGACCAGGUGGUGUGUGCAUGACUUCGUGAGGUAAUUAAGCGGAAAUAACACAAUAGUAAGUUUUCAUCCCUAGUUCCUGCAUAUAGAUCUUUUAAUUCUGUUGUGAAUAUAUUUAUUUUUUUUGGUAAUAGUCGAAAGUUUUAUUAAGAAAAAAAGUUACAAAGAAUCUAACUUACAUUAGAUGAACAAGCAAAGAAAAGAAAAGCACAAAAGCUGCUGCAUGAAACAGGGAAGCGCAACAAUUAGAGGGAACAAAAAAUAAACAUAAGAAACCAACUCCUUCCUAUUGAACAUUCUCUAUAUUAAGCUCCAAACAGCUGGAAUCAAGCCUUAGCCGUAAAGCAAUACUUUAGCGUACCAUGGAGAAUCACAUUUAGAGGUUAGGGGCAGCAUCAUUAAAAAUGAUGUCAUUCCGGUGGAGCCAAAGAUUCCAAACAACGGAUGAGAAAAGAAGCUGCCAUGAGAGAUUCUGCUGCUUGCCUUUAACCAUGGAAGACCAUUGGUAGCACAUAUCAUCAAUAAAUUUUGGAAAAACAUUGCAAAAACCCCGAUUAGAAAGCAAUUUCAUCCAUAUAUUCCAAGUGAAGUGGCAGUGAAUGAAGAGGUGACUUGAAGAUUCCAAGCUUUUAUUGCAUAAAGCGCAUCUAGAUUCCUGAAGGAUGAGGUAGUCAUGCUAAAAUAGAAAAUAUCUUGUGGUUACUUUGUCUUGGACAAGGAGCCAGAGAAAAAGUUGCACUUUUGGUGGGAUUAGUUUUAUCCAAAUAGAAGAUUGGAAUGGUUUGGCACCACCGUAAAGCAUCUGGUCCAUCAUUUUAAAGCAAGAUUUUACACUGAAGAGGUCAUCGUUGUUGAGAGUCCAGAUUUUUUAUCCAUCUUGCAGCAUAACAUAGGCUUGUUAUGAAUAUUAUUUCUUGGAACUCCUGUGGCUUGGGCAUGAUAAGGAAACAAAGAAGAAUCACAAAAUUAAUAACAGAAUAUAAGAUUGAUAUAUGUUUCCUGCAGGAAACUAAGCUGGCUAAUUGUUCCAUUGACUUUGUGUCUCGUAUUUGGAAUGAAAAUCAUGUGAGUUGGUUUAGUAAUAAUGCUCAGGGAUCAAAAGGAGGUCUGCUUGUUAUGUGGAAAAACACUAACUUUGAAGUCUCUAAUAUUGAAUAAGAUCAUGUUUGGAUCGGUUUAUAUGGUAAACAUGUUCACAAUGAUUUUCAUUGCUUUGUUAUUGGCAUCUAUGCUCUUUGUAACUAUUAGAACAUCCAACAACUUUGGGAUGAUCUUAUUCUUCUUAAACACGCUUUUGAAGUUCCCUAGAUAAUAGCUGGAGAUUUUAAUAAAACACUCUCUCAGAAAGACAGAAACAGUGAAAUCUGUCAUCCUGCAGGCUCAAAUUCUUUAAGUAGAUUCCUGCAGUCUUGUGAGCUCAUUGAAUACCCUUUAGCAGAAGGUUAUUUUACUUGGUUUAGAGGAGGGUCCAAGAGCAAACUGGACCGUAUGUUCACAAACUCAUCCUGCCAUCUUCAUUUCCCCAGUUUAUCUCUUCGUCGACUUCUAGUUCUCGGAUCAUUGCCCUUUAAUUAUAUCUAGCUUCUUGCAGGACCAUGAAUGGCGUCCUUUUUAUUUCUUAGACUGUUGGAUUUAGUACCCAAAUUUCAAGCACAUCAUUGAAAACUUCUAGAAUGAUGCAUGCUCCCUUCACCCUAGCCGCUUCAAAUUUCUCAAAAAGCUCAAUCAUAUUGCAGUCAGAUUGAGGCAAUGGAAUAAGCUCGAAUUUGGAAAUCAAGAAGAUGCCCUUCACGAACCCUUUUAGCUAUCAACAUACUAGAGGAAAAAUAUGAAGAAAAAGGUAUAACCGACCAAGAGCAGGAGCAUUUAGACUUUCCGUUGAAAGACCGCUGGGUUCGCAACAACCACAUUGAAUCUAUUUGGAGGCAUAAAUUAAGACAGAUGUGGUGCAAAUUAGGUGACAGAAAUAACAAGUUUUUUCACUUAAUUGCCAAUUUCAGGAAGGAUAAAUCAUAUAUCCUAAAAAUCCACCAUAAUGGCAACACUUUUGAUUCUCAACAGGGUAUUAAGCAGGCUGCUGUGGAUUAUUUCUCUGAGCCGUAUGACUCCCCCUCUGAAAGAAAGCCGCAAUUAAAUCCUUUGGGUUUCAAAUGCCUCUCUAAAGAAUCCUCUGAAUGGCUGGAGCAGGAAAUCACAAUGGAAGAAGUGAAGCGCAGUGUAUGAGGUUGUGAUGGGUCAAAGAGUCCUGGACCAGAUGGUUUCAACUUCAAAUUCUACAUAUUAGCAUGUGAUUUUAUUGCUCAAGACAUCCUCGAUAUAGUCUUAAGCUUCUUCAGAAUUGGAAGGCUACCUAAAGGAAUCAAUACAACCUACAUAACUCUCCUCCCCAAGACAAUAGACCCCAUAGAGUUUAAAGAUUUUCGACCCAUCAACAUGAUUCAUGGUAUCUACAAGAUCAUUGCUAAAAUCCUUGCGUCCAGAUUGAUGACUGUUAUGCAAGAUAUCAUUAGCAUUAACCAAUCAACAUUUAUAGCAGACCACAACAUUAUAGAUGGCUUUAUGAUUGCGAAUGAGUUGGUGAGUGAUCUGAAAAAGCCAAAAGCGGCAGGUUUGAUUUUCAAGAUUGAUUUCUAUAAAGCCUUCGACUUGGUCUCUUGGGAUUACCUAGAUGAUAUCAUGGGUUAUAUGAGGUUUGGCAGAAAAUGGAGAAGCAUGAUUUAUGAAUGUCUUUCUUCAUCAAAACUCUUGGUCCUCAUCAAUGGAUCCCCUUCAAAAUAAUUCUCUGUUCGACGAGGAUAGCGUCAAGGAGACCCGAUUACCCCUUUUCUGUUUGACAUAGCUGCUGAGGGCCUCUCGAUCCUCUUUCAAAGGGCAUCUAGUGGGAACAUUCUCAAAGGGCUGCAAUUCGCAUCAGGAAUUUGCUUCAGCCAUCUAUAAUAUGCAGAUGACAUGCUAAUAUUCAUCCCAACAGAUAUUGAUCAGUUAGUUCAAGUCAAAAGAAUUUUGAGAUGGUUUGCUCUGAUUUUAGGCCUUCACAUAAACUUCCAUAAAAGCUCCAUUAUUGGUAUCAAUGUCGACGAUCACUUGUGCUUGCGCUUGGCUACAUCUAUUUUUUGCAGAUCAGACUCCCUCCCAAGAAAAUAUCUCGGCAUGCCACUGGGAGCCAAUCCAUCUCGUAUCUCCACAUGGAAGCCAGUGAUAGAGAAGUUUCGUAAAAGGCUUCAUAUGUUAAAAGAGAGAUUAUUAAGCAUGGCUGGUCGUCUUUGUCUCAUUAAAAGUGUUGUUAAUUCCUUGCCUAUAUAUUUUAUGUUCGUAUUCAAGAUGCCGAAAGGGGUAGGCAAGCUUCUUUCAUUCAUCCAAAUAUGUUUCUUGUGGUGUGGAUGUACCAAGCGGAGAUCUUUCUGCAAGAUCCAAUGGAGACUAGUGAUGUAGCUUUGAACAAGAUCUUUGGCUGUCGAAAUGGCUGCAUCACUUGAAAAUACUUGGUCAGAAGUGACAAGCCCUUAUUGCUUACCAAGUUCUGGAAAUAGUGGUUGUCAAAUAGAUCAGUUGGGUUCCGAUCAAGAGCUGUAGACUUGUUCCCAUCAUCGGUUAGUGGACAUGGAUUCUGUAGACAGAUACCUUACUUGAUUCCAUUGUAACGUCUGGAGAACCAGAUCCCGAGAAGUUGAACAAUCUGUAGUUGAAGGUAGCCCCUUUUGCUAGUCCAAUUGUGUGAUCGAGCACCUUAAUGAAAUUACAUAAUAUCCGAUUUUCAGACUAAUGAAAUUAUGCAUGUAAUUUACAGUUGAAGAACAAGUCCUUGUAGCACACAGCGUGGAUGCAGUUCUCGUUAAGCGGAUACUAUCUCUGAUAAGGCCAUAUUAGGUGAUCUUGUACCUAUCUCCCUCUCAAAAGCUAACUUAUGCUGUGAGGCUUUCCCUCCUACUAUGAACUCUCUCCACCAUCCCCUUCCACAACCGACAUACAUUGGUGACAUUCAAACAUACUCCAACAAACCUACGAUUAGUGUCAUCCACUCCUUCAAAUUGGGGCAGGGAGUUGAAGAUUUGCUCCAGUCUGGUUAGCCACUAGUCCAUCUCUUCUUCCGAGCAGAACUUUCCAUGAUUUCCCCCCUCUCUGCCGACAUAUUGUAGCUCAAAAUCAUCUACAAAGACUGCAUAUUUAACAUGAUAAACAGAGAAUAUUGGACUAACACCACUACAUUGACUUUCCACAUGACUUUUUAUUGCAUCAACAACUUCAAAUCCCCUUGCUGAAUUUAGGUUCGGCAGGGUAAACUUCUCAUCAUCAUCUCCUCUCCAUUGACAGGGAAAAAAAUAUUUUUGAAGUGUUGUUUAAGUUUAUUGAUCGAAUUAUAGUUUUUAGCCUCUUUUUAUUUUGUUUAUUCAGGUUCUGGCAGUCAUAAGUUAACAGGGACUAUGAAUCAUUACUCCUCAAAAACAUGCAUGAUCCUCUAAACAGUCGAGGGGUUCCCUAUUUUAUGGCUCAAGCUACUGAUUUUAUUAUUAGAUCCCCUAUAUUUAAUCAGUUCUUCAAUUGGGUCCCUCGGUUAACUUCCAUCGACCAUAAGUGACUGUUAUCUGAUGUAAUAAUGGGCACCUAAACGACUGGCCCAAUUUUGCACCCUUACAUCAGAAUAUCAGAGGGAUCUAAUUGAGAAAACAAUGAAAGAUGGGGGAACCAAUUGAGAAUAUCGAUGGUUUGGAAACUACAAUGAGAAACUUCAAAUAGGGAGACUAAUUUGAGAUUUGCCAACAAGAAAUUAAAAUCAGGGCAUGAGAGAUUUGUGGAGCUUACAAAAAUCAAUUAACAAGCAAAUUGAUCAUUUGUCAUCCUUUUUCAUUGGUGACGUGGAUCAUUUCUCAUCUUUUCCAUCCUUCAAGUGACUAGAAUUUACUUUGUACCAUUGCUAGCUGCUUAACUAACUGCCAAACAUAAGUUGGCGCUAAGGAUAACGGACAUCACGUGUCAGACUGAGAACAGACCACGUGUCAAAAUCCCAUUAAGAUAUUUUUCUCAUCUGGUUCCUUAAAGACCACUAACCAACUUAACUGAACAAACACUCAGUCUCACUAGAUUCUUCGCUCCAACAAAAUAAAAAUGGCUCUAAAAUUUCAUGCUGCCAUUCAUUUAAGCUUGCAAUUGAGCCCAUCUCCUACAUUAUUUGCACCAUCAUUUUGUAAGCCUCAGAAACUCUUGAAAUCAUUAGUUAAAAAAACUCAUGUUUGUCAAUCCUCUCUUGUUGAUGAACAGCAGCAGCAAAUUUCAUUCAAUGAGCAAGAAAAUCAGCUGAUAAAUGCCCUUGUUGGCAUCCAAGGCAGAGGAAAAUCAGCAUCCCCCCAGCAACUCAAUGUACGUCUUCUUGUUUUCCCUCUAUUUCUUGACGAGAUGCUGUGAUUGUUUUAAAUGUAAUGGGACUUUUUGUCAGGAGGUCGGACAUGCAGUUAAAGUUCUUGAAGGCUUAGAAGGAGUGUCUGAACCUGUAAGUGAUAAGUUUUUGGAAUCUUGAUUAGUGGGAUUUCUCUUCUUUUGUUUUUUUUGUAUAUAAUUCCAGAUUUUGAUUAAAAUUGUUAAAGUUUGAUAGGUUUCUUUUUGUUUUUGGGUUUUAUGUCAAUGUUUGUUUACUUUGGAAACUAGAGUAAAUCAAAUUAAAGGCAGUUUAUGUUUGUUUGCAGCAUGAUUGAUUUCAUAAGAUUAGUUGGAGUCAUCUGUAAUUAGCCUAAAAAAUUGACAAGUAAAUUAUUUUGGAAUAAUGGGAGGGGCAGAUGAAAUUGUAAUGAUGUGUUGGAUCUUGUGAUUGUUAUGAAUUCUGAUGAUUCUGAGCACCCACAGACAGGCUCGAACUUGAUCGAAGGUCGGUGGCAAUUAAUGUUUACGACUAGACCUGGGACAGCAUCUCCAAUUCAGGUUAGAUUGCAAUUUGUUGCCAUACAUUUUUGUUGUGCUUUUCAUGUAACUUAGUUCCUUAGUGUAAAAUAUUGGAAUUUGUCCUAAUUUUCUUGUGACAACAUCGGGAUUGGAUAUACUUUUCUGGUGCUUUUGUGUCACAAUUUAGAAAUCAUUGGAGUAAUAUAAAACCAUACAUCAAUUUUUAAAUUAAUAAGGUUAUUUGAUAUAAUAUCAUAAUUUUAAUCAUGAAUUCUAAUUUCUCCGCCCUUACUUUAUCUUUAGUGUGGAUUUGUACAAAUUUCGAGUCCAAUAAAACUUUCUCCCGAGAAAGUAUAUUAGAAAAUAAUAUAAAAUUAUUUUUAAAUUUAACCUAAUAGUAAAGUUUUGGUUUGAAAUAGUUUUUUUUUACAGAAACUCCAAAAUCGCAAAGUGGAUUUGCUGGGUUGAUACCAUUUUGAAUAGCAUAAAUUUCUCCCAGUGCAUUUUGUGCUCAUUCUGGCCAUGUGCUUUGCAAUAUGCUGCAGAGAACAUUUGUUGGUGUUGACUUCUUCAGCGUAUUUCAAGAGGUAUACCUUCGGACAAAUGAUCCUCGUGUGUCCAACAUUGUAAAAUUCUCAAAUGCUAUAGGCGAGCUGAAAGUAGAGGUAUGAAUCCACUAUCUUUUCUAGUAAGUUAUAAGCAUUUCCACCAGAAAAGUCUCAUCAUACACCAUUAGCCACCUCGAUUAAGUGAUGUGAGGGACGAGCCAGUCAGCCCGAGCCCAUCAAGUCAUUGCACUCUAGUCAUCUUUUCAUUUUUGAAAGCAUGGCCUUAGAAUAGAAGAAGGGACUAGGACAAUCAGCAUAGAUGCAAUGGUUUCUCCUUUAACCUUAAGAAGUAUCUGACAUGCACAUGCAUCUUCAGAGCUAUGCAAAAAUGCUUUGACUAGGUAUUUUUCUCUUUUAAAUGAUGCAUAUAGUGAACCAUGUAGAGGUUAUAGCCCCAACUUCCAUGCAUCUGAAGUUCAUGUUUCAAGCUUUGUUAUGAAUGACCCACUCCUCUUUCUCUUACCCUAUGCACAUUUCAUUUUUCUCUCAGGCAGCAGCAACAAUUGAAAAUGGAAAGAGGAUCCUUUUCCAGUUUGACAGAGCAGCCUUUUCUUUCAAUUUUUUACCAUUUAAGGUUCCAUAUCCAGUGCCAUUUAGGCUUCUUGGUGAUGAAGCAAAGGGCUGGCUGGACACCACAUACUUGUCUCCAUCUGGAAACCUUCGCAUCUCGAGAGGAAAUAAGGUAUGUAAGAACUACAUGAUCUUGAGCAUCCUAAAUUCAGUGUAUAUGCUGUUACCUUCUCUAUUGGUGGGUGGUAGGUACUAAUGAUAUUGGUUCAGAAGUUUUCUUUUGGUUUCAUUUGCUGAAGUCAUCAAGCAAUGUUUCUGUAGUGCAGGGCACCACCUUUGUGCUCCAAAAGAAAACUGAACCUAGACAAAGAUUGCUGUCAGCAAUUGGGACAGGAACCGGAGUUCUAGAGGUAAAAUUACAAUCGUCUUUCUAGACCGUCAGAGGACGUGCUUUGUUAGCUAAUAUAGCUCCACGUUGCUAAUUACAGAGCUAUAACCUUUGCAGGCAAUCAAUGAAUUUAUAAAGUUAAAUCAGAAUGUUGCUAAAGAUGAAAUGGAACUCAUCGAUGGAGAGUGGCAGAUGAUAUGGAGUUCACAGGUGAUUGUGUGAUGAUGAUUGCACAUAUUUAUUUAUUUAAUAAAACAAACUUGAAUUGCCUAUAAAAUUAUUCUUAAAACUUCAUCUAAUAACUUAAGUUUUUAGAUUAUAAUGAUUUUCUGACAUGAUAUCAAAGCUUAAAUGAUCAAAAUCUCACCACCGCAUUCUAUUUAAUUAAAUUAUAAAAAUUAAGUACAAAGUAGCAGUGAGUCGUGCAAAUUUAAGUUCAAGAAAUUUUACUUGAAAAAGCGUACCGAAAAAUAAUAUAAAAAUAUUUUUGAAACCUCAACUAAUAACUUAAGUUUUUAAAUUGAGAUUGUUUUUUGAUAUAGACAUCAUCUCCAUGAAUAAUGUUUCUAGAAGGUAGUAAAAGGAUCGUUGAAUCAUUCAAAUUCAAGCGACUUUCUUCUGCGACUUUCUUCUUAUAACGCAUUCAGAUAUUAAAUUUAAAUUUUUUACUUGUCACUGAUUCUUAAUUAGCUCUUAAUAUGAUUUUUUUGUCAGUUCUACUUUACCUAGACCCAAAUAGCAAUUUUUAUGAUGCAGAUGGAGACAGAUAGUUGGAUAGAGAAUGCUGGCAGAGGUCUAAUGGGAAAGCAGGUAAGCACAAAGGAUGCCAAUAAUCUUCUUCAUGUUAAAUCUUUCUGCAUACUCGAAUCUUCUUUACAAAUCACAUCCUAACCCCCUCACCCUCUACUCCUGCCGUUUCAGAUUGUCACAAAGAACGGACAGUUAAAGUUCGUCGUCGACAUCUUGCUCGGUGUCAGGUUCUCCAUGACAGGAACAUUUGUGUAAGUCUCUCAGCACUUUGUGGGGAUCUACAGAGAAGAAAUGCAAGUAAAACUGAUAUGGCACAAACUAUUGGCAGGAAAUCAAGUCUCAAUACAUAUGAUGUUAAAAUGGAUGAUGCAGCCAUCAUUGGUGGCAUGUUUGGACUCCCUGUGGAGAUGGAAACCAAGAUUAACCUAGAGUUGCUGUAAGAUUUCUGGUCUUAGAUACUAUCAAAUUGCAUGAUCCCAUGAUGGUUUUCUCCGCCGACCAUUAACAAGAGACGGUAUACAUGUUGUUGCAGAUAUAGUGAUGAUAAAAUCAGAAUCAGUCGAGGGUACAAAAACAUUGUGUUUGUGCAUGCACGAACAGAUGGAACAAGGCAGAAUUAAGCCAAUUGGUGGAUCAACCAAGGAGAAUUUGCAUCUUGUUUCUGUCAGUUUUCUUGAUGCAUCUUUGACAGAAUAUUAUAAAGAGGAAAUUGUGAGUGUUCUUAUUCAAUUUGUAUUGCAUAUAUAUAUAUAGCAUACAGAACAUUGGUUUUCCUUUGAUUUUCCCUUCCCUCUUUUUUUCCUUGUGUAGAAAAUUGAACUAAUAACAGUAUACCUGCUUGUCAGCUAAAUGGAGAUAAAAUCUGAUAGAUUUUUAUGAAAUUCAGGGUAAAUAUUAAUACUUGAUGAAUCCGUUUUGAAGAGAUAAACGGAUAUAAAAAGUAAAAAAAAAAAAAAUCCAUAAUGAUAAGAAUAUUUUCACGUUGAACAAGUAUUAUUUUCAAGGAGUUGUUUGGUAUUAUUUUUAUUUUUGGAAACAAAAACAUAAAAAUGGUUUGUUAUUGUUUUUUUUUAAUGAAAAAAAUAAAACCAACUAUUAUCAGAAGUUUUUGAAACACUUUAUUUUUUGAGAAUUUUUAAAAAUAGUUGGUUUCUAUAUUUUUGAAAGAAAAAAAUAUCUUUUAUUUUAAGAUUUUUGAGAACAAAAACGGAAAACAUUAAUAAAACCUACAACCCCAAACAAAACGAUAAUAAUUUUGGGAGACAGUGACUCUACGUCAAUGGUCCGCAUCUGUGCGUUGAGGUAAUAGCCCAUGAAAGUUGGCCAAUCAAACCCAUAUUUAAGCCUAGCCUUUUGGUUUGCUUUAAAACCAUAGGCAAUAUUUGGGCCCUAAAACCUUCCAUACGUAAAGCCUUCCAUACACAAGCUUCCAUGUUAAUUUUGUGAUUGAAUUAGAAAAAAAAAAAAAGAUUUGAAUAUAUAAUUUAAAAACUAUCUCAACCUGUAGAAAAUUUAAACUAGUGAGGUGUAUUUAUAUUAUUAACUAAUUUUAAUUAAAAAAUAAAAUAAAGAUGAUAAAUUUAAAUGGAUAAAUAAAGUGUUUUAUUCUCUUAUAAACCUUCAUUUAUAACAAAAAGAAAAUCUACCUUCCUCUAUAGAAUCCCACUAUCAACAAUAAUUAGCCAUGCUAAAAUUAUAUAUAUCAACAAGUUCUAUAUAUAUAUAUAUAUAUAUAUAUAUAUAUAUAUAUAUAUAUUCUAGAAAGAAAGGCCACCAACUAACAAGUAAUUGCAGCAUGCAGCAGCCGCUAUGAUGUCAGGUCUCCGAGGGAAGAGCUAUCGGAUAUAAAUAUGGUGCAAAAGGAAGGAAUAAAUCGCAUGCAUGUGAAAGGGUCUAUUUAUCAAUACAUAAUCAAAUCCAUCCAAAUCAAUUACUUUUAUAAUAAUAAUAAUAAUUUAUUUUUAAAUAUUAACUCAAUUACAUUUAAUCAAGUCAAUUAAAAGUUUUAUCAAAGUUAAUAUCUUAUUCAAUUCAAUUAAGAGUUUAAAUCAACCAAAUUUUAAAUCCUGAAUCAGUGGAGUCAACCUAACGGAAGUUGGAUUUAACAAGGGAAAAAACAAAUAGAAAAGGAGGGCAAAGACGCUCUUAGAACCUGUUUGACAACACGGCUAGCUGCCCAUUUGUUUUUUAAAAAAAUAUAUAUUAAAAAACAACAAUGCAUAACCAACAUCAAUACAAUUCUUCCUUGUAAAAUCAGCCUCCUGGCUGAAACCCUUAACCGGUAUAGGUUAAAAAAAAACUGAAAAAAACUUAUUAAUUAUUUUUUUGAUAAAAUUUUUAAUCAAAACAAUAUCCUUUAAUUUUUUUUAUUUUUAAUUUUUUUGAAGAGAUCAACUUGGAUUAAACCCUCCUGAUCCAUUACAUAAAAGAAUUGCAUGCGUGACACGUUACCUUAUCCUUUGUAUGUUUCACAAGCGUGGAGGGCACGGUCACCAUCACCAGCAUCACUCCAAGUAAAAAAUAUAGAGAUUGAGAUAAGAUUUAGUGAGCAUUUAGCGGGGAAACAUGAUCUAUAAUAAUUACUUACCACACCAUGCUCUUGGAAGGUAAUUUAAUGCAAGUUAAAUUCAUAUCGAUUUAAAUGAUAUAGAAUUUAGUAUGAUAUUUUAGUCUAAGAUUUUCCUUGAUCAAUUCAACCAGGAUUAUUAAAUCCAAUACCCAUAACUUAGACAAUGUUUUUUUUAUCAAAAAUCAAAUUAAAUUUUGAUAGAAUCACAAUUCACAAGUCAAUUUUAGAUCAACUUUUUAAAAAACCUAACCCGGGCCCAACUAAAAAAGAGUAUAACUACUAACCCAACAAGGUAUCUUGGGGGCAAAAAAAUAUAAAGUGUAUUUAGCAUCCUUUCUUCUCGUGAGCUUUUUCUUUGUCAAGUAAUAUCAAGCAACCUAGUCUUUUUUACAUUAUUUCAGGCCCAAAGAUCAUGACUUGUUUGCCAACCAAACUAAGGUAACGCGGUCUACACAGAAAGGAUAUAGCCAUCAAUUGAAGUAAAGCCACCUCUGUGACCACACGAAGAGUGCAUUUGCUCUUUAGACAAAAUUUAAAGGAAAAAUCUUAGUCUUCUCAUGCAGCUGUGAUGUCUGAAAUAUUCUUAUGGAAAUAAUUAAAAGUAUACUCUACUAUAGGACCCCUUGUAUCCAAAGGAAAAAAAACAAAUCAUGAAAGGUUGCUUCGUGGAUUAGCCACGCAUCUUGGAAGCUGGGUUUUCAAGGUUCAAGCACACAGGAAACAAGGAUUUGGCCUUUCCUUGAUUUCAAAGAUUAAGCAAGAAACCUACGGUUCUACACCGUAAAUGAAUGAUGCCCCCACAAAAACUGUAAAUGUUAAUUACCUAUCACUCGAUUCAUGACUAGAUUAUAGACACAUAAGCUAGCAUAACAUGAACAUGAAUUCUGUCAAGAUUCGACAAAUAACAUUGUAUUAACAAUGAACCUGAUACGGCAGACAAACAGUUGCUGCCAUCUUCAUGUCGGGUAAAGGAAUGCAGGAACACAGCUUAAGGCAGACGGUGAGAGACCAAAAGUGUCGAGCUCUUUAUAAACCUGGCAUAAAAGGGAUCCUCAGUACCUGACACAGAAGGAAAGAUUUUAAAAUCAAGUGAUGGAACAAAAACCAAUUGAAUGCCACAACGAUUAUAAGAACUAAUAUUGCUAGUCAAGACCUAUUGCAGGCUCAUUAGUGUAGCAGACUCAUCAUCAAGUCUCCAAAUUUCUGCAUCAUCCACCAGGACAGUCACUCGUGUGGAAGCAACAUAGCCUGCUGCUUAAAACACACCCCUAUAAUAGGCAACAAAAAAAAAAUCUUAAAGCUACGUCUCUGGGAAACAUAAGCAUCACAUUUGCCGGGUAACAUGUGAAUCUCAGGAGCUACAAUUGCUCAAACAUUGGACACCGAUUUUUAUGAUCAAUUGAACUAUCAAAAGUAUGCGAGUUCUCAAAAAGAAUUUUAAGUCACUAUCUGUCUGCAAUUACAAGUCAAGCUGCAUUAACUUCAUAUGAGGAGACACUAAAUGUUUUCAUGCAAGAUAUUGCACUUUAGCUCUCUCUGAACAAUCCAGUAACGGAUAUACCAAGGGACAGGGAAAUUGUUGAGGCCAUUUAUUUUCCAAUUUUAGCCACUGAAUGUAACUCCACCCUCUUUGACUACAAACAACAAUAAGCAAUAACAGUUAUUGGCAUCAAAGUACAAGUUUAGCACUAAUAAGCAAAGUUCGAAGAGCAACACCCAACCAAAUCUCCCAGCAUUCUCAAAUUGGAAACUGUAAUCAGAGUCUCAGAUGGGAAAGUUUUAUUAGAAUCUCCAACAGCUGGUUUUCUACUUCUAAUCAUAUCUGGAAUCAGAAAGUAAUAAACCUACCAUCCACUAUCACUCAAUCAUGUGUAACUUUUUAUGGCUACAUGUCAUAACAACCUGGGAUUUCAGAGGGAGAAGUUCUUCAGGCUCAAAAGUUUCAGAUCUCCUGAGAAAACCAAAGAACCAAUAAAAAAAAAAGGCCAUUUAGUAAUUAAGUACAGAAACAUGAACAAAAUGGUAACAAUUAUAAAGGUACAUGUGCACAGAUCAGAACAGCAGGCCUCCCUUCCCUGCAAUCAAGAAUUGAAAUAAUACUAGAAAAGUAAUCACAAAUAUAGUAAGGAUAAUUUGGAUAAAACAUUCAGAAAGGCAUUCCAUGGAAAGGAAAAAAAAAACAAAAGCAAACGCGGUAGAAAUGUUUAUGGAAUUAGACAAAUGAAAAGCCAGUACAUCAUGGUUAGAGAUUUACGCCACAUGUUACAGGUUACAUCCAGCUCAAAAGCCAUAAAAUGCAACAUACAGAUUUAUGCUUUUAACAGAACUAACAUUCACACUAGCCCCCCAUUACCUGAACCCUUCCACCCAAAUUCCACCCGCGGUAGCCUAAAAAGGAUAACAAGAUACAACCUACUUCCUAGGUUUUGUAAUCUGAACAAGGGAAAAUUGGGGAAUCAAAACAAAUCCUCCCUUAUUUCCUCCUUUCAGACCAACAAAACAUAAAAGAGAAAAAAAAAAUUAAACUAAAUCUACAAAGAUCACAUUUAUCCUUUGUGCAAAGACAUGAACAUGAUAUUCCAUCUAUUCAGAGAAGAGACUCACAUUAACGCGGGACAAAAGAUUAGUCACCACCGCCAAUGCUCAUCUCUAAGGACACUUGAUUAUCAUUAGAAGUGUCCUCCUUUGAAACCAUUUUGUCUUGCACAACCCUGUUGUCAGCAGUAUCACCUUUAGACAGGCUCCUCCACCUUUGAAACCAGACGGUCUGGUAAAAGUUAGCUUCCCCUCUUCAUCAUUUGCUUCAUCAACCUUCACUGUUUCUGCAUCAGUAGCUACAAAAUCGUCUCCUUUUUCUACAUCAUUAACAAAUCCACUACCUGCCUUCUCAUCCUUAACCUCAUGCUUCAUGAUAACUUGAUCAUCAGUGCAUUUUCUUCCAUACAAACAUCAUCACUCCCCUUCCUCCUUAUCAACAUUACUAACAUUCCUCCCUACUCUCUCCAUUUCCACCCACUCCAUCACGUCCUCGUUACCGUCGUUAGCUACAGUAUUCACACCAAUAUCAGAUCCUCCAUCACUCUCAUUCUCAGAAACAUUCUCCACAACCUCCUCAUUAACAUCUUCCAAAACCAUAGCACUACUGCUACUCUGACCAUGCUGCUGAUGCCUCUCCAAAAACUGCAACCUCAUCCUCAAAUCCCCUAACUCACUCUCCAUCAAAAACAACCUCUCUUUCAAAGUCAAAUUCUCCUCUUCCAAUUGCGCUAUAUGCGUGUCCUGAUCAUCAACCCUAUUCUCCAAAACAUUAUUAUUAUUAUUAUAACUAUACUCCCCUCCAACACCACCACCACUCGGAUAAAUCAUCUCAAACCUACUCAAAUCAUGAUCCAAUCUCCUUUCCACUUCCACGUGCUCUUCCACAUCACUCUCCUCAUCAUCCUCAUCAUCCUCACUCGCUUCAUUUCCAGGGGAUCUCAACCUAAUCAACCCCUUCAUCGAUCCAUACCCAUCAACACCCCACUCCUCUUUCGCCAUAUCACCUAACACCUCCCUCGAAGGCGAAAACAUCGGAGUUGGCAACAUUGCCGGAGUCACCGGACACGGAGAAACCAACGAAGCAAUCCCACCAGAUUUUUUCGCCCGGAUAAUAAACGACGUCGUAUUCCUCGGCGCAUAAGGCGCGAACCGAUUAUUAAAUUUCUUCUUUGGAUGAUAAUAUUUCCGCGCUUUCAUUCUGUUUUGUGUUUGCAAUUCAUUCAAACUCGGUGGCUUAUACCCUCCGCCACCGCCGCCACUAACACCACAAGAUAAACCAGGGUUAUUAUUGGAAUUUUCCAUUCUUUUGUUGUUGUUGGCAUUUUUACCCUUCCAGUUGCUGCUGCUGUUGUUGCUGCUUCUAGGCUUUGAAGGAACAAAAUUAUUAUUAAACUUCGACGGAUUUUGAAACUUCUUGAAAGGUCUCUGGUUCAUCAUCAUCAUCAUCAACGGCUGUGGUUGAUUCAUGGCUUGACUGUGACUCAACAUCUGUAAUUGAAGAUGAAUCGGCGGUGGCUGACCCAUCAAUUGCGGUGGCUGCUGAUUCAUGAUUGACGGUGAUGGCUGAUCGUUCAUUAUUCAAACCCUAAGACAAAAAAAAAAAAAAAGAGGCUCGGUUUUGACGUACAAAAAUCUAAAUUAGCAAAUUAGAUUUGCAAGUAAGAUCAAUUCCCGUCUACUAAGAAGAAGAGGAUGAGAAAUUAAAGAUCAGAUCGAAAAACCCUAAAAAGAACAGAUAUUUUUCGACUUUUUAAAACUUCUUUAAUUUGUUCUGAAUUUUAGAGAUCUAGAGAAUUCCUGGUUAAUUUUUUUUUAGGGCUGUGUUAUUGUGUUAGCGGUGGGGUAUAAAGGGGCUGUUUAUAUAAGGGAUAAAGGAGAUUUAUGGCGGUUGGAUUUGGGGGUUUUUUAAUGGACGGUGGAGAUGAAAGGACGUGUCGGUUUGAAAGGGUUAUGAUUUGACUGCUUGAAGGCGAUAAGUAGGGAAAUGGCAAACUAGUCUUUAUUUUCUAUGGGCUUAGGGUUUGGUUUAUGAGAUAUUGAAUAUUUUAGGUUGGAGAAUGAAGGGACUUUGCAACUUGGUCCUUUAGAGUUUUUGUAUUUAAUAACAAUUGUAGAAGUACUUCUAUGUUCUUUUUUGAAAGAAUUUUGGGUUUUGGAUAAUCAUCUAAAACAAUCCCUUUCAAAUUAGUAUUUUCAAUAAUAUUAAUUUGAAUAAAUAGCAUUACUCGAACAUUUUGAGCUACUCACUGGUACAGUUUUUUUUUAUUUAAUAGCAAAUUGUAUUCUUGAUUUAGUUUUUAUUAGAUAAUUAUUUACAUUAUGUAUGUUUCCGAGUGAAAUGAAAAAAUUUCAAUGUAAAUAUAAUAUCUAGAAUGAAAUCUAUUUUAAAAUAUUAAAAUCAUAACAUAUUAUAUCGACUUGGAUCAACUUAGAUUAACAUGUCAAAUUUAUUAUCCAAAUCAUGAGACUAUGAUAAUUUUAUUGAAAGCAAAUUAAAAAAAUAUUAAACUCAAUUCUCAAUCAAUCCAAUGUAAUGUUGAAGGAUGAAAUUUAAAAUAAAAUUCAACUAAAAAAAUGAGGCAAAUCAACUCGGUUAAUCUAUGAAAUAUGGAUCAUAAAACUGGAAUAACCUUAUAGAAAUAAAUCAAAACAAAUUAUAAAACUCAAUUCCUAAUCAACUCAAUAUUGAAUGGUGAAAUUAAAAAAAACAAAAAAAAAAAAACCACCUGAAUCAACCAACCAAACUUGUGACUCGGGUUAUGAGACUAGAUCGAUUGCAAACCAAAACAAAUUAUGAAGCCUAAUUUCCAAUCAACUCAAUAUUGAAUAAUGAACUUCAAUAAAAUUCAACUAAAAAAACAAUAAAAAUCCAAGUCAAUUGGCCUAACCUAUGACUUGGGCCAUAAAACCGUGAUAACCACUUAAAAAGCAAAUAAAAAAAUUUAUAAACUUCAAUUCUCAUUCAACUUUAAUUUUCAAGGAUUACAUUGAAAAAAAAUAAAAAAUGUUUGGCGUAAACUUGAGUUAAUUUACCAAACUCAUGACAGAAGACUGUGAUAACUACAUAGAAAGCAAUUCGAAAAAAAUUAUAAAGUCUGAUUCUCAAUCAAUCCAAUAUUGAAGAAUAAAAUUUUUAAAAAAUAGACAAAGAAAACGACCCGAGUCAACACGACUAUAACCCGCAAAAUUCACGACUCGAGUUAUGAGACUGGAAUAACUUAAUAGAAAAGAAGUCAAAACAAAUUAUGAAGCUCUAUACCCUAUAAAUCCAAUAUUGAAAGAUAAAAUUGAAUAAAAAAAGACCUAAAAAAUUUAAGAACCAAAAUAAAAAAGAACUUGGCUUUUCAUUGUGUAUUACUAUGUUGCUAUGGUGAAAAGCUAAGCACUUUUAAUAUAUGUUAAUAUAUUAAAAUUAAUUCCGUCUUAUUGUGUUUAAAUAAAUUGUUUAUGUAUUAAUUUAAGGAAUAAUUAUGUGUGAAGUAUAGAAGAGUGCAUCUUAUUAAGCAAGUUAACCCUUUUGAAUAUUAGAUUUAAAGUUAGUUCAUAGAUACCAAUUAUUUAAACUUAUCAUGUAAAAUUCUUGGAAGAAGGGAAUACAAAGAGGGAAAGAAUGGAAUGAGUGAAAAUUAAGAGAGAGAAAAGUAACAUACUUUGAUGAUGGUGAUACUUAGAGGUGGCUUGGGUGGUAAGCAAGGAGGAAAAUGACAUGCAUGGGACAUAUAUUUAGUUAAUGUUUUAGAAUAAAGAUAAUAUUAUAAAUACGGUGAAGAUAUAAAAAUAAAUAUUUAUAAGAUAAUUUGAUUUAAUUUUUUAUGUUUUCAGAAUAAAAAAUAUAAAUAUAUAUAUUUUUUAAUUGUAAAACAGUAAUCAAAUGUUAACGAAGAAUAUCAUGCGCUAAUUAAAGGGAAUAAGUAUUUCUCACUUCUAUUCUUGUUCCCAGCUUGCAAUGAGGAAGAUCGUGUGAUGAUUUUUUUAGGCUUUUCAAUAAACCUUAUGAUAUACCUGUCGGUCUAAAGAUUAAACCCCAGAUUUUCUUUUUUUCUUUUUUUGCUAAAUAUUCCCCGUAUAUAUUCUAGCCAAAGAUAAUCGACUAACCUUAAACGGCAUCUUGCCUAAUCUCUGCAACAAGCAACGGUAUUUUAUGAUAAACACCUAAUCUUCAUUCCAGUUUGUUAUAGAUAGGAGUGAGUAAAAAAACUGAUUAAAUUAAAAAAAUUAAAAAAAAUAAUUGAAAAAACCAAACAGUGAAAAAAAACCGAUUAAAAUUUUGAAAAAACCGACCAGUUCGGUUUCAGUUUUAUAAGCUUAAAACCGAAAAAACCGAAUCGAAUCCAAAUCGAAAAAAACCGAGCCAAACCGGUCUGAACCGGUUUUGUCCUAAAAAACCGAACCGAAAUUGGUCGAUUUGAACCGGUUUCGUUUUUUUUAAAUAAAAUAUUCGGUUUGGUUAUUUUUUUUUUAUAAAAACCGAACCGAACCGAAAUGAUCACCCCUGAUUAUAGCACUCAAAAGAUUUUUAUUCUUUUUUGGUAAAAUUAACAAAAUGAAAAGGAUUUUUAUAUAUAUAAUUAUUUUUAUAAAGAAUUGUAAUUUUCGUUGAUGAUACACAACAGCAUCAUACACACAUAAGCUUAGCGCCAUCAUAAAUCAAUUUUUUUUUUUUUUUUUAUCAAAGAUCGUCUUUCAAUAAAUACAUGCCACGACCCUGUAAAGAAACAUCAGAACCUUCUUACACUGACAAAAUAUUCUAAUAAAGUAGGAGUUUAAUGUACAGAUCAAAUCUAGAUUUAAAAUCUAGAUAUGAAUUGCUAAUAUUCUAAGAAACAAAGGAAGGAAAUAAAAUGGAGAACCAGGGAGAUGAUGGGCUGCCAUUGGUGAUUUUUUUUUAAGAGAACUAACAGGGAGGAAAGAGAGAGAACUUGACUACGGCAUAUAUACGAGUAUACCAUACGAAAGAAAUACUACGAGACUGAGUAACAUAUAAAAUGCUCUUGCUAGUUGAAAACGAUGCUUUAGAUCCGUGUGAUAAAGUGUCCAUUUAACGAACUCUUGGGCACAAAAGAUUCAAGUGUGAAGUGAACUCAUCAAUGAAAAGGGCUCUUUGUGCUUCAGUAGGUAGAGAGAUGUGGUGGAAUCCAUUGCACUGCAUGCGUUUGUGGUUGCUGAUGAGCGAGCUUCUAAGAAACCACAGAAAGGAGGAAACAAGAACACCAGCAUCUCGUAAAGGGAGGAGCCAUUGAUUCUCUUCUUUUUCUCGCUUAUUUUCUGUUUUGACCCUUUCUAUCGUAGUUGUUAAAAUUGAUUAAUUCUCGGGAGUUUGGUCUACGAGAUUUAUGACUUUCAAACUUAAUUUGGAAUGAGUUUUGAAUUGAAUUGAAAAGUAAGAAAUUGACCUGACCAUCUUGCUCUAUUCCUAGCCAAGAAAAUUCCAAGAAUUUCUCAAGGAAAAGCAGGUGGUGCAUGAAAAAUCUUGUUGAAGAAGUUCAAUCAAUUCCCACACAAUUUACCACAUAGAAUUAUAAUUGUUCAACCUAUGAGUGAAAGCGAAAUUCUAGAAAAAAGAAAAUGGGCUAGAUUUUACAAAAAAGCAGGCGGUGCAUAUAGUGGCCAUCAAUCCAAUCCCAUCUGGUGGAGUAAGAAUCACAGAAAUGGGAUAGUAUUUAGUAUCUAAUCAACCCUCAAACCUUAAUAUUCUUUUUCUGUCAAUGUCACUCACGUGAACAUCUUCAGGUCACACCACGAGACUAUGCAUGAUAAGAUAGAAGAACAACGGUUUAUAAAAGAAUGGGAAUCUCCAACCAGUUCUUCAAAAUGGCCAUGCAUAAUCCUAAGAGAUGGGUGCCUAUGGCUGUCUUUAGCACAUGGCGGUCCAACAUCAGUUGCCACUCGGCCCUAGAAACGAGCCUCUUCCAAGCUCUCUAUGGUCAUGCCCCUCCCUAAAGAGAGAUGGUUCAUCCAGAGUCAAUAUUAGUAGCUGAUGUGGAAGAGCUGGUGCGAAGGAGAGUCAAUAUGAAUGAAGCAACUGGCUAGCAAGAACAGGACAAAAAGAGAGAGAGAGUUCUCAUACAGUGAUCAGGUAUUCUUGAAGCUAAAGCCAUACAAGAAAGGUCGUGUGGCCUUGAGGAAGAAUUUUAAACUCAAUCCUGGGUAUUAUAUAGACCAUAUCAAAUUAGCAGGAAGAAGAUUGGGGCAGUAGCUAAUCUACUGAAAUUGCCUGAGAGAAGCUGUGGUGUCCUCUAGAUUACCGGUAAUAAAUGGAGGAAGGAUGGAAGUUCUUCCUGUCACAGUGCUGGAUAGGAAACUGAUGAAGAAAAGGAACAGAGUAGCAACAGCUGGCUUGAUUCAGUGGGGUCCAACUUAGAGCAUUCUUGUCAUUCAAGAGGGGAGCACUGUUACAACCUUCAGGGGAAGAACAAAAGCUAAGCUGGAAAUACACAUAACACAUUAAUAGUGGGAUGGUUAAUUGACAGUUAGAGGCUGUUAAUGACAGUAACUGUCAGUACAUGAAUAAGUGAGGGAGAGUUAGUUAAAUGAAGGUCUGGUGAUGUAUAUAAGCCCAUAUAGAGAUUACGUGAGAUACAAGAAAUAACAGGGGAAUUCUUUUUCUAUCUUCUCUUCCUUUUCCUUUCUUCUUCUAUUUCCUGAAUCUUGUUAAGGUUAGGCUUAACAUUCACCAAGCGACCCACAAGUUAACACAAACCCUUAUUUAGAUGCAUCCCGAAAUCAAACCAUGCUCCAAUAUUGUGCUAUUUGAUAAAAACAAAAAUGCAAAGACAAAAACAAAGUGAACUACUUGCUUGUGUACUUACUAAGUAGAAGAAUGUGCCAAUUUGAACUUAAAUGUAAACAUAUAAUAAUAAUAAUAAAGGGUAAUCAGCAGCAAUUUACCACUGCUAAGAUGGAAUUAACAAUCAAUAGGGUUUUUCAGAUUAGCCACUAAAGCACAAAAUUUACGUGUUAAAUCGGUUGAAAAUUUUAGCUGAAUAUGUAUACACAUAACUAACCACAAACUGCGCAAUGUUUGUAACCACAGAAUCUAAUAUACAAUAUAACAACAAAUGCUACAUUGCUAUUCACGUAGCUAAAAUGUAACCUAACUGGUUUGCUGCUAUCACAGAGAUAUAAUAAGAUCAAACCGAUACAAUUCGAAAAACAAAACUCUCCUUUAGGAUCAAACCUGUUCAUCAUAUCCCAAUAUUGGGGUUGUUACCAGCAAGAAUGAGAGAAAUUUCCAGUCCUCGGCUGAAGGCUUGGUUGAACAUGAGCCGGGUUUGGAAGGUUGAAACGAAUGGAAACCAAGACAAGAAUGCUAUUGGGAUGAAGAUCAGCAUCCCCAUCCCAGCAUCGUAUAGGCGGGCAAUUGAACGGAUGGAUUUCCAUAAUCCCAUCCGUUUCACUACAGGUUUCCAAGCAGAUGCAAUCUGAAAAAAAGAGAAUGAAAUUAUAAUCUUAAACCAUGAGAGAAACGGGGAAGAAUUGUGUAAAAGAUAUAUAUAAUAAACAUUGUUCACAAACAAUCAGGUUAAAGACAAACUACUUGUCCAUGUUCUCCGCUCCCUCUUCCUUCUCUCCCCUCUUCCUUCUCUCUCAAGUUCGUACCGUAUUGAAUUAAUUCAGGAUGUCUAUUACGAUGUUUGAUGCGGCACUCAAAAGCCCUUACAUUCUUUUGUGUUUGAUAGCAUGGAAUUGUUUUUCUAGAUAUGAACAACAUGCGUAACUCAUCUUACUGCAAGCAGUUUCAUUGUUCUAGCAUGACCGCUCGGUGCUUAUUCACUCUCACUUUUGUGCAAUGGCUUCUUGAGGACAUUGUUUUUUUCAUUUUGUGCCCCACCCCCCUGAUAAUUCUUACCAUGACAAUUCAUGAGGAAAUAAAAGUUGACUAAAUAGCCUACAUGUAUCUGAUAAGAUGUUUUUCCUUCCAAAGUUUUCGAUUUUCACAGAUUUACACAAGAAAUAACCUGUCCUUGAUGUUAAACUCGCAUAUAUCAAGAUUACAGCACAGCAACAGCAACAACAAAAGAGUAGUUCAGAAUUUCAUCACUGAAGAACAUAUGGAAAUUUUUCUACUUGUGCUUUAAGGAAAGAAGAUGAGUAAAGAUAAAGAAUUAAAAGAAGAAUGAAAAAGGUGAUUCAGAAAACUCACAGAUAAAAUUCCCCAUAUAGUGGGAAUAAAUGCUAAGAUGCUCGCAAAUAUGUCACUCACUGACAAUUCUGUAAGCGCAACUGCAAUAACUAUACCAGCCAAAGCUAACAUGAAGGAGACACCUUGUACAAAGCGCAACAAAAGUUGGAAAUUGACAGAGACCUUCUGACUGAAAGUGAACACCUGUAAUCAAAAGGUAAAGAUGAAUUGAAUUACAAACAACAUGACAAGCAAGUCUCAUAAUUAAAAGUACAUAAUUUGUGGCUGUGCAGCAAUACUGCUCACCUUGAAAAGAAUUAUAAGGACAGCUAGCACAAUCCAUGAGAAGCCAUACACCUAAGAUACAUCAAAAAGUGAUUUCCCAAGAAUAAGCAAUGCAUGUUAGAUCAAUGAAUCUUAUUUCAUUUGGAGGACGAAACAUAGGAGGGGUAAAACUGCAUUAAGAGGCAAAAUAGCCAUUUCAGAAGCCAAAGCACGUCCUGCAUAAAGAGACAUUUUAAGAGAUGUAUUACCGAUAAUGAUGUAUCACUUCCUUGUAUAUGAAGCUUGUAUACAACACCAUACUGGAAGAUAAAGAAUCUUAGACUCAAAAGAGUCUCCAUUAUCCUCCCACUCAAAGUCCGAAUAUGUGCCUGUAAGAUAUUUUGAGGUCAUUAACGUGAAACAAGGUGAAAUGCAAAAAAAUAGAUAAAAAGUGAAACAUACAAGACUUGCAUGGUUAAAGAAGAUUUAAGUCACUUCAAGUAGUUCGGUAAAAGCUUGCUAAGUUGACCAAAUUGCCCAACAUCAAAUGGACCAUGUGUUCUGUACAAUUGCUUUACUAUUUUGACAAAAAAAUAUAUGGAAUUAAUUCUGGAAUCUGGAUUAACAUGAAACAGCAUUAAGAGCAUUUUCACGAUACUUUGAUUAGAGCAUAAAACAAUACUGCUCAGUGUAGUCAAAGGCUAGACCCAGGUCUUAGAUGAGAAGCUUUACCAGCGUGUUCCCAAUCAAUUACGAGAGUAGCUUUACCAAUGUGUUUGCAAUCUUAAAGAAAAGGAGCUUGUUUCUUUAUUGCUCAGUUAGUUUUUGCUAAAAAUAUUCAUUUAACGGAUAUCUGAACAUUGCAAUAGCAACCAAAAGUUACAAUCAAGAUUAGGCAUUUUUGUUGCAGCUUUCCUUAGUUUUGCUAAUUCUCCAUAUAGUAUAUAUCCCAGUUUUCUCCUCUCAGAAUCUUGUAGGGCUGAAGCUUCUCUUAUCCCCCCUUCUCUCCCUACUAUGCAUCCCAGUAUUCUAUCUUUGCACAGCCUAACAAAUAGACAAUAUUAUAGAAACAAUUAUACAUAGCUGGAAUCAAAUGGAUACUUGAUGCUGCCCCUUAUUUUCAUUUAUAGGGUAUGCCAAUGAACAUCUGAUAAUGGCCGAUGGUACCACUGAACCAAGGAGAGUCACUGUUUGAUGCAUGCAUAGUAGUGGAGAUUCUUUAGGGGAAUUGGAGUGGAAUUUCCCCUAUGCAUUUAUUGAAAACAUGAAAAAGGGAAAAACAAAGACAUGUACAAGAACAAAAGUAAUACCAAUUCUUCAUCCCACCAAGCCUCCCAACUUUCUUGUCCCUUAACCCCAAUUCCACCUCUGUAAAAAAGCCAAUUUGUCCAAUCACUGAAGUCCUCCACUGUCCUAAAAGUACAGCAUUAAGGGUUACUCAACAAGGUGGCCAAAAAAAACCCAUAAAUAAACAUAAGAAACAGUGCUUACUUUUGCCACUCAAAUCCAGAUGGAUUGAACAAAUAGGGAGCAAAAAGCCAAGAUAGAGCCAUAAACCAACUGCUGACUGUAAGAAGAAUGUAAGAUAAUGCACCACCAUCAUUAUACCCGUAUGCAAGGUACACGACCAGCAAAAGCACAACUUCUAGUCUGAAGAUAAGAGGACAAUCAAACGAUUAUUGCAGCUCAAGCACACGCGCGCCCAGAGAGAGAGAGAGAGAGAGAGAUACCCUUUGACAAAAUGGCUGCGGGAGUAAAGCCUGUAGUUUUCAGAAAAUCUAAUAUGGCGGACCACAAAUCCACGACCAGUGGCUUGAUACUAGUAGGAAAAAGAAUAUUAUUGUAACACAUUCCACAGCACUAAAAACAAAUAAUAAAUAUUCAACAAAGAAAAUGAUUGAACAUACCCUUGCACCGCCAUGAAGAAUGGUCCUACCAAAAUAAUGUGAUUUUGUGCCUAAUGAAAAUGUGAAGAAGACAGAGCAGAGCUGAAGCUGCAUUGUGAUGAAAUUGACAACAGCCUGCAACAUUAAUCAGAAGAUUACCACCACAACAAUUUUUCAGCUCAGCAACAAAUUAAAGAACAUGAAGCUAAGCAGAAGUUCAUGUACUUAAAACUGUGAACCGUGAGCACAUGAGUCAAGUAAGCUAAGCAAUGAAUUACAGUAGUCUCAGAUGACAGGAUAGCAUAAGCAGAAGUUCAAAUGUAAAUAUGUAUGCUUGUAGAUGAGUGAAAUAAUGCAACACAAAAAAAAUGCAAAAUCUUAGUUCUCUUCUCUUCAUAAUUCCAAGUUUACUGGGUCCAGUUGCUUAAACAAUGCUUGCGAGGGAGGAACACUAACCUACAUAAAAAUAAUUUUACAAGCUUAGGAUGUAAUAUAUCACAUGCAGAUGUUUGGCAUAUGCGACACCAAGAAGCUCAGAAAAAUUUAACAUAGAAUAAAAAUGUAACAGCAUAAAAUGUAAGGAUGGUGUAGGUGAAAAAAAAUGUAAAUGAAAAUAAAAUAUAAAGAGAUAAACUUUCUUGCAUCUUGCUCAACCCUUAGUUAGUUCAUGUAAUUAGCAUUCACAGCUUAUGAAACAUAUAGUAAGAAUGAUAUUUACCCUCAAGAAUCCCAGCUCUAAGAUGAAGCCCAAAACCAUUGGCACAGCAGUAAAAAUACCAAUUUGAAAGAGAAAUUGAGUGUUCAGAGCAGCACUCAGGGCAUUGUUCUUCGUUAUCAGUGCUCUAAUUUCAACUUCUUCACCUACUCCGGAUAGUGCCUAAAACAAAAUCGCAUCAGUGUCAAGAAAAAUAAAUUGGGAACAAGAGCUAGUAUAUUUGUGCAAACAGCAGGUGCUGAGUUGAAACAAAACUGUGAACUAUAUUUAUAUAGUCUUAUAAAAUCAGAUAUAUAGAUUAUUCUACUAAAAAAUAAAACAUAUAUGGAUUAUUUCUUAAAACAUUUUACAUCAGAUGAAUGCCUUAAAACCUAUGGGAUUGUAUUUAUGAAACAUGUUAGACAUUGUUUUUUCAUUUUAUGGUGGCUUCAAACUGGUACAUAAUUUCAUAUCAUAUUUAUCGACUUGAAACAGAAAAAUAUCAGCAAACUAAAUAUAAAAAUGAACAUUUAAGUCGUGAUCUGGAGUGCAAAGGAUUUAAAGUGAACAAGUAUACAAGAAUGGGAAUUUUUGUCCAGUAAUGGACAGAUAUCAAUCUUACCAAAUAUGCCUUCCCAUAAAGGAAAGCGUAUACAGUCAGCACCGUCAACUGCAAUGUAAUUUCCAAAAGAAAACUUGUUAAAAAGAAAUAAAAUGAGAGGUGUGCAUGUAUAAAAGCAUGAUGCAGCUUUCACACCACAUUUUUCCUCUCCUACUCUUUUUCCCUGUAAAAUUGGAGCAUAAGAUGCAAACCCCAAUCUCUGUUGUACUAGAUACACAUUUAUCUAAAUACUAUCUAGAAAUGCAACACAAAACCUACACGAUGAAUCAAAUCAUAGAGGCCAGCUGGUAAGAAGAAAGGCAUGCAAAAGGUGCACAAUCAAAGGAUUGGAACAAAAGCAAACUUUUAGAGUAAGAUAUACAUUCUCCCUUCGUGAAACAGCGUAAAAUUAGCAUAGUCUAACUCUUUACAUGUUGCAUUUUCUUUAUGAUUGCAUUAGGCAACUUAAGCCAACCGAUGUGAACAUUCAAUUCAUUCAACCGCAAAUAAAUUAUAAAUUGUCAUGUUCAUAACCACAGCUAGUAAUUACAUACCAUCGUACAAAAGUAGUAUCCCACGGUGGUAAAGUAGAAUGACAUCAUUCGAAAGAAAUCAAAAAGCUGCCCGAGCCUGUAGACAUCCCUACUAAGAACUUGCUCACCAUUACCACCAGAAACCUUCCCUUCAAAUACAGCUAUCUGAUUGAGACCAACAUCUCGUCCUUUGCCAACCUUUAAAUUUUAAUUAAGGAUUACAAUUACAUACCUUAAAAAAGCUCCAAGUAAGAAAUGAGAAACCAUACCUGAAUAUACUCGUGAUGGGUGACAUUUCCUUGGCGUAGAGUUGAAUUGAACCCUGCAUGGGAUGUCAAAAGGCAAAAUUCUGUCAGGUACACACACACACACACAAUACACACACAGAGAGAGAGAGAGAGAGAGAGAGAGAGAGUUAAAUGUAAAAAUAAAAGCAUUUGAAAGAAACUACAUUCUAAUUCCUUCAUAGGUUUUUAACUUAAAAACUAAAAUAAUUACUAAAAGCCUAAGGUGAAGGAGAAAGCCCACACAUAAUGAACAACAACAAGAGAGAUUGGCUUUGGCAGAUCAAAUUCACGAGGUCGUGAUGCUUCUUUUAUUGAGAAAUGAACCAACUUCCAACAACCCAUAAACUUUCUGAUCACUUGGAUAAAACAAGGAACUUCUCUUUGGUGAUAAUAAAAUCCAUAAGGUGCUAAAUGCUAUUCGUAUUAAAACUUUCAGAAACAGAUUAAGCAAAUCAGGUUUUGAUCUAAGGUACCAUAUGUCCCUAGCAAAGACAUAAAAAGAACUGGAAAUCAGUCCAUCAAUAGUCAAGUAAAGCAGUCAUGCCUGAAUAUAUAUCUUCACUGAUGUUGAUAACACGAGAGGCCUUGCUAAUACCACCCCGAGUUAUGUGGAAAACUCUGUCAAAAACAUCUGGAUGUCCAUAAUGCAUACGGACCCUGCGAGUUACAUACUAGUCAUCUGUAUCUGAAAAUUCAAUAUGAUAGUACGCUACCAAUUUACUUGCUAUAAAACUACGAGCUUACUUUAAAGGAUUAGCCAGAACACGCUGGCCGAGAGUUACAAAGCUAGUUUCCUGAUUUGACAUAAAUGAGGCUAAAGAAGAGACACUGCAAUCAUCACAGGUAAUGCCUUUAGCAGAAAAUAACAUGAUUACUCAAAUGAGAGAAAUACUUGUUUCACCAGAAACAUACCUUCCUGUAAAUACAUGUUCCCUAACACCAAGAAUGGUUGGAGGACGAAUACCAUGAUCUUGAUGGAAUUCUUCCAGCAGAUUUCUCAUCUUCAAGGCCUCCUCAAAAUAAUUAUCCUAGAGUUAUCAUGUAAAGACACAUUACAAACAACAUUACACAGUGAAGAAAAUUACAAAUACCUACUCUACAUACCAUAACAACAGCAACCCAGUGAGGGAACAAAGAAGAAAAAAUGACAAGUAGAGUAACUUUCAUUUUAUUUGACGCAUUAAAAAAUCAUUUUAGUCAACUUUCACAACGAGAAAUCAUAUAUAUGCGAUAUUAUUCAGGGGGCAAAUUAAUAUUUUUUCAUUUAUAGGGUUUUCAGGUUUCCCUACAAAUAGAAUGUUAUACUUUUUAUUUUCGAAGUAGUACACAAUACAUAAACUAUGCAAGUUACAGAACACCUGAAAAACACAAAAGAAAAGAGUUAGCACUCAAAGCUAUAGCAAUCUCUCUCACCUAAAAGGGUUUAAGAGAUUUCUCAAUGAUGGUUCAUGCGGAUUACCGUUAGAGGUCGAACAUUUAGACAACUUGUGGUUUGCGACAACUCAAUCUUGAAGCAAUUAUUCAAAGCCGAAAAGAACAUCUAAUCUUCAAGUAAUCUUUAUAUAAACUCUAAAAAACAUUAGAUCUGUCUAACAGAAUCUUGGAACUCUCAAUUUUUUUUAAAAAAAAAUUAUCGUUUUCGCUGCGUGCAUGUGUUUCAGAAAACCCAAUAAAGCAUAUAGAUGUGAUCUGUGUGGCUGGGCUAUUUUUUAGGAAGAUAGUGGUGUUCUAAAAUCCAUCACAUUUAAUAAAGAUACCAGGUUCCUUGGUCACCUUUUGCUAACUUUGGGGAAGUGGUUUAAUUUCUCUUUGAAGUUUAGUAGUACUGCUCAUCCAUAAACUAGUGGCCAAAUAGAGUCUAAGUAAAACUUUGGGCAAUCUGAUUCGUAGCAUUUGUGGGGACAAGCCUAAACAGUGAGAUGUUGCAUUGGCUCAGGAAAAAUUUGCUUCCAACAGUUCCAAGCAUAGUGCUAUUGACAAGACAUCAUUAAAAAUUGUGUACAUGAAACUUCUGAGUCAUGUGCUUGAUCUACUCGCUGCCUAAAGCAAGUCAGCAGAGAAAUUGACUGAACAGUGCAAGUUGUGCAUCAAAAGGUCAGAAGGAAACUGGAAGAAACGGGUGCUAGAAAUAAACAUGCAGCAGACAAGCAUAGACGAGUUAAAUUGUUUCAAGGAGUCAUGAUUUUCUUGUGCAAGGAGAGGUUUCGAGUAGGAACCUAUAAUAAACUAAAGAUGAAGAAGUAUGGUCUGUACAAGGUGCUGAAGAAAAUCAAUGACAAUGCUUGUGUGUAUUGGUCUUCUGAAUAGCAUAGGCACAUCGAAGACCUUCAAUGUUGUUGAUCUUUAUGAGUGCUUUCCAAAUACUAAACUCAACUCGAGGAUGAGUUUUUCUAAAAUGGGAGAGACUACUGUAGAGCAAUUAUCCCAAGAGAGAAGGACCAUAUUGAAGCAUGAAGUUAUUGUUUUCUUAUUUUAAUUAUUUUCCUAGUUAAUUUUGGAUUUUAAUUAUUUGUUUCCUACUUAGCUUGGGACUUUUAAUUUAAUUAGUAUUUUACUAUUUAGAAAUCUCAAUGCUAGAUGGAUUCUAUUAAUUAGAUACCUUUUAAUUAGGAAUCUUUUCCUAUAAAGGAUUUUAGUACUAAUAUAAAAAGUAAUGUCUAGUUUAUUUUAUGGAAAUCAAGACUAUUAUUUAGAUUCAAUAAAAAUAUCAGAGAGUUUUCUCUAGAUUUCUCUACAGUUUGAUCUGUAACCUUAGGGCUUAAUAACCCUAGUUUUAUCUUCAUUAUACACUGCGUAAAGAAACAAUACUUAAUUCAAAAAUUUAAUUCAUCAUCAAUGUUCUUUCCCUUGAAUAGUAAUGAAAUUGUAAACAUGCUACAUUACACACGUACAAGUGAACUUUAUUAUUCCUAUAUUGCAUAAAAAAUCCUUCUUCGUUUUCCACACAAAAAUUAGUGGAUUGGGAGCAAGAAGAAUUCCAAAAAUUUUGGGAGGUGUUCCUCUUGAAAAGAUGUUGCGGAAUAUGGUAGCUUUCUUGACUUUGUGUAGUGCUUCUAAAACGUUUAGUCUUGGGUUAAAGCAAAAGAGACUGGAAAUGUAAGGCCCUUUGUCAAAUUGGGUUUCUAGUAAUUGUAAUUUUGUGAAGGAGGAAAUAAUACUUAUCGUUGUUCCAAUAAGGUUAUUGAUCAUAAAAGUUCAAAAGAAAAACAGGAGAACAAAAAAUAAUGAGGCCAAUUUGCAUAAAAUGACAGAUUAGUUUCACUUGUCUCAACAUUUUACGAGUCCAAGACUGUUCAAGAUAAUUACAUUAAUGGGAAAAAACUAUGACUUACCUGAUUCAUAUCAAUUGUCUGAAUUGCAUUUCCACGAGUAAAUAUAAUUGCAUGGUUUUGAUUCUCAGGUUUUCCUUCUCCAAGUUUUGGAUUCCCAGGCAACUUAACAGAGUAUAUUUCCUUCAAAGAAAAAAAUUCACAAAUUAAUAAGCUACAAGUGGAACGAAGAACAGCUCUUGCUCUAAAUAGAAGUUGUCAGAUUGCAUUGUCCAUUAUAAUCUAUUCAGGAUGGAACUAUUUUGACUCCUAAUCAGAUUAGCUCCACGCAAAUACAUCCCGAAACUGCACAUCCAAUAAACUGCUAGUGCAUUAGCACGGAAUAGAAACAAUUCUACCCAUAUUAUCUAGAGGAUAAACGUUACACCAAACUGACCAACCAAUAUAUGAGUAAUAUCGGUUUUCGAAGCACACUGUGAUUUUACUUUAUUUGUAGAUACAACCAAAAUUCAAAAAAAAAAAUGCAACAAAUCACGAUGAAAAAUACAACAAAUUCAAACUGGGUUAAAACACAAACCAGAUAAAUGCAUUGCACCAAUAUUAUAAAAAUAACAGUUCGUUCAACAUACUUCAACUAAAGCCAAUGGCUAUCAUCAACAUUAGAGGACAGCAAAAAAAAUGUGAACCUUGUCUUUUCCAUUGAUAUCAGCCUUCACAAGCUUCGAAUAGUAUUCUCUAUGCACAUUACCAUCCUUCAAAGAUUCAACCUCAUCAAUGAAAGCAACACGAAGAGCUUCAUUUCUACAACAUAAGUAAAUGGCUAGAUAUUAGGUAUCUAUUAUAUAACUAAGCUUUCAAGUGGGAAAAACUAUUACUACAUAGAAAUGCUUGAAUCUCUAAAUUUGGCAAACAAAAACUAACAUGCUUUAAAAAAAAGAUAGGCAAGGAGAGUGCGCAGGGGGCACAAAAUAAAUCUGGCAAAAGAGAACAUACUUCAAGCAUAAGAACAUAUAUUUGACAUGCUAAAAUUCACCUUUGCAUCAGCAAUGCAAUAUCAGCAGCCUCAGGUUUUUGGUCCUCUUUCUGCUUUCCAUAUAUUUGACACGUAACAACAUAAGUAAACUUUAAAUCAGCCAGUGCUCGUGCUUCCGGGGACAAGUCAAAGCCCUUAGCAUCAUUUGUAUCAUUAAUAGAAACUGCAGCUUCCGCAUCUGACAUUGACAUGCAUGAUCAGAUCACUGAUUAUGUCAGGGCUAUAAAAAAGAAAGAUAUAAAUGAACCAACCUCCAGACGCCACUCUUUCCAAAUAAGACUGAAGCAUUAGAGCUUUCCUAUAGUACAUCAUCCCACGGACUGGAAAUAUCAAAACAGUGAUUUAGCAAAAUACCCAAUAAUUUAUGAGACAUGCAUUGCAUUUGUGCAACUAAUAAAAUAGAAAAGCAAGAAACCUAUCUCUUCAAGUGAAGAGACUAAGAGUCCAGAUGAUGCUAGCAAAUCAGUAAACGCUAACAUAAGAAAGGAGCUACGUCCCCUAAUUAGCUCACUCAACUAUAAUCCAAUACUCAUCUUAAAAAACCCUCAAUCCUGAAUUGGCAGGUUAUAAAACCUAGAAAAGCAUAAUAUAUACUGAUUGAUGCAAGUUUCUUGGUAUAAGUGUGAGCAUGGCAUGCGAGUGGCUAAUGAACCAACUGGAAUCUCAUCCGAGCACACACAAGUACACUUGGCUAGGAAAAAAAUCAAGUGGAUGUGUGAGUGUCAUUAAAAGAUCAAAAUAGGAAAGAAUUAUCACUAACUUAACAUGCAUUUACAUGAAUUAGAAACACAGUAAAUGUAUUUGUCCCACAUAUACACCAGAUACACAGUUUCCUAGAAAACAGUUCAAACGACAAGCAACUUUUGGAAAAAAAAAAAAAACUGGAGAAGAAAACCUGCAAGCACAGUGUAGAAAGCAAUCUGGAAUGGCAAGCCCAAAAAGGACAUGCGUGCCUUACAGCAACCAGGCAACAAUACUAGAAUACAAGAAAUGGUUCAUGACUUCCAAAUAUAAGAGAGAAUAGAAUAGCGGUGUGUGAAAUCAUAUAUCUACUGAAAUAAAUACACUUGGAAUAGGACAGGAAAGAUGUACUAAACAUCAUAAAACCAAAUAACAAAAUUCAGAUUUCCCAUACAAAUUUAGACCAUGACCAGAUCCUGUAUAAAGAAACGGAUUAUAUUGUUUUACUAUAAGAACUUCUCCCAAAUGAACCAAUAGAAUAUGGAACCAAGAAACUCAAGUGAGAAAAGAGAAAAGAUCACUUGCCAGUUCUGGCUAAUGUUUGUCCCCUGUAAGAGGCCCAAAUCCGAAGUUCAAGGUUGUCAUCAGGAUUAUUAAUGAGCUCUGAGUCUGGUGCAUUCUCAUCACAGCCAAUACGAUCAAGAAAGUUCUUCCACUCAUCUGUGACAAAACAUAAACAAUUUUGAGGCUGCCAGCAAGUGAGAGAAAAUACAUUUCAAGUCAUAAAGCAAACUUUUUCAAAGCAGCCAUAAAUAGUCAACUAGCCAACCAGACUGAUAGACCAAAAACUCAAGAACUGCAACACUCCCUCUAUACCCCACAUUACAGUCCAUUUUUGCACUUUCUGUUGGUAAACUAUCAAAAAGUCAGGUGGUCUUCAUUAUUGGAUUCCCAAUUCUAUACUAUCUCAAAUUCAAAUUAGUACUUGGAUAAAAAUUCAAUAAAAAUCAAGGGCAGGCAAAGACUUUACUAAAAAUCAACAAUUGACAAUGUAAUCAAUGGUAUUCUUUUAAAUUCAGAGACUAUGAAACUGGAAGGGAAUAAAAAAAUUUCCAUGAUCAUCACUAAAACUAACCCAAGAAAUUCUUCUAUUCAUAACUAAAUCCCAAUACCUAUUUUAUUUUUUCUUCUUUCCCUAAUCGGACUAUCUAUAUAAAUCAAAUCAUUCACUGAAAGAGAACAUAAAAAUCAACAUAAUUAAGUGAAAAAUCAUUCACUGGAAGAGAAUCAAGAUUUAUCAUGGAUCAUCACUCCACCUCGUCAACAACUCUAUUCCUCAUAUCGUUACCUGCAAUUAACUAUCCAUGACAUGCCACAUCCAAGUCAUGUAUGGAAUCACGUAUUCCGCUCUAACAGAUAUUGGGUCCACAGAAAGUGAAGUGUUAAAAACUGAGCGAAAAAUUUUCCAACAUUUUUAGUUUGCGAAGAUGUACAUUGUCCACCAAGUGUAAUGUAAAUCCCAGAAGUAAUCACAAAUUGGAAUUACAAGAAAUGGGAAACCAAAUAACAUGUCUAGGUCUGAGACACCAAUACCAAAGCAGAUGAAAGCUUGACAUCACAUAAAGCUAAAUACACAGAGCAUAAAGCUUAGACUCCUUCAGUGAGUGCAUUCUGUCCAUUGACCAUGCCUAAACCAGGAUCGUAAUAUAGUAAGAGAUAAAGAAUGCAAGGAGCACAUGGACAAGAAAAAAAACAAGAAAGGAAAAAGAAAACACAAAUAGAAUUGACCGCAUUGGGAAUCAAGACUAUCACAUAAAAUCCUCCCAACCAACCAGGUAAAUUUCUCCAACCUUUCCCUUCAAAGUAAAGAUCAAACAUUCUAAUCACCAUGAACUAAAGGUUGCAAGCAAUUACAAAGCAAGGACAAAUGAACUCAAGAAAAAAGGGCGGUGUCAAAGUUAGUUUAAUCAUCACAACAAAGCACACGGAGUACCUGGAUAUAUUUUCUGGAGGUAAAACAAAGUCGAUAUUCCAUCCUCAUUUUUCUUUUGAAGUUCGUUCAUGCUAUAAAGAACAAUCUCAGAAUAAUAUGGAGUGAACACACUGCACAUGCAUACAAACAUCAUGAGAAAACUAGAUCCAUCAAGUAUGCAUUAAUGCCUACAAUUAAUGCACUGAAAAAGUACAACCUGAAGGAUAGCAUCUCACGAACUGGCUUUGGUGCAGGCAGAUCCAUGAAAAGGGAAUUUGUAAAGAAUUGUAGCCUCCUUCUGGCUUCAAUAUUUUUGGGGACAUUUGCAGCGGAAUCUUUGAUUGUUAAAAGCAAAUACAAUCUCUUGAUUUGCGUUUUCUGCAUAUCCUCCAAAGUUAAAUAAUUUCAUAUAGAACACACCCUGUCAUUACUAAGAGAAGAAACAAGAUAAAUCUUCUCUAACAUACCAGCUCUGUAUCUCUUGGCCACUUCAAGUUUGUAAACAAACGACCUUCAGUCCUUGCUUUUGACAGCAAAUUCCACGUCUCAUAGUGCUCCCUGGAAUAUGAACCCAUAAGGCAUAUUUGAGAGGAAAGUGUCAACGUAUCAAAUGCAUAAGUGAACACAAGCAAUUUUACCAGACCUCAUGUUGACAGAAAGGACAUCGUGCCGCACCACAUCAUACAGAUCUUGUACAGCUUUAAUGGCACCAUUUUCCUGGUCUGGUUUUUCAGCUUUCUGUAGAAGAAUUUCAUAUAAAGUGCAGAAGCAUUCAAUAGCAGUUUAUGGCUUUAGAGAUAGAUAUAGAAUGAAAGGCUCCUUGCCAACGAAAUUAGACAAUGUAAACCAAAUCCUUGCAUUAUUAAUCAUCCUUCAUAUUGAAUAGUAUAAUUAGGGGACAACUGAUCAUGAUAACUGGAGAUAUUCAAAAUUAUUCAAUGCGUAAAAAAGAAUGUUAUUGAAAACAGGUGUUGCUGGAAAACACAAAGGAUCAGGGACCUUGUUAAAUCCCCGUGUGGGGGAAAAGUUUUUAAAUUCUGGGGUAAAGUAAAAAAUAUAGAAAUGCCACAGAUAUUUUGUCACAAAUAAAAGCCUGAUAUAGAACAUCUAUAGCUGAACCAGUGGGGUCAGAACCAUCUCGUUAUCACCAAUUCAUCUAAGAAGUGAACAAACGAGAAAAGCUCCAGAUUAGAAACAAAUGAACCAUGGGAAUAUUGAUAUCCUGAGUUCUGUGUAUAACAAAAUAUCAGUUGUCAGGUUUAAACACAGAUAGCAAAAGAAGGGGUUUUCUGUAGGUAACUACUAGAUUUGAACAUUUGAUAGCUUACAAGGGUCAGAGUCUCAGGAAAAUAUUAUACAGAUAAGACAAUGACAUUGCUGAUUAGAAUAUCAAAGAAAUCGCCAAACAUGACUAUCUUAAGCUGAUCAAGACGGGAUAAUUUGUGCUAUGCAUACGAAUGAAGCAGAAGGUAGGGAGCGAGGGAACAGCGAAAAGAAAAGCAUUUGUAUCAUAGAAAAAUGUCAAUUACUUAUAACUUUCCAUAGAUUAUCAUGUCUCAUUUUACUAUAAAACCAAGUGACUGCAUUCCCAAUUCAUGGAUUAUGUUAGACAGACAUGGAGAGUUUGCAUUCAUAUCAUGGAGGUUGUUACUUGGCCUUUAUAUGCUUUCCAUUUAUGUACUCUAUUGACAGUUUUCAAUUUUCUUGCCUCUUAUUCUUGGUCCACAUUGGCACUCCUUGGAUUGUGUCAAUGCACUUGAGAAUGUCGUAAUUUUUCGAGCAUGAAUUUAUACAAAGUUUAAACAUGUUACACAACGCAGAAAUGAGACCUACCAGAAUUCCAAGCAGUCCAGUAACUCGUGUAAUUACAAGUGAAAGUUUCUUCAGCUGAAAGUCAACAUGAAUACUCCUGUUUGCAAUACUGCCUUCAAUGUCCGCAUAAACCCUUUCAACCCUGAGGUAGAGAAGAUAUUAAUACAUCACAAAGCAUUCGUACCUAUGUACAAUGGCUCAAAUAGUUUCCUCAUCUCAAAACUUACCACAUCCUUCCUUCACCCUCCAAUAUUUCUGUCAAGAUAAAUCUAAGGGCAUGGUAGCCCUCCUCAACGGCAUACUUCAUAUAGUCAUCUCUUGAAAUCCGUUCCCACAGCUCUGCUUGUGAAUCACUACCCUCCACCAUAUCUUUAGCCAAAAAAAUCUACAAAAAAACAUAAACAAAUACAAGGUAAAAAUUAAGAUCAUGUUCAAGAAUCUCCGGAAACUAGAAAAAAAAAUCAUCAAAAGAAAUGGAGAUGAGACAAGAAAUAUAAGGCUGGAGGCCCCAAGAUGACCUUGCUGGCAAGAAGAAAAAGGGGCCACUGAACCAAGGGAAGGUUCCCAGAAUUUUUAGGCAUCAGAAGCAACUCCAUUUCUCUGCAAUGAGAUAGCAGAGAUAUGAUAAUCAUCAGAACAAUCUGCUAGGAGUAGAGCAGAACCUGAAGAGCUUGUAAAAGAGACAUGAAAAAUCCACUAUGACUUAGAAAAACAUUAAGAGAAGACAACAUAAAUUCAACAGAAUAUAGUGUCCUCAAAGCAUGGCCUUAAAACAAUCUACUAUUUAUUAUUGAGAAUUAUUAACCACCCUAAUCCUACAUGGUUCCUCUGUCCCUUGAUAAAAUAUCAAAUCAAAUAAAAGAUUAACCAACUUCAAAAAGUCUUGAUUUCUCGUUUAGAUUCAAUGGCAUUUUUUUCAAAAAUAAAGUUAAUCAAAUUUAACCACAAAGCUUAAAUUACUUGGUGAUUCAAAGUUUAGUAUGACAAUUAUAAGGCAAACCCCAAGUUGUAUAUUGCAAACUUCUUUCUCAGGAUAAAUAAAAAAAUUAUUGAAUCGUUGUGAGGGAAUUGACAAAGGAUGAAUAAAAACUAGUGGCUCCAGAUUAAUGAACAACAAUAAAGCACAAUCAUUGUUAUCAAGCAUUGCAGUACAGUAUGAAGCAUGCAAUAUCAAUAAAUAGAAAAGAUAUGGAACAAUUGCAAUGAAUAGGUGAUAUUCAAGGACUCACAAAUUGGUGACAUAAUCUUCUUCCCUUAAAUUGCGUAUGAUCUCAUUCCAAAAGGGUCCAAAAAUAACAGCAUCAAUUUUUCUCUUCUCCAAGGUAUCCUGCAUCACACCAAAAUGAGUUAUCUAAGAUUCCUAUCUCAUUCAUGAUUCACAAAACUAAAUGAUGUACAAAAAAAUAUAGGAAAAAAAAUCAAAGCAAUGCAGAUUGUGGAUGCGUUAGAACCAAGCAGCAAAAGUAUACUCUCCUUUAAGUGCUGAGUAAAGCAAGACAUUGAAUUCUGUUUAUCAACUGAAUUUCAACAAAUCAUUAAAAAGAAAAUGAUAUAUGACAACAUUUUCUGAAAUACAGAACAAAACAAGCACACAGUGAAAGUUCAUAAAAGUAUAAAAGUAAGGGUAAAUUACAAUAACCUCCAUGAGAUAUCAUGAAAUUACCAUGACCACCCAAUAGUUAGAAGAUAUUACAAAAUCCCCACUGUACCCAAAAUGCACUUCUUUUUUUUUUAAAUCAUUUUGUUAAAGGGGAUGAUUUUGAGAAUAUUGAGGGCAUUUUGGGUAUAGUAGGGGAUUUUUGGAAUAUUUACAUAAACGAGGGAAUUCUGUCAAAUAUUUAAACUUUUGGAUGAUGUGUAAUUUUAUAACACCUCAGAGGGGCUUUCGUAAUUUACCGUAUACCUGAACCCCUUUAGGUCCCCAAAAAAAGGUUAUAGAAGUUCAAGAAAUGAUGGUAUAAGAUAUAAUUUAUCUGGAAAAAUGACCAAACACAUUAUUUAGGAAACUAAAUUGUCAAAUGACUCACCUGACUUGAAGAGCUGUGGGAACUUCUGCAAAGGAGAGAUUGCUUUCAGAAGAAAGACAUAAUGAAAACGAGGAGGAAAACAAUUGAGAUCAUAAUAUCUUGUUAAUGGGUAGGAAAGAAAAUUAACAAAACCAUGCCUGUUGGGGAGUGGGAUAUGAAGAUUAUUCAUAAAAGCUCCAGGAAAGUCCUCAAAAAGUUUGUGAACAGCUUCCAAAGAUCUAAUCUGGAUUUAUUACAUGCAUAAUAAUGAAUCUUAAGGCACACAUAAUAACCCAAAGAAAUGAAAAGACUAAUGGGAAAUGAAAAGGGAAAGGAUAUAUAAAAUUUUAGCAAAAUAGAAAUGAUAUAAAAACAACAAGGAUCUAGCUUCCAUGUUCAUGAAAAGAAAGAAGCAAAUAUACACAAAAAAAAAAUCACUUACUUCCCCAAGGCGAUCUUUUGCUCCAAGCAAGAAUCCCCAAAUAGCAGAUAUAAUGGUAUAGAACACAUGGAUAUCCAAAAGAUAAAUCUGUCCAGAAACCAGGAAACGUAUUAAAUAAAAUAAAGCUUCUGAUUUAGCUAAGCAAAUAACAGAUAUCACACAAUUUGCAAGUUAACUACUUGCACUGACCAGACUCUAGUUUAUAUAGAAAGUUUGUGUUCAAAAGCACUCUUAAGAUAGGUUUUCUGUUUUUCAAAAACCAAAACCUAAUUUUUUACAAUUUUUGGUUUUUAAAAAACUAUUUAUCAUUAAGCAGAUAAGAGUGAGGAUACAUGUUUUAUUUAAAAAGUAUAAAACAUAGUAAUAGUAGCAGUAGUGAUAAUGAAAAAAGGGGUAAUCAGGUGGUGAUGUAAUGAUGUUGAUCACGAUAGUGGUGGGUAGCUUCAAAGGUGCUGCAGCAGUUUUGCAAUAGUGUUGUACUGGUUAUGAUGAUGCCGUCGUCUAAGUUGGUAGCGAUGAAGCUUGAUGAAUGAUGUCUGGAAUAAGACAAACUACUGGCGACCUUUUUGAGGGAUUCAAUUACCACUUACCGAGCUGAAAUUGGCACUUUAGAGUAUCUCUAGUUCUUCUUCCACUUCUUUAGAAAAUUCCAUCAAUUCUGUCUUGUGAGUUUUAGAGUUUUCAUAGCCUCUAAUGGUGCAUGGCAGUAGAGGGUUUAGAAGAGUCAUUAAACUAUAAUAGGUAUGUGAGUUUUAAUUUCUUCAUGUAGGAUGCUUUUUCUGGUAAUCUUGCUCUAAUUUUACUAAUGAUCAUAAGAAAGGCUUCAAUAAUUUUCAAGGUUGUUUGUCCAUAUCCCAUCUAUUUGAGAUGUUGCAUCCUCCCACACCCCCUUGCAUAAAAGGCAUGUCUGAAACCAUUCAGCCAAUAUGGCUGGAGCGAAUUGGAAACACAUCAGAGAACAAUAGAGCCACCUUAUCCUUUUAAGCUACCCACACUAUAUCAGUAACUCAAACAUAGCGGGCAAAAAAAAAAAAACUCCAACUGUCAGAUUGUUGAGGUACAUCCAGCAGAAAAAUUAUGGGACCAAUAAAUCGAAUGAAUGAAAGAAACAAAAAAAUCAAUUACAGAUUCAUAAUAUGAGCAGGUGUGAGCACAUGUAUGUAUGAAUUGCACUUACAGCAAUCACUGGAGCCCAUAAGGUAACAACUGUCAAGAAAUUAUGAUUAUCUGCAAUGAAAGAGAAUUCCCAAUGAGCUAUGCAUUCAUAAAUUAAUAAAGAGAAUGUUGUAACAUCAAACAAGACCACAGAGGCUACACUGGUAUUGAAAUGCUGGGAAAAAUCCAGCACAAUUUUGAAAUGUUACGAUUUUAAGGAGACUACAAAAAACCUACAGUGAAUCAAAAUGACAUUUUAGCAAAAAUCACCAAAUCCACAACAUGGCAACAAUGAAACAUUUAAACAGUAUAACGUGAUAAAAAAUAAUUCUGCCAAAUGCCACCAGGUUAUUAGCAAAAUGCUUUUAAACAUAAGAAGUUGGAAAAGAAACUGUAAAGUUCCAAAAAUAUGGCUUCUCAAAGCAUUGAACACAGUCAAAUAAUGGCUUCUCAAAUUCUAUAAAAAUAUAAAACAGAAUACAAUUAUAGUUACCAAAAUUAAAUCACAUAUAUUUUGGAGCAAAAUACUGGUGCAAAUAUAUGACACAAUGGGAAAAAAAAUAAACAGAAAUUUUACAACGUAAUUAUGGUAUAAAAUUUUGUCAAACGACCUUACUUUUAGAUACAAGAUCAUGCCAAGAAUACUUCAGAUUAUCAGUCAUAUUCACAAUAGUCCUUGUCGGUUUCACCAAGGGCUUGAUCUGCAAAAAAGGUUAAAAUAUAAUUUAGGAAACUUCCAUCAAAAUUAAGGCUGGUGUUAUAUAAAUCUCACUGACCUGAAGGAAAUACGCAAAUGAGAACUUUCCGCUCAAAACAACCAACCAAAAGAGCAUGUACCUGCUUGUUAAAGAUUCAAAAUUCAUUUCAUCUUCUUUAAAUUUAGAAAGCAUUUAGAUAAAAACAAUGAAGAUGAAUUAUAUCCCUUGGAUUUAAAAUUUAUUCUUUAGUAAAUCAAUUGAGAAAUGCUGUUCAAUUUUUAAAAUGCCUAAGAUAUGUUUUACAUCUUCUAUGCGAAAAAUGUUAGAUUUUCAUAAGUUCUUCUUAAUUGUUCUUCAAAAUGUCCACAAUGUAUAUAUUGGACUUUUUUACACAAUUACAGAUCUAAGGAGCCAAUUCUAAUCAGUCAAGCCACAAAAGGCAGCCCAAAAUGAAUCCAUUAACAUAAAACAGAGCAUUUGCACUUCAAGCUAUUGGUAUAAAUGAUGGAAGAGAUCAUGACUGUGCUAUUAUUUGAAACAAUGCUAAAAGGACAUUAAAGUGAGGUGGUCAGUCCGGUAUUUGUUUUUCCCCUGCUUUUGGGCAAGAAGGAAGCUAGUUUUGACAAGAUUAAGCCAAUAAAAUUAUGGACAAAUUAUCAUCCCUGUAUCAUCAUUGUACAACAACAGCAAACAAACAAACAAAAAAAAACACAGACAAAAAUCUAACAUAACAGAAGCAAAUGUCCAAUGUGAGAAUUAAAAUAUUUUGUGGAGAGAAGGUUAAAGUAUCAGAGAUGUAGAAGACAUUACUUAAUGAAGUCACUAGUCCUUUCAUACAUGCCACACCCAACAUAAUAGCGUUCCUUCAAAAAAAAAAUCAACGAAUCAACAUUUAAAUUUUAAAAUACACCUAAAAUAUUAAAAAGAAAAACUAUCCAAGGACAUAGGACAGUAACCAUUUUGACAAUGGACCCAAAAAUAUAAUCCAGCACAUAAAAGGAAAAUCAAGCAUAAAGAAGAAAUAAUUUGGCCAAAAGAAAAGGUAAAAGAAAAACCUGGCGCAUCCACUUUACGAAGCGAAUAAAUGGCCAAUGAUCACACUGAUUAGUCAUAUGGUGGCAAGCUGGUAUUCGCAUGAGGAAACUAAUAAAAAACUGGACACCAGCAUAGAUGCCUACAACGAUCAUGUACAAUCUGAAAAAAACUGAAUUUGAAUUUUGUUUACUCUCUUCCUGGAGAGCUUUCCUGUAUUUGAAGAAAGCAACAAGAAUAAAAGGUAGCUUGUUAUUCACAUAUGACAAGCAUGCAGAAAAUGAUAUCAAGUAUAAAUGCUUGCUUAAGAGAACAUACACAUAGAGGAAGCUUAAGAAGACAGAAGCACAAGAAAACCACACAAAACGAAGAAAUAUUCGAGUCACAGCCAGACGUCUUGAUGUAGAAUAAGCCCCAUACAUCAUCAUAACAUCCAGCACACCUAAAUCAAAAGGUAUGAACAUCAAAAAACAAAUUACUCGUGAAAUUGCAAUAUAAAAAAUUGUUAUAUUUCUUAUCUGUGAUGAUUGACAGUUGUAAGUAAUUAACAAUUAGUUCAGCAUAACAAUGAGAAAAUCAUUUUAUAUGUCAGAGAACCAUACUUUCAAUAAACUUCAUCACAGCAAAUGUUGGACCAAGACUUAGAAUUUCCCGCAGUGUCUUGGAGUUAAAUUUUCCAUCAUUAAAAGCAAUGACAGUGAGUCCCUGGAAGCAGAAAAGAAAUGCUUGCAGCCAUGAGAAUGAUACAUUCUAGUCAAGCUAACAAGUUAUUAAUGAGUAGAGACUUCAUCAAUGCAUAGUAAAAAAUAUUCACAACAAUGAAGAAGAGGGGAGUCGCUGGUAUAGAUAUUUGCAAUAAACAAAAAUUAUAUCUAAAAGGCAAAGGAAAAGACCUUUCAAAUGCAUGGCAAGAAAAUAAACAAAAUGAACAGAGAAGCUUUUCAGAUGCACAGCAGGAGAAGGACAGUGGUUUCUAUGAGAAUUUGAUUUUGACAUGCUAACCUGAAACAUCAUAACAAGAAAUAUCCACAGACGGUGGAAACUAUGGUAAAGAUGAAGGAACGUCCGGUGCUCAACAAACGAAGUUUUCCCUCUACGUUGACUUCCAGCAGUUUUAAGCAAAUACUGUAAGGACAAAAGACAUACUUUAUAGUGAUUCACAAUGUAAUACCCACCACAAGCAGUCUACAAACCUAAAGCCUUAAUCAUACAUUGUAGCACAAUGUAAUACCCACCACAAGCAAUCUACAAAUGUAAAUGAAUAUAGUUUGGCCAUUAUAGGAAGGAAAAGCCAUACUUUCACAAGCCCUCAUCCAACAAAAGUGGAUAUAAGUAAUAAGGAUUGAGCGGAGAAUUAAGGGUGUAGGAUGGAAGCUUGCCAUGUUGAGAUUAUAAAAGUGGAUAUAUAUAUAUAUGACCUCAACAUGACAAGUUUCCCAGAAAACCUUCUCUGCUCUGUUUAAGCCACCUUGUCUCUAUAUAAUCUAUGAUUCAAGCCAAACAGUCUGGCUUUAAUAUUUAACUCUAUACAUGAACAGGAUGACAUAUUUACUUUGUCAAAUGACAGCAACUACAUUUCAAGAAAACCACAGAGCCAGAAUCAAUUAUGCACAGGAUAUGCUUCUGCUCCUGGCGUUGCUGUCUUCAGAUACUAUUAAAAGAUCCCAAAAGGAACAGAAAGCAUAAAGGCAUAAAAAAAUGUUACAAACCUUUGUCCUUGGUUUUGGUCUCUGGAAAAAGGAUGAACUCGUGCGCCACGGCCAACUGAGUUCAAAGCAAUGAAGUGACCUGGAAAUGGAAAUACAUGGAUAAGGAUGAGGAGAAAAACAAUGGCCAUCCAUCUGACACAAAAAUAGUUUUAGGUUCCAUUUACUAUGACUUUUGCAAAUUGGUUUGAGUUGCUUUAAUUUUUUACUCAAAGAAAAGUCAUAAAUAAAUUUGGUUAGAAAUAACUUUUGACAUAAAUCAAUUUUGUUACAGAUUCGAGUUCAAACUGCUUUAAUCAAAAGUUAAAAUUUAACUUUUUAACUUGUUGAUUACAUAAUUUAUCCUCUCCCCUUUCUUCAAAAACAGUUGAUUUGAGUAACUUUUUGCUAAAUAUACUUCUAACCUAACUCAUUUUUGUCGUAAGUUGUUUAUAGAAAAAUAACUUUUGAAUUAUGACUCAAAAUCAAAAUUUAAUCUUCAUAAGUCAGAUCAAACUGAAUAUUACUCUAUCUAUAACUAACAAAGUCAGAGACAAUCAUUUUCUUACCACAAACAGAAUUGAAAUGGAUUUUCCAAUUGAAUUUAGUUGAUUUGAAUAAUUCAGUAUAAUUAAAUACAAUAGAAUUCUCUUUAAUGUCUAUGAAAUAGCUGCGAAAGAAAUAAAGAGCAUGGAUACUUCAUAAAUUUCACAGCUGCACAGUUUAGCUAUUCCAUUGAUGAAUAACAAGAAAGACUAAAUUGCAUGUGUUCAUUUACAUUAAUUCACCAAUAUUUAAGUUUUAAAUGAAUAGAAGCUCUUUUUUUUUUUGUUUCCAUUGCAUGAAUUGGGAAAAUGAAUCUGAAUUCUCCAUUCCAUCCAUUCAACAUGACUCCAAGUUAAGUGAGAAAAGACUGACAAAUCAAAGGAGACUUACCAAAAAUACUCAUUAAAAUCAUCGUAAUUUCUCCAAGAAGAAUGAGGCGCUUGUCCAUUAGCAUUGUUUCCUGCUUCCUAGGUGUAGUGGCAGGGAAGUCAAAUCUUAAGCAAAACCACAAUGCAUAGGACAGCAGAGAAGAAAUUGGCACGGUUUAUGACAAGAUAACAUCCCCGGAAGAGAUGCAUGUACAGAAAUGACUGCAAGUAAAAAUAAAACGACCAGCCUAAAUCAUAAUGGCAUCACAAUAGAACAAGUCAGUCCCAAAGCAACAAACUUAGCACCAAUGCAUGACAUAACAUAGAUAUGAUGUUAUGUGUGCUCUAUUGGUGAAAAAUUGCUGCCAAAGUUUUAAGUAUUAUUCAUGCAUGACAACAAAACUACUCCAGCACUAGGCUUAGGUGCCAGUUCUCUCUGGAAUGACAAACAUAAGCAGUAUUAUAAUUCACAGGACCAUUUUCCAAAAAUAGUCCUCCACAUUGACCUUUUUUCCUUGCCAUUCCUUCAUCUGUUAACAAAAGAAGAAAAAUGUGUGCCUCCUAGCUGAGAGAAAGAUAACCGAUCAUUAACAUGGCUUAAAAGAUGUGAUUUAAAAACUUUUCAACAUUAGUAGUGCUUGCCACUGUACGAGGGGGGAAAAGAAAAGUUACUAUUAGGUGUACUUGGAAUUAAUAUACACAAACAGUUAUAAAUUGUUAUGGAACUGCUGCGAAAUUCCUUUCUAGACUUAUCAAACCAUGCACUCACUAAACUCAUUUUAUUUUCUUAUUUUUCUACGGCAAUGCAAUCAAUUAUCAAAUCAUGAACUCACUUGACUCAUUUCUAUAUUCCUAUUUUUCUAAUGCAACUAUUCAUGCCACAUUUACCAUGUUACAUCAACAAACUUUGUUUUGAUUUAAAGCACUUAAAAAGAACAUAAAUAUAAAAAUAAAACACCACAACAAAGAAGUUAACAGCAUGAGCCAAGUGAACGAGAGCAACAUCCAGAAAGAAGGAUAGUAGCUGGAUCGUGAUUGUCCCUUAUCAAUUAAAUGUAAAGGAAUUAAGGAAAGAAGUGACAAACAUGUGCACUCACCGCUGCAAUAACCCCAUACAAAGGAGUAAUAACUUGAUCAAGGAAUGAUACGCCAUUCUCAGAAUUGGAAUCACAGCUUUUUGCUGGCUCAGCAAUUUGCUGCCUCAACAUCCCAUCCAUUUCCCUGACCAUCUAAAUAUCAAGUUUAUAGUUCAUGGAAUAAGGUCAGUAGAAAAAUUGUUGCAGAAGUUUUUUAUUAUAGUUUUUCAUUUUUAUCAGUUACAGCACUUCAAACCAACGAUUUGAAUCCACUAGCAAAGGUUUUAAGAAGCAGAAUAAAUGAAUAAGAUCAAGAAUAUCAAAAGACAUCUCAAUUUGAGGUUCAGGCCAAACUUCAACACAUGAGAAAUUUUUAAAAAAAAAAAUCCAGUAGGAAAAGAAAACACAGGUGCAAAACUGUACACUUGUUGAUGGGUCCAAAAUAAGCCAUUUACCAAUCUUAUUAGUAAUGUUACUUUUCUGAAAAGGGAAAAGAUAAAAACUAAUCCAUUCAUAGCGUAUUCCGAGAUUCACUUACAUGAUGAAAUAUGUAGCACAGGCAUUCUGGAAGAAAUCUAACAUUAGCAGCUUCCCCCCAUAUUAGAAAGUACAGGGAAACAAAGAGCAACUUCUUUUCCUUGCUUAAAUCUUCGAAACUGCACAGAACAUUUUAUUGGCAUAAGUUUCAAACAUUAUCAUUCAUGAAUUAAAAUUCAAUAAUUAACACAAACGAGAAUGAAAGAGGUUAAAUUUCCAUACUUGCUCCACACUGGUUGAAUGCACAGGUAGCUGCACCAUUUAAUGUAAUUAUCGAGUGACUUCAAGAAUACCUUCUGCACAGCAGCCUCAUCCAAUUUCUGAACAAACCGAGGGCAUAUAACAAAUAGUGAUUUGAUGACAUCUUAUGAAAAAAAGUUUGCAUCAAGACAAAAUUGUUCAGAGCUUUUUACAUAAACUAAAUCAAGGCCCAAGAUUCACAUUAGUAUAAAUUGUUGGAAUCUGGUCAUGUUCUGCAGUUACAUGGCCUAAUAAAAUCAGUAUCCAUAUUGAAGAAUAGAAAAAAUAAUAUAUUCCGCAAGUUAAAGGCCAAACCUAAUGAAGCACUCAUAAGGUAGUCAAACAAUCUUUCUCUUUUUACAUAUUCUCUUCAAUUCAUCAAUAGAUCACAAUAAGCAAAAUACAAGACACGUGGAUGGCUUUAAGCAUGAAUGUUUGUGUAGAAGUGCUUUCUAAAAUGGUUUGAACAACAGCUAUCAAUGGAGCUGUAACAUACACUGGCCCAAGUGUAUAAUUGGAUCUUUAAAUUGCAUGCAUUUAUGGACUGUUGCUAAGCCACUACUCUUUUGAGAGCCAACAGCCUUUAGCUUAAUCAUGCAAUCACAUCCCCGGUCAAAUUAGGAAUCAACAGUAAAAAAGUGCAAAUCUCACAGAAUAUCCCGUUCAGGUUUACUCUCAAUUUAUUGCGUUAUGGAAUGGGAAUCCAAAUAAAUUCAACACAAACCAAAAUAAUCCACAUCCAUAUAGUUAUCAACCUACCAUGCACAAAGAGAAUAGUUGGGGACAUCGACCCGAGACAUGGUUCACAUGUCCGUAUGAUUUAUGAUGACAAAAGAUAGUCCAACCCUUACAUUAUUGGAUUUUAUUUGGGAUUAUUUGAGUUUAUUUGUUGGGCUUGAUUUAGUCAUUGUUAGAUAUUUUAUUUGGUGGGCUAUAAACCCAAUUAUUUGUUCUAGUCAGGGUUUUAGUAUUUAUAUUCUAUUUUUCUAAAAGUUAGACAGUUUUAAUUAAUUGAAUAAAGAAUUGCAAAGUUGCAAACUUUUUCAACUCUAUUCUUCUCUUUUUAGGCUUUUUCUUCUUUUUCUUUGGCUUCUUCUUUUCUUUCUUCUUUAGCUCUAAAUCUCUUCUUAUGCCACAAUAGCUUUGGUAUUAGAGCAUGAUUUUUUACUUGUUCUCACAAUUAAACGAUCCAUACACUUAUUAAAAUUCUUGACAUUCAAUCUAGUUCGUAAACUCUAAAUUUUAUGGGAAGCUUUCAUCAAAUAACAAAAAAUGUAGAAGUACCAAAAACAAAAGUUAGUAUUCAUCUUCUCUACCCAACUUAACCAGCCGCACAGCCACAAUCAUCACCACAACCUGCCUCAUCCACCACACAAGCCCUAUUCCACUCUUCUUGCCACUUCAACAAACCCUCCACAAAUCCAGCCACUUUAGCAAACAAGACCCAACCAAACAUCAACAGGGCCAAGUCCCUACAAAUCAAAUCAAUACAACAACGGAAGCCACCCACACGUUGGAUUCAGCACCAUCAUAGUAGAUGAAGACCCACUGUCACAACCAUCGUCUCCAGAGUCCCUCUGAUUUAUAACACCUCAACAACCCAAUCACCAAACAACCCAUCAAACUAGCAUCAAAACCAAAAAGAGCCAGAAACUUUCAUGCACGGCAGAACCCAUUAGCCAGCAAAGAUCAACAGGUUUUCCACCUCAAACCAUAGCAUGUGUCCAAUAGUAAGAUCUUAAGAUAGACGUGAAGAAUAAAGGAAUUGUAUAGGUUAGUUUCCGCAAAUUUUCCAUCUCUUGUCUUACUAUACUUUUAUUUUUAUUUUCUUUUAUAUUGAUUUUUAAAAAAAAGUUGAGAAAGUAAAAAAAAAAGUGAAAAGUUAAAAUAACAAAAAAGCAAAUUGAUAAAAAAAAAGUCAAAAAUAAGAGUCAGGGUAAAAAAAAAAUACUCACGGUAGCAAAAGGAGAUCACAUCAUCCAGUACACCAUUGCGUCAAUGAUACUACAUCACCAACAACAACGUGAUUCGAAGGUCCAUCUACGAUCAAAUUCAAUGAUUUCUCCACCUUUUGAUUUGUUUAGUUUUACUUUUCUGGUUUUACACGUGUCAUUUAAAGUUGUCAUUAAUAUUACUUUUUAUGCCUAAAAAACAUAUCUCACCUUACAUUUAUAUCUGUUAUUUUUUUCUCAUCAACCUCUUUCAUCAUUGAUAUCUAGCAUCUAGUCUUCUUUGAUAAUUGCGAGUCCUUGCUUGUGACAAUGUGUUUGAUUAAUUAUUUACACUUAAAGGUCUAUCAAUGCAAGCUUAAAAUUUUAUUGGUGUAUUUUGUUCUUGAUUACUCUCCACAUUAAAAAAAAAAUGGAAUUACUAUUAUUUGUUGUAUUGUGACUUCACUUGCAGGAAUCGUAUGUGAUGUCAAUUCCAUUUUUAUGUUAGUGUUGCAUGCAUUUGUAAAUACUCGUCUAGUAUCCAACUUUAAGUUUACAACUAUCAUGGAUUCGACCUUGAGUGAUAUCUUUAAAGCCAAUCAUGAACAAAACAUUGUAGAGUUUGAGACAACUAGGUUGGUUGUAGCUAGAUAUGCCUUAACACAACCCGAGAGAGCUGAAGACUGAAGAAGAACUACUAUCUUUCACACCUAUAUCAAGUGUGGGGAUAAAGGAUGUAAGAUUAUCAUUGAUAAUGGAAGUUGUAUCCAUGCAGUAUCUUCGAAUAUUGUAGCUCACUUAGGCUUAAAACGUGUUCCCCAUCCUAAACCAUAUAAUGUGUCAUGGGUUAAUAAUACCUCUAUAGCAGUCAAAGAGAGAUAUUUGUUCCCUAUCAAAUUCCUAGACUAUCAUGAUGAGAUUUGGAGUGAUGUCAUUUCAAAAGAUAUAGAACAUGUCAUUUUAGAGAGGCAAUGGAUAUAUGAUUUAGACGUCAUCAUUUCUGGUCGAUCAAAUUCAUGUUUUUUCGCUUUUAAAGGUAGAAAGAUCAAACUCAUUGGAUUACCACCAAGACCAAGCAAUAAUAACAAAAAAAAAGGAUGUGAACAAACAAGAACUUAAUACAAUGAGCCUAAAUGAGUUUGAAAAUGAGGUUAAGGAACAACAUAUUGUGCCUGGUUUAGUUGCAAAAGAAAUUUCAAGAAACUCUUUAAUGGAACUACCAAAGGAGGUAAAUAUAGCUAACAUAAAAUGUCCAAAAGAGUUUGCAAAGGAGGUUCAUGAAAAAUCAGUUAUGCCUCCUUUAUUCGUAAAAGUUUAUGGAGACUCUCUCAUAGAGUUGCCUGAAAAGAUAAGUGCAAUGUUAGGAGAGUUUCAAGAUAGUUAUCAUUCUAACUUCACUAAUUUCUCGACCUUUAUGCUUGACACCCAACUUGUCAUAGAUUUUGAGCAACAUUCUGAGCUUCAUGAUUCUUCACCACUAUGCUUGACAUCCAACAUUUCAUAGAUUUUGAACAACCUCUUAAAGCUCCCUAAUGCUUUGUCCUCGAUGCUUGACAUCCAGCAUGUCAUAAGUCUUGAGCAAUCUAUUGAGAUCCUUAAAUCCUUACCCUUUAUUCAUGAUAAGAAGAGGAUAAGGAUGACCCCGAUUCACUAGGUUAUGUUCAAUAUAUAUCCAUCCAGGAUUCAAAGGUGUGUUUCAUUCCACAUUCUCAUUCGUGUAAGGUUCAUGGUCACAUACCUAGGAUGCCAGUAGACAUUCCUCCUUUGUCUCCUCACUCUAAAAUGUCUGAUUUAGCUGAGUAUUUUGCAUGUAGAGUUCAUAAUUUGCAUGUAGAGUUCAUAAGACAUAUUCAAGCAAGUAACUAACGAUACACAUUUCAAGCUGAUUUACAUAAGUAUCAUGAUGUACUUGGAGAUUAUUUCAUGAUACAGAUUAAACUUGAAUGGUGUCCUUUGAAAACCAGUCAUAAAUUGCAAGUGAGUAGUGUUAGACCAUUCAAAGUUUUGCAAAUGAUUGCAUCAAGUAGUUAUAUCAUUAAAUUGUCAUUAAACUUUGAUAUUAGCUAUAAUUUUGGCAUGAAGAACCUCGUUAUAUAUAAAACACAACCUAUCCCUGAAGCUCUAUUUGAUAUUACCACCCCAUUAUCAUUAUCAUUAUCAUUGGCAUAAAAGGAAUAUGUUAAUACUAUAUUGAAUGCACAAGUUGUUUUUAACAGGGAUGGUGAAGUUCAACGAAUCUCAAUUUAUGAGCUUAGGGACCAAAUUCAGAAUGUAUUUGGAUUAACAAAGAGACAUCAUAGCAGCUUAAUGCUUAUCUUUGGAAGCGUUAUCACAGCCGCCUUGAACUAUACUUGACAGGGUAAAGUUCUUCCAAUCCCAGGAGAGUUGAUGGAGACAUCAGACCUGAGACAUUGUUUACAUGUCUAUAUGAUCUACAAUGAUAGAGGAUAGUUCAACCCUUGUGUUAUUGGAUUUUAUUUGUUGGGCUUGAUUUAGUCAUUGUUAGAUAUUUUAUUUAGUGGGCUAUAAGCCCAAUUGUUCAUUCUAGUUAAGGUUUUAGUAUUUAUAUCAUAUUUUUCUAAAUGUUAGACAAUUUUGAUGAAUUAAAUAAAAAUUUGUAAAGUUGUAAACUUUUCCAACCUCAUUCUUCUAUUCUUUGGCUUUUUCUUCUCUUUUUGGCUUCUUCUUCUUAUUUUCAUCCUUUCUUUCUUCUUUAGCAUUAAAUCUCUUUUUGUCCCACAUCAAAUCACACCUAAAACUAUCAGACUUUGGGUUCAACUCAGCCUAAUGCGAACAUGUCCAUCAAGGGAGGGACAAUUAUUCACAAGGAUCUAAAACCCAAUGAGAUGAUGAUGAAAACUAGUAACACCAAGAAAUUCCAGUCCUCUACGCUAAUUCUGGCUAUAACAACAUGCAAUUAGGUAAUUCACAUAUUUUACUUGGAAUAUUUAUCUAUAAAAUUCAAAUAGCAAAUAUUUACCUAUACCAAUUGAAGUAUUUCUACGGCCCCUUCUAAUCAGAUAAAUUAGAAUAAAACAAAGUAAACAAGUUCCUUUAUUUUGUUGAAAGAAUUGUUAUCGUCUAUUAUGGUCAAACUAUUGGAAAAUGGAAAAUGAGCAUCAGCCACAAAAUACUGGAAGAUUUAUAUGAUUCAUGCUAAUAACAGCAUGCAAACAAAUGUAUAAUGGCAAUCACAACCAUUGUUGUCAAAACGUUACUUCACCAAAGCUAGGGCACCCUAGGUGAGGAGAGAGCCACCAAGCAAGGCGAUUUAAUAGGUGCUCGCCUGGAGAAGAGUUGCUAGGACUUGAGGCGCUGUCUAGGCAAUAAUUUUUGUCUUUUCUUUUCUCAUUUUUGACUAUAUUAAUCUUAUUCUUCUAUCCACCCACCCAUAGUUAUUUAGAGGGUAUAAUUGUGAAACCCAAGGCUCUUGUCUUUUAAAAAUUAUAAAAAGAAACAAAAGGAAGAGAUUCGCCAAGAACUGUCACUGGGAUUGACACGUAGCAUGUGAGGACCACCUUUUUCCGUUCAACAGCAGAGACAUUUAAUGGAACCAGCUAACCUCCAUGCUUUACUAUUAUUUUAUUCAUCUUCUUUUGUUUAUUUCUUCUUUUCUUUUAUCUAUUCUGACUUUCACCACACUUUUCUUCUCUUUAUCAGUCUUCAUUUAUAAAUAUUUAAGCUAUAUAAUGCUGCCAGAUUUUCAAUUUGAUUUUAUUUUUUUAAAUUUCUUCUACGGUUAUCAAUUUAUUUCCUUUUAGACUUGUCAAGGUUGAACAGUUACCCUUAAAUAACUCCAUCUAUCUUUAAGACUUAUUUAAUCUACUUGCUCAUUUAAAUUAUCUAGUAUCCUCUUUUAUCUUUCAAAGUUAUAGACUUAAUUAACAGUUAGUGAGACAUUGAUAUGGCUUUCUAUAAUAUGAUAUUUUGCUUUUAAAUUUGAUUAUUUUAUUUUAUUUUAGUAUAUCACCUCAUUUUGUUCGAGUGGGCCUAUGACACCUCAGGUGUUUAGCACCAUUGGAGCCUUAGGGCACCUUUCACUUUUGACAACACUAAAUUCACAUUUCAAAAUUAUACUUUUUUAAAUUUCAGCAUUUCUUUAUCUUCGGUAUACUUAUUUGACAAAUUUUCACCACCACCAUGCAAAGGAACCUUUAAAUAUAGCAACUUCCUAUAAGGCAAUUGAUUGAAGCAAAGUUUUAAUCCUUUCCUUGUUGGGCAGUUGUUAAAAAAUUAAAAGCAACAAAUAACAUGUGCUAGGCUGUGUGACUAUAGAGCAGGCUAAGAAGAUAAAAGCCACUAUGAAGGUACUUUCAAAAAAGAUGAACAAAGAGUCCAGGAUAAAUUAAAAUAACAAACUGAAAAUCAAAUCACUCAAUGCCAAAUGUAAACACUAAAACAGCAUUAGUUCCAAACGAUCUCAUAGAACUUAAAAUCUUUGAACUAUAAAUACUUGCACGUGAAGCAAUUUAAUUAGCGGAGAGUUAAUAAAAAGAUCUGAUAUGGAAAAUUCAUAUUUACCUGGGGAUAGCAUCCUAAAAUUCCAAAACAGAAAUUAACCCAAAUAUGAAACAGAAACAUGUGAGACAUACCGGUUCGGUUGCAUCAGGGAUACCAAGUCGAGAUUGUUCAUUGGCAAGGAGGUGAACUACAUGUUCCCGCUGGUUUGAAACAUUGUCUUUCUGAUAGCCAUAAAGUUCACAAAUGAGAAGCAAGAAACAAAUUAUUCCAAAUGAUUUCUUAGAAAAAUUCCAUAACACACUAGAAGAAGUGAAUGCAAAAGUAGUGUAGAGAAGCGUGAUUUUGAAUUGAACCCCCCCCCCCCAAACUUAUAUAAUUUUCACCUAUUCUGAAUGGAAGAUAAAUAUAGGAGGCUGGGCAAAGCACAGAAUUCUCAGCAUCCAAAAAAAUAUGAAUCCAAUUUAAAAACCCACAAUUGCUUCUUUUAAUUUUCCUCUCUAAACAAGUCAUAUUCCUAGAGCCUAUCUCCCCUUAUGAAUCAAUUAACUUGCUCCUUUUUCAGUUAAUGAACUUAAUGAAGACAAUGACAUGGGGUUUUGAUAUCCCUGUUGAUAAAGUAGAUGGGAGAAUGGUUGUUCAUAUCAUUUAUAGUGUAUUUUGAAUCAACUGAAAAUUGAUUAUGGUAGGGCCAAAUAAAAGAACAAAGACCCAAUUUACUAUUUCAUGAACGAAAUUCAAGUUUUAAAACUCCCUUUGCAUUCUAAGUGAACCAAUGAGGAGUGAGAAUUGCAACCGAACCAGAUUAUUACCCGAUUAAAAUGUAGUAGCCAGGUAAGAACCCCAAAAACAUCAAAAUAUAAUAUGGCUCUGAUCACAUCCAAAUACAACAUCAAGAAAUAACUAACUACGGAUAUUGCAAAUCCAAAAGACAUCCAAAUAAAAUUUCUGCUUCUAAAUAAGCAUACAAUCUCCAAGCUUGACACUUCAUUGGUGGAUUUCUACUUUUAGAAGCAUGAAUCAAGAGAAAACAAACAAAAACUACGGAAGUGCACAAGUGAAAUAGCCUCAUACAGCACAUAAUCACGGAAUUACAAACCUGAAACCCAAAAAUGUAGUGCAGAAAAUCAAGCAUAUCAAGACUUCUUGUAGCAGGAAUAGGAAAACCAUCUGGUAAUUGCGGCAGGCCCUGGAAAUACUUCAAAGCUGUUGCUGCUGCUCGUACCUGCACUUGAAUGAUGUUGAGUGAAAAAUUAUGCAAUUAACAAAUUAUGAACAUAGGAUAAUAAUAAAACUAGUUGACCUCAGGGAAAGUAACAAUAGCAUUUGUCAUAGUUUGACCAUCCAGUGGAAUGAUGUUAUAAGCAAUAAGGUCCUCAGUCAUGGUGGCAUCGGAUUCGAUCAUUCGCUUAAGCUGCACAAAAUACAACAUGCAUAUUAAUUGACAGUAGACACAAAUAAGUAUUACCAACGACCUUUACAAAUGCAUAUAUUAAUGAUAGCAUUCAUUGGUAUCCAUAAAAAGGGGAGGGGUGGAGAGUUGGUUGCAUUAAGAAUAUCUUUUCACGAAUAAGUAAAAGAGCAAAAAUGAAAAGCAAAAUUAUAUUCUCAUGCUGCAGUGUCCUCCCAUGUCUUCAAUUAGUGCAACCAUGGAUACAACUUCACAAAAGCAGAGCAUGUCACAGAAAAUACCACAAUGGAUGAAUUAUCUGGAUUUCUGAGAUGGCUUAGAAGCACCAAGCUCUACCAAAAACAUAGCAUAGGGACUGUGGUAGGCAGGAGAGUAGAGAAGUAGAUCGAAGCACAUAUUGCAUAACAUGUUGAAAUGGCGCAGGAAAUAAAUAAAAUCAACCUGGAAGAAGAGAGUAAAGAAGUUGCAUAUGCAUGCAAUUUUAACUUUUCAAAGAGAAAGAAUGAAGAAAAAAAAAAUUGUGGCUUGAAAGAAACAUAGAAGUUCAAAUUCUCAAAAUAAUCCUGAUAUAGUCCACAAGAUAAGUAACUGAAAAAUUAAUGUAUGAGCAGCCAUGAAGAGAAUUAUGUUUGAAAAGACUGUAGAUCGAACCUCUUCGGGAAGUUCAUCUGUUAGUUGCCCAAGUACAGAUCCUAAAACUUUCAGAGUUGCAAAAACUCUUUUUCUCUUCACUGUCUUCCGCUCCAACCUGGAUUGACAAAUCAAAACCAAGCAUGCCAUGGUGAAACAAGAGAAAUCAUAAAUAGUUCCAAACUAGGCAACAAAGUGCACAUGCAUGUAGCAAAAACUAAAUUUAUGGGACUGCCAGAAACCUUAGAAACACAAGAAAAUGGAGCUAAUGAAUUAAUUAAGCCAGCAAAUUAAUUAGCAGAGCUACAGUUACCACCUGAGGUAAUUUCAGCGACAGGGCUUAUUUAUGGUGGCAGCCAUUUUGAUGGGGCACUUUUUUUUGUUUCUUGGAGAGGAGGGAGGGAUCAGAGUUUGUCCAAACUCAAAGGCGAGCAUUCUGAGAUACAGCAUAUGAAGUGGAUACCUCCAGAAUUGAGUGGAGAAUAUAACUAAAAAUGUAUUCCUACCUCAUUCAGCAAUUCUAAUGAAUACCAAGCAUGAACGACAAAGCCUCAAUUCCAAACUAAUAGGGGUCAGCUGUAUCAAGCAUCACUAGUUAAAUUCUUCAUAUAAGCUCCCAAGUACAAGGGCUUACUAUUACAUAUUGGAGAACUAUAAAAAUCUGCCCCUUCUCAUCUAGGUUUAUAUUCACAGAAACUAAAACUAUAUCAUGAAUGCUGAUUAAACCUAAAGAAAUGACAAAAAAAAAACAUUUAUGAAUCAGAAGCAGUGUUUAAAUACAAACCAUGUCUAUGGUACCUAUUCCAUGAAAUUAAUGAUGUUAAAAAUUGGCAAAGAAGCAGAGAAAAUAAACAGAGGGAGAGAGGUGGAGACAAAGAGAAGAAAAGAAAAAUAAAAGGAAAGCCAAACUAUUGUGGAUGACAUUAAAGGCAUUCUGCUGUUUAAAGGCAAAGUUCGACUCAAUUUUUUAAUGAAUUCUUUCUUAUUUUAGGAACAUACUCGCCAAGGAUUCCAGUAAAAGCACCAGAUUCCCUCAACUGCAUUUCUUCUUCUCGUAGCUUGUCUACAUUGUUGUUCUCUCUGUAGGAUUUGUAAAACUCUUGCAGCUGAGCAAUAUCCUGGCUUCUAUCUAUGGUUCCACCCUCCCUUUUUGCCAGCUUUUGCUGAAAUUUUCUCAAAAGGACAAAGAAGGCACAUGAUAUUAGCAGACAUAUAUAUAUAAAAACACAUCACAUCUAUAAUAACUAUUGAAUAGCUAUUGAAUAGCAUCAAACAUAAUAUAAUUGUUAAGGUAUCUAAAGAAUAACAUAACUAUAACAUUAUAAACUACCAAUCAAAAUAAUACCUGAAUGUACAAUUAUCAUUAUUAUAGAUAAUGAAAAGAGAAGACAAAUUUAAAAACUUCUCAGCACAUCUACAAAAUAGCUUUCAUCAUUUAUCUGGAAAUCUAUCUUCUGGUAAUACUGUAUUUUCCUGAAUUUUUUUUCUACAAAACUGAAAGAUCUUCUACAUGUAAACAUGACCAAAAGUCUUCAUAUACAAGAGCUAUACCUUGAUAACAGACAUCAAACCAGUCUUGAAUUGUAGAACACCUCUUCCUUCACUAUUAGGAUCCAGAUUUUGUGCAAGUGAAUAAGCAUGUUCACAUACUGCAGGUAAAAUAAUAAUUAAAAAAAAUACAGUAGCUUCAAGAGCGCAAAGCUUCUGCUGAUUAUAUGGGGCAUAUCAUUAAUAGAAAACAGAAUCAACAGCAGAAUACAAGUCAUUCAAGCAAAACAUAGAAACUCCUAUUUGUCAUGUUUAUAAGGGUUUGAUAUUUGCUUGACGACUUACCUCAUAGCUUAUUAUUUUAAUUACUUGUGGUUUGCUAAGUUGCCUAGAUUAUUAUGUCUUGAAUAGGAAAUGCAAAAUAUUCCAUAUGCAUGGGACAUUGAUAAUUAAUUGAUUUGAAGUAUCAGCUUAUUAGUUUAUGAACUUUGUAAUUUUUUCUUAAACUUAAAGUUCAGAUUUUACAUCAUGAUAGACUAGAUUGUUCAUGUUCAAAAGUUUCUUCAUCCAAAAUCUUUUCUCUUUCUUUUUUUUUUUUUUUUUUUUGCAUUGAGUUGUGCUAGAAUGUAAGCAAGUCUGAUCAACUUAAGCUAAAAUGAUUAACACUCUCCCUAAGAGAUUUGCAUAAAUACCCUAGGUUAGAUGGUGUAAACAUGCAAAAUAAGAGUGACAUAACCAAAAGAAAAUAAAAUACAUACAAAUUCUAGACACAGCUGGAUUUCCAUCUUGAAUUUCAUCUGCUGCUCUCAAAAUUUCAUCUAUAUCCCUAUUAUUAGUAAGCGAAGACGGAACAUAUCCAGCAAUACCACCAACAGGCCGACCAAGUGCAUCAGUCCCAGUUCUUUCCCUCCUUAACACAGCCCUUACUAACCUCUCCCAUAAGUCCUCUGCUCGAGACAUUUUCUGCAGAGCACAAAUCAUCAGUGCACUCUAUCCAAACAGUUCAAAAAAUGAAAAACAAAAAACAAGAACCUUGUACUUUGGAAUUUUAAAUAACAAGUACAUAUAGAUUCAUUGAUUGAUACAAUGGAUGAUGUCAUGGAAAUGCAUCAGAUACAAAUAAAAAUAUAAAUAAUACUUGCAGUUAAAAUUGUCUGUCCUUUACAACCAAUAGAGCAUUACUGGAGUAUAGCAGCCUAGCUGGCAAUCAACAGUCUAGGACCGAAGAAGUGCAGCUCACAGCUGAAGUAAAAGCCGACAAAUGAUUAAAACCAAAACGCAAACUAAUUAUUCAAGGGACGAUCCUAAUAAUAAUUACUAACAGGUAUCCAAUCCGAAGACCAACAAGGCUACUGCAAGCAAUCACCAAUCAGAUUAAAUUUAUCCAACAACCAAUUGCACACAAAAUUUGUGCACGCCUCAAGAUACUACAACAAAAGGCUUUAUGCAAAUUUAUACUGCCUUGACCUAGUCCUUUUCAUAGAGCCUCAGAUUUUCACUAAACAAGAGACUAAGCCCUUAAUUUUGACGAACACUUGAGAGCAACAUAAACCCUAAAACGAACAUUUAUCAGAAAAAUUAACUUAAAAAGUGAGCAAUACAAUUAAAUAGCAUGAUAACACCACACAGAAACAAUUAAGGUAGCCAAACACCCAACAGAAACAAUUAAGGUAGCCAAAUCAUACUUUCUAAAUAAGAAAUUACGUGACAAUUAGCUAAAAUUACAAGAAAAAAUACUCAAAAGUUAGUUAAAUUUGUGUGUAUUUAUAUACUAAUAUGUAAAAGAAUAGACACAAAUGGCUAAAUAGAAGUUGCAGAUCAAAGAAAGAGAUAAAGGUUUCCAAAAAUAAACAAAUCAAAAAAAUUGUGGUUGGGGAAUUCAAAACAGAAAAAAUUACAAAACUUUUUCGAAUUAUUUUUCUGUGCUCAACAACAACAAAAACAAAAACCUAAUAGAUCUCAAAUUAUAGUCACUAAUUUUCUCGGUAACGAAACAGGAGAAAAAUUCAAAAACAAAAUAAAAACCAAAAACCAAAAGCCGUUACCUGAAUCGCUACACGAAAAUGGUAGAGAGAAGGAGAGAGACCGAGUUGACAAGGCGAGUUGAAUCGAUCUGUUCUUCUUUUUCUUCGUCUCGAAGCAAAAGAUUUCAAAUGAAAAAACAAAAAGACGGGGGUUUUUAAAAGGAAGGGUGUUUUUGCUUUGCUGCCAUUUAAAAAGAGAGCUGGGAGAUCGUUUCCGAGGAGAGAGAAAAGAAAUGAGGGGAGUGAUAGGGAAUCUAUAAAGGGGUAGUUAUGUAAUUAUACGAAUUUGAUAAUUUAUAUAGGAGGGAAUUAUAAAUUAGCCCCUCUAGUUUAGAAAUGUAAUAGAUUUGUCCAUAUAGUUUUAAAUAUACUUAUGAUUUAUUUUUAUUUUUAUUUUUUCUAUUUAAAUUUAUUUUGUUUUUUCCAAGGGGUGUAGUGAAAUUCAUGAAAUUCUUUGAUUGUGUUUUCUCAUAAAAAUAUUUUUUUGUUUGACAAAUGAGAACAAUAAAUAAUUAGUUAUAACAAAUUAAUAUAACUAUAAAACAUAAAAAUAUAAUAAAUACUAAAAUAAAAUACUAACAAAUUAAAAAAAUUUCAUGAAUCGCCUUAUCUCGAAGCAAAAGAUUUCAAAUGAAAAAAUAAAAAGAUAGUGUUUUUUUUUAAAAAGUGUUUUUGUUUUAUUGUUCUCUUUUAAAGAAAAAGCUGAGAAAUUAUUUAUGAGGAGAGAGAAAAUAAAUAACGGGAGCAAUAAAAAAUCUAUAGAGGGGUUAUAUAUAUACGAUGAUAAUUACCGCUCAUAACCGGUUGAAUGCAGAUUUGAUAAUUUAUAAAGGAGGGGAUUAUAAAUUAACCCCUCUAGUUUAUAAAUGUAAUUGAUUUGUCCAUGUAUUUUUAAAUAUACUUGUGAUUUGUUAUUUUUUUCCAUUUAAAUUUUUUUUUUUAAGGGGUGCAAUGAAAUUCAUGAAAUUUUUUGACUGUAUCUUCCCAUAAAAAUAUUUUUUUUGUUUGAGAGAUGAGAGCAAUAAAUAAUUAGUUAUAACAAAUUAAUAUAGCUCUAAAACAUAAAAAUAUAAUAAAUACUAAAAGAAAACACUAAAUAAAAAAAAUACGUAUAUCUUAUUUAAAUAUUUUACACUAAAUACCUUGUGAUCUCCAACCAAUUAUGCUCUUUGAUAUGAUUUACAUGAGUAACUUCUGAGUAUUUAUAUUGUCAAAUUUAUUUAUAGCUUAAUUUUUUCAUCCAUUUUAAUUUUAACUUUUUUCCUUCAAGAAGAAAAGAAAUUGAUAAUAAGAAAGUACAAGAAGAAGGUAUUUUUUUAGAAUAAAUUAAUAGUAGAUGAAGUAUUUGUUAGCACUAAUAAGAGACUAAUUAAAUAGUUUUUGAAACUAGAAAAAUUAUUUAAUUCUUUUUUAAAAAUAGAGGGACUAAUUUAUAAUUUACUCUUUUAUUAACAUGGGAUGAGAAGAAGACAUUUACCGGUUAUAGGCCGUGACACGGGGUUCGAUGCCUUUGAACAAUUAACGCGGAAAAGAAAAGUAGUGUAAAAAGGCCUAUGGGGCCUUGAGCACGUGGAGUGGAACCUGGUCACAUGAUCAGUUGAUCCUUUUUUUGUAUUAUAAAAAGACCUUUAGUUAAUAAAUUGAUAAUAAAACUAAGGAAAUUGAUUGAUGAAUGAUCAAAAAGAAAUUAAUUAAUUGAAAUAAGGAGAUCAAACAAUGGGAAAUGGCCUGUGGAGGUACCAUUUGGGUAAUUUGGAGCAUAGCUGUAAACUAUGCACCGGUUUAGCAAGUAUACCUGAGAUUUGAUUGAUUUAAAAUUUAGAUGGGAUGAAUUGAAGAGAAAAAAAUUGGCUAAGGCGAUUAAAAAUAUAGGGCAAUUCAUUAGCUUAGUCAAUCUUGCUUAACCAUCAAUUCAUUAAUUUUUUUAAUUUUUUUUAUUAAAAUGAUAUUCUUUUAAUUCUUAAAUAAAAUUGAAGGUAAAUCUAGAUUGACAUUUUCAACCUGUAAUCCAAACCUUAUCCUGAUUCUGAGUGGAUCUUUAUUUCAUGUUUUAGAAAUAUGAUUUGAAUGAAAAAUUAUCUUUUCAAGUAUUGUUGUAAUUUAUUUUAUUUAUAAUUUUUUUUGUCAGAUUCCACAUUUCAAUACCAUAAAAAUGUUUUCCUACAUUUCCAUGGCUCCCAUCUAUAAAAUCAACAACAGUGUUCAAGUAAUUUUAAAGGGUGUAGUUUAAUUAGUCAAAUCUUGGGUUUGUUCCUCAAAUAUCAACAGUUCGAGUCUCACAAAUCUCAAGGCCAUUGGAGACUUACAUGGUUGUUAACUUCAAGAUCUCGAGGGAAUAAUCGAGAUGCGCGUAAGCUAGCCCGAACAAAAAAAAAACUUGAAAUUAACUUUAAAAACUUGAAAUUCAGAUCAUGAUUUGAGUUGAAUUUUGAGUUAAAUUUGAUUCAAACAGGUUUUAGUGACCAAUUAAGCUGAUUUGAUGUAAUCCAACUGAAUUAAUACAAAAAAAAUAAUAAAUAAUAUUGAUUGUUGUAUUUCAGGAGCACGCUUACUUGGUAUGGCUCAUUGUCAUCUUUUCAGCCAAGGGCCUGCAACUUCACCAGUUGGGAGCCAGAAUACCAGGAGCGUUUGUGACUCAGUUUGGAUAGCAACGAGACAAUGCCUCCCUUCGGCCCUUCAGCUCCUACUUCAUUUGAUGCUAGCAACUUCAAAAGUGGUGAACCAUUUCGCUAGCAACCAGUCUCAAUUCUUCACAAUGCUACUGGAAAAGAUGAUGGGAUUAGGAACGAUUGCAGGAGGGUUGAUUAUCAAGUUUAUGAUUUGUAAUCAUGUUUAGGUACUUGAAUUAAGUCAUGUGCAGUAAUAAAUGUGACAAUCAAUAUCUUAGUAUUAUUUCUAAUAUAACUGUGAACCUUGAAACCUUUUAAAAUUAAAUUGUGUAGAAUCCGAGCUAAUUUAAUAUAAAUAGGGAUCUUGAACGUAAUUACAAAUAUAACAUUUUAAAAUAUUUUAAAAUAUUUUAUUAUUAUUUUGAUGUAUAUGUGACAAGUGAGGCUUUGGACAAUAUUCAUUUGGAGGUAAUCUUUAUUUCAUAAAACAUAAUUAAUAAAUAUAUAUUAUUUAUUAUACGGGUUUUUUUUUUUGUUAAGGGGCUUGGACUAUUGCUUAAGUGGCCAUUAACUUAAGCCAAUUUUGUGUGGAAGUUGCCUUGAUCUAGUCAACUUAACUGGUUUAAGGACAACUCAAUUAACUAAUAAAAUAAUUUGAAGAUGAAAUUAAAAAAAAAUAAUGAAAUUGAUAAAAAAAACCCUAUAAACCCAACUAAUUGUUUAAAAUAGAUUUAAAAUUAAAUCAUGUGAGAGUUGUUUUGAUAUUAUCCAAUUGACUUGGCCAUUCAAAAAAUAAUCUAAAUGAUUAGUAAAAAAUUUCAGAAUUAAAUUAAAAAAAUAGUUGAUCUGAAAAAAGUCAAAAACAAAGUUUCACUAUUUAUAUUAAAUUUUCUUUAAUAAUAAUUUUUUUUUUCCGAAUGUACAUCAUUUAUUAUAUUAUUUAAUAUUUAUUGAAAAAAUAUUGAAAUAACCUAUCAUUACAAAUUAGUUUUUACACGUUUAUUAAACAUAUCCAACGUUUUAUUUUUCACCUGUUUUUUACCUUCUUAACACUUAGAUCAUGUUUGGUUGGAGAGCAAACGAGGUAACUUUUUGCCUAUUUUACUUGUUUUUUAGAUGAUUUUUGAGUUAGGAGAAAAUUCAAAGGAGGUUAAUUAUCAAUAACUCCAAGCUUUCCUCACAUAUUUUUUUUUUUGGCUUUUGUUCCUUUUUUUUUACAUGUUUUUUUUCAAAAUUGACUUCUUCUUCUUCUUCUUCUUUUGUUUUUUUAAUUUUUUUGUUUUUGUUUUUAUUUUCAAAAUUAUCCUUGCCAAUUUUUUUAAAUAUUAAACUGGUUAAGAAUUUAGUUAUGUAGUUUUUUUCUUUAAAACAAUGUGGAUUACUACAAUAUUUCCUUACAUGGUUUUUUUUCUUUCUUUUUAUGAUUUUUUUCAAACUGGUAUUUGUCGAUUUUUUUUUUAUAUUGAGCUAGUUGAGAAUUUAGCUUCGUAGUUUUUUCAAAAAUAACACUGUGGAUUGUUACAAUGUUUCCCCACAUAGUUUUUGUUUUGCUGCAGUGUUUCCCCACAUGUUUUUUUUUAAUUAUCUUUGUUGAAUUUAUUUUUUCAAUAUUUAGCUGAUUGAGAAUUGAGCUUUAGCUUUCCCCAAAAAAAUUUUCCAUUUAUUUUGUUUUAUUCCAAAAUUGUCUUAUUCUUUUUUUGUUUUUUUUUCAGAAUUGUUUUUGUCGAUUUUUUUUUUUUACUAUUGAGCUGGUUGAGAAUUUAGUUUUUUAGUUUUUUCUUUGAAACAUUAUGGGUUGCUACAGUGUUUCUCCGCAUGGUUUUUUUUGUUUUUUUUAGAAUUAUCUUUGUCGAUUUUUUUUUUCAUAUUGAGCUGAUUGAGAUUGUAGUUCUUUAAAACACUGUGAAUUGCUACAAUGUUUCCCACAUGAUUUUUCGUGCGAUGUCGCGGGCUUGUGGCAUGUUUGUGCGUUGUCGUGGAUUUGUGGAAAAAAUAAAAAAAAAUUAUAUGGAGAAAAACUGUUGCAAUCCACAAUAUUUUCAAGAAAAAAACUACAAAACUAAAUUCUUAACCAGAUUAAUAUUUAAAAAAUAAAAUGAACAAAGAAAAUUUUGGAAAAAAUCAUAAUAAAAAAACGAAAGGAAAAAAAAACCAUGCAGGAAAACACUGUAGCAAUCUAUAGUGUUUCAUAAGGAAAUAUACAGUUGUAAUUCUCAACCAGCUCAAUAUUCAAAAUAAUAAAAUCGAUAAAGACAAUUUUGAAAAAAAUCAUAACAAAAAAAAAUCAUGUGGAGGAACACUGUAGCAAUCCACAGUGUUUUAAAGAGAAAAACUACGAAGCUAAAUUAUCAACCAGCUCAAUAUUAAAAAUAAUAAAAUCGAUAAAGACAAUUUUGAAAAAAAUCAUAACAAAAAAAAUCAUAUGGGGGAACACUGUAGCAAUCCACAAUGUUUUAAAGAGAAAAACUACGAAGCUAAAUUCUCAACCAGCUCAAUAUGAAAAAAAAAUCGACAAAGACAAUUUUGGAAAAAAAAACAAAAAAAAAUCAUUAAAAAACAAAAAAAAAACCAUGUGGGGAAACACUGUAGAAAUCCAUAGUGUUUUAAAGAAAAAAAACUACAAAGCCAUAUUAAAAAAAUAAAAUCAACAAAAACAAUUUUGAAAAAAAAACACAAAAAAUUGAAAAAAAAGAAGACAAUUUUGGAAAAAAAAAGAAAAAAAACAUGUGGGGAAAGUUAAAGAUAAAUUUUCAACCAGCUCAAUAUUAAAAAAAAAAUUCGAUAAAGAUAAUUUUGAAAAAAAACAUGUGGGAAAACACUAUAGCAUAACAAAAACCUUGUGGGAAAAUAUUAUAACAAUCCACAAUGUUUUAAAGAAAAAAACUAUGAAGCAAAAUCGACAAAGACCAUUUUGAAAAAAAAAAAAUCAUAAAAAAUAUAUAAAAAACCAUAUAGAAAAACAUUGUAGUAAUUCAUAAUAUUUUUUUUAAAAAAACUACAUAACCAAUUCAAUAUUAAAAAAAAACAAUGUUAAUAUCUAACCUAGAAAAUGUUGAAGACGUAGGGAUAAAGUAAUUUUUAGGAAGAAAAUUCAUGAUUUUUCUCUUUCCAUCUCUCUUUUGAAUUUAACAUGAUAUUACUAUUUUUAAUUUGAAAAGCAAAUAUAUAAUAUAUAAUUAAUGUUGUAAUCAAAUUUAAUUUAAAAUUUUAAUAAUCCACUAUCACAUAUAAUUUGUUUUUUGUUUUAACUUCUAUCAAACAUCUUUAGAACUUCACCCAUUUUAACCCUUUUUACAAAUCAUACUCCAUUUCUUCAAAUUUUUAACCUCAAAUCAAACACAACCUUAACAAUUUCAAUUUUGUUUUAAAAAUACAGGUUGUUUUUUAAAAUAUUUUUUUUCUUAGAAAUAACAUCAAAAUAAUUUUUUUAAAAAAAUUACUUUCAACAUAAACAGAACCUAAAACCCCUGCACAAACUCAGUCUUGCUUGUUUCAGGCAUGAGACCCUACAAUACAUAGCAUAACAUUGAUAAUUUGAUCAAAGAUGCUCAAAACAGAACUGAUGAUUUAGUGGAAAAAAUUUAUUCAAGUUGGGGGGGGGGGCUGCUAGAAGUUGAUUUUAUCCCAAUUACGAAAAAUGCAAUUCCUUACUCAUCCACAAGUACAAUGGUUAGCAAACAUAUUAACAGAAUUUUCACAAGCCAGUGUGAUACUGCUAGUGUGGUACUAAGAUCACUCCUUGUUCCUUGAAGAGCGAUCCUUCCUUGGGCCGCCAAGAAUUCGAGAAAUUUGCAGACCUCUACUAAAUGCUUGGUUGAACAGCAUACGAGUCUGGAAUUCAGACACAAAUGGAAACCAGGCAAGGAAUGCAACUGGAGUGAACAGGAGCAAGCCCAUAACGAUUUCGUAACCACGAGCAAGUGUCUGAACUGAUCCCCAAAACCCUGCUCGUUGAACGAUUGGCUUGCAUGCUUGUGCAAUCUGGUAAAAAUGGAAGGAAAAUUAACAUGGGUGAUGAUGCAUGGAAACUGAAAAGGCUAUUCUGAAAACAAAAUAAUGAUACACAAAGACAUGAAGUAGUUUAAAAAUGAAGAAAGAUCUUGAAUCUCGAAAUCUAGAAAGGCAACAAUGUAAUUUUUACUCUUCAUAGUUAGAUUUAGUAAUUGAACAACUAAAAAGAACAGAAAGAGGCUAAUCAAUGCAGCCUCCUUAGUUAGAAGCUUAUGAUAUAGUUCAAAAGUGAUGCAAAUGAAGCCAAGCCAAUUUGACACCAAGUUCGAGCUCUAAUUCUCUGAGCUUGAGCUCAAUUGAACCACCACAAUAAUAGAGAUGUGUAGCAAUCAUGGCUAAGGCUAAGAUCCAGCUUAUCAAACUUUCAAAACAAAACCCAGGGGCCCAAGAACAAGAGUAUGAUCUGCUUCAAUGACCAUGGGGGUCUACCAGACCAUACAAUAAUCAUAAAAAAAAAUGAAUUAUACUCUAGUUGAAUGUUUAUGGAGAAGCAAACUUGAAAUUAAUAAGCCUAAACUCUGCUAAGUAUUGUAUUUGUCAAGCAUAAUUCAAAUAACCUAAACGAAAAAGGCCAAAUAGAGCUCUCAGCUCAUCUACACCGCAUUUGAGACUCAAAUGAGCCAGAUGUCAGGAACAUUGGCAGAAAUUAUAGAAAGAGCAGGAUAGAAAUUCACUCACCAAAAGCAUCCCCCAGCCAGUUGGCAUGAAAGCAAGAAUGCAUACAAAGAUGUCCUGCACCGUCAUAUGAGGCAGUGCAAUCAAAGUGACAAGAAUGGAGAUAAAUGUUAGGAAUAUCAUUCCCUUAAUUAGACGGAACGCAAGCUGGAAGUUAGCACUGAACUUUCGCCGCCCAACAGAUACGGUCUGAGUAAGAAAGAGAGAAGUAAGUGGAUCCAUACAUAUAACACACAUCUCAAAAAACUAAGCGUGAAAUACAUUUCAAGGAAAACGUUAAUCUGAUCCAGAAAGAAAUACAAAGUUGUUAUGGACAGUAAUUUUAUCCUCCAACUUCUAUUCACAAAUAGUCCAGAGAUUUUUAUAUCUUUCUCAAAAAAUGAGACUCGUUGAAAAAGAAUAAGAUUUAUCAUCUAUAGCAUUUGUGAACACGAUCUUGUGCAGCUAAAGGUACUAGUGAACCAUGAGAAAUAGAAGGAAAAAAAGAAAAGCAUUGAUAGCUUACAACUACAUUGCUAAUGUAGAAAGAUUAGCAAAUGAUUAUUGCUAAAGAUGUGCAGAAACCUAGAAGACUGAAGAAAUAAGCAGCUUACCUUCAUCACAAACAAUAUUAGAAAGAUGACCAGCCAUGAUACACGAUCUUUUUAUAUCUUUCUCCAAAAAUGAGACUCGUUGAAAAACAAUCAGAUUUAUUAUCUAUAGCAUUUGUGAACACGAUCUUGUGCAGCUAAAGGUACUAGUGAAACAUAAGAAAUAGAAGGAAAAAGAGAAAAGCAUUGAUAGCUUAAAACUACAUUGCUAAUGUAGAAAGAUUAGCAAAUGACAAUUGCUAAAGAUGUGUAAAAACCUAGAAAGAUUGAAGAAAUAAGCAGCUUACCUUCAUCACGAACAAUAUUAGAAAGAUGACCAGCCAUGAUACACCAUAGACCUAUGACCAAGCACAAAGGAUAUGACAUUGGUUUAGAAAUGCCAGGUUUUAAUUUUUUUUUUUAAAGCAGGAGGUGAAGGUAAAAUAUGAGUGCAGCUGAGGACAUACCAAAAAACUUUUGGUUUUCUUUGUGAUCGUUAAAUGAUAUACUAGUCCAUAUUGAUAGAUAAAGAAUCUUAGAGAUAACAAUAUCUCUGCUAGAAUACCACGCUUUCCAGAGUGACGAAGAUGCUCCUGUUCUUCUUCCCACCAUGAUUCCCAACUCUUCUCUGAUGGAACACCUAUUCCUCCACGGUUACUUAUCCACUUGUUCCAAUCAGUCCAAUCAUCAACAAUCUUCUGCCACUCAAAUCCAGAAGGAUUGAAGAGGAAUGGAGCAAAAAGCCAGGUACCAACCAUAAACCACAUAGAUAUAGUUAUUAAGAGAUAGGCGACUGCACUUCUGUAUGGCUGACCAAAUAUUUGAUACACAACGAGCAAAAUCAUCAUCUCAAUACCCUUCACAAAAUGACUGCGGGAAUAGAGCCUGUAAUUGUCAGCAAACUUGGCAUGGAACACUACAAACCCUCUACCAGUGGGCCUAUAUUUCGCACCUCCAUGGAGCAAUGUCCUUCCAUAGUAGUGGGUCUUUGUGCCAAGAGAAAAUGUGAAAAAUACAGGUGCUAGUUGUAAUUGCAUCAGUAUAAAUUCACUUAGUGCAGUGCGGAAACCCCUUUCCAAGCCAAUUUCCAUCAACAUAGGCAACGCCAUCAAAAAUCCAAUUUGAACAAAAGAUUGAGAUGCAAGAGCCACUUGAAGAGGUUUGUUGUCUCGAAUUGCUUUCUGUGUGCUCAAACCUUCUUCAAGUCCACUGAGAACAAGAUAGAGGCGGCCAUAAAGAAAUACAUACACCGUGAGCACGGUUAUCUGUGAGAAGAGAUGUUCAGUACCUUCAGAAUUUCCCAUAAAACUAACACGAUAACAUCUUUGAACAAAUGAACAGAAAUUUUUAAUAUACCAGAGUGCUGAAGUAAAAACCAACUGUGGUGAAGUAGCAAGACAGCAUUCGGAAAAAGUCAAAGCGGUGUCCAAGCCGGUAUAUAUCACGACUCAAAGUCUGCUCUCCAUUUCCAUUAGCUAUUUUGGCCUCAAACAUAGAAAUCUGAUUGAGGCCCACAUCUCUCCCCUUCCCAACUUGUAUAUAUUCAUGAUGGGUAACAUUCCCUUCACGUAGUGUAGAAUUGAAGCCUGUGGAUGCAAUUCGAAAUAUAUAUGAUCAGUUAAAGCAAAGACCACAUAGAAAACCAAAAUGGCUACAGAAAGUUCAAAGCAAAUACAGACCGGCAAAUAUAUCUUCACUCAGAUUGAUAACCUUAGAAGCUUUACUGACACCCCCUCUAGUCAAGUGAAAAAGCCUAUCAAAUACAUCCGGAUGACCAUAGUGGAACCGCACCCUAUAUGAGAAGAAAACAGAGACAUGGAGGAAACUUAGCAUAUGAAAAAAGAAUGAUAUCCUUGUUGAACAGGUAAUGAAAUAAGCCAUCACAUGUUUAUUUUUGCUCUAGACAAAUUAUCAUAAAAUUCUUACCACGUUCAACAGCAUCAGUGGCCAACAAAUCCAACCUUUCAUGAUCAUUUUUAUUCUCGACACAUUUAUUAUAAAAUCACUUAAGAUUUUCCAUAUGGUUUUAACCUUGGAGUUCGCACCACUCCAAGGAUUUUUGCUUGCAUGAUGCUUCAUCAAUCCUAUUCGAUAAAUAUAUCAUAUAUCAUUCACCAUGAUGAUAAAACUGAUCAUAAUUCCUGUUUCUAGCAUUAAAUGUGAUAUAGAAUCGAAUCUACUUCAAAAAUAAUAAUUUUUUUUUUGGUCAGUUUCCACCAUCCUAUUUCUAGCAUUAAAUGUGAUCUAGAAUAGAAUCUCCCCCCCCCCCCCCAAUCAAGAACAGGAAACUGAAAGUUUUGGAGUACAGUUACUUCAAGCAUUUAUAACUUACUUAAGAGGGUUGGCCAAUAGCCUCUGACCGAUAGUCACAAAACUGGUUUCCUGAUUUGACAUAAACCAUGCAAGAGAUGAAACACUGCACCAAGCAAUGAAAGAAAAUUCAGUGAUCAUAAUCACAGUAAAAUACAUCUGGAGAAAGUAGCAUACGCAAAUAAUAACACACCUUCCAGUAAAUAUAUGCUCUCUAAGCCCAAGUAUCGAAGGAUUCCUCACACCAUCAGGCUUUUUAAGAAAUUCUUGCAGCAAAUUCCUCAUUUUCAAGGCUUCUUCCAUGUAGUUAUCCUAUAGAAUUGAAAACAUCAAACAAUGCACAACAGCUGAAGUUAAUGAUAAUGUUUAUUUAGAUUUCACUUUUAUCAUACCUGGUUCAUAUCUAUUGUUUGCAAGCCUUCUCCACGUGUGAAGAUAAUAGCAUGGUUUUGGUUUUCUGGUUUUCCUUCACCCAAGAUGGCUGGUCCUGGAAGUUUUAUUCGAUAAAUGACCUGCAAUUGGACAGCAAGACAAUCCAAUUGAAGUAUUGUAAUAUCAGAAAUUGAUAACGAAAUUGCCCAAGUUUACUUUUUCCCUUUUUUUAAAAAAAAAACUUCUUUUGCUCACUAAGAAACCAAGGUGCACUCGUGAUAUCUGCUUUCCAGAAAAAGUAUCAUGAAACAAGGGAAAUCCACUUUCUUAAGGAAAGUUUGCCCGGGUUACUCAAUAAUUCAAGAUAGCAGAUUCAUCUCAAAUUUAUGCCAUCAUUCUUUAGAAGAGAGUUAUGAUACUUUUUGUUGAUAACUGCUACAAUGUAAUCAGAACCAAUACCUAAUUUCUUAAGAAAUGCCUGACUUGCGAAAUAGUUGGCUUUACCUGGUCCAAGUUUUGCACUGGCUCAGAGGAAUCAAUGGACUUAGGUAAGGCUGCCUUCACUAGAGAUGAAUAGUAAACUUUUUGGAUGACCUUGGAUCUGUCUGGAUUAGUUUCUUCAACCUCAUCAAUGUAUGCCACACGGAGAGAUGGAUAUCUACCAAUUGGAAACAUAUGAGCAAGUUUAAAAAAUUGAAAUCAGAAGCUCGACAAGAAGGCUAAACAAACCUAAUACUUACGUUGUCAUGAGCCUCAAAAUAUCCUGUGCACGAGGAUCACCGGACCGCUUGUGAAUCCCAUAUUUCUGGCAUGAUACUACAUACGUAAAUUUCAUAUCAGCAACUGCCUGACACUGUGCCAACAGUGACCUUCCCCCCUUCGACUGAUCAUCAGUACUCAAUUCAAUAGCCUUAUAGCCCUCCAUCAAAUCUGAGAAGUGUAAUAACAGGACAAGAAGGAAAAAUAAUGUGUACGUUAAAAUUAUAACAUAUUAAACAUACAAUACACUAAAUAAUCGAUAAAUCCAAAAGUUUAAAGAGAGUAGUCACCUUCAUCUCCGGCCAUAUCAAGGAAUGCCUGAAGCUCCAAAGCAUGCCGAUAGUACAUCAUACCUCUCACUGCCAGUGGUAAUGUUAUAGUCAAACGAGAAAUUAAUGAAUAAAACAGGAAAAGAGAAAGAGGAACUGAGUGAGUACCCGUUCUAGUCAAAGUUUGGCCCCUAUAUGAUGCCCAUAAACGAAGUUCUUCAUCCAAGUUGUCUCUUCCUUUGAGUUCUUCUUCACUGCUGCAGUCCACUCGUUCAAGAAAGUUGUUCCACUCAUCUGUCCAUUAUUCUAAGUCUAUCAGGUAUCAAUGGAAGAUUUAUGGUCAAAACAAAGAGAAGCAGAUCUGGAAUUUGGUACGGCACCAAAUGGAAAAGAAAGAAAGAAACCUGGAAAGAUCUUUUGCAAGUAAAAGAGGAUGGAAACACCAUCUUCAUUUGGCACUUCCAAAUCAAGCAAGGAGAAAAGCACAUCCUCUGUAUAGUAAGGAGUUAAAACACUGCAAGAUAAAUUACCACAUUAGGAAAAGGUUUAGUUCUGCAUAUUAGUUAACAACAAAGUAUGUCUAUUAUUUUACUAUCAUUGUUUCUGGUGCAAAAGUUUCAACAAAACAAUAGAACAUCACUUAAAGAAACAUAUGCUACAUCAUAUGGAUAAAAUGUAUGAGGCGCGCAAUUCAUCUGGCAAAAGUUUUGGCAUCUUUGUCUAACCUUCACUUUAGACAAGUGCCGUAUCCUUUUCACCUUCUAUUUUAUGUGUAAUACUAUCCUAGUUACACUCUAGCCAAAUUAUUAUAGUUAUAAAACCCAACCCGGGUUUCAUGUCAAACCAGGCCCGGAGUUUACUCAGUCAAAAAACCAUGUUUGGCUUUAAAAAAUUCCAAAACAACUCGCUUUAAAUUGUUUUUAGAUCUUGAAACAAUGCCAUUUUGGAUUGAGCCGGAUUGACCCAACCAACCCGUGACCCGGGUCUAGGUCUUAUAACUAUGCAAAUUAUAUAGAUGGACUUGAGGAAAGACGGAUUCAUUGACGAUUGCAUUUAGUCAAUAGAGAUUGGAGUGGGAAGCAAUAUUUAAUUUAGUUUUGUGUCAUGGAGACUAUCAGUUGAAAGACAGUAAAAGAUGAAGCCACAAUCAUGAUGGCAUUGAACAAGCCUUACGAGAAAGAAAGCAUAUUGCGAACUUUAGGUGCAGUAGGCAUGUCCAUAAACAGUGAGUUUGAGAAGAAAGAUAUACGCCUCCUAGCUUCUAAGUUGGAUGGUACAUCCAUCGCGGAUUCUUUCGUGGUAAGCAAAAGAAAAAGCCUCUUGAUCUGCAAAGAUAGGUGAAGAAGAGCUAUUUAAAUUAGCAUGCUUAUCCAAUUUCAUAGUGGUUAAUAAAUUUCUAUUCACAAAACAAACCUUCUCUUUCCAUGCUUCUGUGACUGGUUCAAUUGGAAACUUGAUAGCUCCAGAAGAUGCAAAUAACUGAUAUUGUCGUUCAUGGAGAGUCAUUCCCUCAUGUCCAGAUCCGCCAUGAAUAGAAUCCACCAGACUUUAAAGGAAAAAACUAUAAAUUAUAAACUUGGAUGCUAACAUGUAAAAAGACAUAACAACGUGAUGUCAGAUGCAAAUAUGCUUGAAAAGACCAAUUACAAAUAUGUCGCACUUGGAUAUAUGAUCCUCCAUCAUUAUGUCUCUUGUCACAACCUCCAGCAUGUCCUGAAAGAGAAUCACAACUUGAUCCCUGUCCUCCGGUUUAUUAGCCAGCUGCAAAUUCCAAAAACAUAGGUUAGGGCUUCUCAUUAUCAUAGUUGUAUCAGCACUUUGCUCUAGAAAGGAUGUGGAAUAUUACCAAGUAUUUGAUAAGCUUCACAAAGUGAUCAUAGAGGAACGGAAGAGCACUCAUUUUGUAUUCACUUAUCAAAUCACCUCCGUCUAUGUGUAUGUUAACUUCAGAGAAUAUGAAAUCGAUCACCCUGAAAAAUUAUCAUGAACACAUCAACAAAAUGGUCAAAGUUACUAAAGGUCAAAUCCUAGUGAAAGUAAAUAGUGGCAUAGAGAGUUGAAAGCAAAUAUGCUUUUGGAUUUUCAUCUAAAAUUUUCUAAACCAUCUGCAAUGUAAUAGAACUCACUCUUUCUCACGUUUCCCUUGAACCAAAAACAAGAUGAUGUUCUUGAAAGAAGCAUAGCAUUCACGAACAGCACAAGACAUGUAGUUGUCAAACUCGAUUCUCUUUUUCAGCUCCUUAUCCUUACCGUUACUGUCCUUAGCCAUGUCUAAUGCUAUUGGGAUCUAAAAGGAGACACAGAGUUAAUAUCAUCACAUGAAGAUUUCACCAAUUUACAAUAAAGUGUGCUGAAAGAAACCUUGCUAGCCAGCAGAAAUGGAGGCCACUGUAUAAGGUCCAAAUCACGGUCAGCCCAAUAUGGAACAAGCAACAAGUCCAUCUCCCUGAAAAUGAGACAUACAGUUCAAGUAAAAUGUAAUAGCAAGAAUGAAAAAGCUUUAAAGAAACUAGAAAAGACACUAUUCUUCAUAGUAGCAUCCUUACUUAUUGCUUAUAAGGUCUUCUUCUCUGAAACUACUGAUGAUUUUAUUCCACAACUGAGCAAAUCUUGCUGCCUCCUUUUCUUUGUUAGAUGGGAUCUACAUUAAGAACCCCAGAUUGGUAACUCCAGAUAAGGACUACUUUCUGUAAUGAUUGCAUUACAAAAUUUACCAAGGUCACCAAUUUUUUACCCAAAAAAUACCAACAAUCAAGUCUAACCUCAGCAAAUUUGCGAGACAGGGUUGCCUUAAAGCCUUUCUUCUUUGGCUCACUCUUAUCCCCUGGAAUUAAACAGGCAUUGAAAGCACCAGGCAAUGAUUGGAAACGAGAUCUAAGCAUUCCCAAUGUUCGAAUCUGGAAUAAACAAAAUAAGUUACAGACCAAACAACAAAAACUCAAAUACCAAGAUGUCAAUUGGUUUGAAAGAUAUCCAAAGUGGAAAGCAUAAAAAAAGGCAACCACACCAGUUCUUCAAGUUACAAAGCAUAAAAGAAAACCACAUCAUUAUAUUCUCUAAGCAAAAGGGUACUACCCUGAAUGAAUAAAUAAGAAAGAUAACCAACAUGAUUGACAUCCAGGAAUAUAUUCAGCACUAAGAUUUACUAAAAGGUUCUUAAUUAUAAUUGAUUGGGAAAAUAAGCAUGUAAACAAAGCUAGAUGAUUUUCAUUGUAGUGUAUUAUCAAGAGAAUAAAGAAAAAGAUAUUGCUAACAGGUUCUUAAUUAUAAUUGGUUGGGAAAAUAAGCAUGUAAACAUAGCUGGAUGAUUUUCAUUGCAGUGUAUUAUCAAGAGAAUAAAGAAAAAGAUAUUGCUAACCUCUCCAAGCCGUCGAAAUGCACCAUAAAUACCUCCAAAGAAGGUGGAAAAUAUGGCAUACCAAAUCUGGGAAUCCAUAAAAUAUACCUAAAAAAUUUGGUAUAUUAGAUCACUUUCAGUUGAAAUAGAAUCAGAUGAGAAUUUAUACAUUAACAGAAACAACUCAUACAAGAAUAAUUGGAGCCCAGAGUGCAAUCACAACACCAAUAUUGUUCUUUGCUGCAAGUAAACAGGUAGACCAUGAAUUUUCUUCAAAAAAGAAAUAAAAGUGCACCACAAUCUGAUGCUACUAAUGUCUUCAAGUCUAUUACCUCGUGGAAAGAAUUCAUGCCAUUGGAAAGUAGUUAUAUGAACACUCAUUAUGGCUUUUGUUGGAACAACUAGAGGCCUUAUCUGCAACCAAAACAAAUUACAGUUAGCAGUAAAAAAGGAUUGAAUUUCCAUCUAGCAUGGCAGGUCAAGAUUCAAUAAGCAAUGGGAGAUCUAAGAAAAUGAAAGAAAGACACACCUCUAUAUAGUAACUAAAUGUCAACUUUGUUAUAAUAAGAAGAACCCAAAACAUUGUAUACCUGAAUAUUCAAUAAAGGCAACAGUCAAAAAAUUGCAAAUUUAAUGUUGUACUGUGAUUUAUUUUUCAAACAAUGAUCCUUACUUGAAGAGAGAAAUUGUACUCUCAUGCAUUCCCCUCCCAACAUAGAGCCGAGGCUGUAAUGUGUCAAAUGGAGGCAUGAAUCUUGUUAAGUAAGAUUAAAAUUUAUAUGAAUAAUAGAUAAAAUAUGGACAGCAAUUGCCAUGCAUAACCAUUGGAAGUAACAGAAGGAUGAAGAAAGUGGCAAAAAAUGUUUCUUUAUACCUGUGACCACCACAUCAUAAGCAUCACGAUCCUAUAGUUAGACCUCUCAAGGAAUCGACGUAUGAAGGGAAAAAGAAACAAUACUGCAGCCAGCAUAUUUGGUGCCAGGUAGAUAACUACAGCCAAUAUAAACAAGGAAGGCGAGCUGAAACCAUUGCCAAACCAACCUUUGAUGGUUUGGGCAAAUCCUGGAGGUUUAUCAUCCCAAGUGUAAGCAUAAGUUACUGGUAAAACUACCACCCAUGCAGCAGCUGAAACAACCUUCAGAAUAAAUCUCAACUUGACAUGGAAUGACAUUAUUUGUCGUGCCUUCCAAUUAAGAAUGACAUCAAGGAUAGCUGCAUCAGUUAGCAGAGAUUUGUCACAUAACAACUUCCUCUUCAUACAAAUCCAGCAAACAUGGCAUGAUAAAUAGGUAUAGCUUGAAAAAAUGAACUUCCUUAGAAAUUUCAUUAAAUGGAAAGCAUGAUGCACAUUGCAUUAUUCAUUCCAUAAACAAAACACCAAGUUGGGAAUGUUCAGAACAUACUAAAUAACAGUAAAUAAUUUGAACUCGUGUACACAGCAAGAAAACACAGACAAAGGUAAUUAGAUAGAGUUAAGAACCAAUUAAAAUUUAAAGUAAUUAAAGCCAUUACAAUUUGUUUUGUACAUAAGCAUAUAGGCUAGCCUAUCCAUUGCCUAAUUGAACUUUAUUGACAUUUGUAUAACAUUUUAAACUGGUACAACACUGUACUUAUGGAAGAACAAAUAGAAGAUACUAGUAACUGAAAGGACAACGGAUAGAAGUAAGCUGCACUCUUUAUUACCUUGCCCGAGCUUUAAUAUUGCAGCAGUAAUGAAGACACUCAAUACUUUCUUAAAUACAUCACCGCUAAAGAUAACACUUGGUUGCCCCGAACCAUGCCAAGCAACCGUAAUCAUAGCCUUCAAAAUCAGACAGCAUCAGCACCAUAUCAGCAUAGCCACAGUUGUUAAAUAAAUUUAAAGCAAAUCAGAUGCAUGAAAUAAUAGAAAAUGUACCUGUAAGCACAGGAUAAAAAAACUCCACAUUCGAUCAAAGCUUCUAAAGACAUGCAAGAAUGAUCGUAUCUCCACGAAAUUAACUUUUCCUACCCAUCGAUCUCUAUAGGCUGGUUUAUUAUCCUGAAUAUCAUAACAGUUCAACACAAAUUAACAUAAUGUCCCUUUUGCAGUAUAAAAACCCAAAUAAAGAAACCAGGCAAGAGGAAUGCAACUGCCAUUCCAUUUACUUCCAGUGUAGGAAGCAUAUGAUAACCAAGACCCCCUCAAUUAGAUAGGAGCAUUUGGUCAUAACACCAGUCCAGUAAUCUCAGUCUGUUCAAGUCAUGUGUGAAUUGAUAUGAAACAAUGUCAUAUAUAAUUAUUAGGCUAUUGACACUAGGACAGGGGAAAGAAAACGAAGAGAAAUUUUUUUAGUGGUUAUUGCUUACCCCAUUUUUUUCAAAAUGGUGAUGAUCAGACAGGCAAAAGAAAUCAGCAUCUGCACGCAUGGGCCAGCCUAAGCGGAAACAAUCAACUGACCUACAAAUGAUGCAUGGGCAAGUUUGUUUUUUUAGAAAUCAUGCAUAGGUAAUCUGAUCAGGAGAACUUUUGAAAAAAGACAUACAGACAUCUCAAAGGAACAGUAGGAAACCAGGACCAAUACCAGAAGUACUCAUUUAAAUCGUCGUAGUUCCUCCACUGAGAAUGCUUUGACUUCCCUUUUUUACUCCUUUCAGCUUCCUGUCAAGUGGUGCAAUGAUGAUGACAGAUGAAUUUAACCAAAAAGAAAAUACAACACUCAAAUUAAUUAGACUACAUAAGAAAAAAGGACAAUUAUUGCAUUCAGCACCUUUGCGAUCAUGUUGUAGAUAGGAGUAACAACUUUACUCAAGAAAGCCUCUUCUUCACCUCCAUAGGCAGGCUUUACAUUUUCUCCUGUCAUAGGACUGACAUUUCCAGCUAGCAUGCCAUAUAACUCAAAUGCCAUCUACAAAUAGCAAAAUAAUUUAGCAUCAAUUACACUUAACAGUCAAUGAACAAGCCCAAGUUGAUGAAAAACAUAUUUGCAGAUCUACAGUGAAAUUGCAAAGGCAUAAAUGCUCUGAAAUAAGGGUGAUGGCACAAAUAGUUCAAAAGAUUGUCGUGCACUCAUUGGUGUGUCCACAAAUGAGCAAAAGCCAGUUUGGAACUAUUGUUAGUGUCCUUGCCCCAAAGAUACAAGGCAGGCAGAGCAUUGGACGAGUUAUCAUGAGACAAGAUCCAUCUAUUCUAUUUGGGUAUCCAGGUUGACACCAUAAAUAGACUCAUUGUCUCCUCUGCGCUAUUUCUACUAGGGUCACUCAACUUAUCCAGAAUUUCUCAGAACCAGAUGCUUUAUCUGAUGGGGUUAAAGAUGAUGGAAGACAAAAAUCUAAAACCAUAUUUCCAGUUUCCCGCCAAUGAAAAGGAAAGUCAAACAAAAGCAAUGAGAUAAAAAUGAAACUAUCUUAAAACAUACAUGAUGAUAAAUAUAGCAAAUGCAUUCUGGCAUGAAUCUCAGGUUUGCAGCUUCCCCCCAUAUCAAAAGAUACAGACCCAUGUACAAUAAUUUACGCUGUUGCACCUCCUGCUGUAUGGUUGGUAACCUGCAAAUUCAGAUUAAAUCCAUUAAUAUAAGCAUAGAAUGGAAAUCUACAAUCCCUUUCUUCCAUAAUUGUCCUCUCCCCCCUCCUCCCUGUUUUUUCGCAUCCCACAACAAAGGAACCAAAAAAGUUCAAUGCAUGAUGUAUCUGCACUGCUUAUUUCCAUGUCAAUAAAAUCAUAUUGAUGUCAAUUUUGUGGUUAGAAUAUAUAUAAAUUGCUAGCAGCUCAAUCUUUUUUGUAAUUUUCUGAAGCAGUUCAAUUAAGCACAUUCCUUAAAAGAUUUAACCAGCUGGAAGAUGAAAUGCAAACACCAUCUAAUCAAUCCUAAACCGGAGUUCAGUCAGCUAUUGAAAAAUUAUCAUAUCAUUCACAAGGAACUGGGUGCUCUUACCAAAGGCUACUUUUUCUAUCCAAGUACUUGCACCAUUUUUUGUAGUUCUUAAAAAGUUUCUUCAUCACUUCAGUCAAUGCACGCUCAUCCAACUAAGAAAGAAAAAUGCACAGGGUUAUUCAGAUUUUGUUACACAAACACGACUGAAAGCAAAUAGAAAGAAAAGAGGAACAAGGAAGAAAAGGAUAUCUUCUGCACCUAUAAUUGGUUUACGGUAGAAAUUAUAGAGAAAGACAUGGGCCCAAAGCCCACUAUACUUUACCAGUCACUAUUUAUAGAGUAAAAAAAAAACUGAUUUUGCAAAAAUCGAGUCAGAAAACAAACCUUUGGUUGUUGGUCAGGCUUGGGAAAUUGCCGUAUGUGCACAUUUGCAAGUAAUAAGAUUAAGUGCUCUCUUUGAUUUGCCACAUUAUCCUUCUUUGAUUUGCCACAUUAUCCUUCUGCAGAGUUAAUAAAUGGUAUUUUUUUGAAUUAUAUUCAGCUAAAACAGUUUUGUAACACAAAAGAAAAUAAUCCUUCUCAAUUUAUUUUACCUGAAACCCAAACAUUGCCUGAAGCCAAUCCAAAACAUCUUCGUCGUUUUUCUUCUUGUAAUCCUUGGGCCACGGAAGACCUCUUGUGUUACGCAGAGCAACAACAGCAGCUUGGAUCUGUGUGCCAACAAAAUAUAAACAUAGCAAGUGGUAAAAGAGAAACAGCUAGGUUGUAGGUAAAAAGAGAAAGUGCAUAUAGGGAAGAUACCUCAGGAUAUCUCAUAAUCGCUUGAUUUGCACUAUCUGGAUCAAGUGGCAGGAUAUUGUAAGGCAGAUAGAUCUGAGUUUUUUCUGCAACUUUAUCUUGAGCUUCUAAAAUCUGUAAAAUAUUUGAUGCAAUGAUACAAAUCAUUUAUGUGCUAAUAACAGACCUCAAACAAUUAAAGUUCUUAACUUAAUUUAGCAGAUAGAACUUGCAUUAACAGAUACUGUCAGAAUGCACGUUCACACAAUAAAGCAACUAGAGAGGUGAUUAUAGAUGUCACAUGAUUUCACCUCACGAUCAACUUCAAUAGAUUGUGUCGUAUUAACAGCCUUUAAAACCUCAAAGAGCACAUUAGCAGUCUGGUAUGCCUUGGUAAGCUGGGCGCUGCAUUUAAACAGAAUACAGUCAGUUAAAUACAGUAACAAGAACAGCAACUUUAAAAGCAUUUGAUCUAAAGAAACUUGUUAUAAGAUAUAGCUUCAAAGAAUUUAUUUCACUCUCUCAUUUAAAAGAACUUACCGGUCAGCUUUAUCAGCAGCAUUAUGCAAUGCUUGGAUGUAUUUUUUGUAGUAAUGCUGAUAAAAACUCUGCAUUUCUCGUGCAUCACUUUUUUUAACCCUUCCCAUCAAGGUUGGAUCGUUCUCCUGAAAAAUGUGAGCAGAGCUUUUUUGCAUAAAAGCCAAGACCAACAACAAUAGCAUGAACAAAAAAAAACCAAAUGCAUAACUGAAUUACAUAGAAGAAAGAAUUGAACACUAAAACUGCCACAAAGUUUCCUAAAGGAAAAACGAUGUUGUUUUUUAUACAAUAUUACAAAUUAACAUUGGUUAUUCUUCUGGUACUUGCAUGCCACUCUUUCUAACUUUUUUACAUCAGCAAUCAGUGCCUUCAACACACACGCCAAACUCAUAAAUUAAGCAUGUUUAACCUAGAAUACAUCAGAGAAAACUACAGAAUACACUCUCCUCUCCCUACCUAGGGAACUGAAGAAUGUUCUGGUGUAACUCUAAUGGAAAUGAUGUCACUCAUGAUUUAUAACUGUCAUGAUUGAACACUGAUUCCCAGAAGAUCAAUUUAAGCAUUCAAUGUAUCACUUGAGGUGCCCAUUCCAGAGUCUCUCCGCCUCUCUCUGCCCACUCCAAGAGAUCCUCAGAUAUUUUCUCCACUGUAAUUGAUCACACUGACCUAACAAAUAGGCUUAAACUUUGAAACAAAUAAUAAGCCGUUGUCAGAGUCAUUCAUUUCUUAACUCCAUGCAGACCACGGUUCAUCAUUAUAAAUGAUUACCCUCGACAGCUAACUGCUCGACAUUGUAAAUCUAGAAAUACCAGGACACAAAUGCCACAUCUUAAAACUUUGUUCUAGCAAAGAACAAAUGAUGACUCUUACCCUUUCGAGACGUUGAAGAAGUGCAGUUUUAAAUUGACGAACACCUCUUCCACUAGAAGUAGGAUCCAACCUAUGCGCUUUCUCAAAGGCAUAAAAUCGACCUACAUUAACAGAACAUUACAAUCAGAUAUGCAUAUAAAAAAGACCAUAUCUUUUACUUACUGAAAUCAAAGAUAAGAAAAAAUUUCAAAAAACAAAAACAGCAAGUCUUUAUACUUGAAAACACUAUAAAUCAAGCCUGCAUUGCAUAAGUACUAAAAACAGAAACUUUAAAUUCCAAAAAAAAAAAAAACAAAAACAUCACGAAAAAACAAAACUUUAUUUUUACUUCGAAAAGCAAAGAUAAAAAAAUAAUCUUUAUGCUUAGAAACGCUAUAAAUCAAGCCUACAUUGCAUAAAAAAACUAAAAACACAUGCCUUAAAUUCCAAAAAACAAAACAAAAAAACUUUAUUUUUAAAAAAACACUUACAAAGAUAAGCAACUCUAGGAUUGCUAGAUUCAACUUCAUUAGCAACACGAAGAAUCGGCGCGAUCUCAACAAGUGAAGACGGCACUACUUCACUAUCAAAUAUCGACUCUCCAAGAUUCCCAGCUGUCUGCGUCCUCGUUAACCUCCGUUGCGUCUGCGGUGGUGUCGCUAACGGCCCCCCAGCCGCCUGAUCCAUCCCCAUUCCUCCUCCUCUCGACGUCGACGACAUCUCUUUCCUUCUAAAUCCAAAACAACAAAAUAAAUAAAUAAUAAAAAUCUAAAAAAAGAAACAAAUUAGAUAAAUAUAAUAAAGGAAAGAGAUGUACCAGAAGAAUUAGGAGAAGUGAGCAAUGGCUUAUGAGUCUUACAUAUCUGUAAAAAAAAAAAAAAAAUAUAUAUAUAAGUACAUUAUUAUGAAAAAUAAAAUAAAUAAAAAUAAUCAUGUAUUUUUGCAGUGUGAAGGAUGAGAAGCUUACAGGGAAACCCUAAGAGAGAAUGUAGAAAGUUUUAGAGGGUGGGAGGGAGAGAGAGAGAGAGAGAGAGAGAGAGAGAGAGAUGCUGCAAGUGUAAGCUGCUUAGCAAGAACGGGAGCUUAAGAAGUGAAGUGGUUUUUUAGUGAGUGAGCUGAGUGGGGAAGAAGAGGGUUAUAGCGUGUUUGGGAGUAUGUUUUUUUAAAGUUUGUUUUUUUAAGUUUUUUUAUUUCAAAAUAUAUUAAAUUAUUAUUUUUUUAUUUUUAAAAAAUUAUUUUUAAUAUUAACGUAAUAUUAAAAAAAUAUUAAUUUAAAAUAAAAAAAAUUUAAGUUUUUCAAAAUCCUUUUCAAAAAGCAUAAACAGUAACUUAAUAAAAUAAAGAGGUAAAACAAAGUUACCGUUGUUUUUACUGGUAUGGUAAGAUUCUUGAGGUUUGUGAUGAUAAACGGGGUUAAUGUAUUAGGUUAUUACGAUAUUGCCAUUGUGUUCUUUUGAGCUGAUAGUUUAAAAAAAGAAAUAAGAAAGUUUUCAAUAAGUUUUUUUUUUCUAGGUAGAUGUAGAAAAUUAUGAUUAUGAUUAUAAUUAUGAUGAGGAUGACGUGAUUAGCACAAGAUUUGCAUGAGAAAAUGAAGAUUUAUACUAUAGUGAAAUUACAAUGAUUUUUUAAAAAAUUAAUAUCAAGUUUAAAAAUUAUUUUAAUUAUUUUGUAAGAUAAAUUGUUAUUCAUUUAUGUGUCAUAUGACUUCAGUCUUUUUAUUUUUUCAUCUUAAUGGACUAGACAAAAAUAAAGGUUGGGUGAGUAUUAAGUAAUAAUUAAAUUUAUUUUGUUUGGGUCUUAUAAAUUUUAGGAUUACUGGAGGCUUAUAUGGUCGUUAAUUUAAGGACCUGUGGAAUUAGUCGAGGUGCGCGCAAGCUGAGCCGGACACCCAAAUUAAUUUUAAAAAAUAAUUAAAUUUAUUUGAAUUGGACUAGCAUUAAAUUUAAAAAAUAAAAGUACAAAUGUCAUCGGGUAAUAAUAUUAUAUAAGAAGUGGGGGAAAUGUAUUUAUAUUCUAAUUUCUUAAUGUAAAUAGAAUUAAAUAUGCAUUACUUCUUUUUACUGUUAUUUUAUAGACUGCAGCAACGUUAGUAAUAUUUUGGAGAGUGAAAAAUUGAAUUUUAAGACAUGUUUGCUUCUUUUAUUUGCCUGCUAUAUUGUUAAUAAAUAGGACAAUGAGUAGAUUUACGUGCUUCUACAUGUAUUGCUAAGCUUUUCUUGUGAAUUUUUUUAUCUUAUAUAUAAAAACGUUCUUAUAUUUAAACAAAACUAUAAUAAAAAAAUUAUGAAAAAAUGCAAACGGAUAGAAUAUUUUACUCUAAUCAAUACAUUUAUAAUAUAUUAAUCAACUGUGAUUUUGAUGUUAAAAGUUUUUUUUAGAUCACAAUACCAAAUAUUAUUAUUUCAGUACGUUAAUGAGUUAAUAGAUAUUUUAUUUGAAUUGUGAUGUUUUUUAGAAUGGUAAUAUCCUUGUACAGAGGGGAUAUUUUCGUCCAAGCAAAGCAAAAGCAUCUAAAGUGGAGUGGGGACUACCGUGAAAAAAAAAAGUAGCAAAACAUGGGCAUUCUAGGAAAGGUGUUCAAAAUUCAAAAGGAGGCAAGAUUCUUAAUGAUCUAAAACUGGAAUAUCGAGUGGAAAGUAGCCGUUUUGUAAAACCUCAAUGGACCAUUAUACCCUAACCAGAUUCAUUUUUUAUAUAAUAACCCAAAUUAUAACAUAAUCCAAUAUUUUUCACAAGAAUUUUUACUUAAAAAUAUAUUUAAAUAAUAUUUUUUAUAUCAACAUAUUAAAAACAUAAAAAAUCAAUUGGAUAUUUUUUAUUUAAGAUAAGUAUAUUUUUAAAUAGAAUUUUAAAAACUGUAUAAGAAGUUAACUCAAAAUAAUCCGAGUUAAAAAAUAAAAAAAUAAAUAAUUAAUCUAUAUAAAAAGUACUAAAAUUGACUAAAGCAUAAACCGGUAAAAAUCAAUCAUCAUCCUGUUAAGUUUUUAUUUUUUAUAAUUUUUUUUAUUAAAAUACCUUCAUUUUAAAUUUUUUAUUCAAAUAGGUUUUAAAAUCAUGAUUAACAAGAUAACAGCCAUCAAUAACAGGGGCAGCAUUAGUAAAUUAACAAACAAUUAAGAAAACAGGGGAGCAUAUUAGGAAACCGAGGAAAAUUGAAGGGUAAUUAAGACUUUAUGGUGAUGAGAGAUGAAAGUCGGUUUGUAGUUUUGUACUGUCCGAAAUUCCUGCCAUGCUUUUUCACUUUUAGUGGGACCCACGCAGUCGCUGGCACUACUCAUGGGUCCACUCCAUUCAAAGAUGGGAGACAACGUAGCACUGACGGGAUGGAUGGAUAGUCUUUAUUGAUACCGUUUAGUAUUGUUGUUCGAUUUUAAAAGUUUUCUUUUUUUAUAAAUAUACUAAAAUAAAUUUUUUAUUUUUUAAAUAUAUAUUAAAAUAAUUUAAAAAUAAUAAUUUGAAACGAAAAAAAUAAAAUAUUUAAAUAUUUUUAAAAUAAAAAAACAAACAGAUUAUUACUCUUAUCUUUCAAAUUAUACAAAGGAAUUCGGAAAUCUUGAAUUCAAUCAUAUAAAUUAAAAUACUUUAAAUGUUAUGUGUUGUUAGAUAGAUGUAAUUUUAUAAAAUUUAUUUUUGAUCUGUUUUUGUUAUUGUUUAUAUUUAUUUUUUAAGUCAUAUUUAAAUGUAUUAAAAAAAAUAUUUAACUUAAAAAAAUAUUAAAUUAUUAUUUUUUAAGUAAAUUUUUCAUAUUUUAUUUUUCACAUGGCCCUGGUCUUCUGUGCGCCUUACAGUUUAACUUUUUUUUCCACUUAUUUAUUUGUUUUUCUUAAAAUAUUAUCUUCUCUGUGUCAGAGCAACAUAAACCUGAACUUUUAAUAUUUAAUUAAUAUUAUUUUAUCAAAAACUCAUUCACAUCCUUCAAAAACCCACGAGACAUUUAAAAUAAGUAAAUAAUUGUUAAUAACACGUAGAAUUAAAUGAAGAUCUCUAUUAAACCAUUGCAUGUUCUCAUGUUUUACAUCGAUAAGAGUGCACGCACAAAAACACACAUACUUUCUGAAUAGUUUUCCUUGUCGAGAUUCCUUCUAAAUUUCCGUUUGCUUGCGUGGUUAUUUAUGUGUUUGAAGCAAUCACACAGCCUAGAAACAAUCAAAACGCAAUUCAUUUUUUAUAGGACUUAUUGAAAAUUUUAAUUGACUCGUAUUAUUCACAUUAAUGAUAUUUUUUUUUGAAAAACCAAUGUAAUAAAUUAAAAAUUCACUCAUAAUAUCAUGUUUAUGUGAACAGUAAAUUUUUUUGAAAAACUAGUUUAGAAUGAAUUAAAUUUACUCGCAAUAUAAUAAAUAUCAAAUCAACUUUAACUAAAAGUAAUUUUUAUAGAACAGUUUUUUUCAAAUCACAACAACAAAAACUACUACAAUACAAAAUACAGUCUAAAAUUACAAAACAUGAAAUCAUUUUUUAAAACUUUAACGAAUCCAAAAUGAUAUGAUUAAAAACUUAAAUUGAUCAAUGAUUUAAUUAGGAUUUUAUUUUUAUUUUUUAAAUAAUAUUUUUUUUUAUAUUUUUAUAAAAUAUAAAAAUAAAUUGAUAUGUAUUGAUUUGAUUUAACCCAUCGAACCUUUAAUUCAAAACUCUUCCUAGAUGACGCUCAUGUCAGGUUUGGAAACGAUGCAUGACAUGAUAAGUGUGUCACCUUAAAACUAUAGAAUUGUGGAAAUAGGCCCAUGCUGACUAGAUUUUUAUAUUUUUAUAAAAUAUAAAAAUAAAUUAAUAUAUAUAUUAAUCUAAUUUAAUUCAAAUUAACCCAUCCAACCUUCAAUUCAAAACUCUUUCUCGAUGACGCUCGAGUGAGGUUUGGAAACUGUGCCUAAAAUUAGUUGACAUGAUAAGUUUGUCGCCUUAAAACUAUAGAACUGUGGAAAUAGGCCCAUUGGACCGAUGUUGACUAGAUUUUGGAGUGUUUGGGAUAAUAGUAAAAAAAGAAUUUAAAAUAUUUUUUGUUUUAAAAUAAUAUUUUUUUAAAAAAAUAUUAUUAACAUUAAAAUAAUUAAAAAUUCACAAAACUGUAAUUCAACGCAUGAAUAAACAUAAACAUUCCGAGAAGGGCUUAGAUUUUUUGAUCCUAAGCCCAAUUUGACAUGGCUAUUGUAUAGAAAGAUUCGCCCAUUUCACUCGACACUGGAAGUCUGUCUGGAUCCCAUCAACAAGAUAAAAAAAUAUCUAAUCUUAUACCACAAUGUUAGCUUUAAUCACUGAUCUAUUAAUCCUCCUGUUGCUCUUUUUUUUUUUUUUUUACAUAAAAGAGGUAUUUUCAGACUCGCUUCGAGAUUAAGUUUUUUAUUGGCACAGUUUCAAAGACGGGCCAUUUUAAUAUAUUUAGAUAUCUUAAAUUUAUUUAGGUUAUGGUAUUGAUUCAAAUUUAUGAAUGAAAAGAGCAUGUCUUUUAUAAAAAAAAUUAUGAUACUUACAAAAUAACUAGUAAUAUUUUAGUAGUUAUUAUCUGAAUUUAUUUAUGUGAAAAAAAUAAACUCAUGAAAAAAAAAAUUAAAUUUACGAUCCAAUAAGAAUAUAUUUACUUAGACAUUGUCUCUCAUGUUUGUAUUUAACUCUUUUUUACAGCUAAACUCAUAAGAAAUAGAAAUAUAUUUGGUUGAAGAAGUAAAAAUUAUGACAUAAAAUAAAUUUAUUUUUAAGAUAGUUUGAAAAUGAUUUUUUGUGUUCUCGAAACAUGAACUAUAAAUAAACAUAUCUCAUGUAUUUUUAUUAUCUUAAUUUUUUAUAUUUUAAAAUAGUAACUAAACACCAGGUAAACCAUACAUAUGAAAAUAUAAAUAAAAAAACAUUUUAUAUUAAUUUAAUUUAAUACUUAGCUUGGCUCGUACCAUUUCAUUUUCCUUUCGACUUUCCCUCCUUUUCCAAAAAAUACUUUCAUGGAAUAAAAAAGAUUGAAACUUGAUCUAAUUUCAUAAAUUUAUGUACUUGUCUUUUCUUUUUCACUUUUGUGUUUGAUUAAUAUCUUAAAUAGAAGAGAUAAAUAUAAAAUAAAUAAAAAUAUGCUUGGUUGAAAAAUAAAAAUAAAAAUAUAAAAUAAAUUUAUUUUAGAGAUAGUUUUUUAUUGAUUUUUUACACUCUCAAAACAUGAAUCAUGAGAAAACAUAUUUCAUUUGUCUUUAUUUUUAUUUUAUUUUCAAAACAGCAACUGAACGUUAACAAGUAGAUUAGUUGUAAAUACUACACGUAGCAUUGUCCUAAUAAAAUUAUAAAUAAAUAAACAUUUCAUGUUGGUUUAAUUUAAUACGUAGCUUGGCAUGGUCCAUUCCAUCUUGCUUUCAACUUUACCUUAUUUUCCAAAAGGUACUUUCAUGGAAUAAAGAUGAUUGAAACUUGAUCUUACUCCGUAAAUCUAUGUACUUAUCUCACAUUUUUGCUUUUGUGUCUGGUCAAUAUUCUAAAAUAGAAAUAAUAAAUAUAAAAGAAAUAGAAACAUGUUUAGUAAAAAAAAUAAAGAUAAUAAUAUAAAAUAAAUUUAUUUCGGUUAUAAUUUUUAAAUAAAUUUCUAUAUUUUUAAAACAUAAACUUAAAGGAGACAUGUCUUGUAUAUCUAUAUUUUUUUUUUACCUUGAAACAAGAACUAAACACCAACCAAUAAAUUAAUUCUAAAGGUUGUCCAUAUAAAAUAACAAAUAAAAAAUCAUUUCAUAUUAGUUUAAUGCUUAGCUUAACUUUCCAUCUAAAAAGUGUUGCAUAGUUAAUUUCAUUUUGCUUUCAACUUUACUUUCGAUUUCAAAGAAACAUUUUCAUAUAAUAAAAAAGAGGAUUGAAACUUGAUAGUUGAUAUAAUUCUAUUGGCUUGUUACGGUUAUUUUUUAAAGUGUUUUUUAUAUCAAAAUAUAUCAAAAUGAUAUUUUUUAUUUUUUAAAAUCAACAAAUCAAAUUAAUCUAAAAUAUAUAAAAACAAUUUAUUUUUAAUAAAAAAAAAUUUAAAACUUUAAAAAACACGAGAAGAACCAUGUUUUCAGCUUUUGAAACGCUGACAUCCAAGUACUCAUCUCUCGUUUUCACUUUGGUGACAUGAUUUGAUCCUGUUCGAUAUAAUAGAAUGGUUAAUUUAAAUCAUGGAUCAAUAAUUUUUUUUUCUUUCAAUAAAAGAUAUUAAAUGUGCAAGCCUAGCCGGACAUGCCUAGAACUUGUUGUGAUGCGUCCAUAUGGUGAGUUCUAGUACGGACUAUUUUGGCAUUAGCUAGAUUUCAUAGCAUCAAAGAUUUGUAUUGGUCAGAGUGAUGGCAAAAAUUGUUUAAUCAGCCAUUUGUCUUCGUACAAGGCAUCGAUCUUAGCAAACAUCAAAUGGACUUGAUGGGUCAUACUUUUUACAGCUAUGCAUAAUAAUUAAAAAGGUAUUUAAAAAUAUAAUUAAAAACAAAUUAUUUUAAAAAAUUAUUUUUAAAUUAUCUGAAAACAUAAAAUUAAUUAAUUUAAAAUAAAAAAAUAAUUUUUUUUAGUUUUUUUUAAAACCUUUUUGAAAUACAAAAGUAAAUAGAUUUCUUGGCACCAUUUUUAUUUAUAAUAAAAUGGUUGGAUGUUAGAUUACUGCAUCAUCGUUUCAUUUUCAACUUUAAUUUUGCAAUUAGAUUUUUGAAUAAUUUUAACUUGAAGAAACUGUUUGGAAACGCGGUGCAAACCGUGUUUUCAAAAAAUUUAAUUUUUUUGUUAAAAUUUAAUAUGAUUUGUAUGUUUUGGAUCGUUUUGAUGUGCUGAUGUCAAAAAUAAUUUUUAAAAAAUUAAAAAACAUCAUUAUCAUGCAUUUUAACACGAAAAGUUAUUUAAAAAACAACCGCUACGACACUAACAAACAUACUCGAAAUGGAUAAGCCGAAAGCAGUGUUGUGAUGAUUUUAUUAGCAUGAACUUACAAGGAUUUUUUUACUUGACAUCUGAAAAAAGAUCUGAAUUUGUUACAUACUCUCUCUUUAUAAUAUUAUGAUAUGAAAUGGAUUUUAUUAGCACGAGAAAAUGGUAAGUGCUUCAAAAAAGACUAGAGUUGUGUAAUUGAUAAAAAGCUUGAAAAAAAACAUGUAAAAUAUACUAGAUUUGAUGCAGUGAUAAUGUGUGUUUGAUAUUGUGAUAUAGUGUUUUUUUUAUUUAAAAAUAUAUUAUACUAAUUUUAUUUUUUAUUUUUAACAUUAAUACAUUAAAAAUAACAAAAAUAUUAAAAAAACAUUAAUUUAAUAAUUUUUCAAGUAAAAUAUACCUUUAAAAUACACAAAAACCAAAAAUCACUAUAAUUACAAACACUCGAGGUCUCUCUCUUCUCAACAUCAUUAUUUUAAAUGAGUUUUUAAUAAGCAUGAGAAAAUAGUGAGUUUUUCAACUUAAAAACUCAAGUUGUUAAGUGAAAUUUUAAAAUAUAAUUUAUAUUAUUUUUUAACACAUAUUUCUAAGUGAAAAGUCUAGUAAAUACUUCUGUAUAUUAUUUUUUAAUGUAUUUCUUAUAAAAUACAAGAUUUAAACACGUGACUCAAAAAAAUUAAAUUAUUAUAUGAGAUUUAAAAAAUUAUAUCUAAUUUUUUUUAAAAAUGAUUCAUUUAACUAAAACUUAAUCUCACCACUAAUUUGUUUUAAAACAUAACAUAUUUUUGUCUACCAAACCAUAUUUAUAAAAGUAUUAUAACUUUUAACCUUGAUAUAAGUGCCGAGAGCUCUAAUAAAAUAAAAUAAAAUAAAAACACAAUAUUUAGAUGUAUAAUUAUUCUACACGUAAAUAAUUUUCAAUGCAAAAAGAAAGAGAGGGCGGCAAAUGACUUGAGAAACUGAAAUUUAAUUUUCAUUUCUAAUAUAUCUUAAUUUCAUGCCUCUUAUGGUUUUGAAUUUUGAUCUCUCUUGAAGAAGCAAGUGAUGCGGUGGAAUUUGGCUGUGAAGCAAUUCCCUCCGCUCCUCCACCCUGAUCCAGACCUGACUCCACUUUCUCCCUCCUCCCUUGUCCUCGUGUGCCCAAAAAGUCUCCCUUCACAACGAAAGUGCCCACUAAAACCAAAGGAAUUAGCAUUUUCCCAUCGAGCAUAAAUUAGCGUUUUCCCAUCAAGCAUCUUUCUUUAUGGAAAAGAAGAGAUUAUUAGGAACUUGACCACGCACGACAUUGACAGUAAAAUAGCAGUUCCUCUUAUUGUGAACCUUUAAUUUUUCAGAAAAAAGGACAUGAAUAUCGCCAGGUCCGUGACCACCAGCAAGAAAUACACCUUAACUCUAGUUUGAUUUUGUGUUUUAAAAGUGUUUCUGAAAAAAUUAUUAAUUUUUAUUUUUUUUACUUUAAAUUAUUUUUUUGAUAAUUUUAUAUCGUUUUAAUAUAUUAAUAUAAAAAAUAAUUUUUUUUUUAUUUUGAUGCGUUUUCAAGCUAAAAACACUUUGAAAAACAACCGUUACUACACUUCCAAACACUCUCAUAAGCACCUAUACUUAAAGUGAAUUUCUAGGAGUGUGAUAACAUCUGUUAUUGAAUGUAUUUUAAAAAUAUAUUUCACUUUUAAUAAAAUUAAAUUAAUUUUUUUAGUAUUUUUCAAUAAUUUUAUUGUGUUGAUUGUUUUUUUCAACUAUAAACUCGAAAUCAAGUGUUUUGCUGGGGAUGGAUGAAUGUUUUUUUAACGCAAAAAAAAGUUUCCAAGCUAUUCACUGAUUAGUCCACCAUUAUAUAUAUAAGAUUAAGGUGACCGAUAUUUCUCUUCACUACUAGACUAACACUUGAUGUGCUGAAUCUUUUAUUUUAUACAAAUAUUGAGGAAAAAUAAUAGCAUUGUCCUGCACUCUAAAAUAAUAAAAAAAAGUACCCAUUCUUUUCUUACACAGAAAGUUCCAAAAUUAAAAUAAAAAAGUAUUGGAAACCAAGCAGCCAAUAGCCAGUUGGUCAAGAAGAGAGUGAGAGGGCGGCAGUUGAAACAGUUGACAUCUUGAAAAGCCUGCCUGCAGAUGCAAAAUAACACAGUUUACAUUACAUGUGAUCCCUCUUUUUCUAAAUUUGACCAAACCAUAUCCCUUAAUUUGAUUUUUUGUCAAACCAAUCCCUCUUUUUUUCCAAUUAAAAGGUUCUUCAAGUCCUUUUAUUUAACUUCAUCACCAACUUAAUGGCUACAUGAACGAAAUAUAUUAUGAAAAAAUAAAAAAAAUAGAAUAUAAAAUAUAGAGUGGUUAGAAUUGGUCCAAUUGAAAUUAGAUGAUUUGAGAAGUCAACUUAAUUAAAAUCUAUUUAAUUUUUUUUAAAACAAUAUUAUUUUAACUAAAAAAACAAUUGAAACAACCUUUUUAACGACCUGGAUUAAUCCAUUCAAGUUGUAACUCGGUCCAGAUUUAAUAACUUUAAAGAAACAUUAAUCACAUUAACCAUACACACACACACACAUGUAUAUAUAGAAUUUACAAAACCUCCAUUGCACAAAGAACAGCAACUUUCUCGCUUGUCAUCUUUCAAUUGUCAUUCUUCAGUCUUAAUUGCUUCUUUCCUGUGUUGCCUAUUGUAAAUGACCCCUCCAAGCUCCAUGUUUAUUUUUCUCUUUGUUUUUUCCCUUUCUAUUGCUGUCCUUUAUAUUAGACAAUACAAAAACUUUUCAUGGCUUUUGCUCAUCAAUCAUCUUCUUUGUUCUGAUUUAUUCCCUUUCUUUCUCCUCACAAGAUUCUUCAAUAUUGUUCCAACAUUCUACCUCUCAUUUCUAAGUAAUCAUCGUGAGAGAAUCGUGCCUGGAUCUUAAUUCUUGUCAUAAAUGUUGUGCCUCUAGAGUUCGAGCAAGUUGGAUUUUGGUGGUAAGACAAAUUCUGAUUUUUUUUUCUUCUAUGGAUUUUAUAAAGCAUCAAUGUAUGGUUUUGUUUUUAGUUUCCAAAACUAGAGAAUGUAGGUGUGAAUCAGACAGCAUACGCAUACUUAGUUACUAAGUAAAAUUUCUUGAGUUCCAAGUUGUAGGGUUUUGAGAGAAUUACAUGCUAAACUUCUUUGCAUAGUAUAGUUUUCGUAGGUUGUUUGUCGUAUGAAUCUGGUUUCUUGCUUGGAGAAACCAAUUUGGUUGCCAACAAUGUCAGUGAACGUUACUUGAUGGCCUUAAUUUCCAUCUAUACAUGUGUUUUGGUCACCAGAAGAAGUUGGUUCCAAGCUCUUUACGGUCUGAAGUUUUUGUCUUCUAUAAAAUUUUGUGCAGGGAGGGGGUUAUAUUGUAAAAAAAUGGCAACAUCUUUGGAGGAGCUUCUUGCAAAGGAAGGGUUUAGAGCCGGAAGAUCAGGGACAAGGGCAAGGCCUGCAUUCAAAGGAGAAGCUGCAAGUAUGCCUCGUUACCCUUCUGGAGACCAAGGCAAAAAGGACUCUCCAUCUGGUCCAUCUAUCAGUAGAAUCAAGACUGAAAGGACAAGAUCUGAUGUCACUCGGUAUACUUUGAGAGGAGAAUCACCAGUAAGUAAUAGUAGUUUAGGUUGGAGACCGAGGGAUGAUCUGGUUAGAAGAGAAAAAAUAGAUUCAAGAUUGAAGACAGAACUUCGCUGCAGAGGUUCGAAAGAUGUGCAGGAAGAUAAGACUCUGAAUUCUGACACAUUGGAAGAUGUCAAGGGGAGUGAGAUUGUUGAGGUUGGUGUGGAAGAAGAUGGGAGAUUUAAGGAUAUAUACUCUGAUAAAGCAUAUUAUUCAGAAAGAAAGGAAAGAUCAUCAAAAGGUAACGGGAGCUCGGAGAGGUAUAAAGAGAGGAAAGGGAAGGAUAAGAAAGUAACUGAAAGGCGCGGCAGCAAUUCUAAUGAAAAAUUGCUCAAAUACACUGGACUGAGCAAUAACAACAGGAAAAGUAUGGACCAGGUUGAGGCGGCUUAUGAAAGUUCGGUUAGAGGCUCAAAGAAUGCCAAUGGCUUUGAAGAUGAUCAGAGAACAAAGAAUGAGAAAAGUGCACCAGCAGUUCCUGAAAUUGCUCUUGAUGAAGUUGCUGUUAAAGCAGUAACCUCCAUCUUAAAUGGUUAUAUCAAGCGUUUUCUUAAAGAUGCAAAAUUCCGAACCACUCUCCGUCGCAAUUGUUUCUCUUCUCUUGCUUUUAUCGAAACAGAAGAAGGCGACAGCAUUGAGAGCAUGGCCAAGGCCAAUCUUGAACAAGCUAUUGCAACAGUGGAAAAGGUUUCCGAGGCAGCUGCAAGGGCAAACGAUUUGAAAACAGCUGCUUUGCAGCUUAGUGUGAUCACAGGCUUGAACUCAAAUGAUCUGAAAGAUGAAUAUACAUCAGGAACUCCAAAUUCUAGGUUGUCAGCUUGUGCUCACAUCUAUCUCAGUGUGAUAUAUAAGCUACAAAAGAAGGACAAGGCUUCAGCUAAGCAUCUUUUGCAAGUGUUCUGUGAUUCUCCUUUUCUGGCAAGAACACUUUUGUUGUCUGAACUGUGGGACUAUCUAUUCUUCCCUCAUCUUUCUCAUUUGAAGACUUGGUACAAACAAGAGGCAGAUGCUCUAUUCAGGAAGCCAAGCAAGAUUACGAAACUUAAGUUUCUUGCCAAAGUUUAUAACGAAACUCUGGAUUCCUGUACCUAUCAAUUUGCAGUUUACUACAAGGAUUGGCUCACAGAGGGAGUUGAAGCUCCUUCUAUUCCUUCUGUCGACAUCCCUUUCACGUCACAGCAGGGGGGUUCACGGGAUCAUUCUUCAGGACCAGCUAGUCCGUCUGCUCCUUUCUCACCCCAGCCAACGGUGAGUAAGAAACUAUAUGAUGCUGUAUUUGGCCGUUCAAGUAAACCUAGAGUUCAUGAGGCUGAAGACAAUGGGAAGGCAGAAAACUUCAAUAAUGGUGCACAUAUUUCUGGUUCUUCUCCUAUUGAAAUCAAACAUACAGUGACGAUCUCUUUCAAAAUGGUUACAUAUCCUGGUCAAGAUAUAGAGAACCAUUCCCCUGAGAAUGUACCAGAUAACACCUCCAUUCCUGUGAGUAUUUCCUGUGAUUUUCCUUCAUCUUUGUACCAUUUACUUGUAUGAUUUAUGCCAUUUGUUUUGUUAGUAAUUUCCUUUCAAUAUUUUUAUGAGUUGCGAAUAUCAAACAUAUAAAAAACAUUUGGUUACUUUCUCGAGAUUUGAAAGGACUGAAAUUAACUCUAAAACUGUCCUAGAGACAUGACAAAAAUCCAUUCUAAAAUUAUUUCGUAGACACUCUAUCUCCUCUAACCAACCAAACGCAACCAUAUGGAUGAUACUUAUUGAUAAUUAACAUUUGAACUAGAGAAUAGUAAACCUUAAAUUUGUUCCUCUCAUCUUUUCUCUGUAAGUAUUUUUCACGCUCUCAAGAAUUUAAACAUUUCUGCAGGGUAAAGGGCUCUUAACAGCAUCUAACAAAGAAUGGAAGUUGGUCAAAGUGAGUGUUUCACCAGGCACAGAUCUUAAUGCUGACACUUGCAACUCUAGUGCAAGGGAAGAACCUGAAGGAGAUACUACUCAUAUGCUAAAUUCAUCUUCACAUACAAAAGAAAACGAGCUAGCCCUCAAGACACUAGCAAAAUCUGUUUUCGAACUACAGCGAACUGAGGAUUCUGGUGAUCCCACUGUUUCAGACCUUUCACAUUCCAAAAAGGUGUCAUUUCACUUUUCUUGGCAAGAAAUACUGAAUUCCUGACCGUGUUUUGCAUUUAAUACUAUAUGCCUACAAAUUCCCCUAUAAUUUCUCUGAUUAUUAUGUUAAGUGCAGGCAAUCAACGCGGACGCUUCUAGUGAAGGUGAGUCAGAACAUCUCAAGAUUAUUUCUCCCUUUACAAAUUGUUGUUUGAAUGCUCAUAAUGCACUCUCCCAGUGCAGGGCCAAAUGGAAGUCAUGAACAUUUUGAUGAAGGAUCCAUUUUUGAUAGCAUUCCACACGACUUUAUUUGCCCUCUCACCGGACAGUUGUUUGAGGAUCCGGUGACCCUGGAGACCGGCCAAACCUUUGAGCGAGAGGCCAUCCGAGAAUGGUUUGAUCAGGGAAACAAAACAUGCCCUGUAUCAGGAAAAACUUUAGCAUGUUCAACCGUGCCACUUACCAACUCUAUUUUGAAGCUUGUCAUCGAUAGUUGGAAAUUGGUGAAAGAAUAAUAGCUAUUAUAAUCUAAUCAGCAAUGUUUAAAUAUAAUUUUAGGAUCGAAAUUAUGUACCAUUGCGGGUCAUGAAUAAUAAAUUAUGUACUUUUAUAGAAAAACAAUUUAUAUUUUCCCACUUGUUUCUCUAACCCCAUUUUGUUCAAGAAAAACCAAAAUAAUUUUUACUCACUUAAAAAAAAAACUUAACACUCGUGAAUUUAAUUUUGAAAAAUAGUUGAUAAAUUAACCAAUUAGGUUUCCAGCAUGAGUCACAACGGUUCCAUUCUCUUCUAUGAACUAUGAUAUUAACAACAAUCAUAAAUCGCCUAGAAGACAUAAUAACAUGUUCCAUGUAAGCUUGGGAGGAUGGGCUACUAUUUGUUUUUGGUUUUUAGAUAGAUGAGGAUCUAGUUUUUGUCAAGAUUUUUUAGAAGAAGCGAUUGUUUUUUUUUUUAAUUUUUUUUUAGUAUAUUUAUCUUAUUUGUAUAAAAAAAGUUUGGUAAAGUGUAUUAAUUUUACCAUUAAUUUCAAUUAUUUUUUCCAAUUAAGAUAUUAUUUAAUAUUAAUUGAGAUAAACGUUAUCUGCAGAUAGAUGAUUUUAACAAAAAAUAAAUUAGAUAAAAUAAGAUAAGAUAAGAUAAACAUUAUCUAUUAUAUGAAAUGAGAUUUUUACAAUCAUACGAAGUGAAAUGAUUUUGACAAAAAAUAGAUAAGAUAAAUGUUAUCGGUUAGGUAAAACGUGUUUCUAACAAUCACACGGGGUGAUAAUUUUGACAAAACUCAGAUAAGAUAAAUGUUAUCUCUCAAGUGAAACGAGUUCUUAACGAUUAUAAAAUAAUUUUAAAAAAUAUAUAAGAUAGCGUUAUCUCUCAAAUGAAACGAGUUUUUAACAAUUAUGAAAUAAUUUUUUAAAAAUAUAUAAGAUAACUUAAUCUAUCUAUUAGGUAAAAUGAGUUUUUAACAACCACACACAAUGUGAAAUGAUAAUUAGAUAAGUUCAAAUUAAAUGUAAAGCACAUAAUUGGCAAUUGAAAUUGAAAAAAAUUAAAAACAAGAAUCAUGAAUUCAUAUUCUUGAGAUAUUAUAUAGAUGUGUCCUUAUUUGGUGAUGAAAUAAAUAACGUUAUUAAAUUAUUAUAUUUGAAUAAAAGAGAUGAAGAUAGUAAAAACAAAAAUAAAUUUGGUUGAAAACACAAAAACAAAGAUAGAAAUAUAAAAUAAAUAUAUUUUUGGGAUAAUUUUUACAUGAAUUUCUAUAUUUUUAAAAUAUUUUGAAGUGAAUAGAAAAAGAAGUGAUAUUUUGAAUUAAAUGCCUAGGAUCCAAAUUUGAAAAAAAGAAAUAAGCCUUAAAAGGUUCUCCAUUUUAAUAUUCUCUUGGCCUAACUGUGUGUGUGUGUGUGUGUGUGUGUGUGUAUAAACUAGCAUGCACAUUUCAUUUCAUCACAUAUUCAUUAUAGGGUGGUUCAUCUUCUGGUGCAAUCUUUUUGCCCCAAAAUCCCAGGCCAAAUUCUGUGUCAAUAACCCAAGAAAAUGCCACCUCAAGCCAUAUUUUUAUAGCACCGUUUCGUGUCAAACCUUCGUAUCUUUUUCACGAACGGUUCUUUAUAACCAAAACCAUCGCUAUAAACAUGAUCCGAAAUCGCCACUAACUCACAUCACCUCUUAUUUUUACAAGUAUUAGCUCCUAUUUGCCUCCCAAUAUCGUCACUCUCAUUCUGUAGUGAGUCAAGGCAUGUGAUGCAUGUACGUACAUGUUGUAUAGGCUAUGAGUCUUUCCAUCAUCUCUAGCUUUAAUGCUAGGGAGUGAGUGAUCCGCAAAACAACUUGAGAGCUCACAGUGGGAUUCUUAGAUAGGAUACAAGAAGGUGGAGAGCCUAGGGAGCUGGGACUGCUAGAUCUGUUGUCAUUUUAUGCCAUGGUUGCUUGGUUAGGAGGGAGGAAGGAUUGAGUGGGAGAUGAGAGAGUUGUGAAAAUGUGAGGAUAUGUUGACUUACUACUCAUUAAAAGUCCUCUUUUAAUAAUGACUAGCAAGUCACAAAAUAUUCUCACAUUUUCACAACUCUCCCAUGCAUUUCCUUCUCAACACCCUCCCUCCCAACCCAGCAAUCAUGGCACACGGUGUCAACAGAUUUAGCAGCCCCAGCUCCCCGUCUCUCCACCAUUUUUGUUUCCUCUCUAAGAAUACCAUGCAGAUAAAUCACUCCCUAGCACUAAAGCAGGGGAUGAUGGAAAGAGUCAAAGCCUAUACGACAAGUUCAAGCAUCGCAUGCCUUGACUCGCUACAAAAUGAGAGUAAAGAUUAUUUCUCCCUUUACAAAAUGUUGUUUGAAUGCUCACAAUUAAUGCACUCUCCCAGUGCAGGGUCAAAUUGAAGUCAUGGAUAUUUUGAUGAAGGAUCCACAUGACUUUAUUUGCCCUCUCACCGGACAGUUGUUUGAGGAUCCAGUGACCCUAGAGACUGGCCAAACCUUUGAGCGAGAGGCCAUCGGAGAAUGGUUUGAUCAGGGAAACAGAACAUGCCCUGUAACGGGAAAAACUUUAGCAUGUGUUCAACCGUGCCACUUACCACCUCUAUUUUGAAGUAUGUCAUCGAUAGCCAAUAUAAUUUUAGAUUUGAAUCAUGUAAUAUGAUACUUGACGAAGAAAUCUCCCUUCUUUUCUUUGUCUUUUUGACACCCGACCUUUUUAAUUGAUAAAAAACUAUGUAUGUGUGUACAUGUCACUUUAUUAUUAUAUAUUGAUUUCAUGUGUACAUGGUAGAGAAGAGGGCCAAUUUAAUUAUUAAGUAUAAUCAUCUAUUAUGAUUCUUUAAAUUCCUCUUGAUGAUCAUUAUUAAUACAAAAAAUUAUAUAAUCGGUAAAUGUAACUUAUCAAUUUCAUAAGUACAAGUUAAAUACAAAUACUAAAACAAGUAUAGUGAGCUACUUUUACAGAAAAAUAAUUUAUAUUUCCCAAUCUUUUCUCUAACCCGAUUUUGUUAAAAAAAAAAACCAAAAUAAUUUUGACCCACUUGAACUUAUACCAAGAAAACCUUGACACUCAUGAAUUUGAUUUUGAAAAAUAGCGGCUAAACCAAUUAAAAUGAUAUUAUAGUAUUGUAAUUAGCUGCUAAACCAAUUAAAAUGAUAUUGAUAACCAUCACUGAUCCAAUCUUUUAUAUAGGGGUGAGCAAAAAAACAAAAAAACUGAUUAAACCGAGAAAACUUGAAAAAAAAUAAUAGAAAAAACUGAACCGUGAAAAAAAAUCGAUUAGAAUUUUGAAAAAAUCGACCGGUUUGGUUUGAUUUUAGAAGCCUGAAACUGAAAAAACCGAACCGAAUCCAAACAAAAAAAACUGAGCCAAAACAGGAAAAAACCCGAGCCAAACCUGUUAGAUGAAUUAUAAAAUAAGAUAAGAUAGAUGUUAUUAGUUAGACGAAUAAUAAAAUAUAAGAUAAUAUAAAUGAGUUUUUAACAGCCAUGAAGAGAUAUUGUAGAUGUAUUAUAAGAUAAUGCUUAAUUAAUAUCUUAGGAUAGAAGAGAUAGAGAAAAUAAAUAUAAAAACAAGUUUGGUUAAAGAGACGAAGACAUAGAUAGAAACAUAAAAUAAAUUUGUUUUUUAGACAAUUCUUGAGUAAAUUUCUAUACUUUUAAAACAUGAAGAGCGUGAAGACACAUGUCACUUAACUCCAUUAUCCUUAUCUUUUUUGUUUUGAAACUAGAUAUGUGGCCCGUGCUUCAUUGUCGGCUGGGUUGAAUUUUUGCUAACAUAAAAAAAAUCUAGAGGAUUUCAAGUGAUGAAAAAAAAAACAAUUAAUUUAAAAAAAAAAUGUUGAAGAAAAAACCCUUGAGACAACCCGGUUAAUUUGACAAAUUAACCACCCGCGAUAUGAGAUAAUGAUAAAAAAAAUUAUACUAUAAAAAAAAGGACCCAAUAAAAAAGAUUGAAGUUCAAUAAAAAAACACAUAAAGAAAAGUGAAAAAAUCACAAAGCUCAAAAGCCAAUAAUUUAACUCCAUAAGUAUGAAAUUGAAAAAAAAAAUCAAUUUUAAAAAAACCAUAGAGGAAAAAAACCCGAGCCAAACUGAGUUAACUCGACUGACCUAUUCUCGGGAUAUGAGAUCGUGAUAAUCAAACAAAAAGGAAAGUGAAAUAAAUAACGAAGUUCAAGGCUUAAUAACCAAAAUUUCAAAUGAAGAAUUUGAAAAAAAAUCAAUUUUUAAUAAAAAGACAAAAAAAAACUUAAAUCGAAUCCAAGCCGUGAGACUGAGAUUACCCUAUAGAAAGGCAAACACAAAAAAAUAAUGAAGAAAAAUCUCUGAUCUCAGUAAAAAUUUAAAAUCCAAACAACGCCGACCAAAUCUUGUUUAAAAACUAAAUGAGAAAAAUAAUAAGGGACUGAACUGAAAAAAAUAAUUAAGAAAAGGAUAAAAAAAAUACUAAUUAGAAGAAUCAAGACCCAAAUUGGAUAAAAAAACUAAAUAAAAUAAGAUAUUGAGGGACACAAUUGAAAAAAAGAUAAAUAAGAAAAAAUAUAAGAAAAUAGUAAUAAAAAAAAUAAGGACCAAAAUUGAAUAAAAAACAAAGACAAUGAAAUGAACCGGGAUGAAAUUGAAAAACAAAUAAAUGAAGGAAAGGAUAAAACACCAAAAAAGAACAAUAAAAAAAAUAAGAACCAAUUUGGAUACGAAAAUCAAAUUAAAUAAAAUUUAUCAGGUAUGAUAUUGAAAAAAAUCUAAAAUUCAAAAUGUAUCAAAAGCAAAACAAAUAACACGUUAGAGGAAUAAGGACCAAGAAUGAUAAAAAUACAAAUUAGAUGACACAAUUGUUUUUUUGAAAGGGUUGACACAAAUUUCGAGGUUAAAAGAAAGAAAAGAAAGAGGAAAAAAACACGUUAGAGGCCAACCUGCCUCCGUCGCAAGCACAUGCCACACCACUGAAAAGAGAAAAAUGAGCUGCUCCUAAUGCUACUUUGGAUGACAGAAUUUGAUAGCUGUAUAGCCUUACAUGCCCUGCCUUAAAGGCCUUGAUGGUCGUCACAUGAUGACACGUGUGCUGUACGCGUUAACAAUUUGGACAAAGAUAACUCCAUAAAAAAAUAAAAAAUUCAAUCUCUGGUAAAUUUAAUGUUGGAUGAUAUAAUUAUAAAAAAAAACGAAGAAAAAAAGAGAAAACAACACUAUUCUAAUUAAUCGUAUUAUCCGAGUAGGAGAACACUAAAAUCCCAUAUUCCUUUAGUUUAGUUUAGUUUUUUUUUUUGAAAUUUUGAUUUUAAUCUCCCUCCCAAUAUCAUCACUCUCAUUCUGUAGUGAGUCAAGGCAUGUUUGUCCAUGUUGUCUAGGCUACCAGUCUCUCUCCAUCAUCUCUAGCUUUAGUAGCAGGGACAGGGAGUGAUUGAUCCGCAUGCAACAACUUGAGAGCUCACCGUGGGAUUCUUAGAUAGGACACAAGAAGGUAGAGAGACUAGGAGCUGAGACUGCUAGAUCUGUCGACAUUUUAUGCCAUGGUUGGUUGGUUCGGAGGAUUGAGUGGGAGAUGUGAAAAUGUAAGGAUAUUUUGACUUAUACUCAUUAUUAAUUUAUUUUUAAUACCAACUCAUUAAAAUAAUAAUAAAAAAGUAAUUUAAAAUCUCCAUUGAUGCGUGUGUUCACGUAGAAAUUCAAUAGCGGAGGAUACCCAUUGGAUUACAGAGAAUAAUUUAUCUAUUUGCCUGUGGUGUUGGUACAGCUUCACGAACUUCAAGUGUACUGAAACAUGGGAGAAAGAGGUAGGAAAGCUUCUUACAGUUUGCAAAUUAUGUUGAUUGUUUCCUCUGCUCCAUGCCCAAGAAAACCCUAGAUGAUGAUCAACAUAUAUAUACCCUUCAUCUGCCGAGCCUUAUUCUCAUACGGAAAUGCUUUGAGCUUUUCUUCUUCUUUAGUUACGUUUCCUUGACCCAAGAUUAAUUUCUUAGAGUACUAAGAUUGACAUUUUCUUGCCAUUGUUAGCUGGGAGGGAGGAGGGGAGAUAUUGGGAAGGAAAUAUGAGCCAACACUUCUGAAACGAGAUGCUCUUUCUUACAUGAUAAAAAAUAUGUUUUUUAAGCCAAAUAUAAUUUAAAUUAUAUACACAAACAUAAUUUUAUUAUAGUACCUUUAUAUGUUUUUGUUAAGAAGAAACUAUUGAAUUUAUCUUGUAAAAUUUUAUUUUAGAUGCAAACAACCUAAAUGCCAAUUAGUGCAUAGUAUAUGAAUUCUAGUAAAAAAAAAAAAAAACAAAUCAAAUAGAAAAUCACAAAUCUGUUCUUUGUCUCGUUCAAGUGUGAAAACAAGAUUCUUAAGAGCAACCAAUCCAUGUCAAUAAAUACGGGAAAAAAAAAAAUUAAUUUUUGGCACUCGGUGGUUGCUGAUCCUUUGGUACAUUGGUUUUAGGUAGACAUACAUCAAUGGACAUGGACCCCUAACCUACCAAGCAUGUGAUAUAGUACAUGUGAUCAAUUAAGCAACAUUAUUGACUAGAAGAAAAGUUAAAAGUUAACGUACAAGGGUGGUUCAUUCAUUUGAGAAUUGACGAGAACCUAUCAAAUUACAGUUCCUUUCCUUCUCCUAAUGUUAAAAAAUCUCCCUUCCUACAUCUUUGUGGGAAACAUUGACAGAAUAUGCUGUCAUAGUGUAAAUCCCGAUUCCAUUGGACAUACAAGAAAUCAUGGAUAAAAAAAUAUUAUCUGAAAAUAUAUAGUUAUUGAUUUCUAUUCCAUCAAUAACAUAAUUAUCAAUAAAUUUACAGAUGAAUUUAUCGUGCUAAAAAACAUUUGCUAGCAAUAAUUCCAUCGGUAAAUACAUCAAUGAUUAUGGAGAAUUAUCGACAGAUUAAAUUCAUUAGAGAAUUAUAUUUAUAUGUAUGUUACCGACAUAAUAAAUCUGUCGGGGAAUUAUAUUUAACAAUGACAAGUCUUGUAAUUUAUUUCCAACUUUCUGAAACUCUUUGAGGGACCUAGUCUGUCGAUAAUUCCGUUGGUAUUUCACAUUCUGUCAGUAAUCCCAUCAAUAUUAUAUGUAAUAUGUUUUUAAAAAUAUUAAAAUAAACAAUACAAUUAAAAAAAUUAAAACAUAAUUCAUGUAAAAUAAAAGGCAAAUUUGUAUUAUUAAUUUUAAAAAAAUAUUAUUAAAUAUAAUUUAUCUAUCUAGUGAACAUAAACUGGAGGAGGAGGCAGGGACCAAUCUUUAUCGGAACCAGGAGGGCAACGAGGUGGAGCAUAAGUACCAGUGAGGGUUGCCAACAGUUGCUUGAGGACAUUUACUUUAUCCCCCAGUUCAGUCGCCUCAACCCCAAGUUGGGCAGUCUCAGCUUGAACUUGUUAUUGUACGAUUACAUGAACAAACGGUGAUUGCUGGCUCGAUCCGAGUUGCGUGGUCCCAACAGUUGAGACAUUAUGGCUCGCUCAUAUAUCCCCAGUUGUAGUAUUGGAGAUAUUAUAAACUCGAUUUCUAUCGAGUCUUCUGGCAAAUCUAACCUCCAACUACAAAUCUAGAUCAAGUUUCAGAUGGGUUGAAGGAUUGUCCCUGUAUCUCUCAAGCAAUUAGGUGUUACAUGUUUCCUGAAAAAAAGUUAGCAAAUAUAAAAAAAACAAUAAUUUAAAAAAUGUUCAAAUUCAACUUACCACAAACUUCUGGGCUCGACUAUCCACGCGCUGCUGCACCCUUUUCUAUCUGUCCCCCUUUCACAUAUGUGUUUAAACAAAAAGCUUCACCGGUCUUGGAUCACGCCUAAAAAUUAUAGCAUGCAAAAGAAAGCUACUGUUAGUUAAAUUUUUUCAUAUAAUACAACUUUGAAAUUUUUUUUAUAUAAAACAGGAUCUUACCUUUUGCUUUGCAUGUGAAACAAAUAUAAUGGAUCCACUGGAGUGCAUGGUCAUGGAACCAUGAAUCUUCUUGGUCUAUUUUUCUGAACCUGACUGCGACUGCAUGCCUUAAGAAAUGCUUUAACAUCACUUGCUGGAUAUAAACGUCCCAGAUACCCUCAGAGAUGUGGAGGUUUGAAACCCCUCCAUAUGGCCACGUAUUCCCAGCCUGAAAGACUUAAAUCUUUUGCAUAUUUUUUUUCUUUUUUCUAGGCUUUCUACCUGAAAUCAUGCAACUUAGUUCUUAGAAAAGAAAUCGAAUAAGAUAAUGAAAAAUAAGAUUUUAAUAUUUUAAAGAAAAAAUUUCACAAUUUGAAUUCAAUCUUAUCUAAUAGUGUUGUAAAUCUCUCACACCCUCAUGGCUAUGUCAUUGUCAACCUCCUCCCAAUAAGAUCUUUUCUUAUAUAUCAAUUUCAUAAAAUAAUUAGUUUAUUAAAGUUAAAAAACUAAUCAAAUUAAAUAUUAAAAAAUAACUACUUAUGUUUAUAUUAACCUUGAACUUUCCGAACCAAACAUCAAUCACAAGCUUUCAUUUAAAGCUUUUGGAAACCCGACUCUAUUAAAACAAAGGCACUUUCAUAGACGAUUUCAUCGCCAAUGUUAUCAUGUGAGCAGUUUCAACAUUUGUAAACUUGAAUUUCUAUUUGUUUAUUAAAAUUAAUCAUCCAACUCCAUGCAUGUUGCUAGAACUAGAAGUUGAGUCAAUCGACUUUUCUACCAUGAUCUCGUAAGGAACAUAGGGUUCUCUAUACGCAAAGUGCAAACCAACACAAGUAUUUUUCCAUAAACUAGUUUUGUAGAAGAUGCAUCGUAACAACAUCUAGAUCUAUGAUCUUUUUAUUUUAACACCUCUUAUAUAAACAUCUAAAACUGCCUCCACUAAUAUUCUUCAGAUUAGAUAUUACAUAAUUAAUAAAACCCUCAAUCCUAUUACAAUAAUCCAUCAAGCACAACCCUUUGAGUGAAACUUAAUACAUCCAAGAACAAUCAUCAAUUAUUUAUAUAAAACUUAUAUAGAAUAUUAAUGACUACAUGUAUAAAUUAAUAAUGUGAACUAAAUAAAUUAUCGGUAUCCAACUAAUUAAAUAUCAUUGAUUCAACUCAAAUUUAUUCAAUCUAUUUGAAUAGUACCCUUUAAUCAUUAUCAAUUUUCACCAAAAAUUCAAAUUUCUCUAAAUUUUUAAAAGUUCUUAACUUAAAAAUAAAAUUGAUAAAAUAUGAAAUGUACCCAUUAAAUAACUCAUUAUUUUUUUCAUUAUAACACACUUAAGUUAAAAAAUCAAACUCGAUUUCAUCAAAUGACAAACAAAUAUGAUUUUUCUAAAUCUCAACCAAAUCCUAACAUGUACAAAUCAUACAUUUAUACAAUAAAUUCCUCUAGGAAAAAGCUAUAAAACAAGUAAAUAUAUAAAAAAAACUACAUAUACUAUACAAAAUGCCAAAAAAUUAACAUAAAAGGGGUUACAAUAAAAAAUAGGUUGGUUUGCUUACUUGAUGUGAUAAAUAUUCAAAAGAAGUUGAAUCACGGUAUAGAUACUAACAAAUUGAGUGUUGAGAUUGCUGGAUUUGUGAUGAUUAGAGCUAGAUUUAUAACAAAAUAAAAGAGGGAAAAAGUGCUGUCACUACCAGAUUUAACAGUUUUAUCAAUGAAAAUUUAUGUCGGUAUUUACACUAAUAGUUCAUCUAUGAUUAUUAUCGAUUGGAUCACGGACGAAAAAACAUUUAUAAAAAAAAGGAAGAAGAAAUAGGGGAGGGGGAGAAAGGAGGGUUGUGCUGCUGGUUAUAACUUUAAUAUUACUGAUAGAUUUACCGACAAAAAUUAGUGAAGGUGAAUUAUCAUCGGUAAGUCCGUCGAAAAUAUUGGCACAUUUGAUUUGUUGACGAAAUGAAAGAGGAAAUAACUACGUAUUUUAUUUAUUUAUUAUUAUUUGAAUUCCAUUGGUAACUCCCUGGGUAAUCACUAACAAAACCGCUUUCAUUAGUGAUUAUCAAUGAAAACAAUGACAUUAUUUUCUGGUGGUAAAUGUCACCGUAAUGUAUCAAUGAAAUUUCUUUCAUCAAUUUUUCGUUGGUAAUUUACAGUUUUCUAGUAGUGACAAGUCUUAAUAGAUGGUUAGGCUAAAUUAAUCACAAAUUUAUUAAAAACCUAUCUGAUUCACACUUGAAGUACAUGACCUAAAUUCCUCAUCUUUAAGAAAAUAAAUAAAUUUAGAUAAAAAAUCACAAGAACUUUUUUAUUUAUUAGAAGGUUUAUGGGACCUUAACCUAACCUAUUUAAUGAAAAUAAUUAUUUUUAUUAUUUAAUAAAUAAUGUAGUGUAAGAUUACUGUUUCAAAAUAGAAGUGGCAAAGUCAGUUAGGAUAAAGAGGACAUGUUUCCCUUUUCUUUCUAUUUUGAAAGAAAAAAUUUCAUUUGAAAACCAUCUUAUAGAUAUUUAUUUAUUGUUUUCGUUAUAAUCAACAUGUUUCUCAUACUUUUAUUCUGAAACACCAAUCACACUCAAUCUAGAGUUAACUAACUAUUUGACUUGCCCUUCACCGCAUGUUGAAUAAUGUUUUUUUAGCAAAAAAAAAAAAAAUGAAUAUGCAGUUUUCCAACAUGUUUUUGGACAUAAAUAAAUUCUCAAUCAUAAACUGAAAAGCUUAUGCAUGCAUUUAAUUAAAUAAAUAGAGAAUUAUUUGUGUCAAUAAACAUUGAAAAACCCUUAAUGAUAACUAUAGACUAAACUGGAAAAAUUAAGAGGUAGAUGCAGAUCAAGAUAUUAGAUCUUGCAACACAGAUCGUGUACUCAGUUUUGUUUAAUAAUUUUUUUUCUUAGAAUACAUUCUUUAUUUAAUCAAAUAACCAUUCGUGAUAAUAAAGCAUUAAAAAAGUAGUUAAGAUAACUAAAGAUUAAACUGAAAAAAUAGAAAGACAAAAAUAGACCAAGAUAUUUGAUUUCACAACACAUGCUAUGUAUACAAUUGUGUUUAAUAAUUUUUUCCCAGAAUAAACUUUUAAUGUAAUAAAAUAAUAAUAGAAACAAACACACACAUAAACAAUAUUGAAUACAAUAAAAAAAUAUUAUGUAAGGUUGCACAUAUUAAAAAAAAAGAAUGUUAUAACUUUAAUGAAAACCAAGUGAAAAAUAAACAUAUUUAAUUAAAGACUAAAUUAAAAAAGUUGAGAUAUAGAUGUUCACGAGCCAUAGACUUGAUUGUAUUUAAUAAAGUUAUUGUUUCUUCGAACCAAUGUUUUUAUUUAAUAAAAUGAUAAUAAAAAAACAUAUAGGAAAGGAAUUGAAUAAAAUUAAAGGAAAAAAUUAUUAAGCAGGGCUACAAAGAAAGAACGUUUCCUAAAAAAAACAAUGAAAUCUUAUCUAUAAAAUAAGAAAAAAUUAAAUCAUAUUCUAUAAGAAAAAUCAUGAAAAGUUAUUAAACAUUUAUUAAAAUAGAAAAAAAAGCCAAUAAAGGAUGAUACUGCAGGAAAAAAAAACCAAAAUAACAAAUGGCAAAAGCGGUCUAGGUGUGCGAGCUUGACCAAGGUCACCUAAUAUGUCUAGGCUUAAGAAAAGCUCAGGCUUGCAUGUCUGAGCUAACUUUUUAUUUAUUUAUUAAGGCUCAGAAGACCUGCCGUCCACCCUUAAUGUUUUUGAAAAAAAAUUACAACCAGACGACGCGUCAUUGCUUCUCCACAGAUUUCAACUAUAAUGGUGGUUGUAAAAUCAUGAUUGAUAUUUUUUUGACCUGAAAACCUAUUUUCAACAUUUUGUUUGGGCCAAAAUACCGAUAAAAACACCAUACACAUCUUGAUAAACCCUCUAUUCGACCUCAAAUAACCUCAAAACCCGAAAUCAACUUGUAAUAAAAAACUUAUUGAGCUCAAAUCCACCAUUUUCAGAAAAAGAAUGGGCAAAAAACACCUAGGUGAAAAUUCCUUAAUCGAAAGGAACUCAUCGACACCAAAAUCUAUAUUUUUCAUGGUUGGACGCGGUAUCAAUUGAGACUUUCUCUCUUUACUGUUGGAUUUGACAACAAUCACUCUCUUUUCUUGAAUCAGAAAAAAAAAAUUAAAAUUAAAAUUAUAUUCUUUAAAAUGUGACGAACCAAAUAUUUAUUACCUUGAAAGUUGAAAGCACGAGUACUAAAAUGAAUAGUGCUUUUUUAGUCACUAUUGGUACCCCCACAGUUUGAGAGUGCUUUUUUUUUUUUUAAAUGGUGGCUUUUGUCAAGGAUUCUUCUACCCAGGCAAGGCAGCCCAAGCAAGCAGAGAGACAUACAGCUUCAGAGAGAGAGAGAGAGAGCAGAGAGAGAGAGAGAGAGCACUUCUUUUGCAAGAAGGUGCCUUCUAUAUUCAGGUACAUUUGUUUCUUCAAAUAAUAUGCAUGACCCAUGAAUGGUUUUCUGUGGCUAAGGGCUUUAUGGGAGUUGAGAUGCAUAGUUUCUCAUCUCCACGCUCAAAAUGUCAAAAAAGAAAAGGAAAAUAAAAUGAUAUUCCAAAAAGUAAAAACGGUGGAGAGAAUAAUUUCUGAGUAGAUUCGUUUUUCAACUUUCUUAUUGCCAUGCAACAUACCAUGAAGCUAGGUUUUGAUUCUGCAAUCUGUUUUUGCCCAUUAUUCAGAUUUUUUACCACAUAAUGUGGAGUUGUUUGUUUUCCCAUUCCAACUUUUUUAAAGUGUGGUGUGCAUUAGGGGCAGCAGCACUAUGUCUCAUAUUGUGAAACCUCAUAGUUGGAAAUUUCAUUUUUUUGGUUACAAAAGUAGGCAUUUUUAACAGAUACAAUGGAGUUCUGUGUCUUAAUCUCCAAAUCUUUAGCCUUCUCUUUCCAACAACUUUUAUUUUUUGUAUUAAUUUGAUAAAACAAAAAUUAAGUGGGGGCGUUUUUAGCCUCCAUGUUUCUAUCUGUUUCUUCAAAAUAAAUCUAGAAAAGGAAGUAACUAAACUAAUUAACACGAACCGCUAAUUAUUUUCUAUGACCAUAUAAAUGCAUGCUCAAGUAAUUUGGGUGGGUUAAUUACUUUAAGAUUUUCAUUUAACUUUGGACUAACAAACUUUGCUUGAAUUUAUGAAUCUUUUUUUUAAAAAAGUGUCAAUAAAGAAAAUCUUGCUUUGACAGGUUCUGUUCUUCAUUUUGGCUGUAUUUGGCAAAGUAAAUUAAUUUUGAACAAGACCAACAAGUGGAAGUGAUGAACAAAAUAUAAUGUAUAGGUGUCUGCCUGAAGCAUGCAUGGUUACAGAAACUGCAAGUCAUGGUGGUGUGUUGAGAGGGUCUCCCUUACAUUUGUUGCUUGUUCUGACAAUUUCCCCAAACAUGUGUCAUCAUGCGUGCACUAGUGUCCAUGACAUUUUAGUCAGAAACAACCGACUGCUGUGUUUUUCAUUGAUUGUCUUCACCUACAUUUGCCUGCUGUGUUUACUAAAUAUACAGGUAAAAUAAUAUUAUUGAGGUUGUUGAAACAUUAAUGAUGUUAAGAUUAGGUUAAUUAGAUCGAUAAAAACGAUGAAUUUUGGCAUGCACUCAUGGUUUUGAUGUAGACUAAUUUUGGAUAUGCCGAGUACAGAGAAAUUAUACUGUAUAAUAGUUAUUAAUCAGAGUAUGUUCUUGGAAUAUUUUUACUCAAUGCUAAAGUCAUAUAUUUUAGCCUGGACCGCCAUGGAUCCUGUAAAGUCAUAUUUAAUUUAUGCAUCAGUACGUUUUGUCAAUCCCUUGCCUCUUGUUAUGAUCCAGCCAAUUUCAUGGUCCUCCUACAUUAAUUUAUUGUUUCGUUUUCUUCUAAGCCUAUACUUUCUGGAAGCAGUUAUAGGCCAUCAAUGCAUGCUCAAAGUACUGUGAUAUAUUUACAGUGACCCUGGCUAAUCUGAUAAUUCUACUAAAUUAUUUGUUCAUGUUUUCAUGAAUUUCAGGGAAGCUGAACAGAGGAAGCUGAGGACGACAAUGGGAGUCAAUGGAGUGCAUGAAGGAAAGGAAAUCAGCUUCAAGAGAAUGCCAAACACGGAGCCUCCAUUUACACUUGGAAAAAUCAAGAAGGCCAUCCCUCCCCAUUGCUUCCAACGAUCCCUUCUCCGCUCAUUCUCCUAUGUUGUUUAUGACCUCUCCUUCAGCUUUCUCUUCUGCUACAUUGCCAUCACAUAUUUCCACCUCCUACCAUCCCCUCUUGCCUACAUCACAUGGCCCAUCUACUGGGUUCUCCAAGCCUGCAUUCUCACUGGUGUUUGGGUCAUUGCUCAUGAAUGUGGCCACCACGCCUUCAGUGACUACCAGUGGGUUGAUAACACGGUUGGCCUAAUCCUCCACUCUGCACUUUUCAUCCCAUACUUUUCCUGGAAAUACAGCCACCGCCGCCACCAUUCAAACACAGGGUCCCUCGAGCGCGACGAAGUGUUUGUCCCGAAGACCAAGUCCCGUGUCGCAUGGUAUUCCAAGCACCUAAACAACCCACCAGGCCGAGCUUUAAGUCUGGCUGUAUCACUUCUGAUUGGCUGGCCCUUAUAUCUAACCUUCAACGUUUCCGGCCGACCCUAUGAUCGCUUUGCCUGUCACUAUGAUCCCUAUAGUCCCAUAUAUUCUGAUCGUGAAAAACUCCAGGUUUACAUUUCUGAUCUAGGCAUUCUUGCUGCAACUUUUGUGCUCUACAGCAUUGCCACGUCACAAGGGCUGGCAUUUCUGAUAUGCAUUUAUGGGGUACCGUUACUUAUUGCUAAUGGUUUCCUUGUCACCAUCACAUACUUGCAGCACACUCACCCUGCAUUGCCACAUUAUGAUUCCUCUGAAUGGGGGUGGCUUAGAGGAGCUUUGGCAACCAUGGAUAGAGACUAUGGGAUCCUGAACAAGGUCUUCCAUAACAUUACAGACACGCAUGUAGCUCACCAUCUCUUCUCUAACAUUCCACAUUAUCAUGCAAUGGAGGCUACGAAAGCAAUCAAGCCAAUACUGGGUGAGUUCUACCAGUUUGAUGAUACUCCGAUUUACAAGGCCUUAUGGAGGGAGGCAAAAGAAUGCCUUUAUGUUGAGCCAGACGACGGAGCUCCUGAAAAAGGCGUGUUCUGGUACCGGAACGAGUUUUGAUGCUGCUGCCUCUAAAAUCUAGCUAGCUAGAUCACCCCCGAGCAAGGGAUCAGUCAAAGUAGUAUAAUUGUGCUGCUAAUAAAUGGGGCAGGAGGUGUUGUUGAGCCAAUAAUGGGAUAGACGUGUGAUGAAAUUCAGCUUCUGAGUACUUCUAAGUGUUUGUUUGUCAAUGCGGGCGUGGUUCAUCCGCAUUUCUAAAUUAAAAACAUCAAAAAAUGAUAUUUGGAGUUUGGAAAAUAUGUUCUACUUUUCAAUUAGCAAACAAUAGUAGCAAACAAAUUUAAGAAAGAAAUGUUGAUCCCGCUCAUAUCUUUCAACUAAUAACAAAUAAGAUCAUGAUUUGAUUUUCAAGCAUGUCAAAGAACCAUCUCAACCCAAUAGCUUAAGCUGUUAGGUAAGGUCCCAGGAUAUGAUUUAUAUUAUUAUGAAAUUCAGCUUCUGAGUACUUCUAAGUGUUUGUUUGUCAAUGCGGGCGUGGUUCAUCCGCAUUUCUAAAUUAAAAACAUCAAAAAUGAUAUUUGGAGUUUGGAAAAUAUGUUCUUACUUUUCAAUUAGCAAACAAUAGUAGCAAACAAAUUUAAGAAAGAAAUGUUGAUCCCGCUCAUAUCUUUCAACUAAUAACAAAUAAGAUCAUGAUUUGAUUUUCAAGCAUUCUACUAGUUAGAAUACAAUUAGAUUUUCGUCAAGCCUAUUCUUUAUUUAAUAGCUAAUUACCAACCAAUUAUAUUAUUUACAAUCCAUAAAUAAAUAAAAAGAUAUGGCCAUUGGUGGCCUUAUAUUGAGAUUGAGUUUAUCUCUCCAUUUUUUUAAUAAGCUAUCCAUCAACAUUAAAUUAAAAUUCAUAAGAAAAUGAAUGUUUUUUUAUAUAAAAAAAUAGAUAUUUUUCUAUUCUUUAUUAUAAUGCUUUUUUUAGUUUUUUUUCCUAUUCAUAAGAAAAGAAUGUCUUUUCAUAUAAAAAAUAGAUAUUUUUCUAUUCUUUAUUAUAAUGUUUUCUUGAGUUUUUUUCCUACUUAAAACAAAUAUUUUUUUCAAGUUUAAUUUUUCUAUUUAAUAUUAUUAGAAUUUUCUAAUUUUUUUUAUAUAAAGUGUUGUAACAUGGCCUUCUUGGCAAGUGAAGACAAAGAAAAAUAAAAAUUAAAUAUUUUGAUUGUCUCCUAUAGUUAUGGUGUUUUUGGUCUUUAAGACUUUUGACAUGUAAUAAACCCCUUAAUCUUUCGCUCUUGUAUGCAUCAAUUGGUAUUAAAGCCCAACUAUUGAUGGUUAUUUUGCUUUGCUCUGUGCUGCAGAACAAACAUGAUUGAAAGAGGUUAUAGAACAUAGAGGUGAGCAAAAAAACUGAAAAAUCGAUUAAACUGAGAAAACCGGAAAAAAAAAUCGAAAAAACCGAACAAAAAAAAACCGAUUAAAAUUUUAAAAAAACCGGCCGGUCAGGUCCGGUUUUAUAAGCAAAAAACUGAAAAAACCGAACUGAACCCAAACCGAAAAAAACCGGAAAAAAACCGAGCCAAAACCGGAAAAAACGAGAAAACCAAGCCAAACCGGCUUGAACCAGUUUUUGUCCUAAAAAACCGAACCGAAUUGAAACCGGUCGGUUUGAACCGAUUUCAGUUCGGUUUUUUUUUUUAAAUUCGGUUUGGUUAGUUUUUUUUUAUAAAAACCGAACCGAACCGAAAAUGAUCACCCCUAAUAGAACAUGACAUGCUUGUGUGGGAGGUGAUGAUGGGGUUCCUUUUAGAAGAAAAAAAAGAGUCCAAGAACUAGUGUGUUGUUUUCAUCUAUGUCAGUUAAUGUUAUUUAAAAUCAUUGUGGUGGGACCCAUUAUGGAGUGACUCGCACAAAGAUAUUGUGUUAAGAACCUAUGAUGAGAUGACCCAAAUAAAAAUAUGUUCUUGAUGAAUGGUAAUUUUUAAUUGAAUACCAAACUCGAUGACAAGUUCCUUCCGGGUCUGGGAGACUAAUACAAGAACUUUUUUAAGAAAAUAGAUACUUUUUUAUUUUUUAUUAUGAUGUUUUUCUAGUUUUUUUUUUAAUAUUUGAAGGGAACAUUUUCUCAAGUGUUUUUUCCUAUUUAGUAUUAUUAGGAUUUUCUAGUUUUUUUUUUCUAUAUAAAGGGUUGUAAUAGCUUUUUGGCAAGUAGAGACAUAAAUGAAAAAAAAUUAAAUAUUUUUGUCGUCUCCCUAUAUUUAUAUGGUAUUUGGUUUUUUAGGGUUUUGACAUGUGAUAAACCCCUUUAUCUUUCGCUCCUGUCUGCAUCAAUUGAUAUCAGAUCCCAAUAAUUCUUAGUGGUUAUUUUGCUUUGUUGUGUACUGCAAAACAAUCAUGGUUGUAAAAGGUUAUGAGACAUAAUGUGCUUAUGUAAGAGGGUAUUAGUAACUUUCCAUUUCAGAAAAAAAAACAUUCAGGAACUAGCAUGUUGUUUCUAUUUGCGUUUGUUACUGUCAUUUUAAAUCAUAUUGGUAGGAUCCAUGAUAUGACAUCUUGUAUAAAGAUAAUAUGUUAGGAACUCAUGAUGAGGUGACCAAAAUAUUCUUGAUGGAAGACAAUUCUUAAUUGAAUACUAAACUUGAUAACAAGUUCUUUCCGGCUCUGAAAGAUUAAUGCAUGAGUUUUUUAAGAAAAUAGAUUUUUUUAUUCUUUAUAAUGAUUUUUUCUAGUUUUUUUUAUUUGAAGGGAAUAUUUUUUCUAAUUUAUUUUUUUAUUUAGUAUUAUUAGAGUUUUCUAGUUUUUUCUAUAUAAAAAGUUGUAAUAAUCUUUUGACAAGUGCAGACAUAAAAAAAUAAAAAUUAAAUAUUUUGAUUUUUUUUUAAUUAUGAUAUUUUUUAAAUUUGAAAAUUUUAACAUGUAAUAAACCUUUUUAUCCUUCACUUUUGCUCUCGUUUGCAUCAAUUUUCUUGACUAUAUAGAUACCAAUUAUAUAGACGAGAAGACAAGAAGUAUAGCAUGCUUAUGAAGAAAAAAAAAUAGAAGCAAAAGCCGAAAAUAUAUGAAGGAUGACAAAUGUUUUGGUGAUAUUUCCUCUGUCAAGUUGAUUUGUCCUUGGAAAACCUUGCUUUAAAUAGAACCAAGAAAUUAAAUAACACAGACAACCACACAAAAAUAACACAUAGAGAUAAGAAAAACUCAUGUACGGGAUAAGAUAAAAUUUAUCUAGUUUUUAAAGGUCAUUUGCUAGAAAAUCCCUUCAAUUAAAGGUAUAAAUCUCCCUAAAAAUAUCGUUCUUCGCUGAUGAAUACACAACAGCCUCAUUAUUCUUAUUAGAACAUUCAUCAAAACUUAUCUGAGCCAUCUUGAGAGCCUGGUGACGAGUCUCCGAAUCCUGAAGCAGUACCUGACUCGAAAAACUGGCCGCGCCGCGAUGCUUCAAUCUUCCUCUUCUUAGCGUGAUAACUCAUAUGCCCACCCAAAGCGUUUCCAUUUAUAAAAGAUGCUUUGCAGAUAAAGCAUUUAUGCUUAUGAGCACGACUUGUUUGGGCUAUUGAUAGAGACCUUGGAGUUCUCCUGAGAGGACUUUUAAAAUGGCUUGACAAGGUUGUGCUACCUAAUAAUUCUUGUUUUGGUUGCAAAUGAUGGGCAUCAGGGAGUUGGAUUUCUUGAGCUUUUGACGACAGGGAGGUAUUCAUCAAGCCUAGAGACAGUGAAAGAUAUUUAGGCAUAUUUAGAUUGGUUUGGUUAAGGCUGUCCAAAUUUGCCACAAGGAUUGGUUGGUCAAUCCUAUUAUUAAGGAUGCUAGGGUUUUGUUGGUAAUUGCUCAUGAUCAUGUUAGAGCCAACAUUCAAUCCAACCAAAUGAUUCCCGAGGCUUUGAGCAUUUCUAUCAGUUGUGAAUGUUACAACACUAUCGCUAUAGCAUGGCGAUGCAUAUUUCAGGAUUCCUGCAAAUUGUGUUUCUUGAUAUUUGACAUGAAUUGUUUGACUAAGAUAGUAGAAAGGUGGGUUCAAAGAAGUAACUCUAGGGGUUGGAAUGAGACGAGGAAGAGAUUGUUGGUUUCUCAAGGCGAUGAAUUGAUGGCUAGUAAUUGGAAGAGAGUGAGGGCUCACCAUAGAAGGAUGAGCACUGAUCAAACCAGAAGAAUGGGGUUGCAGCUCUUCUGUGGCAGUAGGCUUUGUAGCCACUACUACUCUAGGAAAAGGAGCACACUCAAUUUCUGUGUUGGAUACAACAUCUAUUUCGGCCAAUGGUGGAUUUGUAUGGACGAGAACAUUUUGAAAUGAUAAAUUUGGCGCAGAAAAACUGGCGUUGGACAUGUUUGAAAGAUUUGGGAGCUCAAAUUCUUUGCCCAUUGGGAUAGCUACAUCGAACCAGUCUUCAAUGUAUUGUUGUGGAUCAUGCUCGACUUGCUUGGCCAUAGAACUAGAUGAUUUAAUUUCCUGAUGGGAUUUUCGUGAGAGAGGAUAGGCUAAUAUGUGAUCAUAGAUUCACCUAAUCAAUACACACAGUUAAAUACACACUCUCACGCCAUUACUUGGCCACGAAUUCAUUAAAAGAUGCAAGAACAAUAUCAAUGGAAAGUAAGGUGUUGAACUAAUUAAUAUUUUGCUGUGGUUGAAAAAAAGAAAGAAAGAAUCUGAUAUAUCUUCCUGGCAUGAGAAAAAAUUUCCAUGCAUGGAAAUGGGAUUGGUUGUACUUGGUCGUAUAUAUGGUAUGGAAUUCAAUUUCUUUCUUUCUUUAACUCCUUUUUUUUUGGUGUAUUUCUUUUUGUGCAUUUUAUUUUCACUAAUUUGUAAUAAAAGGAAAAAAAAUAAAACAAUAUAAUUAAAAUUAACUAUACAGUUAAUCCACUUUUUUCUAGUGUGUGUGGGCGUAUUUAAAAUUAAAGUUAUAUAUAUGCACUAGGUCAUACAAAAUAAUAUUUAGUACGAAAUGUAUUUUUAUACCUAAAAGAAAAAUCUAUUACUAUAAUUUAACAAAAUAAUAUUUGGUAUUUUCUAAAAUUAAAUUGAAAAAUGUUAAUGCAUAAUCAUAUUUGGAAGGGUAGGACUUGUUGAGCCAGAUUUAUAACCUUUAUUUAGACUUUUUACCGGGUGGUUUAAUGUGUACCCUAUAUUGGGUUAUUAGGCCUUGAGAUUUUUGGUUAGGCCCGUUUUGAAAAAAAAUAAAAAUGAAAGCAUAUUUUAUAUUUGAUAGGAAAAAAAAACUUUUAAACACAUGAAAAAUUUGUUUACUAAUUACUUUAACAUUUGAAAUUCAUGUUUUUGGAAGUAGAAAAUUACUCUCUAAGUUCUUCAUUUAAAAAAACUACAGAAAAAACUUAUUUAGUUUUUUUUAGAAAAACAAAAGUCAUAUUUCAUUGUUCAUUAGAACAAUAAAAUAUGUCUUGGAUCACAAUAUUUUGAUGAUAUCUUUUAGGGUUUUUUUAUUUAUAUAAUAAUGCUUUAUCUAUUAGUUAGCCACCAUUUUUUAUUUAUAUAUGUAGGGCAAUGUAUAAUAAUUAAUGUAGAGUUUACAAUACAUGAAUAAUAAAUCUUUUCUAAAUAUGUACAAGCCUAUACUAUUUUAUAUAUUAUAAUAGGCCUCCUCAAACCGAGGGUGGAGAUUCUAUUCGAAGUUUGAACCGAAGAGCAGUAAAAAGGAGAAACAGGAAGAGGUUUUGUAAGAACAUUUACAAGUUGAUUCUUGAAAGGAAUAAAACGUAUCUGAAUGGCUUUUGUAGCAACUUUGUCAUGGACAAAAUAAUAAUCAACUUCAAUAUGCUUAGUACAAGCAUAAAAGAUAGGUUUUGCAUACAAAUAAGUAGCACCCAGAUUAUUAUAUCAAAUCAUAGGCAUUGAAGAAGGAGUAAUAUGUAGACCUCACAAUAAAUAUUGAAGCCAUAUGACUUCAGAAAUGCUAUUAGCUAAGACUUUAUACUUAGCUUCGGUAGAAAACCAAGCAACGAUGUGUUAUUUCCCGAACUUCCAAGAAAUCAGUGUAUAUCAAAAGAAAACAAGUUAGCCACCCAUAGAUUUACGAUUAUCAACACUACCAGCGUAAUCAACAUUUGUAAAACCAUGCAAGAAAGAAGAGCUAAGGGUGAUAUGAAGACCAAAGGAAGCCAUACCCUUAAGAUAACAUAAAAUGAGUUUAACGACAGUCCAAUAUGAAUCUGUAGGAGAAUGCUUAUACUGACAAACUUUAUUAACAACAAAAAAAAUAUCUGAUCUCAUAAAAAUGAGAUAAGAGAACAAGCAAUCAAGAACAUGUUUAUCUUGUCGUAGCAUGAGACCCAUAGUAGCAGGAUGAGCCUCAAUGCCUAAAAAAUAAUAAAUUACUUCUAAAUGCCGAAGUUUAAACUCUGAGUUCAGCAACUGAAUCAAUCUGUGAAGUAAGGCUAAGUUGCUUCCAGUUAACAAGAUAUCAUUAACGUAAAUUAGAAGGCAAAAAUAUCAUCACCUAUAGAUAAAAUGAAUAAUGAGGUAUCAACCUUCGAAGCAUGGAAGCCAAGAGAGAUGAGAUAAUUACUAAGUCAAGUGUACCUUGCUCGAAGAGCUUGUUUCAAACCAUAUAAGGAUUUAUGCAACUAACACGCAUGAGAAAAGAGAGUAUAAUCAACAAAACCUGGAGGUUGCUGCAUGUAGACCUCUUCGUUAAGUGUCCCAUUGAGGAAGACAUUAUGAAUAUCAAGUUGAUUAAUUUUCCAACCACGUGACACCGCAAUUAUGAAAAUUAACCAAACAAUGGCUUGAUUAACAACAAGACUGAAAGUCUCAAAGUAAUCAAUACUUUUUGUUGACUAAAGCCUCCAGUAACUCUGCAAUAGAGGCAUCACUGGCAGACAGUGAAGAAGCAGUAACAAGACAAUUGGGAGAACCAAUAACAACAGACUUGCUACGCUGUAAAGUAGAAGGGUCUGAACUUGUGCCUACAGUAUGAUUGUUAAAGAAACAUGUAUGUGGUGAUGGUAGAGCAGGACUGGUGGUCUGUUGUGGGUGAGCAAAAAUAAGAGUAGGAGAUUGAGAGGGGUCUUGAUGAUCUUUAGGCUGGGAGGUUGUAAGCGUAAGAGAAUGGAAAAAGAGGAGAUGAGGAAAUUGGGCAGAUGAAUAGGAUCAGAUAGAGAGUAACAAAGUGAUUGUGCAAUUUGUUCAGAUUUGUUAAAAGGAAAGACUUGUUCAUGAAAAAAAACAUGACGAGAGAUAUAAAUGUGUUGAGUUGUGAUGUCAAGACAACGAUAACUAAGGUGAGAAGAGCUAUACCCUAAAAACACAUAUGAAGGAUAACAAAAAUCUAAUUUAUGAUUAUGAUAGGGAUGUAAAAAUAAAAAACAAAGACACUCAAACGUGCGCAAAAAAUCAUAAUCAGAAGAUCAUUAAAAGAGACAAUCAAAAGGAGAUCAACGGUCUAGAACAAGAGUAGGCAUUCGAUUGAUAAGAUAAACCAAGGUUUAAAAAGCCUAAUUCUAAAAUCUUAAUAGUGUUUUACAUUGUCCUAGAAGAGUAAGACCAAUUUCCACAAUAUACCUAUGAUGAAGUUCAACUGUUCUAUUUUGUUUGUAAGUAUGAGGACAAAUUAAACGAUGAUGAAUACCAAUAGUCUGAAAAAAAUGGAUAACUUGCAGUAUUCACCGCCCUAAUCAGUUUGAACAGAUUUAAUUUAAUUUUUAGUGAAAAUCGAUGCUCAAUAAAAGUUUGAAAUUGAUGAAAAACAGAGAAGACAUCAAACUUCACAAUAUAUAUAUAUAUAUAUAUAUAUAUAUAUAUGCGCGCAUCAACAAAAAUAACAAAAUAACAAAAACCAUUAUAAGAAAAAAGGGAGCAAGACCCUAAACAUCACUAAAAAUUAAUUGAAGUGGAGCCGAAGUUUUGUGACACGUAAAUCCUAAUGACAAACGUGAUGAUUUUCCUAACAGACAAGAUUGACACUAAAAAAUAAAACAUUUAGAGAUAUAAUAAAUUUUAUUUUUCGAAACUAAUAGAUUAAAAAUACAGGAAGUAGGAUGACCUAGUCGACAAUGUCAUAGAUCAAUAGAAGCAGAUACAUGAGGAGACUAAUAAGCUUGCGGAAUGAAUGUGGUAGAAGUCUUGGAUAAAACAUAGAGACCAUCUUUACUCUGACCGGAAAAGAGUAGUGCCUUGAUGUUAAAAUCCUUAAUAUAAAACACAAAUAGGUGAAAUUCAAAAUAAACAUUGUUAUCUAGACAAGAUUUCUGAACAGAAAGCAAAAUUUUUUGAAUAUACGGUACAUGAAGAACAAUAGAUAAAAUGAAUGUACGUUGUGGUGUAUGUAGCUUAGUAUGACCAAUUUUAGAUAUGAAAAGGCCCUUACCAUCACCAACAUGCAAGUGAUUAUCACCUAGAUAUGGUUCUAACACCGUUAGAUUUCAAGAUCAAGUGUAACGUGUUGAUUUGCACUAGUGUCAGGAAACCAAUCCACAUAGUUUGUGGAGAAAAUAUUGCCCAGCGCAAGACUGACACUAGGUUGUCGUUCGUGGUUUUGAAGUUGAGCACAUUCGGGGGUUGAGUGACCGAAGGUAUGGCAUAUUUGACACUAGACAUUAGACCACUGUGAAGAGUUAUGAGACCUCUUGUUUUGCUGCCACUUUCCCUGCCUUUAGUCGUUGUUUGAAGACCCAUUAAAACUCCAAAAAUCAGAACGAUAAGCAGACUCGUGUCCUUUACCACUAUAAAAAUUGUUACGCUAACCUGUAGAAAAACAUCAUCUAUCAUGAUAGUUAUUAGAGUUGUUGUGAAAAGAACCAGAAGAUAGAGGUUGAGCAACAAGAGAUGAGGGUGGCAAGUUUGGCGUGGGCAGUAAAGGGGUAGUGAUAACAGCAACACUCAUGGAUUGAAUGGAGGUCUUGUGAAGGAUCUCAUGAGUUAGGAGAUGACUAUAAAGAUAUGCAUAUGAAAGAGGUUCUGCCUUGGUCACGAGACUUGUUACCAAGUCUUUAAACUCACCCUAAAAAAAAACUUACAAAUUAAAGUUCUCUAAUGAAACUGGCCGGCCCACAACAACUAAUUCAUCAAAUAAUGCAUUUUCCUUUUGCAUAAAUAUAGUGAUCGUAUCAUCACCUUGUUGAAGAUCUUGAAAAGAACUAUGCAGUUGCAUAAUAUAAGAAUUAGAUGGAGAAGCGAGAGCUUGCUUAAAAGUAUGCCAAACAUAGUGUGAGAUUUGACAAUUGACAACAACAUGUAGGACACCCAUUGAAAGAGAAAAAAGUAGUGCACUUAGAAUAAGUUGGUCCUGCUGUUUUCAAUGAACAAAAGAAUUAUUAACCCAAAGAGAAACAUCAUCAGUAGCAACCACAUGAGGGGAGGGACAUGUCAAUAAGCCAUCAACAAAGUGAAAAAUUCCUUGUCCAAGAAAAUAUGGCUUCAUCUACAUAUGCUAAUAAAAGUAAUUUGUGUUUGUAAGUUUCAAGGAAAUAACUUGAUGAGUAUUGAAGAAGAGAACAAUUGAAGUAUCCACAGUGAACAAAUACAUGACAACAUCAACAAGGGAAGAGUGCAAACUCACACCAGCACUAAUAGGAAUCACUGACAGAAUAGAGGAAGAGGACAGGGUCUGCAAAUACAUAACAGGAUUCAUGGCAGUAGCAAGAGAAGCCUCCAAAACAGAGGGGGUAGAAGAGGUCUGCAUCGAUGGCUGAGAAGAAGAGUUUAUUGGAAAAAAGGAAAGAGAGUUUAAAGUGUCGGUGAUUCUGAUACCAAAUUGAGAAUAAUAGAAGGCUUAACCUAUUAGUUAGUCAUCCUUUUCUAUUUAUAUAUGUAGGAUAAUAUACAAUAGUUAAUGUAGAGAUUACAACACAUGAAUAAUAAACCAUUUCUAAAUAUGUACAAGCCUAUACUAUUUAAUAUACUAUAAUACUAUUUAUUGAUAAAUCAAAAUGAUUAAGUUAUUUGUCCUCUAUUAGGAAUAAUUAUAGGCUAUAUUUGAAUUUAAAAAAACACAUUUUAAAAAAUAAAAAUUAAAAAAAUGGAAUGGUUAUGAACAACAUUCUUCUUGGCUGUUUGUUUUUUAAGAUAUAAAAUAAAAAAAUGAAAUCUAAAUCUUGAUAUUAUUUGUUACUAAUAAAAUUUAAUUAGGGGGCAAUAUUCUUGCCACCGUUAAGAUUUUAGUAUUUUGUCAUAUUUUUUUCCCCAUCAAAUUAUACUCUCUAAGUUUCUAGGAUUAACUACUUUAUUCUAAUUAAGAGUUAAUAUUUUGUAUAUUGUUGUCAAAAUCGCGAGUUGACUCGUAAAAUCGUAUGAUUUUACGAGUCAACAUGUAUAUAAUGUUUAAAAUCGGGUUAAAAACUCGAAAUCGGUCAAAUUCGUUCAAAAUCGGUCAAACUCGGUAAAAUCGGAUCGAUUUUACGAGUUUGACAAAAUUUAAAAAAUUUAUUGUCUCCCUAUCUAAGUCCCCCGACACUCCACUCCACUCCAUAGUCCCCACUCCCUAGUCUCCCCUUUCCCCGUUGCCCAAAUCUUAAAUUUUCAACCUUAGCAAACUAACACUACCAUCGGAGGAUCUUGGGUAUGGGGAAGCCUUUAUACUGUAUUUUAGGUUGGGAAGGCAUGAUCGGAGGAUCGAAACCAUGGGAAGACAGAGGUAGAUGGUGAGGAAUCAAAGGAGUAAAAUAAGAGAUAUGAAUAUUUAUAGAGAGAGAGAGAGAGGAAUAUUGUGUUUUAAACUAACCAUUGUUAACUACAAAGAGAGACGACAGAGACUCAGAAAGAACUCGAAAUACAUGUCUUGCUUGGUGGGAUAUUUGAACAUUAUUUUUAGGACUUGUCACUAACAUAAAAAAAAGGUGGAAGACGAGGUGGCAUGAGACAAAAUUAAUGUCAUUUUGGUAGGUUUUUGUUCUCGUUGUCACGGGUUCACUGUAUUGGUCUCUGUUUUUUUUUUUUUGAAGUUGGUGAUAUACCUUAGAAGGUUAUAUCAUCUCACUAGUUGCUUGCAGUGUGUUUCAAGACCUGCCUUCUAAAAAAUAUUCUUAAACUUUAUCAAUAAAACAUAGUUGUUCAAUCUUAUUUUUUUUCUUUUUGUCUGUGAUUGAAAGUUUAAUUUUACUUUCAUUAUGUGAUGACUUGAAAGUUUAAUUUAAAAUUGAAUUUCUAAUUUAACCAUAUAAAAUAUUAACACAAUAAAAUCAAGUUGAUUCAAUCAGAGUUUUAGUAGCUUAUUUAACUCCACUCAACUAGAUUCAAUUAGGAAUUUAACCUUAUAUAUGUAUGCUUUUUUUUUUUGUAUUUUAUCCAACUCUCUACACUAUACAUCCUUGUUAAUGCAUAUAUUGAUUCUUGAAUAGAUUGUUAAUUUUUAGUUAAUAAAAUUCUAUGGACAUAAUUGUAUUAUAUUGUAUUUUAAGUUAUUUAAAUCAUGUAUGAAUUUUUGUAUGAAUUUUUAUAUGAAUUAUGUAUUUUAUGGUGUUUGGACAUUUGUAUUGUUUAUUUCACUUUUAUUUUAAUUGUUUUAUAUUUGACUGAAAUUAUCAAUAUAUAAUUAGUUAAAAUAUUUUUCUUCUAAUUUAAUGAUUUUAUUCAAGUUUAUAAUCCAAAUUUAUAUUAUAUAUUCCGUGACAUGUCAACCUUGAUUUUGUAAUCUAAAUUGCUUCUGUCUAGUCUAAACUCUAAAGACAAAGCUUUAUCCACUCAAGUAAGAAGACAAGAACUGCUGAAAAGUUGAAAUUUUUUUCUUCAUUAAUUUAUAGCUCAAACAACACCAUAAGAAGGCUACCCGUUUUCCCUUCAUCAUGGAUAAACAUUAAACACAACACGGCAUAUUCCUCCUUUUUCAGGCUUACCUAGCUAGCCUAGCUAUCUUGAUAUUAAUGGCAGAAACAUUAAAACUUGUUCCUGAACCAGAAAACACCCUUUUCAUCUGGCUCAACAUACAAACACUCUCCUGCCUCCCUCCAUAAAGCCUUGUAAAAUGGAGUAGAAUCAAACUGGUAGUACUCACCCAGUAUUUGCUUGAUUGCUAUAGUAGCCUCCAUUGCAUGAUAAUGAGGUAUUGUAGCUACAAGAUGGUGGGCUACAUGUGUGUCUGCAAUGUUAUGGAAGACCUUGUUCAGAAUCCCAUAGUCUCUGUCCACAGUUACCAAAGCUCCUCUAAGCCAUUCCCAUUCAGUGGAAUCAUAAUGUGGCAAUGAAGGAUGAGUGUGCUGCAAGUAUGUGAUAGUGACAAGGAAUCCAUUAACAAAAAUUAAUGGUACCCCAUAAAUGCUCAUCACAAAUGCUAGUCCUUGUGUUAUAGCAAUGCGGUAGAGCACAAAUGUUGUAGCAAAGAUGCCUAGAUCAGAGAUGUAAAUAUGAAGCCUUUCACGAUCAGAAUAUAUGGGGCUGUAGGGAUCGUAGUGACAAGCAAAGCGAUCAUAAGGUCGCCCGGAGGCGUUGAAGGUUAGGUAUAAGGGCCAGCCAAGCAGAAGUUUGACAGCAAGACCUAAAGCUCGGCCUGGUGGAUUGUUUAGGUACAUGGAAUACCAUGGGAUUUGGGACUUGGGCUUCGGGACGAACACUUCGUCGCGGUCGAGGCACCCUAUAUUUGAGUGAUGGCGGCGGUGGCUGUAUUUCCAUGAAAAGUAUGGGACAAAAAGUGCAGAGUGGAGGAUUAAGCCAACUGUGUCAUCGACCCACCGGUAGUCACUGAAGGCAUGGUGACCACAUUCAUGAGCAAUGACCCACAGACCAGUGAGAAUGCAGCCUUGGAGAAUCCAGUAGAUUGGCCAUGCAAUAUAGGCAAGAUGAGAUGGUAGGAGGUGGAAGUAAGUGAUGGCAAUAUAGCCCAAAAGAGAGCUUAUCAACAGGUCAUAAACCACAUAGGAGAAUGAACGGAGAAGGGAUCUUUCAAAGCAAUGGGGUGGGAUGGCCUUCUUGAUUUGGCCAAGUGUGAAUGGAGGCUUCGUGCCUGGCACUUUCUUGAUAUGGCUUAAGCUUUCUUUUUCUUCACCCUUGAUAUUAGGGUUAAACACUCCAUUGGCUCCCAUAGUUCUGUUAAACUUAAGCUUCCUUGCAAAUCCUGAAAACAUGAUCAUUUGAGAUAUAAAUUUUUUGGUCUAGCUUUAGUAUUCUGAUCUGAAUCUAAUUCUAUAUAACUACGUAGAUGCAAGCUCAAAAUUAAGUUGCUGACGUUGUACGUAACUACAGAAGUAAGCUUCUGUCAUAAAGAAUACAUAUAUAGUACUGGAAUGUAUACUAGCAGAUGAAUGAGAAAAUUAAUAAAUGGAUUUUUGAUAAACAGAAUAAGAAUAAGAAUAAAAGAAAAAAGAAUAAGAAUAAGAACCCAUGAGAUUAUUAUAACUUCAACUUUUAUAGAAGCUCAGCUUAGCAAUCAAUAAUUUUAUUUUAUUUUAUUUAUUCAUUUAUUUAUUUUUCAUUUAAAUGGAAAGAAAUUCAUGGCAAAAACUUAAACGGAGAAUAUUGUUAGUUUUCCUAUGACAAUUUCAAUAUCUACUCUCCAUCCAUUUUUGAUUUGUGGGAGAUUAAGGUCGAUCUAGUGAAACGUUACCGAACAGCAACACUAAUAUUAAACUUUGAAAAAUUUAAAUUUAAAAUAUUUGGAUACUAUUUAAUUAUAAAUAAUAUCAAACUUAAUUAGUUUUCGACACUGAAUAUUAACUUGAAAUAAUAAUAAAAAAUACACGAAUUGUAGAAAAUUAACAUAAUGGAAUUCUAGAAAAGAUUUUUUUUUUAUUUUUUACUAUUAUGAUUUAGUGGAUUAGAUGAGGGUAAAAUCAUUAUUUAGACUUUGAAUAUGAAUUAGUAAUAACAACAAAAUAUCAAACUGCCCUUUUUCUUUUUCUUUUUUUACAAUAUGAGACAAAAGAUUGGCAAUUUUUUCACACGUGUGUGAUAGAGAAAUGUAUUUAGUUAAAGAUAAAAUAAAUAUGUUUUAGGAUAAUUUUAAAGUAAAUUUUUAUAAAGAGAUAUCUCAUUUAAUAAUACCCAUAAUAUAUGCUAUUUAAAAAAAAAUUAAAAAAAUAUCUUCUUAAAAUGUGAGGGAGUUUUAUGGUACUAGAAAAUAAUCAGUGUUACUUAAUUAUUUUCUAAGUUAAUCAUAAAAAACAAACAGAUACAAAAAAAAUAAAAAUAAAAAAUAUUUAUAUUUAUUUCCGUAUCAUUAUAAAAAUUUAAAUAUGAUACAAAAAGUGAGAGAUUGGCAUGCAAAAGCAGAAUCCAGAAUAUAUUAAAAUAUUAACUUGUCAAAAAUCAAGCUUUAUGGUAUCCACGUGGGGUGUGUGUGACUAUAAAUGUCGUGAAAGGCCACCAUUCUUUAACCAGAAUCUAAUCCUGUCCUUAAAGUCACACCAUGCAUUAAAGCAUCAUAUUCACUGUCAAGGACAGGGAUUUCAAGUUAUAUAAUCUACCAUUUGUUUGACUGUUGCUUUACCGCAUAUUAUUUAAAUUAUUUUAAUAUAAAAAAAUUUUAAAUACAAAUUAAAAAACCUGUUCAAAUAUCUUAUUAAAUAAAUUAAUAAUCAUUAACAAUAACAAAAAAAAUUAAUAAAAUUAAAAAAUAAAUGUAAAUCAAGAUAUUAAAUAGUACAAAAUAAAACAUUCACCUGAUUUUAUUAUAUACUAAACUUGUUUAUUAACUUGAAAUAAUAAAAAAAUACACAAAUUGUAGAAAUUUAACAUAAUGAAAUUCUAAAAAAUAUAUAUAUUUUUUACUAUUAUGAUUUAGUGGAUUAGAUGAGGGUAAAGUCAUUAUUUAGACUUUGAAUAUGAAUCAGUAAUAACAACAAAAUAUCAAACUGCCCCUUUUUUUUUAACAAUAUGAGACAAAAGAUUGGCAACUUUUACACACGUGUGUGAAGGAGAGAAAUGUAUUUAGUUAAAGAUAAAAAAAAUAAAAAAUAUAUGUUUUUAGAAUAAUUUUAAAGUAAAUUUUUAUAAAAAGAUAUCUUAUUUUUAUUUUUUUUAUUGAUACGGUAACCGAACACUACUUGUGAUUUUUCAUUGUAAGACAAUAAUACCUCUAAUACAUGCUACUUUAAAAUGAAAAUUAAAAAAAAAAAAAAAACCUUCUUAGAAUGUGAUGGAUUUUUAUGAUACUUAAAAGUAAUUAGUGAUUUUCUAUUAAUUACUCAGUUAUUUUAUAUAUUUAUUUUAAAGAAAAAAAGAGAAUAAAUAAAACUUAUAAGCCACUAAAAAUAAUAAAAAUACAUUCACUUAAAAAAAAAUAUUUAUAUUUUUUUAAUAAAUAAAAAAAUAACUAAUAAAAUAUCCUCAUUUAUUUCCAUAUCAUUAUAAAAUUUAAAUAUCUUUAUGGUAUCCACGUGGGGCGUGUGUGACUAUAUACGUAUAUAAUUAUUUAAAGUACAUCGUGAAAGGCCUCCACCAUUCUUUAACCAGAAUCUAAUCCUGUCCUUAAAGUCCAAUCAUGCAUUAAAGCAUCAUUUCAAUGUCAAGGAUAAGGACUUCAAGUUAUAUAAUUUCCCAGUAGUUUGACCAGUGCUUCACCACAUAUUAUUUAGAUUACUUUAAUGUAUUUUUUAAUAUAAAAAAAUUUAAAAUAUAAAUUAAAAAAUCUAUUCAAAUAUCUUAUUAAAUAAAUUAAUAAUUAUUUAUAUAAAUAAACAAAAAAAAAUCAUUAACAAUAACUAAAAAAGAAAUUGAUAAAAUUAAGAGAUGAAUGUAAAUAAAGAUAUUAAACCAUACAAAAUAAGACAUUCACCUGAUUGUAUUUACUGAACUUGGUUAUUAAAAUCAAUAAAAGAUAAAUCUACAACCCAAAAAACUCUUGACUUAAAAGAUAAAUACAAAUGAAACUGACUAAAUAAACUCAUGGCCAAAAAAUAUAUUAUGCAAGGCCAAACACAUCAGUAAUAUUAUUUAAAAAUGAAUUUUUUUUAUUUUAAAAAAUAAACUUCAUUUGUAAAAACCCCAAAAAAAAAUCUAAAUGAAUUAGCUUAACAUCUUGGAAAAUAAAUAAAUUAAACAAAUAAAAAAAAUAUUAAAAAAACAAAUGCGGAGCAAUAAGAUUGUAUGAAGUCGAAUCUCUUACAAAUCAAAUGUCGAAAGAUGAAAUCAAGGGAAAAAAAUCAAUUACACAAAAUGAUCUAAAAAUAAGGGUAAAAAAAACACUAAUUAGAGGGCAACUAAAAAUUUCAUUUGAUAUGCGUUUCGUAGCGGGUUGUAAUUGUUUUGAGUUUACAGACUAUUUUGAUAUGAUUUUUUUUUACAUAAUUUUUUACAUAAUAUAAAUUAUAAGUGUAAAUCAAAAAAAUUAUCCAAGCAUCUAAUAAUCAUCUAUGUAAAUAAAUUAAUAAUAACUAAAAAAGAAACUGAAAAAAUGAGAGAUGGACAUAGUUCAAAAGAUAUUUGAUUUCGUAAAAUAAAGUAAAAUAAAAUAUUUACAUGUUUGUGUCCACUAAUUUUGUUCAUUAAACUCAAUAAAAGAUAAUAAAAAUAAAAACACAUAUGAAACAGAGUGAAUAAAAUAAAAGGAAAAAAAAUUAUGCAUGGCCGAAUAUAUAAGAAAUAUUAUUUUAAAAUAAGUAUUUUUUUGUAUAAAGUAAAACAAAAAAUCAGCAAAAAUUAAACACAAAACAAAAUAGCUUUUAGAAAAAAACAUUUAUCCAAAAACAACUUAAAAAACCCGUGGUUUAAGUAAUGAGACGGAGACAAACUGAAGAAACGAAUAUGAAGGUAACCAUAAAAUAUUUUUUUUAAAUAAUGUAGAAUGAUAAAAUAACAAAAUAUAAUGAGGAAAAAAAAAUUUCUAACCAUAUUAACACUUAAAACUUGACCCAUGUCAUUAAAUUGAAAGCAUUACAAAUGAAAAAACCAUGAAACCCAAUCCCAAAUAAAUCAAACACCGAAGGAUGUAUCCGAGAAAACAAUCAAUCGCAUAAAAAAUUUAAUUAAAAAUUAAGGGUGGAAACCAAAAUAAAAAAAUUAUUUUGAGAGCAUUUAAAAAUUAAAUUGCAGGGUUAAAUUGAAAAGAAAAAAAUUAACAAAAAGAAAAGAGAAAUCAAAAGAAUGAAGUUUAAAUUGAAAAAAAAAACCAACAUAAACUUUGAUUGAAGGAUAACAUUGAAUACUAAUAAAAUUUUAACAAAAAUUCAAGGGUAAAAAUGACAAAUCAAAAAAAUAAGGUGGUGAAAAAUAAUAUAUGAGAAAUUGUAAUUUAAGGACUGAAUUGAAAACAUAAAUUUUUUUUUUCUAAAAUGAUCAAGAACGAAAAUAAGCAAUAAAAAACAUAAAGGAUUGAAAUUGAAAAACCAAAAAAAAAAAAGACAAACGUGAAUUUUAACGGGAAGAGAGAGAAAAGUAGGAAGAAGAAAUGACCACCAACAACAAAUUACUAGACCACCACCAACAUGCUCUUCACUAGGAGGAAGAGCACAUGACAUGGCAGAAGGAUAUUCUUGGACAGACAGUGGGCAUCACAUAUGCCAUCGAAGGAGCGCAAACGCCACCAACAUGCCGGGGCAUGAAAAAUACGCACCAACAGCUUUUUGGAAUUUAAUAUUAAAAACAAAUGUUAAAUUAUUAAAAAGCCCCCUCAUAACCCUGAAAAUAACAAAUAAACCAAUAUAAAAGUACCAAAACAUCCUUGAAUGCAUAGAAGCUAUUUUAUCUUAUCUGAGGGCAAAUAAUUAUGUUAUUUAUUUUAAAGUUUGUGCAAAGUAAAAAAAUAAUUUUAAUGAGCGGGUUUAAAUUUUCUUGAGGGUAGAAAAAAAAUUUUACUAUACAAAAUAAUUUACAAAGAUAAUAAUACUUAUGUUCAAUUUUUUAACGAAGAAUUUGUCAACGGAAAAAGAUCAAAAUUGACAAAUAUAAUAUUUGAGAGAGUUGGAUGGAUUUUAUUAAUUAAUUACUCAUUCAUUAACAUCCUAAGGCGUAUCUCUAAGUAAGUUAUUUCCCCUUGAAUUAAGGGUGCAUGAGUUAGGCAAAAUUGGAGGGUUAUAAGAAUUAAUCUGAAAUUGACUUAAUACAACAAUGGAUUGAAUGAAUUAAUUAGAAAUCAACAGGUUAAUUUUAACUAUGAUUUUUUAGAAUUUUUGAAACAAUAUUGUUUUGAUCUGGAUAUAAAAGAUUUGAAUUUUAAAUCGAUAUCUGAAUUUCGAUCGACUUUCGAACAUUUUUUCGGAAUCAUUUAUGGAAAUAUGACACUUAUUUUUCCCACAAUAUAUUUGCAAAAUUAUAAUAUUGUUUUCUUAAUUAAUUAAUUAUUUAUUAAUAUCAACAACUAUCUUUUACCACAUCAGUUUGCGAUCUUUAUUAAUCAAGUUUAUCCUUUAUUUUAAAAUAACCCAUAAAAACACAUACAUUCCAAAGCCCACUUUCUCUUGAUGGGCUUUCAUGAUCCAAGAGAAAAUAAAGAAAGGUAAAUAAGAAUAAACCCCUCCAAAAAGAAAAAUUAGGGUUUUAGCAGCUCAGUGAAGACAGCUUGAAAAAUCCUGUUUUUCUUCGAAUUGUUGACCUUUUUAUAAACAUUUUCUCUUCUGAUAACAACAGGAGCAGCUUUCUAUAUUCAGUUUCAACAUGGAAGUUGAAUACCCAGGUUUGCUUUCUCUCAAUGUAUUUUUUUUGUUUUUUUUAUGGUUAAGUUUAUUGCUUUUAAUCUUAAUUUGAUAUGGGUUUUUCAUGGUUAAGAUUAUCGAAUUAUUUACUAAUUUAAAAACCCAUGUUUUUUUCUUGAUUAUAUAUAGAAUUAUUAAAAAAGAUUGAAGCUUUCUGUGCUUUUUUUUUUCAUUUUUUGGAUGGGCUGAUGGUGCUAUUCUGUUUGUUUUUUCAAUUCGGUUGAAGGGGUUUUGAGUAUUUGCUGAUGGGUUUUUUCCUAUUCUUUAUUGGUGAUUGAUGAUUUCAGUUAGGGAUUUAGAGCAUGUGGCCAGUGAUGAAGAGGAUGUGGAUGAAGAAGAGAAAAGAAGUCGAAGGAAGUCGAAGAAGUCAGGUAAAGUGGUAGCUAGAGAGCAUAAAGACCAGUUGCAAAGGCUCAAGGAAAAGGUUAGAUAUGCUUUACUCUCCAAGGAUGAUAUGUUUUGUUAAAUAAAUGGAUAGCUGAGCUGAAAUGUCAUGCUGGGUGCUUGGAUGACUUUUUGCAUGGGGGUUUUUAGGAGCUGAAUAUCGAGAGAAGUAGAUUCUCUUGAUUGCAGACUAGGUUGCAAUGCUUCAUGUUUGAGCACUUGAGGUUCUCAAUUUCACGUGGAAUGUUGGCAUUUGAAGGAUUUGGGAGAUUGUUAAUGCUUAGCGAUUGGAAAAAAUGAAAUGAACCUUCUGUUUUUCUUAAUGCCUUGUUGAUUGUGAACAAUUUGCUAACAAAUUAAUUCUUAACAGGAUCCUGAUUUUUUCAAGUACCUGGAAGAGCAUGAUAAGGAGCUUCUAGAAUUUGAUGAUGAGGAUUUUGAGGUAAGUAUGCAUAAUAUUCUCUUACGUAGAUUUUUUAUGUGAUAAUCACUAUCAACUGACCCAAUCAUGCUGUUAAAAUUUUUGCAGGAAGAUGGUGAUACAGAUGUGGAGGAUGCGGAUAUGCUCGUCGAUGAGGAAAUUAGGGACCGUGAUAUUGCAAAGAAAAACCAGAAACCAUCUGACAAUGUUAUUACUACUGCAUUGGUUGAGUCCUGGUGUAAUUCAGUUCGAGAAAAUGGAAAAAUAAGUGCUGUUCGUUCUCUUUUGAAAGCUUUCAGAAUUGCAUGCCACUAUGGUGAUGAUGGAGGUGGUGAUGCUUCAGCAAAGUAUACUAUUAUGUCUAGCAGUGUAUUCAAUAAAGUGAUGUUAUUUGUAUUAAGUGAAAUGGAUGGAAUUCUUCGUAAUGUGUUGGGCCUCCCUGCUUAUGGUGGGAAGAAAGAGACUGUAAAUGAUCUUCUGCACACAAAAAAAUGGAUGAACUAUCACCACCUGGCGAAGUCUUAUCUUGGGAAUGCCCUAUAUGUUUUGAACCAAAUGACUGAUACACAGAUGAUAUCAUUUACUUUACGCCGUCUCAAAUUUUCAUCUGUGCUUUUAGUUGCCUUUCCAGCUCUCUUAAGGAAGUACAUUAAGGUACGAACAACUUGUCUCAUCAUUUUCUUAUUUUUCAGAUUUUUCUAUGUGAUUAUUCUGAUUACCACUCGAUCAGUUGCACUGGAAUGUGUCAGUUCUGAUGAGUGGUCUUGGAGUUGGUGCACUUUAAUACCCCUAGUCAGCUGAGAUCAUUUGAUUUUGAUCAUCUUCAAUGCUCGCUCUUUUCAUUGUGUAUAUCUAGUAAUGGAAUGCUUCUUAACUCUUUUACUUUAGAUGAUAGUACCUGAGACACUAGACUGUGACUUUUGGUGUUUAAGAGGCACGAGUUCUUUUGAUUCUUUGUUGAUGUUGGAUUGGUUUGAGUUACUGUCAAUCAGUUUAAUACCAAAGUCUUAUGGGCAUCAUUUUGGAGCAGGUGAUAAUUUUUUCCCCUUGAUUUGUUUCAGGUUGCCCUUCAUUUUUGGAGUACUGGAGAAGGUGUCCUCCCUUUGGUGGCCUUUUUCUUUUUAAGGGACAUAUGCAUUCGGAUUGGAUCUGAUUGUUUGGAUGAUUGCUUCAAAGGGAUAUACAAAGCCUAUGUUUUGAACUGUCAUUUUGUAAAUGCAGUAAAGUUACAAUAUAUUCAAUUUCGUGCAAAUUGUGUCAUAGAACUUCUUGGGGUAGACCUGCCAACUGCAUAUCAACAUGCCUUUGUUUUCAUCCGCCAGUUGGGAAUGAUUUUACGAGAUGCAAUUACUAUGAAAACAAAGGUAUUUUGAAAAUUUUCCUUUUCAAAUAAAGAGUACUUGUUUAAUUAUUCAAUCUAUUGGUGAAUUUAGUUCAUCUAAUUGAUUUGAUGUGGUAGUGGAUUAGGUGCCUGUCAAUAAAGUUACAGAAUAUUCAAUUUGAUGUGGUUGUAGAUUUUCUCUUAAUAUUGAUUUGUGAAUUCAUCUAGCUGAAUGGCAUUAAAGGAUCAAUAUAGCUGACCCCAACUAGUUUGGGGUUGAGGCUUGGCUGUUGUAUUGAAGUGUGAAUUCAAUCUUCCUGUAUUCUAUGCAUCUGUACUAUCAAGCAAUUUGAAAUAUGCUAGUCUUUCUUCUUUUCUUUGUAUUGAUUUAAAUUAUUAUUUAUGCAGUUCUCAAUUAUCUUGGAAGUGAUGCUAAAAUUUCGCUUACUUAUUCUUCUCCUUGCCUUUCACUGUUUCUAUAGGAUUCAUUUCGCAAGGUUUAUGAAUGGAAGUUCAUGAAUUGCCUUGAACUUUGGACUGGAGCUAUCUGUACCUAUAGCUCAGAAGCUGAUCUCAGGCCUCUUGCUUAUCCACUCACCCAAAUAAUUUCAGGGGUUGCCCGUCUAGUUCCUACUGCUCGAUACAUUCCCCUUAGAUUGAGAUGUGUUAGAAUGCUUAAUCGGAUUGCUGCUUCUACUGGUACUUUUAUACCAGUUUCCAUGCUGCUUUUAGACAUGUUGGAGAUGAAAGAACUGGAUAGGCCACCCACUGGAGGUGUUGGCAAAGCUAUUGAUUUGCGUGCUGAACUAAAGGUAUGUUUGACAUUUUCUUUUUUAGUGUUAAUUUACAUUGUUUUUGUUCUCAUGUUGGGCAAAAAUCCCCUAAAGUAUGCCUUUUCAAUAUAUUGACUUUUGCGAAUUUUUCUGUUAGGUGAACAAGUCUACCCUGAAGACACGAGCAUUUCAGGAGGCAUGUGUGUUUUCCGUGGUAGAGGAACUUGCUGAACAUCUAGCUCAAUGGAGCUAUUCUGUUGCUUUCUUUGAGUUGUCUUUCAUUCCAGCUGCACGAUUGAGGAGUUUUUGCAAGACUACCAAAGUUGAAAGGUUCCGGAAACAAAUGAGGGAGCUUAUUCGUUGGGUAUGUAUUAUGCAUAAUUCAUAUGUGCUCUUCUUUAGAUAGAUUUGUCUGUAUUAGGGUUGGAAGAUUGUUGUAUCAUUCAUUUUUAUGACUGUUAUGUGUACAAAUAAAUACAUCACAUGUAACAAAAAGGGCUUGAGCAGUACUGAUUUUUUAGCCCAUCCAUGUCCCAGAUUGAGGCUAAUUCCAAGUUUACAAAUGAAAAGCGCAUGUCAGUCACUUUUCUGCCAAACGAUCCUGCUGCAGCAUCCUUUCUUGAGGUAUUGCUAUUUCAUAUCAUUGUUGCUUCCUUUUCACUGUGUUGAAGUUUUUCCAUAAACAAAUAGCCGUUGCUUUUGUACACAGAGCCAUGCUUUGUUCAUCAAGGAUUUGUUUUGGCCUUUUUUCAGAUUGCUGUCUCCAUAUUGUUAAAUCAGGAUUUCUGAUGUGCUUAAAUUAAUUCGUUACAGGAUGAAAAGAAGUCAGGGGCCAGUCCUUUGUCACAGUAUGUUGCAACCUUGCGUGAAGUAGCACGACAAAGAAGUGAUUCAUUGACAGAAUCCAGGUUACCAAUUAGUGUUCUCAUGCUUUAUGAAACAAAUCUUUAAUUGUUUUAGACAGCUGAUUUGUGCAACUUAUGUGCCAAAAUUUUCAGUGUUCUUGUGGGUGAGCAUUCAUCUGUCUUCCGAAACAAGAUACCAGAAAGUGACGAAGAUGAUGAUGAUGAUGAUGCUGCUAAUGAGAAAGGAGCUGUUGUCUUUAGUUCCUCCUGGUUACCAGGAGGUACACCCGAGUAAGUGAUCCCAUCUGCCUCUCCCUCAAUUUUGAGUUAUUGUAUCAUAUUUGUUAUUUUGAAGAUCAUCUACGGUUACUGAAAUUCUCAACAAAAUCAUCAUCUACAGUGAUUGACAUCAAUCAAUUUUAACAGUCUGAUGCCUUUAUUUACACCCCUGGCAAUCUAAGUUAUCAAUCUGACCCUGACCCACUCGACCUUGGUUUACAGGGCUAAACCUUCCAAGAAGGAGAAGAAGAAAAAGAAGAGAAAGGCAGAGCACCAAGAAGAGCUAGCUUCAGAUGAAGAUGUUGUGGAGGAUCUCAUACUCAGUUCUGACGAAGAUGAAUCAUUGGAUGACUCUUCUUCUGAUGAAGAUGAGAGCCCGAAACCACUGCCUAGUAAACCUCAGAGUAAUAAGCAGAAACGUCCUACAGACUUGUCCAAGAAGAAGUCUCUUCUGAAGAAGUCGAAGACGAAAUCUUCAGCAAGUGACUCCGCUUCCAAAGGUAAUGUUGACAGUGCAAAACCCACGCCUUCUAAACAGCAUAGAAAGAAGCAAAACGCACCCGCAAACCUAUCAAAAAUGGAUUUACCAUCCCAUGCAAAGAAGUCCAAGAAGAGGAAGAUAAGUAAUUGAUGAAACAUAGGAAAUGAUAUGGUUUGAUUUGUUGUAUUCAAGGCAGUUUUACAAAACAUGUUUUCUCAUUUUUCUUUCUUCACAAGCCAAUUUUGUGGAUUCGCAAAAAAAUUGUACGGGAGGGAAUUUUGGUCAGUUAAUACAUGCUACUUUUGAGUUAAUCAACUUUUACGUAAAUAUAAUUUAACUUAUUUAAUUAUCUUAAUUAACUUUCUCUUAAUUAUAAACCAUUUUUUUAUAAUAAAAUGUAAAUCAUGGAACUUAUCGAAUUGAAAAUUUAACAAAUGAUUUUUAUUUUAUUUUGAUCCAAAGUACUAGUGCGUUUCUUUAUAUUAUAUAUAUAGCUGAGAAUGGCAUUAGGUUUUGAAAUUAAUUUAUGGCAAAAAAAACUAAAGUGGUAUAAUAUUUCAUAUAUAUAUAUAUAUAUAUAUAUAGAUUCCAGUCUUUGAACAUUUAUAUAUUGAUGUUCUGCAAGUUAUCAAUAAUUUGCUUUGGCUAUUUUAGUUUAAAUUUUCUCAAUAUUAACUUCAAUGAUUCAAAGAGAUUCCAGUCUAAUCCCUAGGAAUUAAAUGUGUUUAUACAGUCAUUCUUGAAGUUUCAUACAAUAAUUUACGUUUUUGUACUUGUAUUGAGAUUAUUAUUUAAUAUGAUAUCAAAACUUUAAUAAUCAAGUGGUCAUGAAUUUAAAUUUUAUUAUUUUUAUUUUAUUAAAAUAAAUUAAUAAAACUAAGCACAAGUGGAUGUUAUAAAACCAUUCAAUAAUUUAAUUUUUUAAAUUGAGAUGAUUCUUUGACAAAAAUUAAAAUGAAUCUAGUGAAUAAAUUCUCAAUUUUUUCAUCUUCUUCCUUUCAGCUUUUAUGUCUUUCCCCAAUUCUAUAACACUUAACAAUGUUUGACAAAAAAUGCUAAAAAAAUAUAUUUUUGUUUUAAUUUUUUUUAGACAAAUUAUAUAUAUAUAUAUAUAUAUAAAAUCUUUUAAAUUUGUGAAAAUGAAACUUGAGGAUAGUUAACGUGUAAUUCUCUACCAAUAAUAUAUAUUCAUAAAAGAAUGUGAAAAAUAAACAGGGGAUAUUUGUUAUUUGAUGAAAAUGAUUUUCGUUAAAACAAUGUGGAAGAAAUUAUAUUUAUUCUAAUGAGAAAAUUGAUGCUGCUGUAUUGUCAUGAUAUUGUACUUUUUGAAUAUUAUCUAUGUUCCGACUAAUUUCUUAUGUUAUUAAGACAAGAAAAAGGUAAAAAUCACUCAUAUAUUUAUUAAUAUUAAUUCUACCAUGCGCUUGCUUUGGAAAAUUAAUAAAAAGAGCCGUGAGGCUUUUAUUACAUAGAAAAUACGAAAACAAAAGGCCUUUUUAUAGAACAGCUACUCCGCUUCUCCCACCCUUUACCAGCUUCUUCUCAAGCCCUCCGUCGAACCUUUUCUCUCUUAUACCUUAUGCCGCAAGCAUUACAUAAAGUCUUAAAUAAUGAAAAAAAAAAAAAAAAACAUCAGCACUGCCACUCGAACACACACACACACACACACACAUAUAACCAGAUAAUAAAAAAAAUAUUAUUGCUUGCAAUGUAAAUUUUUGGAAAUUAAAGGAGUCACCCUGGGUCCGAGGGGACCUCCGCGCCACAUAGGAGUGUUCUUUGUUCUGCAGAGAGGAUUGAGGCAUGUUUUGCGAGGAUGGCUGCGACAUAUUUCACAUCGGCACCUGUGUGUUCCUGGAGAUUUUCCACUCUCAGCGUCCCUGGAUGAGGAAUCCAAGAGGAUGUAAUUGUUCAAGGUAGCUGGUGGAAGCAAAUCGGUGUUGAAGUAGCCACCGACUUCUAGUAUGGAGCUAGUAUUUUGAUCAGCAGCGGCAGGGUUCAACACAUUAUUAUUCAAGUUGAUUGCAUGGGGUUGGCUCCCCGUCUCCUGUGUGGAUGGGACGGUGGUCCUCCCAUUGCCCAAUACAUGGGAGGAGGAAGGGGGUCCUCCGACCAUCGUGCUAUCCUCAUCACAAAUUGUUCCAGAAUGAUAUAUAUCAACAUGUCCAUGGUUAAUCUCCUGUUAAGGCAAUUAUUAUUAUUAUUUUUGUUGUUGGUCUUUUGAAGAUUUUUACAAUAUAAUUAAACUUGUGAACGCAAAAUGAAAAUGAGAGUGAUUCAAGAAAAUACAAUUUUAUGUCAGUAAAACAAUCUAUGUUUUAGAUUUUCAUAAUUAAUUAAAGGCUUUAAUUUAUUUAAUUUAUAUUUUCAAAAAUUAAUAUUCCGAGCAUUUCGGUAGUGAUUUAUAGUAAAAAACACAAGAUGAUGAGAAAUUUGUCGUUCAAGCUAUAGCUAAUUAAUUACGUACUUCCAUUAAUGAUUAUUUAUAAAUUCAUAUUUUAAAGAAGGACAACUACAGGUUUUCUGGCACAAAUUAACUAUAUUGAAAAAUAGUAUAAUUAACUCGCAACAUCAUUUUUAAUUAUAUGUGUUCAAAUUGACUAAUCAGCAUCUAGGAUUAUGUAAUCUUUCUCCAUAUUCAUUUAUGGUUUUUUAGGAUAUUACUAAUAUAUUUUUAGUUUUUAUAUUUGUAGAAAUAAAAUUGAUAUGAAACUUGCAAGUUAUGCUUAAACAAAUGACGAUUCUUAAAUAUCAUUAAAAAACAAACAGAUAAUUGAUGUGAUUUGACGAUGAUUUUCAUAAAUAAAUUAUCAUGAAAGAAAAUUAUAUUUCUUUUGAUGUAAAAAUCAAUUAAUAAUCGAAAAUUAAGAUCAAACAUCGAUAUAUCAUCAUUUUAACUAUAUAUAUCACACAGUUAAUCAUAUUGUUUGUCAACUGAUUUUUUUUUUUUUAGAUUAACUAAUUAAGGGAGAAUAUGAUUUUUUUCCCAAUAUAUUUUUAUGAGAAAGUUAACUAGAGAUAAAUAUAUAUAUAUAUAUAUACCUCAUCACUGGUGUUGGGGCCAUUGAAGUCGAAGUUGGCAAGGCUAGGAGUCGUCACGGGGACUACUGGAAUAUUGAAUAAAUCACUUAGUUUUAUUUGAUGAUUUAAUUCAUAAUGAUUUGCUAAACCUAGUUUCAGGUUCAGAUCCACCAUGUUUCCUGCAUUGUUCUUGUCAUUGAAGCCACCAAUAUUUGAGGCAGUUGCUUGAUGGAAUCGCAGAGAAUCCAUGAUCAGUGUUCCAAGUCUUUUUGUCUGUAAAUAAAAACAACCACGUCCAUGCAAAAUUAUCAACCAAAAAUACAUUAUUUUAAUUUAUUCAUUUAAACAUAUAAUUAAAUUUGAUCUAAUCUUGAAAAAGAUCAAAAUCCAAUCUCCAAAUGCGACAAUUCAUAAUUAGAGAAAAAAACUCUCUUUUUUCAACGGUGACUAGUAAAAAAAAACCUGAGUUAUGAACAAGAUAAAUACCCUACACAUACAUACAUACAUACACAAUGCAUACAUAUAAAAAGAUCAUUUCUACAUACAGAAAUUAGCAAUUCUUAUAUUAUAUGUUUGGAGAGGCGGAGUGAAGAUUACUACAAGAUCAAUCACACAAAUCCUUUGAUAUGGACAAAGGCACUCCUAGAAAGAGCACUCAGAGAAAGUAUGGUAAGAGGGUGAGGGAGAGGGAGAGGGAGACUUACAAUUAGCAAAAGUAUCAAACUAUUGUGGAAGCAAGAAGAUUAUUAGCUUACUAGUGGUGUGAGGUGAACAGCAUUCUAUAGGGCCAUAUUUAUAGGGCAAAUUAGGGACAUCAAUGUGUAUAUAUAUAUAUAUAUGGAAGGUUGGAAAUUAAAGGAAAAACAAUAAAAUAUGAUGCAGGAUAUAGUGAAAGAUAUAAAAUAAGGGUUCUCAAGUUUUAGAUACAGAGAAAAAUUGUUUAAUUUAUUAUGAAAUUCAAUAAUUUAUUAUGAAAUUCAAUAAUUUAUAAAACUGACUUUAGAAAUAAUUCAACAAUUGUUUAUAUAACAUGAAAAUCAACCUAACCCAUAUGGAAAAAAAAUUAAAAACAAAAACUACCUAGUAAAGACAAUUAAAAUAUAUAUAUAAAUAACACUACAAAUAAUUAAAAUUUUAAAUCAACUUCUUUUAAGCCCAAUUUAAAAUUCUUCAUCAUCCUUUAUAGAACUUGAAUCGAGAAUUUAACCACGAUUCAUCAGUUAAAUUGAAGAUUAUAAUUAUUUUUAUUAAAUAUUUGUAAAUAUUUAAAAAAACACCGACACAAUAUUUCAAUAUUCCGUAGGUGAAUAAACAUCAUUUUAUCGACCAAUAUUUACAUUGAAAAUUAUCAACCAAAAUAUUAUUUGUCAAUACUGUUUUCGUUGUUAGAGAGGAUGGUGUAUUCCAUCUUUAUGGAGCUAGCUUUGACCAAUCGGCAAAUAGAGAGAGAUAGAGGCUUUAAAUUGUUCAAUUUUGCAAGCUAUAUAUGAGCAAAAAUAAUUAAAUUUCCAAUUUAUUGUUAAGACCCCAAAAUGAGGUCACAAUUAUUUCAAGAAAUUUUAAAAUAUUACUUGAGAGAUUUAUUUUGAGAUAUAUAUAUAUAUAUAUAAAUAAAGAUGAAAAGGAAUUAUAUCCAAUCCUAAGAUAUUUUCAUAAAAAAAAAAAAACUAAUUCUUUCUCUCUCUUAUUGCCCUCUCAUCUUUAUAUCUAUGUCUUUUUUUUAUAAAGUAAUUAAUUAUUGAUAAUUACUCCUUAAGUAUUCUAAAAUGUUCUCUAGACUUCGUUAUUUUUCAUCUUCUUUUGGAAACUAUUAACUAAUAUACUAAACCGUGGGGGGAUCAUUGUUCCCCCACACACAUUUCACUGUGGAUUACAACAGUAAUUCACAGUGAUUCUUCCCCCUCUUUUUUUUUUUUUUACUUUUCCCUUUUUUUUCGUUUUUUUUUCAAAUUUUUUUUUAAUUUUUUUUUUCAACUUUCCUAAUUUUUAUUUUUUUCUUUUGUUUUUUCCAAAAUUAUUUUUGUUGAUUUUAUUUUUUAAAUAUUGACCUGGUUAAAAUUUUUUCUUUGUAAUUUUUUUCUUGAAAAUACUGUGGAUUGCUGCGAUGUUUUUCCACAUAGUUUUUCUAUUUUAUUUCUUUAUUUUUUAAAAUUAUAUUUUUCGAUUUUUUUUAACUGUUCCCCCACACACAUUUCACUGUGGAUUACAACAGUAAUCCACAGUGAUUCUUCCCCACUUCUUUUUUUUUUUUCAAUUUUUUUUUUCAAAAUUACUUUUUUUUUUCAACUUUCCUAAUUUUUCUUUUUUUUCAUUUAUUUUUUCUUUUGUUUUUUUCAAAAUUAUUUUUGUUGAUUUUACUUUUUAAAUAUUGACCUGGUUAAAAUUUUUGUUUUGCAAUUUUUUUCUUGAAAAUACUGUGGAUUGCUGCGAUGUUUUUCCACAUAGUUUUUCUAUUUUAUUUCUUUAUUUUUUAAAAUUAUAUUUUGUGAUUUUUUUUUAAUAUGAAGCUGAUUGAGAAUUUAGUUUUGUAAUUUUUUUUCUUUAAAACAUUUUUUAUUGCUACAGUGUUUCUCCGCAUAGUUUUUUUUUAUGAUUUUCUCCGAAAUUAUCUUUUUUUAUUUUAUUUUUUAAUAUUGAGCUGGUUAAAAAUUACAGUUACAAUAUGUGAGGAAAUCACUUUAACUUUCCUCGAAAAUUACUGUUGGUUGCUACAGUGUUUUUUCCCACAUGGUUUUUUUCUGUUUUCGUUAUGUUUUUUCCUAAAAUUAUCUUUGUCAAUUUUAUUUUUUAAAUAUUAAGCUGGUUAAGAAUUGUAAUUACAAGUAAAUACAAGUUUUUCCUCAAAAAACACUAUGGAUUGAUACAGUUUUUCCUCACAUAGUUUUUUUCCAGUUUCUUUUGUGUUUUCUUUUUUUGUAAUAUUUUUUUCCAAAAUCAUUUUCGUCCAUUUUAUUUUUUUUAAAUAUUGAGUUGGUUAAAAUUUAACUUUGUAAUAAAGCUUAAUUCAUGUGGGGAAAGUAUUUGUAGCUUUGCUCAUAAAAACAUUGUGGAUUGCUACAGUGUUUCCUCCCGCAAAGUUUUUUUUGUUAUNNNNNNNNNNNNNNNNNNNNNNNNNNNNNNNNNNNNNNNNNNNNNNNNNNNNNNNNNNNNNNNNNNNNNNNNNNNNNNNNNNNNNNNNNNNNNNNNNNNNCAUGUGGGGAAGCACUGUAGCUUUCAUCACAAAACACUGUGAAUUGCUACAGUGUUUCCAACAUGAUUUUUUCCCCUUUUUUUGGUGUUUGUUUUUUUUUUCUAAAAUUAUCUAUGUUGAUUUUUUUUUAAUAUUGAGCCGAUUAAAAAUUUAGCUUUGUUAUUUUUUUUCUUUAAAACACUGUGAAUUGUUGUAGUGUUUUUCCAUGUGAUUUUUUUAUGAUUUUUUCCAAAAUUAUCUUUGUCGAUUUUUUUUUUAAUAUUGAGUUGGUUAAGAAUUAUAAUUACAAUAAAACUAAAUCAUAUGAAGAAAGCGUUGUAGUUUUUCUCACAAAACACUAUGGAUUGCUAUAAUAUUUCUCUAAAUAGUUUUUUAGUUUAUUUUAUUGGGAAAAACGUUAUAAUUUUCCUCACAAAACAUUGUCGAUUACUACAACAUCUUUUCUCAUGGGUUUUUUUCCUUCCAAAAUUAUCUUUGUUGGUUUUUUUUUUAAUAUUAAGUUGGUAGAGAAUUUAGCUUUGUAUUUUUUUUUUGCUUUUUAUUAACUAAAAAGCUAAAUCAUGUGGCGAAAGCACUGUAUCUUUCCUCACAAAACACUGUAGAUUGCUACAAAUCAUUUUGUUCAGUCUCUAAGUUUUUUAUCACCGACACAACUUUUUUUUCCGUCAUGAAAUAUUUGCUCCAUCAUACCUUUAAUUUCUAUUACUUAUCUAGCGCUGGUUCACAAUUAUAACACUAUCAAGUGCAUUUGUUUUAUAAGCCCGCGGCAGCGCGCGGGCAAGUCAUCUCGUAAUAUCUAGAAUAUGUCUUCUUCUUAAGGAUAUUCUAGUAAAAGGACAACACAACCUAGCUAGCCAGAUUAGGAAUAUAAUUAAUCCAUUCAUGUUUAUCUAGCAAAUUAACAACAAUUAAUGCAUACUCACUAAUUAGGUUAGAUUACCUCAUAUGUUUAAGAAACAGCACGAUUUUCCAAAGCAAGACGAGGAUAGAUAUAGCAUAUUUAACGAAGAUCUACGAGAUAAUGGUUCAAGUACUUUUAUCUUCCAUAUAUAGUGUAAAUGAAUUUUCUUAAAAAGAAAUUAAGCCGUUAAGUACUGAUGCUUAGUUAUAAAAAUAUAAUUUUAUAUUAUCUUUGAUAUAAAAAAAAUAUUAAAUUUAUUUUUUUAUAUAUAUAAUUCACAUAUAAUCGUAGCUGUAUAGUUUCACAAGUAUGAAAACACCCUCAAAAUGGCCUCCUUUACCACCCCAUGUCAAAACACGUCUACAAAAUUAAUUAAAAAAUUACUUAUUAAUAUCAUAUGACAAAUUCUGGAUUGGUCAUAUGAUAUUAAAAAUUCAAUAAUUAGAUUAUCAAUAAAAAUUAGCUGGGAGAGUCCAUGAAAGUUUAAGUCUAAAACACUUUUAUUUGAAGAGAAUAUAUUAGAAUAUUAAAUUUUUUUAAAAAAACCUUAUCCAACAUCUAAGAUUUAUGAAUUUAAAAUAGUUCUUUAAUGAAUAAUUAAAAAUAUAAAUCCAUCCUAUUAUUUUUAUCAUAGAAAGACUCUUCUCAAUCAUUAGAUGAACUCCCUCGAUAAAUAUUUUCACCAAAAAAAUUAUUUUUUCAUUCUUUCUUACUGAUACCUUUGGGCUUUGUCCCAGCUAGUCUGUUCCUGCAGUCGGCUAAGAUAACAACAAGUAGAUUCAUUGUUGAAUUCCCCAAGCAAUAAUAUCUACAUAAGGUUAAAACAUCUCUAUUUUAAUGGAUCUUUAAUCAAAAUACAAGUAAAAAAAAAUUAUCAUUGCUUAAUUAUUAAAUCAAAUAGCUAGAUUAAAGGCUGAGAAUUGAUCCAUGAUUAAUUAAGUAAAGUUACAAUGAAAGGAUAUCAAAUUUAUUUGCUUAUCUUGUAAUGAUAUUUAUUUUACUUUAAUAAUUAAUAAAUUUAUAGAAAUAAAUAUUUAAAUUCUUGAGGGGAGGUAAUAUUUUAUCGAUUCAUCAUUUUUAUUUUCAGAAUCUUAUUUUUUUAAUUUUUUAUAUUUAGAUCAUCACUUGUUUUUUUUUUAUUUAAGUAUCUUGUAAGAAAAUUAAACAAAAUUUUUCUUAGAUUCAACGUGGUUUUUAUAAUUAUAUUAUAAAAUUAUUUUAUUUGUGAUAAUAAAAUCAUAAUUAUAUUUACCGAUCAAAUAACAUUUUAAUCGACCAAAUUAACCCUAUAAUUUGAAUCAGUAGCAAGACCAGAUCUGACAGCUAUUAUCAUAGGGUGAUGUUCAAACCAGAAUGUGUCAAGCAAGGUUGUCAAUUCCGUUCCGUUUCAUCCGGAAUGGCCGAAACGUUCCAUACCAAUUCAAAAAACAGAACAAAACGGAACAAAUUUCAUCUCAUUUUAAAUCUCGGUCCGUUCCGGAUUUUUCGGCUAAAUUCCACCCGGAACGUUCCUGUUUCAUUCCACAUGUUCCGUUCCGCUCUUGAAAAGCCAUUGAAUCAAAUUGAACCUUGUUCAAUUUAAUUAAUUAAACCACCCAAUUAUAAAAAGUUCUUUUUCAUUACAAUUUUCAAUAACAAUGAUAUUAAUAACAAUAUUGAAAAUUAUUAUUACUAUUUUCAUUAACAAUGAUAUUAAUUUUUUAAAAUUAGAUUUAUCACUAAUAUAUAUGGUUUAUAUUCAUGUUGUUUUUUUCAUGUUUAUACUUUGUAGGAAUUUGAGCAAAACAAAGGAUGUUUUAGAUUCCAUUAGCCUUGAUAACAUUAACAUAACUUUAUAUUUAAAAUAUUUGUGUUAAAACAUUUUACUUUCAUAAUAUUUUGAUAUUUUGUUUAAGUUGAAUUAUUUUAAAUUAAAGAUCUAUUUAAUCUUGAUUAUUUAGAAAUAUUUUAAAUUUUAAAAUUAUAUUUGUUUGACAUUGUGUUUGUAUUGCAUAAUUUAUAAUUAAUUUAUCUUGAAUUUAAAUUAUGUUUAUUGAAUAUAUAUAGUACAACCCCGAAACGGCACGCCAAAACACUCUAAAACUAAAAUAUUCUAUUUCAAUUAAAAAAACAAAACGAAAUUUACAAACUUGAUUUAAUCCUGUCUUGCACAGAACAGAUUACAUAAAAAAAAAAAAAAAGACUAAAAUGAGCAGGACAGCACUAUCGGAACUCUUAUCAGAAGCACUCGGAUUUCUUAGCGACUGAAUUGAUGGUCUGCCAUUAACCAGGCUUGUCCUGGACGGCUGAACCUGACUUGACGCUGGGUGCCGUCAACCAUACAAACAUUUAUAUUUAAUGCUACGUGAUUCAACAAAAUUAAUUGCAACAGGACACUGGAAGAAAAAGGACAAACAAAAUUAAUUUAAUGCGAAUACUCUUCUAUGCUCAGAAAUAGAAGGGUCCCUCCCGUGGUGAAAGUGAUUACUGAGAUAAUUUCCAAUUUGACAAACGGAUAGACAAAUGGAAAAGUCCACAACCUUGGAGAGCAUUCUUUCACCAGCUAGCAGAUUUCUGGGUAAUGGCAAUAAUUGUCCCCCAAUUAUCACAUGAUUUUCAGCUUGGUCCCCAAACAAAAACAAUUCCCAAUUGGAUUUGUUAUCUAUCAAACAAUACCCAAUUAGGGUUAACUGGGUAGUUUUCAAAAUACUUACAAAACUUGGCUUGGUAAAUCAAUCUAGUGACUCGCUGAUUCGGAUUCCGACUCGAGCUAUAUUUUACUUUGAAAUACUAUGUUUUUUAAACUUAAAUGAUAGUUUUUUUUUUUCCCUUAAAGAACCAUAGCUUUAAUUGACUUGUUAAUUUAUGUGCCAACCUGACCUCGGUUUUUGGCCAGGUUGACCCUCGAAUUGGGUAUAACUAUGGUUUCAAUAAAUUAGAGACUUAAUAUACAAUGUUUUUAUUUACAGAUUUAAUUUAAGAUUUAAUGAUAAUUUAGGGGGAAAUAUGUUAUUUGGGAAAAAAAAACCGAAUUAAUAAUCAAGAAUCCAGCCACUCGUUCCAAUUUUUAUCCACCGACAAUGAUAAAAGCCAUAUAAUAUAAUUUAGCUCAUCUCUUCUUCAAAGAUAAGCAAUAGCAAUAUCAUCGUCAAUUACAGCAGAAAAGAUCACGGGAAAAAAAUAAUUCAUUUUAGCACAAUUGUUAACAUGAAAAAAAACAAAUUAUUUUUUUAUUAAAAUAAUAUUGUCUUAUAAAGUUAAUCUAACCAAGUUUAGAAUAGAUUCUACAAGAAUCAACUCGGAAUAAUAUUUUAUCUGGGUUUAAUUUAAGACUCAGGUAAGGAUCAUAAAUUUAUCGACUUAACAUAUAUGCAUUUUUUAGUGUGUGAGAAAAAUGUCAACAAGACUCCAUUUGGUAUUCAUUUUUCAUCACUCUGAUAUUUAUUACAGUGCAUAAGAUCGCUUAUUAUCACCUGCUUCUUGGCAUGUAGCCUAUCAUUCAAAUUGAGCUAACAAGCAUGCUAUCUGGCCCAGCCAGGUUUGCAUUGACUACCCUGCAGUUCAAUCUGAUCUCCCCUUCAGUUCCUGUCAGAGGGCUGAUAUUUCCCAUUCUUAUCAUGGACUCCACAAAGCUUUCAAAGAAAGCUGUUUGAUUAGCACUG